rnacentral:lncRNA from 1 species
GGCCUAUUGAGACUUACAUUUUUGCUAUGUUUGAUGAGAAGGAUAAACAGGGAGCUGAGAUUGAGAGGCAUUGGGGACUUUUUGCUCCAGACAAACAGCCUAAAUACCAAGUUAAUUUUAAUUAAUUAACCUAAUCAGAGCAGCUGCAGAUUUGAAGAUAUAUUUGUGAUGGAAUAAAUUAUGGCACCAUAUGUACGUAUUAGUAAAUAAGAGUUUGUAUCAUCACCUUGCAUCGGUGCAUGAGGCCAAAUUUCGUUAUCAAUAAAGUCAUGGAUUGCGGUAUUUAAUUAUAUAUCAUAUUCUCUUGCAAUUUUUUGCUUAGCUUAAUUAACAUUAAUGUAAUUGUUCUUUGGCUGUUAUGCAAUGUAAAAACGCGUCCUCAUCAUCACUCAUGAACACUUGGGUAAACAAUUACAUUUCCCUUUUCUUCAAGGAAAUUUUAUUGGACCUUUCUAUGUAUAUGGUCUCGUUAAAAUAAAAAAGAUCAAACUUGUAUGGCUGCAGUUUCUGCAUACAAAAUACCAAAGAUCUUUUGACUAAUGCAAUUUUAGUUUUUACACCUCAUUUGUUAGGGUGCUAAAAUCUCUUUGAUAAAUGCCAUUUAUAAUCCAUCCAUUAAUAAUGUAUGUUGAAAGGUUUAUGUAGAGCUCACCUUGGUUGCUCUUUCUUACAAGUUAUCACCUCUAUAUAUACCAAAUUAACUUCGAGCAACGUGCAAGUAAAUUUAGAAGAUAAAUUCCUCGUUUAUGGCACUUGAUUAUUAUUAUUUUUAUGAUAUUCAAAAUCUUUUAUAAUAAAUCUUUGAGCCCUAAGACAAUAAUAAGAGUGAAAUUUAUAUUCUCUUAAAAGUUUUCAUUACCUAUUCUAAACUGCAGUAACUUAGUCAAGCAGCCUGUUGACUGAGUGAAAUUUAGUUAUUGCUUGACAUUGACAUUAAGAUUCAUGUAUGCAGAAGGUUGAUGAUGAUACCUAACAAAUUCAAGUGUUCCAUUUUCCACAUAACAUGAUAACAAGUCGCACUCAAUUGGGCUUGAGCUGCCAAACACUUGACAUCUUCUCUGACUGCAAUUGAUUUUGGUCUAUUUUAUAUAUCCCGGAUAUUCCGCAAUGAAAAAUAAAAUAUAUAAAAAAUGAAAUUAUGAAGAAUAAACGUUUAUCCUCUGCAAAUCCGUCUCUGGAAAUUGCAAGAAUCCCAUCUACGGGCUAAAAGUAUAAUUUCUUCUUACGAAUUAACAUGUUAUGAUGGCCAUUAUAUUGAGCGGUGCAAUUAUUUUCCAAGAUAGAACUGUUGAGAACUUUAAACCUUUAUUUUGAUUCAUUAAUCAUGUCAACAUGCAUCUUUUGUGUAGCGUAUCAUAAAGUAGAAUUUAUGCCGCCAUAUAAAGAAAUCAAUGAGUAAAUAAUGUGAUGAAUGUUUUUUCAAUCCUUACACUUUGAGUUAAUUAGCGGUUAGUUUUUUUAAAAGGUGUCCAAAAAGGUCCAUACCGUUACUUCUAGUUAGGGGUGAGUAAUUUCGGAUUUGGAUCGGAUUCAGAUGAUUCCGAUCAGAUUUUGGAUAAUUCGGAUUGAAAAAAAAUCCAUCCGAUUUCAAUCCGAUCCUUAAAUCCGAUCCGAUCCGAAUUAAUUUAGAUCCGAUGAAAAUUUCGGAUAAGUUCGGAUUUGGAUAGGUUUGGAUGAGUUUGGAUUUCAAAUUCUCUUUCGAAUUCAGAUUAACAGAAUUCAAGAUCUAGUUUCAUGCACCACGCUAAUAAAUCAGGAAAAAAUAAAGAUUUAUCUGCAACUCAGAAUCCAAUCAUGAAAAGUUAAAAUAAAAAUAAAAAUAAAAUAAUGCCAAGACAACAAUCAAACAACUUAUAGAUCAAAUGCAACGCAUUACUUCACUCCCGGAGAGAUUCCAUUAUUGUAAGAAUGAAAAAAAAAAAAACGCAAAUUUCCCUAAAGCUCUCAAGAAUAAUUAAUAUACUGAAACACGGGAACAAUACUGGAUAAAGAAUUUCAUUAACCAUCUCUAACUGCUAACCAAAUUGUAACAACUAAUUCCCCAACCAUACAAAGUAUAAGUAAAAUAAAAAAAAAACAAUAAAAUACGUGUUGCUAUAUUCUAAGCAACCGAAUGACUCGCGGAUGAUCAAAAGAAGCACAAAAUUCAAAGUUUCAAAAGCAAAUUGUCGGGAGGAAGUCAUGGCGGCUGGACGUCAGUCAAGACACGGUUGGAUUCGUUUGGGUUGUGUCAUCGUCGGCGUGGGUUGCCGUGUGUGUCAGGUCCCAAGCCGAUGGAUGUGGUUGGUGGUCGUCGGUUAGCUCAUUGUGGUUGCGGCUGGGUUGUUUUGUUUUACUAAUUUGGGAAUUGGGAAUUAGGUUUGGGUUUUUUUUUUAUGAUUUCUUGCUUUUAUUUUUUUAAGUAACAGUGCAAUCCGAUCGGAUUAUUCAGGUUGACCCGAAUCGGAUCCGAUCCGAUCCGAAUCAAAUCCGAUUGGAUUGCACAUCGGAUUGCACAAAUUAUAUCCGAUCAGAUUUGAAGCUAAAUCUUAAUCUGAUCCGAAUUUAUUCGGUUAAAUUUCGAUUGGAUCGGAUCUAUCCAAAUUCGACCCGAUGCCUACCCCUACUUCUAGCUAAUAGAUUUAACUUUUCAGGGAAUUUUUAUUUGUUGUUUGAUAUAACUUUAAAAUUCCAGCAGUGAUGCCACCUCUUUAACUAUUAUCAAAUUCUUCUGAGAGUUCAUCUUACUUUCAACUUCAAACUCUCAUCCUUUCAUAUCUCCUCGUCAAAGUUUAAGCCCUUAAAAUUAAAAUCAAAGAGCAAUAUUUGAAAAGAAGUAAUUUUAUAUUUAUUAUAUUUCAUUAAUUAAUCUAAAUAUGUAUAAUAUAGACAGAGUAGAAGCCAUCAGGUUCACUUUCAAAUACUAGUUAGAAUUUCAGAAAUUGAAAGUUUAAUUAGAAUAAUUUUUGGGUAGCCUUUGAAUUACAAUUUUUGGUGUUAAAUGUUUGUUAUAUUAAUUUGAAUUGUCUUAAAGUUGGUUCAUUCUAUGCUGUCGUGAUAUCAAUCAUAGUAUCAAUACAGUAUUUAAGCAUAAAUCAUGUAAAUGAAACAUAAGGCAUGUAAAUUUAACACAAAACUUGUAAAUUAACAUUAUGUGUAAAACAAAUUAAAUAUAAAUUAUAUAAAUGAAAAUAAGACCUGUAAAUGGAAGAUAAAUUAAGUAAAUUAACAUAAGAGUGGUAAAUUGGUGUAUUAAUAAUAAAUAAAACAAAAACUUACAAAUAUACUAUAAAACUUGUUAAUCAACAAUAAGUAUCAAAUAAAACAUAAAUUAAGUAAACAAAAAUAAGAUAUGUAAAUGGAAGGUAAAACAACGAAAUUAACAUAAGAAUAGUAAAUUAGUGUAUUAUUAAUAAACAAAAUAAAAACUUAAAAAUAUAACAUAAAAUUUGUAAAUCAACAUUAAAUGUAAAAUAAAACACAAAUUAUGUAAAGAAAACACAAUACUUGUAAAUAGAGGGUAAAACAAGUAUUUUAACAUAGAAGUGGUAAAUUUGGAUAUUAUUGGUAAACAAAAUAAAAACUUACAAAUGUAACAUAAAACUUGUAAAUCAAUGGUGAAUGUAAAAUAAAACAUAAAUUGUGUAAAUGGAAUAUAAGACUUGUAAAUGAAAUGUAAAAGAAAAAAAAUUAACAUAGGAAUGGUAAGUUAGUAUAUCAUUGGUAAACAAAACAAAAACUUAUAAAUAUAACAAAAAAACUUAUAAAUCAGCAAUAAUUGUAAAAUAAGGUAUCAAUUAAGUAAAUGAAACAUAAGACUUGUAAAUAGAAGAUAAAACAAGUAAAUUAAUAUAAGAGUGGUAAAUUCGAAUAUUAUUGGUAAACAAAACAAAAACUUACAAAUAUAAUAUAAAACUUAUAAAUCAAUAAUAAGAGUAAAAUAAAAAUAAAUUAUGUAAAUGAAACAUAAGACUUAUAAAUAGAAGGUAAAAUAAGUAAAUUAAUAUAAGAAUUAUUUAAAAAAUAAAAAAUUACAAAUGUAAAAUAAGGACUCAUUAUAAUAAUGAUUAUCUUAUAUAUUUAUUGAUUUUGUUUCUAAAUAGAAUAAUGAUAGUUUUGGGUUUAUGUAAUAUAUAUGAUGAUAUAUGUGAAAUUUUAUUAAGGAUAAAACUUAUUCUCAAAAUCAGAUUUUGAAAAACUAUGCUUUUUAUCUUUUUCAAAGCUAUUUGUAAGAUAAGGUAAUAUUACUUUUUUCUAAAUCUCCUUGACAGAAACUGCAAAUGUUUUUUAAGUGCAAGUAAGAAGUAACGUUUAAACUUCAUGAAGUAUGUAUAAAACAUAAAAUUAGAUCUAAUUUUAUUGAUAUAUCAUUUAUGUUUCGUAAUAUAAGAAUAUAUUUUUAAUUUUUUUUGCUUGAUCCAAUCAGGAAGAAUAAUUUUUCUUACUUAAUUUGUGUAGUGACAAUACUACGAUAGAAAAUGAAAAAGGAAUUAUGAAUGUCCUAGAAUGGAUAUAGGAAUUUAUGANNNNNNNNNNNNNNNNNNNNNNNNNNNNNNNNNNNNNNNNNNNNNNNNNNNNNNNNNNNNNNNNNNNNNNNNNNNNNNNNNNNNNNNNNNNNNNNNNNNNAUAAAAUAAAAUAUUUUUAAAUGAAAGUUUAAUGUUGAUUUACAAGUUUUAUGUUAAUUUACAAAUAUUUAUUUUUUUACAAAUUUAAAAUACCAAUUUACCACUCUUAUAUUAACUGACUUAUUUUAUCUUCCAUUUACUAGUUUUAUGUGUAAUUUGUAAAAUUUAUGUUUAUCACGACAUUGAUGCCAUAAUUUUAAUCACAACAUCAAAGAAUUUUUCUUUAAAGUUUUUUUUUGUGAUAUUUGUUUAUUUUUUUUCUAAAUUAUUAAUAGCACAUUAUUGGUGCUUUGAUGCUUAUGGCAGAUGCUCUACUAUAUAUUGUUAAAAGUCCUUUUUUUUUCUUUUUUCACACUACACACUUGCAGAUAUUAUGAUAUUCAUAAAAGUUGUGAUAAUUGAAAAUAGUUUCUUGACUCUUGUCAAGUUAAUUUAUUAUUUAUUAUUUCAUUAAUUUUUUAAUAAAGUAAAAAUAAUUCUCUAAUUUAUUAUAAUUACAGGAUACAAUGUCAACAACUAGUCAGCCAAGCCAAGAAAAAAAUUUACUUUAAAUUUUUAAGAAAAUAGGCAAUGGUCAACGAUUAGUCUCAAAUUGAUGCUCUUCCAAUAAACGACAUCCUUCUAAGUCUCAAACGGUUGAAGUUAAAAAUUGAAGAAACUAGAAUACUUAUAAAGAACAUGAUCCUGGAUUACAUUGUCAAAUAAGGACUUACCCUAUUAAUCAACUUGAUGAAAUUCAAAGGGUGCACAUCAAAAUAGGACCACGUCAACCUAAAUUAUGAGAUUUUCCACUAAUUGAUGAUAAUAUACAAGAACAUAGAUAUCAAUAUUCUUGGUGAUGUAAUAUGAACUCAAUCUCAAAUGACUGACAUAUCAUUUUGAGGGCUCAUGCUUGUUUGACGGGUCGUUGCUGGAGCUAUAGAGCAAAACUUACAUUGUUGAAUAUGUUGUUUGAAGCUCUUAUGUAAGUCACAUGUUUAACACAUGACACAUGGCAAAAUCAAGCUAAUCUAAACAACGAAAUUUAGCGUAUGUUAGGCAUGUGAUGAAGUUGUUAAGUUAGUUGAUUUUGGUUGGAAAUCUAGCUAACAUGUACCAAACUCAGAAACUGAGUAUAUAAGCUGCUUCUAGCAUGUUCUUUGCAUCAUUCAAUCAAGAGAUCAGAGUGAAUUAAGAAAAGGGAGAGUUUGUUCUUGCACUCUUUGUAAUCUCUGUGUAAUUUUUGUAACCUUUUGAAUUCAAUAUAGUGAAAGCUUGCGGUUGGUUUUCUCAAUGGAUGUAGGCAUUUGAAACAAGUGUUGAACCACUUAAAUCUUGUGUGUGUUUUUUGUUUCUUUGUUUAUGAUUUUGAUCGAGUGUUGAGUUUGUGAGUUUCUUGGAUUUAUAGUUCUAUAUUUUGAGUCUAAAAUUAGCCUCAGGGGUGGACUUGAUCCAGUUCAUAAGGGUCAAAUUCUUAACAAAUUGUAUUAGAGCCUUUGAUUUUACUUUAAGAUUCAAUAAAUGGCAACCAAGGUAGAUAUGAAGAAGUUUAGAGGUCAAAAUGAUUUCAAUAGGUUAAAGAUCAAGAUGAAGGCUCUUUUAAUCACUCAAGGUCUAGGGCAUGCCAUAAACCAACUACCAAGGCUAAAGGAAAAGAGGCUUCAUCCUAAAAAAAACACCAGAGCAGGUAGUUGAGAUUGACAAAAUGGCAAGAAUAGAAGAAAAUAAGAGAAGUUGCUAAAGAAAAGUUUGUUGCUAGGCUCUGGACUAAACUAAAGCAAUGUGCAUAACAAAUCUCUUGUUAAUCAACUCUACAUGAAGAAGAAAAUAUUUUCUUUGAAGAUGGUUGAAGGGUCAUCACUUGAUGAUCAUAUUGAUGAAUUUAAUAAGUUCUGUGAUGACCUGGACACAAUUGAUGAGGGGUUGAGUGAUGGGAGUCUUAUUGAUAAGCUUUUUACUAAAAUUAUAUGAGCAUUUUGUGGAUGCUUUCUUUAUAGGAGACAAACUCUUUCCUUGGAAAAGGUUAAGUUAGCCUUUAGAACUAAGAAGCUGAAAGACAAGCAAGAGAGCUAUAAGAAUUCAAUGAAGGAUUAAUGGUAAGAAGUAGCCUUAAGAAGAGGGAAAACAAAAAAAGAAACAAUGAAGAUCAAAGUCAAGACAAAAGCACUUAAAGUGUUUUCAUCGCCACAAGGAGAGCAUUUUAAAGAGAUUGCCCUGAGAUAACGACCAAGGUUAAAGGCUCAAACGAUAAGUCUAGAUAUACAGGCCCAUAGAAGAAGUUAAUUUUGAAGCUGCUAGAGUACUCAUUACCUCAAAACAAAAGUAUCAAGAUCAAUGGGUUCUUAACUCGAGCCUUACCUUUCACAUAUGUCUAAAUAGAAGCUAUUUUACUUCAUAUCAGUCAUGUGAUGGUUGUAUAGAAUUAAUGGGAAAGAACUCACUAUGUAAGGUAGUUGGUAUUGGAAUUGUUUGCCUUAAGAUAUUUGAUGGUGUAAUUAGAGAACUAACACAAGUUAGGUAUGUUCCUGAACCAAAAAAAGAACCUAAUUUAUAUUGGCAUGCUAGAUCAAAUGUGUUGUAUAGUUAAGGAUAAAAGAGGUUUUUUUAGGGUUAUUAAAUUUAAAGGCUCAAUGGUGAUCAUGAAAGGUACAAAAGUUAAUUAUUUGUAUAUGUAAAAUGGAUAAACAACUAUGAGGAAGGCAAGCUUAACUGACAAUAGAGAGAAUAGAUCUAACUUGUGGCAUUUGAGGUUGGGGCAUAGAAGUGAAAGAUGCUUAUAAGAGCUUCAAAAGCAAGGAGUGUUUGGAAAUGAUAAGAUAUGCUCUUUGGGAUUCUAUGAAGACUGUAUUCUAAGCAUGCUUUCUAGGUUAAAGUUUGAAAAGAUAGUUAAUACUACCAAAGACAAAUUAAGAUAUACACACUCUAAUUUGUGAGGCCUACCCAUGUUACAUAUCUAGGUGGUUGUAGGUAUUUUGUGUCUUUUAUUGACGAUUACUCUAGGAUAGUUUAGGUUUAUGUUCUGAAGAAUGAGGAUGAGGUUCUUGAAAGGUUUAAAUGAUAGAAAAUCUUAGUUGAAAAUUAUAUAUAUUUGGAAGUGAAAGCACUUAGAACAAACAAUGAUUUGUAGUUUUGUGACAAGCUAUUUAAAGAUUAUUGUGAAAAGAAUGGCAUUUUAAAGCAUAAGACAAUGAUUAAUACACCUCAACAAAAUGCACUUGCUGAGAGGAUGAAUAGAACAUUGAUGGACAAAGUGAGGUGUAUGCUAAUCAACUCAAUGUUGCCAAAAACUCUUUAGGCAGAAGCUUUGAACACUGCUUGCUACUUGGUAAAUAAAAGCCCAUCUAAAGCUAUGAGCUAUAAAACACUAGUGGAUUUGUGGUCAGGAAACAUGUUGACUAUUGUCAACUUAGAAUUUUUAGUUGUUUGGCAUAUGCACAUGUCCAAAAAUGUACGGUAGAACCAAGGGUAUUGAACUGUAGAUUUCUAGAUUAUCCUGAAGAUGUUAAAGGCUAUGAGUAUGAUGUGUUGAAUUAAAACCACCUCAUUCCAUAAUCAACACAUUUGUAAUCUUCAAUGAAGCUAAAUUUCUGAAACAGCCAAGAAACUCUGUAAACGAAGUACAAAAAACUGAAGAGGAACCUAAAACAAUUUAGUUUGAGGUGAAGUUUUAUGAACAAAGAAAAGUCUAACCAAAUAUUUAUUGAAAAAAAUAGAAAGUGUUACUGAUGAACUUGAGGCUGAACAAGAAGUUAAGACAACAGAAAGUGAUAGUGACACUUAUUAGUUGGCUAGAAAUAGAAAAAAGAAGAGCAAUUAGACUACCAAGGAUAUAUGCAGAGGUAGAUCUGAUUCUAUAUGCACGGAUAGCUGCAUAGGAGAUUAAUGAUGAUGAACUAAGGACUUAUCAAGAAGCAAUUACAAGUUAGAAUAAGCUGCAUUGGCAAAAAACAAUAGAUGCAGAAUAACAUCCGUUAUUAAGAAUGAAAUUUGGAAAUUGAUUGAGAAACCAGAAAAAAAGAAUAUAGCAAGCUGGAAAUAGAUUUUCAUAAUAAAAGAGGGGAUACUUGGUGCUAAACCAAGAAUGUUUAAAGCUAGAUUAAUGGCAAGAGAUUUUACACAGAGAGAAGGAAUUGUAUUUAAUGAAGUUUUUUCUCUAAUAGUAAAGCAUGCUUUCUUCAUAAUCAUCCUUGCACUUAUUGUAGUUCAAGACAUGUACCUUGAACAAAUGGAUGCUAAAUCAACUUUUCUACAUGGUGAAUUGCAAGAAGAAAUUAUAAUGCAACAACCUGAAGGGUAUGUGAUACUUGAAAGAGACGAUCAUGUGUGUUUGCUUAUAAAGUCUCUGUAUGAUUUAAAACAAUCACCUAGGCAAUGGUAUUUAAGAUUUGGCAUCUUCAUGAUAAAAUAUACUUGUAGCAAGUUUAGUUAUGAUUGUUGCAUGUACUUCAAAAGGAUAAGUGAAGGGAAGAUGAUAUAUCUCUUGUUAUAUGUUGAUGAUAUAUUGAUUGCAUAUGAUAACUGAGAAACGAUUGAACAUUUAAAGGGUUUUAUGAGGAGUAAGUUUGAAAUGAAGGGCCCUGGACUGCAAAGAAGAUUCUUUGAAUGGAAAUAAUUAGAGAUAUAAUGACAAUGGGGAAGAUUAUGUUUCUGACUCAGAGAAAAUGGUGGUAUGUAUUAUUGCAAACCAGUUUAGACACUAUUUGCAAAUUAUUUUAAGUUGUCUGUUGUCUGCUAUACAAUGUCCAGAGAAUGAUUAAGCACAAUUAAAAAUAACAUAACUCCCUUAUUCAAAUGUUAUUGGCCUUAUAUAUGUUAUGCUACUUACAGACCAGAAAUCUCACAUGCUAUAAAUAUGGUAAAUGGAUUCAUGAUAAAUCCCGCUAUUGAUCAUUGGAGAGCUGUUUAGUAGAUAAUGAGAUACCUGAAGGGCACUUUGGAUUGUGCUUGGUUUAUGAUGGGUCAAAUAAAGAAGAUCAUACAUUGUUGGCUAUGUGGAUUCUAAUUCUGCUAGGGAUCUUGAUAAAAAAAGGUAUAUAAUAGGGUAUUUGUUCAUUUUAAGGGGUUGUACUGUUAAUUGGAAAGCAACAUUGUAGAGUGUUGUUCCUUUAUCUACAACAAACUGAAUACACAGCGGUUGUAAUAGCUAUUAAGGAAGCCAUUUUGUUCAGAUGAAUGAUUAAUGAAUUAGGAUCAAAACAUAGGUUAGUACAAUGUAUUAUGAUAGCCAAAGCGCAAUACAUCUUAGCAAGAAUCAGACACAUCAUGAAAAGACUAGACAUAUUGAUGCAAAGCUGCAUUUUGUAAAACUUAGUCUCUUGAAAGGUUGUGAAAUUGCUGAAGAUACACAUAGAGGAGAAUCCAUUUGACAUGCUAACCAAUGUUAUACCAUUCUCUACAUGAAUUUAACAGGAAGUUUUAAGAAAUUGCAAAUAAAGAGGAAGAAAACUUCAAGGAGCAACUAAAGUAUUGAGUUCAAGGUGGAGAUUGAUGUAAUAUGAACUCAAUCUCAAAUGACUGACAUGUCAUNNNNNNNNNNNNNNNNNNNNNNNNNNNNNNNNNNNNNNNNNNNNNNNNNNNNNNNNNNNNNNNNNNNNNNNNNNNNNNNNNNNNNNNNNNNNNNNNNNNNNNNNNNNNNNNNNNNNNNNNNNNNNNNNNNNNNNNNNNNNNNNNNNNNNNNNNNNNNNNNNNNNNNNNNNNNNNNNNNNNNNNNNNNNNNNNNNNNNNNNNNNNNNNNNNNNNNNNNNNNNNNNNNNNNNNNNNNNNNNNNNNNNNNNNNNNNNNNNNNNNNNNNNNNNNNNNNNNNNNNNNNNNNNNNNNNNNNNNNNNNNNNNNNNNNNNNNNNNNNNNNNNNNNNNNNNNNNNNNNNNNNNNNNNNNNNNNNNNNNNNNNNNNNNNNNNNNNNNNNNNNNNNNNNNNNNNNNNNNNNNNNNNNNNNNNNNNNNNNNNNNNNNNNNNNNNNNNNNNNNNNNNNNNNNNNNNNNNNNNNNNNNNNNNNNNNNNNNNNNNNNNNNNNNNNNNNNNNNNNNNNNNNNNNNNNNNNNNNNNNNNNNNNNNNNNNNNNNNNNNNNNNNNNNNNNNNNNNNNNNNNNNNNNNNNNNNNNNNNNNNNNNNNNNNNNNNNNNNNNNNNNNNNNNNNNNNNNNNNNNNNNNNNNNNNNNNNNNNNNNNNNNNNNNNNNNNNNNNNNNNNNNNNNNNNNNNNNNNNNNNNNNNNNNNNNNNNNNNNNNNNNNNNNNNNNNNNNNNNNNNNNNNNNNNNNNNNNNNNNNNNNNNNNNNNNNNNNNNNNNNNNNNNNNNNNNNNNNNNNNNNNNNNNNNNNNNNNNNNNNNNACUUAGCAAAACCAACAUUGUUGAAUAUGUCGUUUGAAGCUCUUAAAUAAGUUACACGUUUAGCAUAUGACAUAAAGCAAAACCAAAUUGAUCUAGAUGAUGAAAUUUUGUGCUACUUUGAACAAUAUUAAGUUGGCAUGUGUUAAGCAUGUGAUGAAGCUGUUAAAUCAAUUGAUUUUGUUGGGAAAUCCAAUUAAUGUGUAACAAACCAAGAAAUAAAUAUACAAAAUGCUUCUACUGUGUUCUUUGCAUCAUUCAAUCAAGAGAUUAGAGUGAACUGAGAAAAGAGAGAGUUUGUUCUUGCAUUCUUUAUAAUCUCUGAGUAGUCUUUGUAACCUUUUGAAUUUAAUAUAAUGAAAGCUUGUGGUUGGUUUUCUCAGUGGAUGUAGGCAUUUAAAACAAGUGUUGAACCACUUAAAUCAUGUGUGUGCUUUAUGUUUCCUUGUUUCUAAUCUUGAUCGAGUGUUGAGUUUUUGAGUUUCUUGGAUUCAUAAUUUUGUAGUUUAAGUGCGAAAUUAGUCUUCAGCAUGGAUUUGAUCCAGUUCAUAAGGAUCAAAUUCUUAAAACUUGGUUUAGAAAAUUUAUGUGGCUUGAGUACUCUGAGGUGUAAGAUAAAGCAUUUUAUUCUCCAUGCCUUCCUUUCAAUGAAGUUCUAUCGAAAUGUCCACACUUUAUUAUUAAGGGGUUUUUGAGUUUGAAGAAACUCAAAUGUGUCACAUCAUAAUGAUGCUAUUCAAAGUUGGGGUUGCCUAAAGAAUCCUACUCAACACAUAAAUAGACCAAUGAAUACUCAACUUUAUAGAAGUUUUAAAGAUAAGCUACGAUUGAAUACCUCAAUUAUUGUUGUCAAAUGGUUAGCAAAGCAAUCUUGUACUUUUAGAGGGCAUGAUGAAUUAGCAAAUUUGGAAAAUCAAGGAAAUUUCGGAGAGAUGAUAGAGCUUGCGACAAAAUAUAGUAAAGAAAGUAUUGAAGUUUUCUUACAAAAUUCUCCAUUAUAUGCUAAGUGUACAACAUCUAAUAUUCAAAAGAAGCUUCUAAAUAUUCUUGCAAACAAAGUGCGAAACAAGAUAAGUGAGGAAGUUUAAGAUGAUAAGUUUUGUACUUUUAUAGAUGAAGCUCCUGAUGAAUCUAAUAAAGAGCAAGUGGCUAUCAUUUUAAGAUACGUUGAGUGUGAAAGGUAUAUUUGAGAGUUUUUUUUAAGUUGUCAAUUCCAUGCAAAAUACAUCAUCAACUAUGAAAGAAGAAAUAUAUAUAAUGUGCUUGCAUGAUACAAUCGAUUAUUUAAAGAUAUAUGAGGGCAAGGAUAUGAUGGUGAGCAUUGUUUUUGAAAGAUUGUCCAUUUGCUUAUUAUAUACAUUAUUUAGCUCAUCAACUACAAUUUGCAUUGAUUAUAGCAUUUGAAGAUGUGCUAGACGUGUGCUUUUUUUUUUUCAAGCAUUGGGAUCAAUUGUGAAUGUUUUGUCUUCUUCUAUUAAACAUAUUUUUGAGUUAAAAUCUAUUUGUGAAGCUGAUAUAGCUUCAAGAGAAGUUCAAAUUGGUAUAGGGGCCAAUCAAAUUUAGACUUUGCAAAGUGUUGGAACUACUCAACGGGGCUCUUAUUUCCUUUCUAUCAAUAGAUUAAUUGAUAUUUUUAGUGUUGUUUGUAAAGUUCUUGUGAGGCUGGUAGAGUGUGCAUCUAACAAUGGCAUGUGUGGAGAAGCUAAAUGUGUGUUUGAAACAAUGACAUCUUUUAAAUUUAUAUUUAUUUUGCAUUUAUUAAAUAAAGUGUUGGGGGUGAGUAAUUUACUCUGUCAAACAUUAUAAGUAAAAUCUCAAGAUAGGCUUGGCAAAAUCCGGGUCCGGUCCGGGUUUUGGUGUUGCCCGGGACCGGACCGAAUGAGUGAAAUGUAAGACCGGACCCGGGUUAAAACCUAGUUUUUCCGGGUGCGGUCCAGGCUCGAGCCCGACACCUUUAGGGUCCGGGUUUUGAUCCGGGCUUCUAAACCCGCAUGUGAUAACUUCAUUUUUUUUUUCUUCAAUUUUUUCUUUCAUUUCUCUAACAAUGUAAAUUUUAAAAAAGAAAAUAAUCAAAUAAACUCAUUCAAUCUCAAGCUUUAAAAAAGAAAAUAGUCAAAUACAAAUAUAUAACACACUAACAAUGCAAAUUUUGUACAAAUGAUAAAUAAAAAUUAUUUCAAUCUACUUUCUAAUACCUAAAUUCAUCUAAUUUCUAACUUAAACUCAUUCAAUCUAUAUAUAAAAAUAAAUAAAUUAAAUUCAACAACACAAUAAUCACACAAUAAAUUUAAAUAACAUCCAGCAUAUCAUAAAUUCAUAAUUAUAUAUUUAUAUAUUGUUAACAUAUAUGUUUCCAUAAUGUUGAUUUUGAUGAUAACAAACAAGAUUAAGAAUGAUUAAUCUUUUCAGUUCAAAUUAUUUUCUUUUUAAAUAAAUCAUUAUUUUCACAUUAUAAAGGUUUCAUAUUUAAUGGAAAAAUGAUGUUAUGGAAUUAAAGUGUUUUGGACUAAAAUGAAAGUAUUUUAAAACCUUUGAUAUUGUUUUUAAAAUUUCGGAUUUGGACUUAUUUGAAAUUAUUUAAAUAUUUUGGGUCAUUCUAUAAUUUCACAUAGUUUGGGUGAAAUCAUAAUUUCAGAAAGUUUUGGGAUUGACAAAGCAUUAUUUAAAAAUUCUGAAAUUGGACCUAUUUGAAAGCUUUCAUAACGUUUUGGGCCAUAGUACAGUUUUAUAAAAUUUUGGGGUCAAACUAUAAAUUUAGAAAAUAUUUCACUGUAGCGGUUACUGUAGCAAGCGGCUAACCGGAUCCUGACAAACGGUAGACCGGAUUCGGGCAGAAUGUUUCUGGAACUUAAACGGCUAACCGGAUUUCACAAGCGGCAUACCAGAUGUUCAAAAAUUCAAAAUUGUGGUUGUAACGGUAACAUUAAGCGGCUAACCGGAUGUCCAUAAAUGGUAAGCCGGUUAUGACCAAAAUAUGCUUAACGGCUAGUUUUUUAGCUCAAACUAUAUAAACUCAAAUCCAAUUCAUUUUUGGUAAUCUUUGCAAGCAAAAACAAGUGCACACAACAUAUAUUGAGCUUCAAUUUCGUAAAUCAUCAUUUAUUAAAUCAUCUUUGUUCUUCAAUUUGUAUAUCCACUCUUAAAGAGAGUUUCAUUGUUGUAAUUUUCAUUUCUCAUCAAAUUGUGAGUGUACAAGUGUGAGAAACGCUUGGGGUGAAGAGAUUGGAGAGAUAAUAUCUUGUUGUAAAGGUUCAUUGACACCUUGAAGUCAAUUGUAAACGUUUGAAGCCUUAGAAAGGCUCGGAUAGUAAAAUCCUCAAGCCCGGUGUGCUUGGAGGCGUGGACGUAGGCGGGGAUUGCCGAACCACGUAAAAAUCCUUGAGUUUGCUUUCUCUUCCCUUGCUCAUUUAUUAUUGUGCUUUCAUUGAAUUUAUUGUUUUCAAAUUUAUUAAGGCAUUAGAUUGGAUUGUUGUAUGGUUUGCUUAGCUUAAUUUUUAAAAUCCCAAUUCACCCCCCCUCUUGGGUUGCCUAGUUAGUAUUUCAUUUGGUAUCAGAGCGAGGUGCUCUUGUGUAGACUUAACCGUCUUGAGUUAAAGAUUAAUAGCAACCCAAAUUAGUUCAACUUUCAUGGAAGGCCAAUCCACCGCUAGACCUUCAUUCUUUGAUGGUAAUGACUAUCCUUAUUGGAAAACUAGGAUGAGAGUCUUUUUACAAGCCUUAGAUUAUGAAAUAUGGGAAAUAGUUUGUGAUGGUUCAUUCAUUCCUAGGAAGAAUGUUUUAAGUGAGUUGGAUAAGAAAAAUAAGUCUUUAAAUUCCAAGGCUAUGAAUGCUUUAUUUUGCGCUUUAGAUAAAAAGGAAUUUCAUAGAGUUUCAAAUUGUUCUAAUGCUUAUGAAAUUUGGAGAAAACUUGAAAUUGUGUAUGAGAAGACUACAAUCGAGGAGGAAUUUCAUGAAGUGUCGAAUUUGGCACUUAUGGCAAUUGGAGAUGAAUCGGAUGAUGAACUUGAUGAGGUAAAUGAUCUUCCUACUUAUGAUGAAUUACAUGAUGCUUUUAAAGAAUUGCAUGAUGAGUGGAUGAAACUUGGUAAAAAGAAUGCAUGCCUUAAGAAGAAAAUGCUAGAACUUACAAAUGAAAAGGAUACCAUGCAAAAAUGCAUUGAUUCAUUGAAUGAGAAGAUAAAGGAAUUAGAAUUAGAGAAUAAAUCAUUGCAUGAUGAAGUUGCAUUAUCAAAUGAGAAAUUUAGCACUUCACACAAGCAUCUAGAAUCACAUGUAGAUAACUUGAAAAAUGAAAAGGAUACUUUACAAAAAUGUAAUGAUUCAUUAAAUGAAAAGAUUAAAGGACUAAAGUUAGAUAAUAAAAUGUUGCAUGAUAGAAUUGCAUCAUUUAAAGUUAAAUAAAAUAUUUCGUAUGAGCAUGAAAAAUCACAUGUUGAUAAAUUAAUGAAAGAAAAUGAUGUGCUUAAGAAAAAGAGUAAUGAGCUCAAUGAAAUUGUGUUAAAAUUCACAAAUGGUCAAAAGAACUUAGAAAAAUUACUAAGCACUCAAAAAUGUGUGUUUGAUAAAGGAGGACUUGGUAUAAGCCUUACUUGAAACAAAAAUAUUAUAAGAACUAUUUUGUUAAGGCUACCUCCACAAGUGAUCAUAAGAUUGUUUGUCAUUAUUGUAAUGGAAAUGGUCAUAUGAGUUUUAGAUUGUCCAGUUAAGAGAAAUGUAUAUUAUGGAGUCAAAUGUAUUUGGGUUCCAAAAGGAACUAAAUCUAACAUUCAAGGACCCAAGAGUAUUUGGGUACCAAAGCACACAACUUGAAUAUUUUUUUUGUAGGUUCCACAAACAAGGAAUGGUGGAGAGUUCCUUGAUGAAGCUUAUGAGGAUAAUCACUUGAUCAAGUCUAAGCAAAAAUAAUGAGGCAAGAUGAUUUAAUUGUUUUGGUAACUAUUAUUGCCUUAUUGAUUAUAAGUGAUGGUCUUUUAAUCUUAGUAAAUAUUUAACAUUUCAUUUGGUAUCAUAAUAUUAAGUGCAUUAACAUGAAGUGGAUAAGUUUAUCUUGCCUAUUUAUUAUGUUGAGUGGAUCAUGAUAAAUGGAUAAUAGCUUGAAUUUGUUAAAGUAUACUUGUAUGUUUACAUGAUUGAAUUAUCAUUGUGUUUAACAUUGAGUGCUUUAUCAUGAUGCAUGGUUAUAUAUUUAUGAUGAUAGCUUGACAACUCAUCAUGAUAGAUUUGUUUGAUUUUGAUGAUUAUGUAAUGCUUAAGCUUGAUAAAUGAGUGAUAUGCUUGAAUUAUUAAUCUUUGAAUGCUUAUAUGUUUCAUGAUUGUGUAAAAUAUAUACAUGAUGAAUGAAUUAUAUGUGUGAAUUCUUGUACCGUUAAUUGUGUUAUAUCAUCAUUCAUUUAUAAAAUUGACAUCAUUGUUUGAUAUGAUUUCAUAUGUUUGGUCUUAUAUGCAUAUAUGUUUCAUGCAGUAAUUGGCUUAUUGAAAAGUUAAAUGAUUUUUAAAAUUGAUCAAUUUUUAAGCCAAAAAUAAAAUGGUGUGUAUAAUAUAAGUUUAAGAGCUUAUCAAAAUUCAAUAAGAGUUAAAAUGAUUUCCAAGAAUUAACCCGUAUACCGCUUCCUAUCAACCAAAAAACUGUUUGUCUUAUUGAUUAUUCUCUGGAUUAAAUCUGGAUAACCGGAUUUAGCAAACCGGCAAGCCGUUUCUCUUAUGGUUGCUAACUGAACUCAAACCAAAUAACCGGAAAAUGAAAAAUCGGUAAGCCGCUUUUAAUAUCUCACUUGCUAGAAAUAAUCGGUCAACCGGUUAUAAAAUCCGGAAAAGCCGGAUUCGAUUUGCUUUUUGCUGGAUUCAACCGGAUAGCCGGUUAUAAAAUUCGGAAAACCGGAUUUGUGCUACACACUCACUGGUACACAACCGGAUAACCGGUUAGGCACAUCCGGAUAGCUGGAUUCGAGCUUUUUAAGGACUAUUCAUCUUUUUUUUUUCUUCAUUCGACAAUCCGGUUCUCUCUCUCUCUCUAAAAUCCACCAUUUUUUAUCUAAUCAACACCAUACAUCACCUUAAAUCAUCUCUACGAUCAUUGUAAUUGAUUUAAAAUUACCCAUUUUACUCAAUAUCUUGAAAACCCGAAUUUGUGAAUUUUGAGUAUUUUAAAUUGCCACUCCAUAGUGUGCUCUCCUUAUGGAUUUUACCAUAGUUUUCUAUUAUAUUAUGCACUUACAUUUUCAUAUGCAUUGUUGCUUUCAUUGUGGAUUGAUGAUGAUUAUUGUUUGAUAUUUGGAUGUUUUAUAUUUGGAUAAUGUGGAACUAAUGUGCUUAUCUUGACUUUUUGAUGAUCAAGAGGGAGAUAUGAGAUAUAAGGGAGAAAUACAUCUACUUUGAGAUUCUUAAGCAUAUGAGAUUUUUUAAGUUAUAUUGAAAUGUCACAUUAGAUCUUUGAUAAGUUUAGUUGUCUUGAUUUCUAAAAUGUGAUUAAUAAUUAUGAAGCUUGGAUAGUUGAUAAUAUGUUCUUAUAACUUUUGCAUGCCAAUUUGGUAAACAAAUUAAAACCUCUUUGCGAAGAAUAAUUUUCAAAAAUUAGGCAUGAACUUGGAAUGAUGAAAUUUAUUAAUAUCUCUAAUCAUGUUAUUAGUACUAUUAAAAUUGAUUUCUUGAUGAUUUUGAUGAUUGAUGAUUAUAUGUGUGUUGCUUGAUGAAUUGGUAAAGUUGUUGGUUUGUUAUAAUUGUUGAAGCUUAUAUCUUUUUAACCAUGUUGUGUAUUUUGUGAAUUUGUUCAUUUUUAAGGGAGACUUUGCCGAAAUUUUUGCUCACACAAAAUGGGUAAUAUGUUCAUCGAAUUAUUUUUGAUGAUCUUGUUUCGAUUGCAUCUAUCUAUCUUUUCUUUUUUACGAUGAAGGGGGAGAUAAAUAUGAUAUGUUUUUGGAUAAAAUCAUUUCGGUUAAAAUUUUAAAUUGGCCAUAUAUUUAGGGGGAGCAUAUAAUAUGAUUUUGGAUAAUAUGCAUUUUGAACUUUUUUGUUGUCCAAAGGGGGAGACAAAGUAAUAUAUCAUUUUGAUGUUAUUAAAAGGAGGAGAAUAACAUGCACUUUGAGUAUUCUUUUGAUGAUUGAUAUUUGAUUAUGGUGAUGAUUUUGAUGAUUUUGGGAUAUAAUAAUGAUUUGAUUACAUAGUCGUUUUAUAUGAUAAGUUUAUGUUGUGAGUUGUUGAUUUGGUAAUUGAUGGAAUAAUGGUUCAUGAUAUUUUGGUGUGAUGAUUUGUGUAUGGAGUUGGCUUUUAUCAUGAUCUAUAAUAAUUUGGAUGUGAUAUUACUAAACUUGUAUUUGAGGUAAUGCUUGUUGUUAGGGGGAGAAUGUGUUGAAAUUUCUACUCGGACAAACAUGAGUAAUAAAUUUGCUACUCUUAUUAUUUUCCUUUAAGUUUUCUUUUUGAUGAUGAAGGGGAAGAAGAAUACAUGUUUUUAAAUUUAUAAAAAUUUACUACUCUUUUUCUUUGCCAAUUAAGUUUUCUUUUUGGUGAUGAAGGGGGAGAAAAAUACAUGUAUUUAAAUAUGUUAAUUUAGCUAAUUGGCAAAUUGUAAGAGAAGAUUAUAUUUAGGGGGAGCAAUUUGUGGAAUCAUUCUUUAAAUACAUGAAAUGUUUGUCAUCAUCAAAAAGGGGGAGAUUGUUAACAUAUAUGUUUCCAUAAUGUUGAUUUUGAUGAUAACAAACAAGAUUAAGAAUGAUUAAUCUUUUAAGUUCAAAUUAUUUUCUUUUUAAAUAAAUCAUUAUUUUUACAUUACAAAGGUUUCAUAUUUAAUGGAAAAAUGAUGUUACGGAAUUAAAAUGUUUUGGACUAAAAUGAAAGUAUUUUAAAACCUUUGAUAUUGUUUUUAAAAUUUCGGAUUUAGACCUAUUUGAAACUAUUUAAAUAUUUUGGGUCAUUCUAUAAUUUCACAUAGUUUGGGUGAAAUAAUAAUUUCAGAAAGUUUUGGGAUUGACAAAGCAUUAUUUAAAAAUUCUAAAAUUGGACCUAUUUGAAAGCUUUCAUAAUGUUUUGGGCUAUAAUACAGUUUUAUAAAGUUUUCAGGUCAAACUAUAAAUUUAGAAAAUAUUUCACUGUAGCAGUUACUGUAGCAAGCGGCUAACCGGAUCCUGACAAACGGUAGACCGGAUUUGGGCAGAAUGUUUCUGGAACUUAAACGGCCAACCGGAUUUCACAAGUGGCAUACCGAAUGUUCAGAAAUUCAAAAUUAUGGCUAUAACGGUAACAUUAAGCGGCUAACUAGAUGUUCAUAAAUGGUAAGCCGGUUAUGACCAAAAUGUGCAUAACGGCUAGUUUUUUAGCUCAAAUUAUAUAAACUCAAAUCCAAUUCAUUUUUGGUAAUCUUGGCAAGCAAAAACAAGUGCACACAACAUAUAUUGAGCUUCAAUUUCGUAAAUCAUCAUUUAUUAAAUCAUCUUUGUUCUUCAAUUUGUAUAUCCACUAUUAAAGAGAGUUUCAUUAUUGUAAUUUCAUUUCUCAUCAAAUUGUGAGUGUACAAGUGUGAGAAACGCUUGGGGUGAAGAGAUUGGAGAGAUAAUAUCUUGUUGUAAAGGUUCAUUGACACCUUGAAGUUAAUUGUAAACGUUUGAAGCCUUAGAAAGGCUCGGUUAGUAAAAUCCUCAAGCCUGGUGUGCUUGGAGGCGUGGACGUAGGCGGGGAUUGCCGAACCACGUAAAAAUCCUUGAGUUUGCUUUCUCUUCCCUUGCUCAUUUAUUAUUGUGCUUUCAUUGAAUUUAUUGUUUUCGAAUUUAUUAAGGUAUUAGAUUGGAUUGUUGUAUGGUUUGCUUAGCUUAAUUUUUAAAAUCCCAAUUCACCCCCCCUCUUGGGUUGCCUAGUUAGUAUUUCAUAUAAUAUAUAUAUAUAUAUAUAUAUAUAUAUAUAUAUAUAUAUAUAUAUAUAUAUAUAUAUAUAUUAAUUUAUUAAAAAACCGGGUCUGGUCCGGGUUCCGGGUUUUUGGUGUUGAACCCGGACCUGGGCCUGAAAAUGUUCGAGUUUGAGAAUUUCAAACCCAGGUCCGGUCCGGGUCUCGUCCGGGCGGGCUUUUUUGACACCUCUACCUCAAGAUAUUUUAAAUGUUAUGCGCUUAGUCUCUACAAUGAACAAACUUAUUCAAAGGCUUUGAGAUUGUGGUUGGAAAUUUUUAGUGCGAAUGUAGUUUUAUUUUGUGAAAAAAAAAUGAGAUAAAGAUGCUUGAUAUGACAGCUCACCAUUUGAAAGGCACAUGACAUUUUUCUCAAUAGAAUUAUUAUAUUACAAUUGGGUAUUAUUAUUAAUUUUAUUAUUUAAUGCUGUAAAUUUUCAGUUCGUAAAGUUGAAUAAUAGAUUCACUGGACAGAUAAUGGAACUCCUCACUCUUAAUUCAGCUUUAAGUCAAGUUGAGGCAUUUAAGUCAUUUAAAAUUGAAGAUAUUCGUAGUCUUGUUCAAAGAUUUUACCCUCAAGAAUUUCACAUAAAUUGAGCUACAAGCAUUGGAAAGACAAUCAGAAUGCUUUAAGAUUGUGUACCUCCUCUUCAAGUGUUACAAAAUAUUUCUUCCAUUUUUGAAUUAAGUCAAAGAUUAGUUGAGACUAAAAAGUCACAGAUUUACUUCUUGAUUGGCAAAUUGAUUCAUUUAAUAUUAACACUGUUAAGAAAAAUAUUCCAUGUGGACUAAGUAUUGAACUUGGGUUAUGUCUAUAAGACUUCAAUAAUCCUCAACUUUUGAACUACCUUUUAGGCUGAGUUAGGCCCAUAGGCUAUCAUAUGGUAUUAGAGCCAGACUCAUGCAUAAGUGAAUCCAUAUUAUCUUACCAUGUGACAAGGAACGAUCAAAAGAUCGACUUGCAUGUGACGGGGGUCUUAGGAAAAAUAUUCCACAUCGACUAAGUAUUAAACUUGGGUCAAGUAUAUAAUACUUUGACAACUCUCAAUCUUGACUAGAUUUUGGGUUGAAUUAGGCCCACAAGCUUUCAUAAAUACUUCCUGUUUCGACAACAAAAACGGAGAGAGCAUUUCUUUUAUGGAACUUAUUAAGAUAAUAGAUCGAAAAAAGAUGGAGAAUUAAUUUCUUUAAGAUUGCAUGAUUGUCUAUAUUGGAAGAGAAAUUGUUGAUAGUAUUGACCUAGAUUCGAUAAUAGAUGCAUUUUUUUUUUGAAGAAUUGCAUGACACAAGUUCAAUAGCACUUUUUUUUAUUUACAUUAUAUUCUCAUUAUUAUUAUUAUUAUUAUUCUUUUUUUUUUGGCAUACACCUUAAAUAAUUUCAUUUGCAUAGAAUAAAAUUUUCUAGGAAUAAGACUUAUUAUGUCCUUUAAUAGGUAUAUCUUUAAUUUAUUAUUAAUAAAUUCUCUAUACAAUAGAAAAGCAUUUAAUUAGAAAAAAAUCCAGCCCAUACCAGAAGAUACCACCAGCUUCACCAUUGGGAAUCGAAAUGGGAAAUCAAAAUGAUUAAUUGUGUUUAUUUACUAAAAACAUAAAUAGAUUUUGAAUGAUUAACAUAUUAGGGAAUGGAAAUUCCAUUCUGAUUUCCUUGGGGAAAGUGAGAAUGAAAAUGGUUAUUGGGAAUACAGAAUAAAUUGACAUUGUUAGCUUUAAAGAAAAUCAAAAUUUCUUUUUUCCCCAUUUAGAUAAUAAUAAUAAUAAUAAUAAUUGCAGAGUGUAUCCAUUAUUAUUAUUGUUGUUGUUGUUGUUAUUGUUGGUUAUCGUUAUUGUUGUUCUUGUUGUUAUCAUCGUCAUUAUUAGAAAAAAAUUUAGCCCAUACCAGAAGAUACCAUCGGCUUCACCAUUGGGAAUCGAAAUGGGAAAUCAAAAUGAUUAAUUGUGUUUAUUCACUAAAAACAUAAAUAGAUUUUGAAUGAUUAACAUAUUAGGGAAUGGAAAUUCCAUUCCGAUUUCCUUGGGGAAAGUGAGAAUGAAAAUGGUUAUUGGGAAUAGAGAAUAAAUUGACAUUGUUAGCUUUAAAGAAAAUUAAAAUUUCUUUUUUCCCCAUUUAGAUAAUAAUAAUAAUAAUUGCAGAGUGUAUCCAUUAUUAUUAUUGUUGUUGUUGUUGUUAUUGUUGUUCUUCUUGUUAUCAUCGUCAUUAUUAGUACCACCACUACUUCUUGUACCUAAAAAAGGAUUGAUUAAUUAAAAUUAUGAAAAAUGUAGUAGUGAAUUACAUUCUCAUUUUGGAAGUGCCUUGGUGGCUUUAAUAUAUUAAUUUGUUGUUUAAUUAGUUGGCCAUUCAAGCAUGUGUAUGAGCAUGAGUCCUUGCCUUAUUGAUUUGUUUUAGGUUUAAUAUGAUUCUACCGAUCAAAUGUGCUAUGAAAUGUACAAACUGUGAGUUUCAUUUUUGGAUUCGACAUCUGUAGUAAUUAAAGUAAUUAGAAUAGGUUGGAAUCAAAAUGAUUAGACUUAGAAUAAGUUGUUAAAAAAAGCUGUAUGAACUGAAAUAAAAUUAAUUGUAUUAUUGUUAAUGUGUUUUUUUUGUCUUACAAUCAGGAUAGAUUGUUUUAAGUUAUUAAAAUGUUCUUAAUUAAAAUUAUGUUUUUGUUCCAUAAUAAAAUGAUAUGUAAUGGUAAUUUAAAAUGAAAUAUAUGCACCAAAUACUUAGAGGUAAAUGAAAUUUAUGUCAUUCUGACAAUAUUUAAUAAAGUUUGUUAAUAUUGUUGCACCAAAUACUUAGAAAUAAAAAUAUUGGGAAUAAUGCUUUCCAUUGCCUAAGUUUUAGUUGUUGAUACUCCCAAUUCUAUGAUAAUUUACACAAUAUAUUAUAAAUUUUGAGACAUAAACGAAAAUUUUAAAUAGAAAUAGUCAAUCUUUUUUUUCUUUCAAAUGGAAUUAGGGAUGACAAAUUUUUCUAAACUCGACCCAGACUUGGACAAACUUGGUUUGUCUGGUCCAAGUUCAACCCAUAUUGGAUGCAUUAAUAAUGCGGAUCCAGAUUCAUUUUUAAAACCCAGACGUAUUUGAAUAUGGUUUUGGGUUCAGCCGAACCCAGAUUUCCGAAACCCGGACCCAGAUUACGGUGUUUUAUAAUUUAUUUAUUUAUUUAUUUUAUUAUUAAAUAUAAAUAUAAAAGCAAAAAAUUAGGGGAAAAAAAGCAAAGCAAACCCUAAGGCCUCACGCAACUGCUACCUCUAUCUUCCUCAUAAAGCCUCACACCAGCCACCACAUCUGUAACAUAUACACCUUAAUUUUUCCUAAUUAAGCGUAUUAUGUAUUUUUCAUUUCAGUAUUAAUUUUAAAGUCAUCAGAUUGGUUACAAAUUACUACGGGUAAACUUGACGCAGCUCGAUUUCUUAUCAUGAAUUAAUGGAUUUGAGUCGAGUUAAUAAAUGAAUCGUGUUUUGAAUAAAUUUAAAUUUGUCACGACAUAAAUCAAUACAAAUGGAACGCGAUAAAAGGGUCUUGUAGUCGGAUUUUAUUUCCAUCAUGGGUCUGGUAUUAACUUAAUUUGUAUUAAGCUUUAAAAAAAAAGAGAGAAAGGGAACCGUUUUUAUAAAUGGAAAGAGAGAUGAGUUGGUUUCCAAAAAAUAGAAAGAGAGAGACUCGUUUGACCCGACCCGACCCGACCCGCGAGCUUGAAUCGUUCGGAUCUCCGUUUUUCGGCCACCACUCCAGAUGAGCUUGCUACCAAAUCAAAGCUUGUGAACUGGCCAUCACAUCCCCACCGUGCACGUCACCGGAAACGCUCAGAUCACUGCCGUUUUUAGCUUGAAAAGCCACAUCCAACAACCCGUUUCAUCUCGCCGUGAUUUCAUCGGAGUUAGGCCGCGCCACCGCUUGGAUCUUGUUCCUUACCUCACCCUCAUCAUUUUCUGACCAACCCCGUCACCUGAAACGUCGGCCACUUGGAAGCUCGCGGCUUGGGAAGCUUGAUCCACCGCUGUUGCUGCGCGUGGGCAGUCACCGUUAGCACCAUUGGACUCACCAAGGUCAGAACUAUUAGACUUGAGCUUACUGAUUAGUAUUAAAAAUUGUUUAAUUAUGAAGCGAUAAUAAUGUUAUUUUGUGCUUAUAUUAUAAUUUAUAUUUUUGUUUAUGCAAUAUAUUAGGAAUUAUUAAUUAUGUUUUAAAUAUAUCUAAUUUUGUGUAUUUAUUAGGUUAAAUAUUAACUUCACGUAAUUCGAGACUCCAAACAGAUAAAUGGAGGUCAAAUUUGGAUUUCGGAGGUCCGAAAACCUUAAGAUCAGUCAAGAUCGGCUUAAAAUUGGGCUUGUGCAAAAAGAGUUGACUUUUUCUAUUGACUGAGCACUGAUUGGAUGAUGAAAUGAGCUUACAAUAGAUAUGAGUGCAUGGGAUAGCUGUCAAUUUUGACUAAAUCUCAACCGUUCAUGAUUCAAUGGUCAUGAUUGUGCCACGUGGAAAUGAUUGGUGAAGCAAGUUGUAGGAUCCGAAUCUUUGUAUUCGGGUCAACCCAUCCACCCAUUAACCCGCCAAAUCUCAACCAUUUUUUGCCCAAAUUGGACGAGUCAAACAAUGCCACGUGUGAUGUUGACUUUUGAAGUUUGACCAGCUGUUAGAUCUGGAUCUAAUGGUUGUGAGGAGCGCAUGCAUGAAGCUUAUGAUGGACCGUAAAACACUAGAUUAUGAUUUAUUUUUCUAUAAAUAGAGCCUCAUUUUUAUGUUUUCAAUCAUCUCUCUACAUCUCUCUUCUUCUCAAAUUCUCUCCAUCUCCCUGUAAUCUUGAUUUUUAGGUGUGUUUUUAAUAUUUUGUAUAAUUAUUUUUAUAAAUAAAUUUAGUUUUAUUUUCAAUUUUAGUUGUUUUUAUUACUUUUAAUUAUAAGUAAUUUAAUUUUAAUAUUUCUUUUUAUUUCAAUUAUGCUUAACUAAAUUAUAUUAGUUAGGGUAAGGUGAAACUCUUAGGAAAUAAAUAUGAUUUAAUCAAAUUCUAUUUUUAAUUUUAUAAAUUAAAUUAUUUUCUAUUUAAUUUUAUACAUAUUUUAUAUUUUGAAAUUUUGAUUUAUUGUAGACAAACAAAGGGGUUUUGGCACAAUAAAUUCUUAAUAUCUUAAUAUAAGGUAUGGUAAAAUGAUAUUUUGACUUAUUGUAGACAAAUUAAAUUUUGGCACAAUAAAUACUUAAUCCAUCAUAAAAUUAAAGGGAAAAUAAUAAUAAUUUAUAUAAUUAAUAUUUUGGGCAAUAAAUCUAAAAAAAUGCCAAAAAGAAUUUAUUAAGUUUUAUUUACUACUAAGAGUUGAUCCACAACCCUAACUUGUUCAAUUUCAUAGUUUUAUUUAAAUUAAGUUGUUUAUAUUCAAGUUUUAAUUCCAAUUUUUAGAUGAAAUAAAAUAAACAAAUUAAAUCUCUUCUCUGUGGAUUGACCUCGGACUCACCGAGCUAUAAUAUAACAAGACACUCUUAUACUUGGGAGUUAAAAAUUACUUUUAAGUUGUGCCACUUACUGUCGCCGUUGAUUGAAUUCUGGUCAUCGUUGACCGACAGUGGCAAUUCGGAGGAUCCACGAACGAGAAUCAACUCGCAGACGUUGACGAUACCGAGUUCAAACAUCGUUACUGUGAGUGGAAUAUAUAAAACUUAUUUUCAUAAUAUGUUCUGAUUUUACAAUACGGUACAACAUAUUUUGAUAAAUGAGUAUUUAAUGCUUUGAUUUAAUAAUUUUCUUGAAAAUGGAUAUUUAUUUACAUGUUGAUAUUUAUGAUUUUGAAAAAUGAGUUUGAUUAAUGAUUUUAUUAUCGCUUUUGAGUAAAUGCAUGAUAAUAGAAUUGAGUGGAUUUGAAAUAUGUUAAAUAAAAAGGAAAUGAGAUUUCAGAUAUGAUUAUAUGUUUAUGUACAUGUGUAUAAAAGGUUGUUUGCAAAAUCAUUGGACAUUACCCUUCCCCUCCAAAUACAGUGAUACAGAUGAGAUGAGAGGCCUUUAGGGCCUGUUUGAACACACAUAGAGGCUUUGGGCCGUGUGUUUGGGCGCUUUUGCCUUUUGGGGGCAUAUGCAUAUGGUAUGAUGAUUAUAGAGAUGCAGAUAGGGAUGGCAAAAUUCAGAUCCGGAUUAAACUUUUGGCAUCCGGAUCCGAAAAAAAUAUGUGGAUCCGGAUAUCCGAUUUAUGAAGAUUAUAGAGUUAAUUAUGCUUAUACAUUUAAAUAAAUAAUUUAAUUUAUAUAUUUUUCAAUUGAAAUUUAAUUAAAUAAAUAAUUUAAUGAUAAAAAAUACUAAUCCGGAUAUCUGGUUUUCAUGAUGCACUUGCAUCUGGAUCCAGAUUCGGAUUCGCACGGAUUGUGAUUUUUAAGAUCCGGAUCCGCAUUUUUUAACAUGCGGAUCCGGAUUUUAUUGCCAACCCUAGAUACAGAUAUUGAGAUACAGAUGAGAUAUUAUGAUACAGACGAGAUAUGAUGAUACAUAUGAGAUAUGCUUGGGCGACUUGUCCUUUGGGGAUCAGAUUAUGCAUGCACAUAUAUGAUGAGAUAUGAGAUAGUACUUCCUCGUCUAUCCGUGUAGCUCCGGGGCAUGAUCGUUCCCUGAUUGCUCGUCCAUCAUGGUUCGAAUAUGAUGAGUUUAUUUCUCUGGAUACUUGUUUGGUGAUAGCUUUUGGUAUUCAGUAUUUGAUUUUAUGAAUGUUAUGAUUUCAUUAAUUUUAUGCAGAUUUAUGUAAUAUUGUUAUUUCAGUGCAUGAUUUGAAUUAAAUAAGUUUAUUUAAGUUCUUAUGAUAUUUUGAUGAAAUUGAUUUGGGAAAGAUUAAAUAAUUUUAAAUAACUUUAUUUUUCAAAAACUACUAUUUACUCACUGAGCUCACUAAGUUUUUUACUCACUCUGUUUUUAUUAUAUUCCCCCCCCCCCCCAAAUUAGAGAUUUGUAGAUACAUCAAUCAACCUAACAACGAUAGUUAGAUUUGAAAUUAUGGUCACGUGAUGAUGUUAGGAAUCAUAGAUGUUUUGCUGGGACAUUUUAAAUUGUAUAAUUGAUUACUUAUUUGUGAUUAAGGAUAAAUUAUUGUAUUCUUGACAUUAUAUGUUUGAAGGAUACUGGUAUUUGAUUGAGGAAGUUGGUUGUGGAGGUUGAUUGAACAGUGUAUCAUUUUUGGGAGUGUUAAUUUUAUAAAUUGCAGGUUUGGGGAUGUCAUAAUUAUAUAGGAGACUCUGUCGAAUUUUUUUUUUUGGUAGAAUUCUUUGAUAUUAGAAUUAUUAUUAAUUCGGUUAGGCAAGAUAUAUAGACUCGUCUAGGGAUUCGGGGCGAGUCGUUUCAACCUCUCUAUCUCCCUCAUCCUCAAAAUCAAUUCAAUAUUUCAUGAUUUCAUUUUUAUCAAUACAUCAUCAAUUUAGAUCAUCGUCACUUCAUCAUCCAUCAUCAUCAAGAGCACCAACCAAGUUGUGCCGCCGUCAAAGUCGAUCUCAUCUUUGGCUAAAGAGCAAGCUUUGCUGCUAGUUGCUAACCCCUUCUUUUCUCACUAGAAUUAACCACCCAUUGUCGCCUUGGCUGCCACUUGAUCAAUCAAAGUAAUUUUUUUUCUUUUUUCAGUAUUUUUUUACUUUUGUUUAAUUCUAGUAAUUAAAUUUUUUGUUGUUGUGAAUGGCCAAAUACUACAUUUUAACACAUAAUUGUAAACUUUAUUAUUGAAGCAAGUAAAUUUAGUUCAAAUAUAUGAAUUUGUUAUACUUUUUACUUUUUUUGCAAAUUCAAAAGAGCCAAAAGUGUGCUGCAUGAAGACCUCAUCGCUCCUGCCUUCAACCAAUUAUCCGUGUUCAAAACUUGCAAUUCGGAUAUCUAGAUUUUUCUAGGUUGAAGAUAAAUUGUUAUUCCGGUUCGGAACUAGGAAGGCCAAACUUAGACUCAGACCAGAUUUUGUCAUCCCUAAAUGGAAUAAUAGACAUCUCUUUUUCAAAUAUAUAAUAACAAACUUCAAUUACGUAUACCUAUAUUUGGUUGGAAAAAAUGAAAGAAAAGGAGAGGAAAGGACAGGGAAGAGGAGAGAAAAAAUCAGAAAAAAAAUUGUCAAUCUUAAUUUUAUUAUUAGAUUUGAUAUAUAAUUUAUCUUUUUUUCACCUUAUUUUUUUCCACUCCUCUUCUUUUCUUUCAUAUCUUCAAACAAAAAAUGCCGACUUCUACUUUACUGUCAGUAACUGAUGCAGCGGAAGUUUAAUGUUCAAAAUAUUCCGUUGAUUCUAGAGAAUACCGGAAUAAAAGAACAACUAAAUUCACGUUGAUUCAAAAGAAUACCGCGAACUUAGGGGUUAAGACUCGUUGAUUCAGAAUACCGAGAAUUAACUAUUCAAAUACUCACAAAGAGAUUUGAAAAUUGAAAUAUUAUUGAACUCAAAAUUCUCUGCUUGUAAAAGUUACAAAAGACACUUAUUUAUACUAAGUAAGACUUAUCCUAAUAUGAUUAGAAAACCUAUUUUAAUAAGACUUAUGCCUAAAUUAGGAAUAUUACCCAAAUAAGCAAUACCUAAACAAUAAGACUCUAAAUAGGAAACCAAAUUAAAUUAGAAUACAAAUUAAUUAAAAUAUUCCUAAAUAUUAUACAUUUAAAUAUAAUUAGGAUUUCUUCAAUUUCUUGCUCUGCAUCAUUCCCGCUAGGUUGGAGAAAAUUCGUCCUCGAAUUUUGUAUAUUGUAAUCUUCAAGAACAUCUUCAUGUGCAUAAGGAUUAAUUUUUAAAACAGAGCUUUGGCAUAGACGACGAACUUUAAAUUUUCCAACUUUUGUAAUAAUGUCCAUCCAAUCACUCCAAUGGCGUAAAAUAAAUUCUUCUAUCAACAACUUCUCCAAUAAUGUCUUCUCGUAUUGUUCGUGUCGAACUUCAACAUAGUUAAGGAAAAACGAUUUCUUCUUAUAAUCCACUAACUGUUGAAAAAUAUCACAACUCUUUUUGUCUUCUUUCGGCAAAUCAAGAGAACAAUAAGAGAUUGUAUCAAUAACUAUCUCUCUCUCCUCCACAAGAUCAAAAGAUGGAUAAACAAUUACCUCUCCUUGUCCCACAAUAUCAAGAUACUCAUCAAAUUUAGACGAUUGAUCCAAAUCAAUAUUGUCUUUGUGUUGAGGAUUUGUUGUAGACAUGAAUGACCAAUUAAUAUUCUCCUCGGAAGGAAUAAUAUUGUCGAAAGGAACAAAGUUACAAUUUUCCUCAUUAUCUUCAUAACAAACAUCAUCGUGAACAACUUCAUCAAAUCCAUAUGCAUGCUUUAUGUGUAAAGAUUUUCUAUCUCGAAUUUUCUCUAAAUCUUGAGAAAUUGAACGCAAAAUCCUCAACAUCUUAACUAAAACAUCUCUCAAGAUGAAAUCUUCACGUCGAUAUUGUGAUUUCAUGAUAUAAUUUUUUUCUUUUUUUUUCCUAUGCUUUUUUUGGUGUUGUUUGGGUUUUUUUUUUUAAACUAAACGGAAAAAAAAAAGGAAAAAAGGAAAGGUUUGGUGGUAGAUGGAGUUAGAUUGGUGAGACCAGGUUUUGGCUCUGAUACCAAGCUGAUGCAGCGGAAGUUUAAUGUUCAAAAUAUUCUGUUGAUUCUAGAGAAUACCGGAAUAAAAGAACAACUAAAUUCAGGUUGAUUCAAAAGAAUACCGCGAACUUAGGGGUUAAGACUCGUUGAUUCAGAAUACCGAGAAUUAACUAUUCAAAUACUCACAAAGAGAUUUGAAAAUUGAAAUAUUAUUGAACUCAAAAUUCUCUGCUUGUAAAAGUUACAAAAGACACUUAUUUAUACUAAGUAAGACUUAUCCUAAUAUGAUUAGAAAACCUAUUUUAAUAAGACUUAUGCCUAAAUUAGGAAUAUUACCCAAAUAAGCAAUACCUAAACAAUAAGACUCUAAAUAGGAAACCAAAUUAAAUUAGAAUACAAAUUAAUUAAAAUAUUCCUAAAUAUUAUACAUUUAAAUAUAAUUAGGAUUUCUUCAAUUUCUUGCUCUGCAUCAGUAACCACACCCACGAUCAAAUUAAACUUCAAAUUAGGCGAGCAAUGGUAGGUAGUUUUGCACGCUUUCUCAAAUGUCAUGUGUACUGUGGAGGAGUAAGAAACAUAUGCAUAUUCGCCACAGAUAGCGGCAGAGUCUUCUGACUAGUGAUCAAAUAACUUUUUUUGUGAGCAACAUUAAUAAACCUACCAAGAAAUCAAGCAAGCACGUACUGUGGGGUCAAAAUAAAUGAAGUUUAAUCCAUAUUUUUUUAGUUAAGUACUCGCUUAAUUUUUAUAUUUCAAAAAAUGUCCUAAGACAUCCAUACUAUUAAAUAUGUGACACUCUUAUCCUUUCUCUAAUAGUUUUACAAAAAUAUUAUUGAUAACAAUAAUAAAAAUGUUAAAUAAAAAUUAACACUAAAAUUAAAAAUAAAAAUUAAAUUAAUUUUUAAUUAUUAUUUUACUUUUAAGAUUAAUUUGGUAAUAUUAUAAGUAUGCCCUUGGUUAAUAUUAUAGUAUUAACCUUACUAUUAUUAGUAUGUGUUUACUUUGUCUUGUAAUUGGCAAAGAUUUUUUCAAGUUAUUAAAAUGCCCUUAAUUAAAAUUAUGUCUUCAUUCCCUAAUAAAAUGAUAAGUAACAGUAAUUUUAGAAUGAAAUAUAGGGAAAAAGACAAACACACCCCCAAUGUUUAGGCAAAGGGACAAAAAUCCCCUAAUAUUUUAAAAAAGACAUUUACACCCCAAUUUAUUAUAAUUUUACCAUUAUACCCUUCUAGCAUAUAAAAAAAUUAUUAGAUUAUCCAAUUUGUCUAUAUAUUGUUAAUAAAAUUAUAAAUAGACAAAUUGGAUAUUAUAAAAAAAAUUAUAAAUAUACCCUCAUUGUCCAAUUCCUCUAUUUAAAUUUUUAUCAAUAACCAAUUUUCAAAAAAGACAUCUAUAGACCUAAAAAAAUUGUAAAUAAAUUAUAAUUUUAAAAAUAAAAUUAGUUAUUAAUAACCAAUUUUAUUUAAACUUUAAACUUGUAUAUUUAACAAUUCUCCAUAUGUCAAUCAUUUAAACUUGUACAUUGAUAACCAAUUUUCUAUGUUAUUUAUUAUGGUAUUAAUAACCAACUUUAUUUUUAAAAUUAUAAUUUAUUUACAUUUUUUUAAGUGUGUAGAUGUCUUUUUUGAAAAUUGGUUAUUAAUAAAAAUUUAAAUAGAGGAAUGAGGUAAUGAGAAUAUAUUUAUAAUUUUAUUAAUAAUAUAUAGACAAAUUGGAUAAUCUAAUAAUUUUUAUUUUAUAUGCUAGAAGGGUAUAAUGGUAAAAUUAUAAUAAAUUGGGGGUGUAAAUGUCUUUUUUGAAAUAUUAGGGGGUUUUUGUCACUUUACCUAAACGUUGGGGGUGUGUUUGUCAUUUUCCCUGAAAUAUAUGCAUUUUUAUUAUAAUAGUAACCUUAAUAUUAUUAUUAUUUUUAUAAAUUAGUUGUUAUAAAUAUAACCAACCAUACGAAUUACAUAUAAAAGAAAGCACAUUAAUAAUACACGAAUUUAUAAUUUAUUUCUUUAUUAAUUUAUUAUUAAAUAUAAAUAUAAAAGCAAAAAGUUGGAGCCAAAAAAGGCAAAGCAAACCCUAACGCCUCACACAGCCGCCACCUCUAUUUCCUUGUAAAGCCUCACACCAGCCGCCACCUCUCUAUCUCCCUCAUCCUCAAAAUCAAUUCAAUAUUUCAUGAUUUCAUUUUUAUCAAUACAUCAUCAAUUUAGAUCCUCGUCACUUCAUCGUCCAUCAUCAUCAAGAGCACCAACCAAGCUGUGCCGCCAUGAAAUUUGAUCUCAUCUUUCGCCAAAAAGCAAGCUUUGCUGCUAGCUGCUAAGCCCUUCUCGCCUCUCAUUUCUCACUAGAAUUAACCACCCAUUGUUGCCUUGGCUGCCAAUUGAUCAAUCAAAAUAAUUUUUUUCUUUUUUUGUUUUUUGGUUUUUUUACUUUUAUUUGAUUCCAGUAAUUAAAUUUUUUGUUGUUGCGAAUAGCCAAAUGAACAUUUUAACACAUAAUAUUGAUAUACAGUAAAAACUCUAUAUAGUCAUAUUGUUGGGACCGUAGAAAUUUAUUCUUAUAAAGAGGUUAUAACUCAAUAAAGGUAUAAUACAAAAAUUAUUGUCUUUACUUAAUUAUCUGGAAUGCAAGUGAUAUAGAGGUAAAUUAUGUCAUGUAUUAAUAAAUUAAUAAAUGAGUCAAAUUCAAUAUAUAAACAUUAAUAAAUUAAUUAGUAAGUGAGUCAAAUUCAAUGGAUAGAUAUUAAUAAAAAAGAUAUAUAGUUUAAAAAAACUAAUACAAAAAGUUUCAUAUUAGGAAGCUACAAAUAUACUUAAGAAUGUAGAAAUAUUUUGGCUUCAACAAUAAGAUGCCUAUGCUGACCAAUUAAUACAUACCCGCAAGUUGAAAGAUGUGGCGGCAACUUUAAAAAAAAAAAUUUGUUCCAUCUUAAUUAUUUAAUGUAACAUGACAUAUUUUUUUGAAAUAUUAUUACUAUAUGAAGGUAAGUUUAUUAACAAGGGACCUACAAAAAAAUAUAACUUAUUACAAUGUGGAGUUUAUUUCUAAUUAUAACCGGUUCCAAGUUGAGACCAUUAUUACUAUGAAGAGGUUAUUCUUAUAUGAAGUAUUCAUAUUUGGAGGUUAUACUAUAACUGUAAACCUUAUUAUUGAAGCAAGUAAAUUUAGUUGAGAUCCAUGAAUUUGUUCUACUUUUUACUGUUUCUGCAAAUUCGAAAGAGUCAAAAGUGUGUUGCAUGAGACCUCAUCGCUCAGGCCUUCAACCAACUAUCUAGGUUCAAAACCUCCAAUCUGGAUAUUCUGAUUUUUCUAGGUUGAACCUGAACCAGACCGGACCUGGGAUUUGAAAAUUUGGGUUUUUAUUCGGGUCUAGUGAAAUAAAUUGUCAUUCGGGUUUGGAACCAGGAAGGCCAAACCUAGACCCGGAUCAGAUUUUGCCAUCCCUAAAUGGAAUAAUAGACAUCUCUUACACAACUAUGUAAUAAAAAACUUCAAUUACACAUUGGAAAAAAAUGAAAGAAAAGUAGAAGAAAAGAUAGGGAAGACGAGAGAAAAAAUCAGAAAACAAAUUAUCAAUCUUAAGUUUAUUGUUAGAUUUGAUAUAAAAUUUAUCUUUUUUUCACCUUAUUUUUUUCCUCUCUCCACCUUUCCUCGCCUCUUCUUUUCUUUCAUAUCUUCAAACAAAAAAUGUCAACGUCUACAUUACUGUCAGUGACCACACCCUCGAUCAAAUUAAAUUUCAAAUUAGGCGAGCAAUGGUAGCUAGUUUUUGCACGCUUUCUCAAAUGUCGUGCUCUGUAGAGGAAUUAGAAACAUAUGCAUAUUCGCCACCGAUAGUGGCAGGGUCUUUUGACUAGUGAUCAAAUAACUUCUUUUGUGAACAAAAUUGAUAAACCUACCAAGAAAUCAAGCAAGCACGUACUGUGGGGUCAAAACAAAUUAAUACUCAUUUAAUCCUUAUUUUUUAAGUUAAGUAGUCGUUUAAUUCUUAUAUUUUAAAAAAUAUCUUAAGACACCGAUACUAUUAAAUAUUUGACACUCUUAUUCUUUUUAUAAUAAUUUUAGAAAAAUAUUAUUGGUAACAAUAAUAAAAAAUGUUAAUUUAUCAAAUUAACACUAAAAUUAAAAUAAAAAUUAAAGUGAUUUUUAAUUAUUAUUUUACUUUUAGGAUUAAUUUGGUAAUAUUAUAAGUAUGUCCUUGGUUAAUAUUAUAAUGUUAGCCUUACUAUUAUUAAUAUGUGUUUACUUUGUCUUGUAAUCGUGAUAGGCUUUUUCAAGUUACUAAAAUACCCUCAGUUAAAUUAUGUCUUCAUUCCCUAAUAAAAUGAUAAGUAGCAGUAAUUUUAGAAUGAAAUAGAUGCACUUUUAUUAUAAUGUUAACCUUAUUAUUAUUAUUUUUUAUAUGAAUUAGUUGUUAUAAAUAUAACCAACCAUACAAAUAACAUAUAAAAUAAAGUCCAUUAAUAAUACACGAAUGAGAUACAUAUAACAUGUAAAAUUAUAUAAUUGGAUAGUUGCAUGACCACGUCGAUGAUAAAAUCUAAUCAAGACGUGUUCCACUUUCUAACCCGUGUUGUAUACUUCGGGUAAUUAAGUGUCUAAAUAUGCACACCGCAACUGUAGAUAGGAAAAAAUUGCAGUUGUAGGGCACAGCCAAAGGAUAGUGACAUACAUCAGGAAAUUAAAUUAGCCUCAGACUUUUCAAAUAACCCGAAAGACAAGCUGUCGGAUUAAUUUAUUUUGAAAUGUUCAAGUUUUUAUUUGUUAUCAAUGUGGAAUUUUUUGGUUUUUUUUGCCUUCCAAUAUGGUUCAUAGACAUGGUCAUCAUUUUCCUCUAUAAAACGGCCGCUACGAAAUGUUGUUGGUAUAUCACACUUUUGCAUUUUCAUUUUUCUCCACGCAUGGCUAAAUUCUUUAACUCUCCCAAUACCCCUUCAAUGGCUUCCGUGAUCAUCUUACUUCUGGGGAUGCUAAUCGCUACCCUGGACACAACAAGUAUGUAUCUUUCUCGAGAAAACGAUCAAAAUCUCCAUGUUCUUCAUCAAAAGUUAAUUAUUUCCUCCAUGCUGUAAAAUUCAUCAGAACCAUCCUUGACCGAAUGAUUUUUUUAAGUUGUUUUUUUUUUUACUAACUACUCCAGUUCGAAACCUAAAAGAAAUAUAUUAGUUUGACUUCUGUCCACGCCUUACAUUUAAAAAAGAAGAAAGAGAGGCAUCAAAAUCAAUUUUGAGUUUUAGUGUUUUACCACGUCAUGAGUAGUUAGUAAAAUAAACAAAACAAGCUAAAAAUUAAUAGAAAUUUUUAAAAGACAGAUUUUGAACAUGAGGUGCUAAAUGAUUAAUUUACUGAAAUCAACACCGUCCUUUGAUCAUUUUCGCUUUAUAUAUAUGAAUUAAUAUUAUUCAUUACUAUAUGUUUUUAAUUUUUUUUAAUAAAAGUUUUUAAUUUGUUGAUUCUAUAUGUAUAUUACAUAUAUAUUGCAGGUGCUCAAAUAGGUGUUUGUUAUGGAAUGCUUGGUGACAACUUGCCAUCAAAACCAGAUGUCAUAGCUCUCUAUAACCAAAAUAACAUCAGAAGAAUGAGACUCUAUGAUCCAAACAAAGAAGCUCUCGAAGCUCUCCGUGGCUCCAACAUUGAAGUCAUGCUGGGCGUUCCCAACGAUUUUGACCUCCUCCGAAGAAUUGCUUCCAAUCAAGCCGAAGCAAAUACCUGGGUCCAAGACAACGUCCAAAAUUUUGUUAACAAUGUCAAGUUCAAAUAUAUUGCUGUAGGAAAUGAAGCAAAACCAGGAGACGACUUUGCGCAGUAUCUUGUACCCGCCAUGAGAAACAUACAAAACGCCAUUAACGGAGCUAACCUUGGAAGCCAAAUCAAAGUUUCCACAGCCAUUGCAUUCGGAGCUCUUGAUAAAUCCUCUCCGCCGUCAGCUGGCUCCUUUAAUCAAGAUUACAGACCAAUUCUCGAUCCCCUCAUUACCUUCCUUAACGAAAACAAUUCCCCGUUGCUUGUUAACUUGUACCCUUACUUUGCCAUCGUUGGUGACCGUCAAAUAUCUCUUGAUUAUGCACUAUUUAGGUCCCAACAACCGGUUGUUUCGGACCCUCCGUUGAGUUACCAGAAUCUUUUUGAUGCCCAGUUGGAUGCUACUUACGCUGCGUUGGAGAAAGCCGGUGGGGGCUCGUUGGAUAUUGUGAUAUCGGAGAGUGGGUGGCCGACGGCAGGUGGUGACGGAGCGUUAACGAAUGUCGAUAAUGCAAGGACUUAUAAUAAUAACUUGAUACAGCAUGUGAAGCAAGGAUCACCAAAGAAGCCAAGGCCUAUUGAGACUUACAUUUUUGCUAUGUUUGAUGAGAAGGAUAAAAAGGGAGAUGAGAUUGAGAGGCAUUGGGGACUUUUUUCUCCAGAUAAGCAGACUAAAUACCAAGUUAAUUUUAAUUAAUUAACCAAAUCAGAGUAGCUGCAUGCGGCAGCAGAUUUGAAGUUAAAUUUGUAAUGGAAUAAAUUAUUGCACAAUAUGUAUUAGUAAUCAAGAGUUUGCAUCAUCACCUUGCAUCGGUGCACGAGGCCAAAUUUCAUUAUCAAUAAUGUCAUGGUUACGGUAUUUAAUUAUAUAUCACUGCCUCUUUCAAUUUUUGAAUAGCUUAAUUAACAUGCAAUGUAAUUUUUCCUUGGCCAUUGUGCAAUGUAAAAACGCCCCCACAAUACCAAAUUAAUUUCAACUAGUAAGAGCACAACAGUGAAUUAAGCAAAAUUAAAGGGCACUUCCUUUUUAAAUAUUAUAUGUAUGAAUCAAAACCAUGCACAUAUUUGAAUCUCAAACAUCCUGUAGUAGUCCAAGUCUCCAAAAGAUCGAUAUUAUUUAGCUAGGAAGAAAAAAAGAACAGAGCAAUCCCACUUUGUUUAAUAUAUAAAUAAAUAAAGUUAAUUAAAAAGGACGGCAAAAAAAUUUUUCCCUGGGUAUUGAAAGCACAGAGACACGUGGCAGUAUCCGGAGCCCUUCAAAACGUCAAAGUCAAUGAAGUAAACGGGCAACUACCGGGCAACUACAAAUGAACCUACCGGGUAGUAAACGAAGUCCAGGCACAAAUGAACCUACCGGGCAACUACAAAGUGAGCUCGUUUAACCAUCCAAUAACCAUGCGGUCUAUCUUAAAAGUCAACGAGCUUAAAUCAUAACAUUGUACGUUGUACUACACUGAAUUGAGAUCUGUUCUUUAAUCUAUUUUAAAGGCCAUGUCAAAUUUAAACCCGAUCACAGGUAACAUCCAACCCAAAUGGACUUAGCAGUUAGCACGUUGGUUUGGGAUCGGCCUGAUGUCCCAUUGAGUGCUUUUAACACACCUCUAUAGUACUUAUAACACCCAAUUCCAAAUUUUAAACCCAAAAUUAAAACCAACCAUCAUGCUAUUUAAAAAAAAAAAAAAUCAACUAUCGUGAUAUAAAACUUCACCCUAAAAAAAUAUAUUUCUUUUAACUUUUUUUAAAAUAAUUGAUAUAUAAAAAUCCUAAAAUUUUAACUAAUUUUCUCUUUGUUACCUAAUUUUUUAUUUCUGUAACUCUAAAUUAUCAUAAGUUUAUUACUACAAUUAUUUUUCAAUUAAAAUUUAAAAUAUAAGUAUAAAUUAUAAAAUAGAGAUGGGUAUAAGAAAAUUUGUUAGAAGAAUAAUUUAUUUAAAUUUUUAAUUAAAUUUCCUUUCAAGACCAAAACGGGUGUGAAGGGGCCUUCUAGAUCUAGAGUGUGAAAAAUAUUCUCUCGCCAACAAAAUUUGAUUUAUGAUUUUCUUGACAUGAUAUAAGAUAUAUAUAAGAGUUUGCGGUUCCAUAUGUAUGAUGUAUCACCUUACAUGUAAGGGAUCAUGUUAGAUCAUAGACAUUCAUGACUACAUGGUCUCUAAUGUUUCUCACACUAUAUAAUAUAAGGGUAGAGUUAUUUUCACUCUAAAAAUUAGUAUGAAUACUCUAUUAUUUGAAACACUCAUAUAAUUUUUUAAAAAUAAUUUUUUUCUUUUUAUGUCUGUCAAACCUUUUAAAUUAAUUAUCUUUUAUUUACUAUAUACACCUAUAAAAAUAUUCAAUUCACCAAAAAAAAAUAAUAAUAACAAGAAGAAGACAUCUUUAAUUCUUUUGGUAGAAAAUAUUUCAUGUACUUAUUCAAAUCCAUCAAAUUAAAAAAGAACAAAAAAAAAGCUCAUUUUCUUGAACAAACAAAGAGGAAAUAAUUUAAAUUCCAAAUUUAUUAUUUAUCUAACCCUGACACAGCUUCAAUUUUAAAAAUUAAUUAGUCGUGCAAUCAAGCUGCAAGUUAGGUGAAGAAGAAGCUAUAUGUGAAAGUGCCAUAAAAAGAUUAUUUAAAUAGAAGAAGCAUAGAUGCAUGAGAUGAAACUAAUUUUAGGAAGAAAUCAUUAACGUUAACGAAUCAUCACCAGAUUUUGCCAACGUAACAGCAGAUUGGUAGAUGUCAUGAAAGCUGAAAAUUGAUUGGAGUAAUUAAUAAAAGUUUAUUUACUCAAUCAAAAGGGUACGUAGUAGCUUCUUCGCAAAUAUUUAUAAAAGUUUAGGAUUUAAGGUAGAAGACCGUUUAUAUGUUAAAAGAUUGAAUUUACUAAUUAUAUGAGUAUCUAAAGUGAUUACAUUUUAUUUACGUAAAGAAAAUUAAUAAAUUAUGAGUAUUUUUUUUAUCAAAUUAUUUUAUUAAAAUAAGAGUGCUCAAAAUAAAUUUUAGAGUGUAAAAUGUCCCAUUCAUAGUACAAUUACGGGCAAUAAUACCUAAAAAAAAAUUGGAACAUUAGUGCAUAUUAUAGUUUUUUUUCUUUUUUCUAGAACCUCAAAAGUGAGAGGAAAUAAAAUUAAAGAGAAAAAAAUGAUAUUACAAUCAGGGUGGGACAUCAAAACCUUACCCAAAAAAAAGAAAAAAAAAAGUGAUCACAGAAAACAAACUAACACAUAACUGUUAAAACCUAUUCUUAAAAUAACGCAUCCUAUCAUUAGUACGUAUUAUAGGUUACAAAGAUUGUCAAUUUUUCCCAUACUGUAAUCAAUAUAUACCAUUUAUUCCCCUGUUGUUUUAUAAUAAUUAAUAACCACUUGACAGCAUAAAUUUACAAUAUUAUCCUUAUUUUCAAAUACACUCUUGUUCAUAUUUAUUACAGAUUAAAUAAAUCACAUGAAUGAAAAUUAAAAUAAAAAAUUAAGUAUUAAAAAUAAGAAAUAUAUGUUUUAAUGUAAAAAAAUUAAUAAUAAAAUAUUUUUCUUGUAUUUUUUAAUUUUAUAAACAUUUUCUUAUAAUAAAUAUAUAAGAAACUUAUUAUAAAAUGAUAAAAAAAUUAUUACAAGAAAACUUGAAUGAUAAAUAAACAUUAUUAAAAAUAAAAUAUUUUUUGUACUUUUUAUAUUUAAUUUUAAAAUAUUAUAAAAACUUAUUAGAAGAAAAUGUUUACAAAAUAAAAAAGUACAAGAAAACAUUUUAUUAUUAACUUUUUUCACAUCAAAACAUAAAUUUGUUGUUUUUAAUACUUAUUUUUUUAAUUCAAUUUCUAUUCAUAUGAUUUAUUUAAUUUAUAAUAAAUAUGAAUAAAAAAGUAUUUGAAAAUAGGGGUAAUAUUAUAAACUAUUGUGGGCAGGAGGGUUAUUGGCUAUUAUAAAAAUAAUAAGAGGGUAAAUAGUAUAUAUUAAUUAUAGUAGGUGGGAAAUUGGCAAUCUCCCUUAUAAGUGAUUGUCUCAUGAAAGAUAAUAAUUUUCUCUUAGCACAAAAUAACUAGUUAUAAUUUAUGAUCUCUCUCUCUCUAUAUAUAUAUAUGUGUGUGUGUGUGUGUGUACAGAAAUGGAGCCAGCAUGGGACCAGCUAGGGCUGGCUUUUAAUUUUUUUUAUGAUUAUAUUAAAAAAUUAUAUUUUAUUUGUUAUUUAUGAAAAAUGCCUCAGCUAAAUUUUAAAAUAUUUCAUACUGUCCCUAGUUUAAAUUUCUAAUUCUAAAUAAUUUAAUUAGUUAUUAACAUUUCAUAAAACUCGAUUAAAGACAUGAGAACAAAUGUUAAAAUAAAAGACAAUCAUAACAAAAUGUUAGUAUAAUGGUUAAUGGACCAGACUGUAAUCUUUUUGUUUUCUAUUCAAGCAAAAUCAAUUAUUUGGUCUUUCAACAUUGAUCCAUAAGUUAUAAGUCUACCUAAUUCUGAUUUUUAAUUUUUUGAUUAAUCUUUUGUCUAGUUUUAAAUUCUAUAAUUUUAUCAUGCAUUCAUGUUUGCUCUGUGUGUUGCAAUAUAUGAAUAUUUUUGUUAUUAUUAAAAGAUUUUAAGAGCAAAUUCAACAAUAACCUAGUCUUGUCUAUUGAAAAAUACAUUUUUACUUAUAUUGAUAAUGAAACUAUCAUACAUUAUUUUCAACUCAUAAAAUCCUAUUGAGGAGUUUUCAAUGAGAACAAUUGUAAUAAGUAAAUUUAUUAUUAAUGAAUAUUAUAGUUGUAAUGUUAUAUAUUGUUAUCUAAAUUUUUAGAAAUGUAUUAUACUUUAAAUAGGGUUUCAAUUAGAUGCAUGCAGACGCACUCUAUAAGGAGCACGAUUGUGCAUGCGGCAAGCUCCCAUUUGGAGUUUGUGGGGCCCACAACACAGUUUUCCAAAUGAGGACUUAACACACGCGCAAUCGUGCAUUCGAGUCAUGUUUGAUUUUAAAUGUGCCCCAGCUGGAUCAAAAUUCUGGCUAUGUCCUUGUCUAUGUAUGUAUGUAUGUGGAACAAUAUAUUCCUAUUAUUUCAAGGUAAUUGCUAGAAAUGCUCUAACUUAGAGUAUUACUAAUUAGAUCCAAUGACAGUAAAAGGUGCUCUAAGUUGGAGUUUCUCCAAUAUAGUUAACAUUUAAUUGUAUUUAUCUCCAUAUAUAGUCUUUAGAUAUACAUUUACUUAUAAACUAUAGUGGUUAAUCAGUCUUCCACCAGUCUACAAUUAAACAUCAACCGUCCAUCCAUGAUCCACUUACCCCGUUAUCCCGAGGCGGAGGCCUACUUAUAUUUAUAUGUAUUUUUAUAUUAUAAGUUAUUGCCAAUGACAUAUUAUAUAGUUUCACGUCAGCUGUUAGUGUCUAUAUAUUGUGUUAUAUAAAUAUAUCAUACCCGAAGCAACCACAAUCAAGAACUGGAAAAAGCAACCUAAGUACUUGUGCAGAAGCUAGUAGAUACUUUUUCUGAUUUGAAGAAUAUGGAAACUAUCUGUGCAGGUAUUUCAUCAGGGCAAAGUUAAGUUGAAUUCCAAUUAUAAUUGUUUAUAUUAAUAUAUGCAUUUAUGAAAAAAUUUCAUGAUUUGAAAUUUUCAGGUAAUAAUGAAUGGUCAGAGGCUAGCAUUGCUCCUUUGCUGGCUAUAUUAUUGAUGAUGUGAUGAUGAGUGACAAUCUUAAUCUUCUCAUACUCUCUCAAUAUAUGAAAGAAAUCCUGAAGAGUCUGGUUAAGUACAAUGUUAUUUUUUUUUUAUAUUUUAUUUAAUUAAAUAAAGGAUAUGAUGGACACUAUAGCUUAAAAAUUGUGUGAGUUCCUGUCGGUUUGCUUCAAUAAUAAGAUCUCCUGACAUAUAUAUAAGACAUUUUCUUGUUUACAUUCAUAUACUUUGUUUUCCUUAAACUAAAUAAAUAAAACUUUUGUGUGUCAGUUAGCUACUUAAGUCUGUUAUGAUGACGCCCUCUCUUCUUGAAUACCAUCUUAAAACAAACUGCACGCAUGUUAGUUUUGAAACUUAGUUUACUUACAAACUGAUACAGUAUGAUUUAAUUGGCUCAAGUGAUAAUUAUAAAGUCCUAUUAUUUUUCAUUGAAAUGGUGAAAUUCUAUUGGUGGCAAAUCAGAUUAAAUACAAACCAAGUAUGUCAGUAGUUAAAUAAGUAUAACAUUACUCAAAAUUUAAAAAGAAAUUAUGUUUCAUUUUUUGAUAAACCUUAAUAAAUAUAUUAAAAGAAAGCAACAUAAACUUUGUAUAUUUUAAUCAUUAUGUAAUAAAAUAGUACUUUUGUAAUAGAAUUUACCAAAUGCACAUAGUUUAAUUUUUAAACACACAACAACAACAUCAACACAGUCUACUAAAUGUUGAGCUGCUUUUUUAAUUAACAGGUUAUUUUAUUUGCACAAUUGAUAAUUUCAUCAGCGAACGCAGUCUUAAACUAUCCCUAAACACUAUUUUUUUUUUUUAAAUGAGAAAUUAACAUUGGCUAAGCGAGAGAAGCUUUAUUUGCGUAAAAAGACAAAGCGAAUACAAGACAAGGGGAUGCAAUGAGCGUUAGUUACCCGUCAGUUCUGUAAAAGAAGCAACAAAAAAGAUAGGUGAAUGCCAAUAGCAAAACGAACAAAGUCAGAGAGAUCUAUAAUUGAUGAAAACAUUGGCGUCUUUAGAAAUCUCCAUUGGUGGCGAGUUCCACCAGCUCAUGACAACCAACAUCACCGAAAGUAGCCAAAAUUUUCUCUUCGUAGGUGCAGGAAGAAUGCAAAAUCUUCCCUGCAGUCCUUCAGACGGUGACAAUUGUACCAACUGAUUGCGAAGGCUCCAUCAUUUCCAUUUUUUUUAAUAAUAUCAUUUUAAUAAUUUAAUGCUACAACCGAAUUCGUUUAUGUUUAUACUCGACCAUUGCAUGAAUUUUUUUAUGGGUGGGGUUAUUCAUAUUCUAAAAGUUUUUCUAGAUACUCAAAUUUUAGUAAAAUAUUAUGUUCUUAAAAUACGCAUUAUCUAAAUUACUGUAAAGUGGACAAUUUUGUUUCACGGAACAAAAAUAUAUUUCUCGUAACAAUUUGCUUAUCGUCAAAGCAACAAGAUAAAACUACCUUAGCUUAAAAAUCAAUUUUAUGCUUUUUCAGUACUAAGAAAGACAUUAACUUUGAAUUUUUACUGCUCCCCAUAAAAAUAUUUUUAUCUAUUUUUGUUUAAGUUUCUUUCAACUGAUUCCAAGAAAUCCCACCACUUUUAUCUGUAACAAAAAAGGCAUUAACUCAUUUGUUAUUGACACGUCAAAAACCAACUAUUCGUUUAAGCUAGGAACUUUUUCCCAAUUUCAUUGAUAUUCACAAAAACAAACUCCAUAUAUAUUUAUCUGAUUAGUUUCUGGUUUGAGAUAAUAGAUUUUUUGAUAUUUAACCUAAAAAACUAGACUAUUGAGUAGAGUGAUCAAUCUCCUUAUGAAACCAAAUAACUUCCUUUACUAGCCAAUUUUAGACACCACUUAAUAGUAUUAAUAGUGAAAGUUACAUAGGCAAUAUAGAAAAUGUAAAUACUCAAAGGACAAUUUAUAGAAGAAGGCUUUGGGACUUUUUCUUUUUCAUAUUUUGCAAUAUUAUAAUGGCCAUGAUAUUUAGCAUAUUUACAUGAAAUAAUGGCAAAUAUCUUUGGCUCAUAUUUUAAUAACUGAAAAGAUUCAAGAUCAUAUCUCAAGGAUCCUAAUGUGAUCCUCCUUAUUCUAUUAAUUCACCUGAAGCACCUGCAUGGCAGCACGCAGUGGCCACCGAUUCAAAAUUAUUAUAGUAAUAAGUACAAUUAUUGGUUAAUCAGUGAGCCAUUGGACCCAUGCAAGCUCUCACGUUAUUCACGUAAUUGAACAAUAGCACAUAAUCCGUCUUCUACCAAUUUACAAUUAAGCAUCAACCACUGAUCCGUCAUCCGCUUACCUCGUUGUCACCGACGGCUACUUGAAUUUACAUAUAUUUUACUAUUAUAAUUCGUGGCCAAUGAUAUAUUUAUUAUAUAGUUUCACGUCGGCUACCUGUGUCUAUAUAUUGUGCUAUAUCACACCCGAAGACCCCACAAUCAAGAACUCGCAAAAGCAACUUAAUUACUUGCAUAGAAGCUAGCACAGAUCUUUUCUGAUUGGAGAAUAUGGAAAAUAUUAGUGCAGUAAUUCAGCAGGGCCUAUUACGUUGAAUUCCAUUUAUAAUUGUUAUAUUAAUAUAUUACUUUACGAACAGGUUUUUAGAUUUGAAAUUUCAGGUAAUGAUAGCAAUGGGCCUUUGGUCCAGUAGAAGAAUCUGACACUUACAAUAUUUAGUGUAAGGGUUCGAGCCUCUAUAAAAGUAUUUAUGGGGGUUAUUUACAAUCCUCCCUCAAUUAUCAAAUAAUUGAGUGGAGCCAGUUUAUCCCUCACGAAAUAUGAGUGAAGUGGACAGUUCUUCAUUCACAUUUAAGAGAAUUUAAAGAAUUUGAGCAGCUCUUCAGAGGAGAACAUGCCACGAAGAAAGUUUCCAUUGUAGAAUCUAGAAUCUGUUUGUAAAUAUUAAUUAUAAUACCUGAUGUAAUAUCAGUAACAGUUUUGUAUAACAGUAUUAAAAAAAAAGAAAUUUCAGGUAAUGAUUCUAAUUGUAGAAUCUAGAAUCUGUUUGUAAAUAUUAAUUGUAAUACCUGAUGUAAUAUCAGUAACAGUUUUGUAUAACAGUAUUAAAAAAAAAAAGAAAUUUCAGGUAAUGGUGAAUGGCCGGAGGAUAGCAUCAGUCCUUUUCAUGGCUGUAUUAUUGAUGAUGGGAUAGGGAAUGACAAUCUUAAUUUUCUUGUCCCUCAAUAUGAGAGAAACUCUAAUAAAGCUGGUUAAGUGCAAUGUUAAUGUAAAAGAAUGCAAUGGGCACCAUAGCCUAUCAAUUGUGUGAGUGCAAGUUGGUUUGCUUUAUUUUAAAGGGAAAUUAUCAUUUGCACCACCUUUAUUUUACCUUAUGUUCAUCCAACCACUACAAAAUUCUAACAUGUACUUUGCACCACCUUUUUUUUCACAUUUGUAUUAACUAGUCACUUUUGCAUUAACAAUAUUAAAUAAUUUUAAUAAAAUGAUAAUUUUACCCCCAAAUAAAUUAAAAGACCAUUUUAUUUUAUAAAAACUUUUAAAAAUAAAAAUAUAUAAUGAUAAAAAUAUCCCUAAAUUUAAUAAAAAUAAAUCCCAAAAUUAGAAUUUUUAUUUUUAAUAAAAAUUAUUUUAAUAUAAAAUUAUAAUUAUAAAAAUAAUUACAAAAUUUUGGGAUUUAAUAAAAAUCUCCUAAAUUAUUAAAAUUUUAGGAUUUAUUCUUUUAAGAAAUAAAUUCAGUUAUUUUAAUAAAAUUUUAUAAAAUUAUAACUUUUAAUAAAUAAAUUCAUUUAUUUUUAUUAAAAUUUUGUAAAAUUAUAAUUUUUAAUAAAAAUAAUAUUAAAAUUUUGUAAAAACUAAAUUUAGUAAAAAUCAGUUGAGCACCUCUAUUUGAGAUUUAUUUUUUUAUUAAAUUUAGGGAUAUUUUUAUGAUUAUAAUUUUUAAUUUUAAAAGUUUUUAUAACAUAAAAUAGUUUUUUAAUUUAUUUGGGGGUAAAAUUAAUAUUUUAUUAAAAUUAUUUAAUAUUGUUAAUGUAAAAGUGGCUAGUUGAUACAAAUGUGAAAAGAAAGGUGGUAUAAAGUACAUAUUAAAAUUUUGUAAUGGUUGAAUGAAGAUAAGAUAAAAUAAAGAUGAUGUAAUGAUAAUUUUCCUAUUUUAAAUAAUAAAAUCUCUUGAGAUAUAUGUAUAUAUACAAUAGAUUUUCGUGUUCACUUCCAUGUUCUUUGUUUUCUUUAAACUAAAUAAUUAAAACUGUUGUGUGUCAGUUUGUUAUCUAAGUUAGUCAUGAUUAUGCUCACUCUCCAUGAAUACCUUUUUGAAACAAAUUUCGUUUACUAGAUUAAAGAGUGUUAGUGGAUCCUCCAUUGAUUUGCGGUUUCUUCUCUCUCAAUCUAAAAAAACUUUAUUGACGGGAAAUAAACUUUAUUUAAAGAAAUUAACCUUAACAAAUCGGGUAAAACUUUAUUUAAAUAAACGCAUAGAAAGCCAAAAGCAAGUAAGGUCGACGAAAUAGACCUUACCCCAAGAAAAAUUCCCACUGCUAAAAUAAAAAAGAGUCAAGGCUUUGUGAGAGAGGCAACCAAAAAAAAAAAAAAAAAAAAAAGAUGAGAACCAAAAGCAAACAAGAAAAAGGCCAAUGAAAUCUAUGGUUGGGGAAACCAUUAGCAUCUUUAUUAAUAAAGCUUCCAAUCUCCACUGGCGGUCAGCUCCAGCAGCUAAAUUAUGACAACUAACACCGAAAUUGCCAAGGCGACUGCUACGUUAUCGUUCUCUUUGUAGAUGAGGGAAAAAUGAAAAUUCAUACCCUAGACAGUUGUGUCAUCUUUUGUGAAGAGUCCAUCAUUUUAAUAGUUUCUUUUUCUGAAUAAUAUUAUUUCAAUAAUUUAAUUCUACAGUAAAGUUAAUUUAUGUUUAUACUCGACUGCUGUAUGGAUUAUUUUAUAUUUACUUUUUUAUAAAGUUUAUGCAAUGUAACGAACAAUAAUGAUGUGCUUACUUAAUUUUUAUACUUAAUUUGAAUACCAACUGAUAUACUAUUAUUUAAUUGGCUUAGGCAAUAGUUAUAAAGUCUUAUCAAUUCUUAUCUAAAUAGUAAUAUUUCUAUUAGUGACACAUCAAUUGGGAUACAAACUAAGUAUUCUAGCAGUUGAGUAAGUAUGAGAUUACUCAAAAAUUCCAAAAAAGAAAUAUUCCUUAUAUAAAUUCUUUUCCAGCUUCAUUGAUAAUAUUUGUCUCAUUAGCUUCUGGUUCAUGACAACAGUGUAAUGAUGAAAAAUUUGUUGAAAUGAAUACCCUCUAAUAGCCCACGCUGAUUAAUUAAGAUGCAGGAAAAAUUACUUAUUGUCUUUUAUCGAACAAAUUUAAUUCUUAUUUGAUCAAGUUUUUCUAUUUUGAUCAUUUGUUAGUUGGGCACAAAGAGAGAAUAUGAAUGUAAAGUGAAAAGAGAUUUAAUUUAGGAUAAUUUUGUUAUUUCUAUGAGAGUUUGUUCAGUAAAAAUUUAUUAAAUUUUCAAUAUAGGUUAGGUGUCUUCAGUAAAAGAGUAUUGAAAGUGUGAAAACUUUACGCAAACGAUAAGGAAAAUGUAAAUUCACUGUCGUGUUAUUCAUGUGGCUAGCCCAAAGACCAAGUUAUAAAAGAAAGUUGAUAACAUAAAAGAAAAGUACCAAGCGCCAUGAUUUGCGGAUUUCCUCAUAUUUGCAAUAUUAUAAUGGCCAUGAUAUUUACCAUAUGUACAUGAAAUAAGGGCAAAGAACUUGGCUCAUAAUUGAUUUAAUUGAGAAGUUUUAAGCUAAUAUCUCAAGAAUCCUAAUCUGAUCCUUCUUUGUUUAUUGAUGCACCUGAAGCGUCUGGAUGGCAGUAGUGGCCACCCAGUCACAAUUAUUAUUAGGACUUACUGCAAUUAUUGGUUAAUCAGUGAUCCAUUGGACCCAUACAAUCUCCGUCUUCUACCUGUCUACAAUUACGUAUCAGUGGAACUAAAAUUUAAUUCUAGUUUGGGAUUGCCGAAAUAUAAUACAAGAUAAGAGUUUUCUUGGAAAUUUAAUUUAAGGUUGCCGCAAUAGAUCACAAGUUAGCAGUUUCCUUAAAAUUUAUUUUUUGUUUUACCUUACAUUUGAUAAAUUUUCAAAAAGUUAGCAGCCCUCGACUUGUAUAUCGUUAGUCUUUACGACUCCGACCGACCGUUGAUCCGUCAUCCACUUACCCCAUCGUCCCGGACAGCAAAUUGAAUUUAUAUACAUUUUGAUAUUACAAAUUAUUGCCAGUGACAUGUUAAAUAGUUUCUGGUCGGCUCCUAGUAUCCAUACAUUGUGUUAUAUAUCACAACCGAAGCAACCAGAAACAAUAACGCACAAAAGCAACCUAAUUACUUGUACAGAAGCUUGCAGAGAGAUCAGUUCUGAUCUGAAGAGUAUGGAAACUAUCAGUGCAGGUAUUUCAUCAGGCCAUGUUCAAUUGAAUUCCAUUUAUAAUUCUUAUUUUAAUAUAUGCAUUUAUGAAUAAUGAUUUGAAACUUUCAAAUUAGCAUUGCUUCUUUUCAUGGUUGUAUAAUUGAUGAUAGGAUCGAACGACAAUCUUGAGAGAAACCUUGACAAGUCCAGUUAAGUGCAGUGCUACUCUUUUGUCUAAUGUUUAAUUAAAUAAAGAAUGCAAUGAGCAUUAUUACCUAUCAAUUGUAUGAGUGCAUGUCGGUUUUAUUCAAUUCAAAUAAUAAGAUCUCUUAUAUACACACAAGAGAUUUUCUUAUUCACAUCUAUGACCUUUAUUUUCCCUAAAACUAAAUAAUUAAAUAAAAUUAUUGUGUGUCACUCAAUAGCAGUUUGUUGUUUAAGUUAGUCAUGAUUAUGCUCUAUCUUCUUGAAUACUUUUUUGAAAAAAACUUCACAUGUUGGUUUGCUAAUUAAAUAGAGUCUGUUAAUCCUCCUUGAUUAUUUGUUGUUUCUUCACUUUCAGACUUAAAAGAAACAAAACAAGAUUAAGGCUCUGUUUGAUAUUGAGAUUGAAACGCUAUAAGCGAGUUAUUUCAUAAGUCUUGACAAAACAUAGUAUUUGGUAAAUUUUUUUAAAAUUAAUUUUUUCAUAAGUUUUUCCAUUUUGACUAAAACUAUUAAAAGUAGACAAAGAGUUGCUUUUUACAAAUAGCUUAUUAAAUAAGCCACCACGCCUUUUUAAAGUUCUUACUAUAAUCUUAAUAUUUUAAUAAAAAGAAACAAUAAUGGUAUAAUUAUUUAGUUUUGAUACUUAGGACUUUUAUGCUUGAAGUCUUAAUUUGGCCAAAGUUAAGAUGUUUUGAUAUUUUGACUUGUUUGUUUUUGUAUCUAAAGUUGUUAAGUUGUGUCUCACAUUAGCUAGCAAAGGGUAGAUACUUGAGUUUGUAAGUAGGAUAAAUCAGUCCACCUAAAGCUAGUCUUUUGGGUUGGAUAAUUGGAAACCCUAGGCCCAACCCCCAAAACAAUUGCUAUCAAAGCCAAACCAUAGUAGCUAGUGUGGUAGAACAAGUCCAAGUUAUUGGACAAAAGGUGGUGGAACAAGUCCAAUGUGCCUGAUGAAAUGUGAUGGAACAAGUCAGGUGUGCCAAAAGAAAAGAACGAGGUCUGACUGUGGUUUCAUUUUGGGGGAAAUUAUUGAGUUAUAUUCCACAUUGACUAGUAAAGGAGAGAUAUUUAUGUUUAUAGAUAAGAUAGAUUAUUAUACCCAAUCGGCUAAUCUUUCGGGUUGGAUGCCUGAAAAUCUAGGGCCAGCCACCCCAACAAAACUUAUUGUAAGACUUUUUCAUCUAAAUGGAAAAAUUGACUUUUAUCUAAUUGAUAAAAUGUAUGAAUGAAAAAUUAAUACAAAUACCCUUUUUAAUUGUAUUUAUUUCCAAUCUAUUAUGUAAAAUCCAAUUGAUGUGAUAUUAUUUAAUUGACUCAAGUGACAGUUAUAAUGUCUUUUUCUCAUCCAAAUGGUUUCAUUCUAUUGGUGACUCAUUCGUUGGGAUAUAAACUAGGUAUUCCAAUAGUUGAGUAGUAUAGUGUCAUUCAAAAUUCAAAAAGAAAUUGUGUUAAUAAAAGCAAUAUAGAUUUUAUCUAUUUUAAUUAUUAUAUAAUAAUACAUCACUUUCAUAAUAAAAUUAACAAAACACACAUAUGACACUUUUCAAACUUACAGCACUUUCAUAAGGGGAGAUACUUAGGUUUCAUUCUACUACACUAUUGUUCUCUCACUGAUUGUGUGAAAAAUGAAAAUUCUUACCCUGCUGUCCUUCAAACGGUGACAAUUAUAACCGAUUGUGAAUGGCUCAUCAUUUCAAUAAUUUUUUAAAUAAUAUCAUUUCAAAAAUUUAAUGCUACAACCCAGUUACUUUUAAUUUUAUACUCGACCAAUUGCAUGAGUUAUUUUAUGAAUGACGCCACUUGUAUUCUAAAAAUUAUUUUCGAUAUUUAAAUUUAAACAAAAAAUUAUAUUCUUAAAAUAUCCAUUAUACAAAUCACUAAAAGUCGACAAUUUUUUUUUCUCCAAACAAAAAUAAAUCUCUCGUAAUAAUGAGGUAAAAUUACUUUAACUUUAUAAAUCAAUUUUUUGCUAUUUCAAGCAGUAAGAAAGGCAUUAACUUUGAAUUUUUACCGCUCACUAUAUAGAUUUUCUUUUUUCUAUUGUUCUUUAAGAGUCUUUUAAUUGACUCCACGUAAUCCGACCACUUUUACCAGUAACAAAAAAGACAUUAACUCAUUUGUUAUUAGGGAGGGCAAAAUUUGGAUUUGGAUCCAGAUGUAGUUGCAUUCAUAUUCGAAUCCACAUUAAUGUUUUGGUAUCCGAAUAUCGGUGAUAUGCAUACGGAUUCUAGAUGGAUAUUCUAGGUAUCUGAGUCCCCACAUUUAAAACAUUUAUUUACAAAUUUAUAAUAUUUUACCUAUUUAAAAAGUAAAAAAUAAUAAUCAUCUAAUCAUGAAAAAAUCUAAAUAAUUGUUAACAACAAUCCAAGUUAACAACAUCAUAAAUGACAAAAUCAAAAUAAUCUGAAAUAUUGAAUGAAUCUAAAAAUAAUAAAAAAUAAUGUCUAUGGAUACUUGGGUGGGUUAUACUGUUUAUGCGUAACAUAUUUUUAGCCAAGGGCUUGUGUUUUCUUUAUUCUAUUUUUAUUUAAUUUAUAUUUAAAAAAUAUGCAAAUCUAGAUAUACAGUUUUUCGAACGCAAAUGUAUUCAGAUUCGCAUCUUGAUCAGUGUGGAUCCUCGAUUUCUAAAUUUGGAUCCGCACAGAUCUAAAUUUAAGAAAAAUAUUCUAUGUGGACUAAGUAUUGAACUUAGGGUAUGUCUACAAGACUUCGACAAUCCUCAACUCUUGAACUAGAUUUUAGGUUGAGUUCGGCCCAUAGGCGACCAUAUGGUAUUAGAGCCAGACUCAUGCAAGAGUGAAUUCAUAUUACCUUACCAUGUGAGAAAGAACGAUCAAAAGAUCGACCUGCGUGUGACGAGGGUGUUAGGAAAAAUAUCUCACAUCAAUUAAGUAUUGAACUUAGGUCAAGUAUAUAAGACUUUGACAACUCUAAACCCUGACUAGUUUUUAGGUUGAGUUAGGCCCAUAUGCUUCCAUAAAUACUUCCUGUUUCGAUGACAACAACAAAGAGAGUGUUUCUUUUAUGGAACUUAUUAAGAUAGCAUAUCGAAAUAAAAUGGAGAAUUAAUUUCUUUAAGAUUUCAUGAUUGUCUAUAUUACAAGAGAAAUUGUCGAUAGUAUUGACCUAGAUUCGAUAAUAGAUGCAUUUGUUUUUAAGAAUCGCACGACACAAGUUCAAUAGUAUUUUAUUUAUUUAUAUUAUAUUCUCAUUCUCAUUAUUAUUAUUAUUAUUAUUAUUAUUAUUAUUUUCUUUUUUGCUAGCAUCUUCAAUAAUUUCAUUUGUGUAGAAUAAACAUUUCUAGGAAUAAGACUUAUUAUGUCUUUUAAUAGGUAUAUCUUUAAUUUCUUAUUAAUAAAUUCUCUCUACAAUAGAAAAACAUUUAAUUAGAAAAAAAUCUAGCCCAUCUUAGAAGAUACCGCUAGCUUCGCCAUUGGGAAUCAAAAUGGGAAAUUAGAAUGAUUAAUUGUGUUUACUUACUAAAAACAUAAAUAGAUUUUGAAUGGGAUUAACAUAUUCGGGAAUGGAAAUUCCAUUCCUAUUUCCAUGGGAAAAGUGGGAAUGAAAAUGGGUACUGGGAAUAGAGAAUGAAUUGACAUUGUUAACUUUAAAGAAAAUUAAAAUUUCUUUUUUGCCCCAUUUAAAUAUUAAAUAAUAAUAAUAAUAAUAAUAAUAAUAAUAAUAUAAUUAUUGCGGAGUGUAUCCAUUAUUAUUGUUGUUGUUGUUGUUAUCAUCAUCAUACAUCAUCAUCGUCAUUGUCGUCGUCAUCAUCAUCAGUACCACUACUACUUCUUGUACCUAAAAAAUGAUCGAAUAAUUAAAAUUAUGAAAUAUGUCACUACUAGAAAAAUGGUCUUUUGUGACACUUGUCUUCUGACACUUUAUUAUAAAGUAUCAGUAAUUACAUGUAUUUGGGGCAUUUUCUGUGUUUAACAGAUAAAUAUCACAAAUUGCUAAUACUACGGUGUCAGUAAAUUAAAUGUCACAGAUUCGUGAUACUAAAGUAUUAGUAGUUAAAAAAAUAAAAUUUUAAUUUUGUAUCUAGUAAUAAUUAAACCGAAGACCACUAAGAUAACCUUUUGAUUUUAACCGUUAUACCACUUAGCCACAAAUUGCAUUUUUGAACUUAUAAAUUAAUAAAUAAAUAAAUAUUAAAACUUAAAACCUAAAACCUAGAAAUCUUUCAUGUAUGGUUUGUGUGAAACCUAAAACCUAAAAAUUUUUGUUAAGUCAAAAAUCUAUCUCACGGCCGUCGAAGCUUUCUUCCUUCUCUCUCCUUCCCUCUCUCUCGCUCUCUUUCUCUCUCUAACAAUGAUCUACCUUGAAAGCCACCUCUGUCAACACCUUGAAACCUGUCGUCCUUAAGCUAAAAUAUCCUGAAAAGAACCCGGAAAGUGCUGUGAAGAAUUUGGGCAAAGCUAAGGUUUGAAAGUCCGAAUCAGUAUUGUGGUAACUCUUUGUCUCAUUCUCUAUUCUCAUUGUUUAAGUAUUUAUCUGUUAAUUGAUUGAUGUUUAUUGAGUGCAAAUGAGAGCUUGCACUUGUUUGAAAAUCUAGCCAUCUAGGGUUUUUGUUGCUUAUAAUCUAAUUUAUUGUUUAAUAAAAUAAAUAAAACACAGCUUUAUUAUAGGUGGAAUUCAGUUUAUUAAGUGAAAGAAUGAUUACAAUCAGUGAUUAUGGAUUUAGGUUGAAUGCAAUUUGUUAAUUAAAAGAAUAAUGGCAAUCGACAAUUAUGGGUUUAGUAUGUAUUAUAUGUUUCGUUUAAUGGUGUGUAUGAAAACCCAAAACCUAAAAUUUUCUUAAGUAAAAAUCUCCAUUCUCACUCACGGCCUAUAAGCCCAUCACUCACUCUCUCUCUCUCUCCCCUCUUUCUAGCUAACAACCCAAAACUUAUUGUGAAACCGCCAUAUCAAUCUUUCAAAGCUCAUUAGUUAGCUGGUUAUUGUGAAAAGUAAGGUUAUUGUUUGCUUUUAUGUCUAAUUUUACUUUAAACAUGGGGAUUGAUGAUAUUCGAGUUGCUGGACACUUGAUUUUGAGGUGAAAGAUUAAUUAAUAGUUUACAAAAUUAUGCUGAAAAUUUGAGGAUUGAUAGACUGUUGUUGUGAACUUGGUUGUUUCCGAACUUGACUAAAUGACUUUCAAUUGAUUUGAAAGUUUGAUUAAACUAAGUUUAAAUGAGAACAUUUUAAUUUUGAAAAUUUUGGAAUGAAUUGGGUUUAUAUUUGAUUUUGAAUUGGGUUUAUAUUUGAUUUUGAAUGGAUUUCUCAAUAUGGUUGGUUGUUGUCCAAUUUUAUUAGAAAUUACAUAUGUACCAUGUUUGAUAUUGCAAACGUAUAGUCUAACAGAGUUAGAAUAAGCUGAAAUUUGGAUAAACUACACUUCUAUUUGCAUACUUCGAAUCUGAAAAAUUUUAUUUUGAUUGAACUUGUAAUUUAUUUUUAAUGAUUUUUCAAACUCUGUUGUCUCUGCAGUAACUUCUUUUGACAGAACUGUUCAUUAAUCUUUGAUCCUAUCAAACACCAGCCUAAUGAUAUCGGAAUAGCCUCCAAUUUUAAUAUGUUGUUGAUUUAUACGUCCACUUAAAUUUGGAAAUAUUCUGAUAUAUUUAGUAUUUUAAAUUUAAUAUAUAUUCAAACACCUGCUGCUACUUUUACAGUUUCAUAUGCAAUUUUGACAGAACUGUUCAUUAAUCUUUGAUCCUAUCAAACACCAGCCUAAUGAUAUCAGAAUAGCCUCAAAUUUUAAUAUGUUGUUGACUUAUAUGUCCACUUAAAAUCUGGAAAGUAUCAUUCUGAUAUAUUUAGUAUUUUAAAUUUAAUAUAUAUUCAAACACCUGCUGCUACUUUUAUAGUUUCAUAUGCAAUUUUAACUUAUAUAGUUUUAUCAUGUGAGAAGCAAAUGUAGAGUUGUCCAAAUGACUUGGAAAUUUGAUUUGUGGUGCAUUGACAUGCCUAAUUAUGUUUUGUAAGUUUCAUAGCAUUCCAAAUUGAAUUAAAGAAAAUCUUAAAUUCAAGCUGUCAAUGUUUCCUAUUAAAUUUGAUUAGUGAUAAAUCUACUAACUUGCAGUACUUUUCAAGGAAAAAAAUGUGUCAACACUGUGAAUUGCAACGAGAGAAGAAAGUACCAAAGGCAUAAAUCUUUUUUCAUUAUAUUUGGGACUCUUCUUAAAGGUUAGUCUUUUCCUUUUUCCUUUUUUUCUUUUUUAUUUAAGGUAAUCAUAUUCAUUUUAAUUUUAAUUACAAUCAAUUUGGCGCUGUUAGACAACUCGCACCAACCAAUCCAACAACAAAUGAAGAUAACAUUUUUGAAAUGCAUUCAGUUUUUGACAAUAGCAAAAAGAAAAAGGAAAAAUGAUACUAGUUUAGGCUUUAGGAAAUUUGCAUCAUGAUUCUUNNNNNNNNNNNNNNNNNNNNNNNNNNNNNNNNNNNNNNNNNNNNNNNNNNNNNNNNNNNNNNNNNNNNNNNNNNNNNNNNNNNNNNNNNNNNNNNNNNNNNNNNNNNNNNNNNNNNNNNNNNNNNNNNNNNNNNNNNNNNNNNNNNNNNNNNNNNNNNNNNNNNNNNNNNNNNNNNNNNNNNNNNNNNNNNNNNNNNNNNNNNNNNNNNNNNNNNNNNNNNNNNNNNNNNNNNNNNNNNNNNNNNNNNNNNNNNNNNNNNNNNNNNNNNNNNNNNNNNNNNNNNNNNNNNNNNNNNNNNNNNNNNNNNNNNNNNNNNNNNNNNNNNNNNNNNGUUUUGUGUUGGUUUGAGUUUGACAUCCUAGUUUAAGACUUUGAAGGCUUCCAAGAAAUGAUUUUGGAUGAUGAGCAUAUGAGUAAUAGUUUGAAAAUUAAUUUACUGUAUCAAAUAUAUACUUAGUGUAGCAUAUUAAUUUUAAGAACUAUGGAUUAUUCCAUGAAUAUUCUAGUAAAUGGUUAUGUUAUAUAUGCAUGUCUUAAUAUAUAAUAAUUAUAUUUUGAAGUUUGUUUUUUUUUCCCUUUCUAGGUUUAGGAAAAAUGUUUAAAGUGAUUUUGGGUUAUGAUGUCAACCAAGUUAAAGCAACAUUACUUGUGAGUGGAAAUAUAUAAUGAUUAUAUUUCUAUUCUACUUUUUUUUUAUUUUCUUAAAGUUUUAUAAUUAGGCAAAAUUAAUGAAUACUUAAUUAUAAUUUAGGGUGAUAUUCUUUAAAUGGUUCACAUGAAUAGAUUUAAGUAGUAUAAUAAAUCUCAUACUAAGUUUGCAAAUAUUAUUUCUUUUAGUAGUAAUAAUUUUGGAUCGAACUCUCAAAUUAUUGAAAUAUUUUAUGUCCAAACUUUAUUAUACCUAAUAUAAAUAUGGAUAUUCAUAGUUAUUUUAUGCUCAGUUUAAGGAAACUGCAGUUCAAGGACUUAUUUUUUGCCUUUGCCUUGUUAAAUAAGCUUUUAGAAUGAAUAAAUUGAGGAAAUGAGUGGUGAUUUAUUUAUAAUAGAGCAUUUGUGAUAGCUUUUAACUAUGCACAAAAAUCAUUUGGUAUAUAUAGAUAAAGUAACAUGCUUGUGCUGAAAGUAGAUAUUACAUUGAAAACUUCUUGUCUGCUAUAGUUUGCUAUACAUAUAACUUUUACCAAAAGAGAAUAAUUGAGUUUAUUUAUAAAUAGCUUAUGAGUAUUUUUUUCUUUCGAACAAAAUAAUUUUAUUUCUGUUAAUUGUUGUUUCUUUAAUGGCUGGAUAUUGACAGCUAAUUUUUUUUUUUCUUUUCCAUGUAUUCAUAUGCAGAUUUGAUCAAUGUGUUUGAAGUGUUUAUUCCUCAACUUCACUUAUAUCCUAACCCAUACAGUCUAUUGAAUGGAGAAGCUGCUGGUGUGAUAACGCAAUUAUACUACUCAUAUUCAAAUAGUGAAAGGCAGUCAUUCUUCUCAAUUUAGCUUCUAGAUUUAUUAAAUUUAGCCACAAGUAAUAGGAUUUGAUUGGAUGGUAGAUAUUUUUGUGUAUUGAAUUUGGAUUAUUUAGUUAUGAGAGUAGGAUAUCUCAUAUUUUUGUUAUUGAAGUUUUGGAAUUUGUAAUAUGUACUAAUAAUAUUUAAAUGUGAAAUGAAAGAUUUUGUGAUAUAAAUCAAUUUCUUUUUGUUAUUUUGUGGUGCCUUUUUAUUUUACCAAUAAAUCAAUAGGCAAUGAUCCAAUUCAAUUUUUUAUUUUUUAAAAUAAAUUAACUAGUGAUGCCAUGGUAACAGUAAUCAUAGACACUAAUAAAAUAUCAAUAACUACUAAUACUAUGGUGUCAUAAUAUCGGUGAUAUUGUAGUAAUAGUAAUCAUUGACACUACUUACAAGUGUCACUAUUUUUCUGACUCCCAGAUUACUGACACAAUUAACAAGUGUCAGUGAAAGUAAUUUCUGACACUAUUCUAAAGUUAGUAAAGACUAUUUUUCUAGUAGUGUGUAGUAGUGAAGUACGUUCUCAGUUUGGAAGUGCCUUGGUGGCUUUAAUAUAUUAAUUGGUUGUUUAAUUAAUUGGCCAUUCAAGCAUGUGUAUGAGCAUGAGUCCUUACCUUAUGGAUUUGUUUUAGGUUUAAGAUGAUUCUAUCGAUCAAAGGUACCAUGAAAUGUAAAAAUGAUCAAUUUCCUUUUUGGAUUCGACAUCUACUACAGUAAUUAGAGUAAUUAGAAUAGGUUGGAAUUGAAAUGAUUAGAAUCAUAAUAAGCUGUUCAAUAGAGCUGCAUGAGCUGAAAUCAAAAUGAAUUGUAUUCUUGUAAUGUAUUUAUUUUGUCUUGUAAUUGGGAUAAAUUAUUUCAAGUUACUAAAAUACCCUUAGUUAAAAUUAUGAUUUUGUUCAGUAAUUAAAUGAUAUGUACUGAUAAUUUUAAAAUGAAAUAUAUGCACCAAAUACUUAGAAAUAAAAAUAUUGGGUAUAAUGCUAUCCAUUAUCUAAGUUUUAGUUGCUUUCCCAAUUCUGCGAUAAUUUACACAAUAUAUUAUCAAUUCGAGACAUAAACAAAAAUUUUAGAUAGAAAUAGUCAAUAUUUUGUUUUUGCCAAAUGGAAUUAGGGAUGACAAAUUUUUAUGAAACGGCCCGGGCCUAGACAAACCAAGUUUAUCUGGUCCGAGUUCAAACUAUAUUGGAUGCAUUAAUAAUGCGGAUCCAGAUUCAUUUUUUAAAUCCGGACGUAUUCGGGUCUGAUUUCAGGUUCAGCCGAACCCGGAUUUCCGAAACUCGGACCUCGAUUAUAGAGUUUUAUAAUUUAUUUCUUUAUUAAUUUUACUAUUAAAUAUAAAUAUAAAAACUAAAAGUUGGGGGCAAAAAAGGCAAAGCAAACCCUAAGGCCUCACACAACCGCCACCUCUAUUUCCUUGUAAAGCCUCACACCAGCCGCCACCUCUCUAUCUCCCUCAUCCUCAAAAUCAAUUCCAUUUCAUUUUUUAUCAAUACAUCAUCAAUUUAGAUCAUCGUCACUUCAUCGCCUAUCAUCAUCAACAGCACCAACCAACUUGUGCCGCCAUGAAAUUUGAUCUCAUCUUUCGCCAAAGAGCAAGCUUUACCGCUAGCUGCUAACCCCUUCUCGCCGAUGCUCUCAUUUCUCACUAGAAUUAACCACCCAUCGUCGCCUUGGCUAGCAGUUGAUCAAUCAAAGUAAUUUUUUUUCUUUUUUUUUUACUUUUGUUUAAUUCCAGUAAUUAAAUUUUUUCUUGUUGUUAAUAGCCAAAUGCAACAUUUUAACACAUAAUAUUGAUAUACAGUAAAACCUCUAAAUAGUCAUAUUGUUGGGACUGUAGAAAUUUAUUCUCAUAAAAAGAUUAUAACUCAAUAAAAGUAUAGUACAAAAUUUAUUGUCUUUACUUAAUUAUCCAGAAUGCAAGUGAUAUAAAGGUAAAUUAUGUCAUGUAUUAAUAAAUUAAUAAGUGAGUCAAAUUCAAUGUAUAUACAUUAAUAAAUUAAUUAGUAAGUGAGUCAAAUUCAAUGGAUAGAUAUUACUAAAAAGAUAUAUAGUUUAAAAAAACUGAUACAAAAGUUUCAUGCUACGAAGCUACAAACAUACUUGAGAAUGUAGAAAUAUUUUGGAUUCAACAAUAAGAUGCCUAUGCUAACCAAUUAAUAUAUACCCGCAAGUUGAAAGUUGUGGCAGCAACUUUAAAAAACAAAUCAUUGUCACAAGCAACUUUUAAAAAAAUAUUUUGUUCCAUCUUAAUUAUUUAAUGUAACAUGGCAUAUAUUUUUGAAAUAUUACUAUGCGGAGGUAAGUUUAUUAAGAUGAGACCUACAAAAAAUAUAACUUAUUAAAAUAUGGAGUUUAUUCCUAAUUAUAACCGGUUCCAAGUUGAGACCACAAUUUUUUUAUUACUAUGAAGAAGUUAUUCCUAUAUAAAGUAUUCAUAUUUGGAGGUUAUAAUGUAACUGUAAACUUUAUUAUUGAAGCAAGUAAAUUUAGUUGAGAUCCAUGAAUUUGUUUUGCUUUUUACUGUUUUUGCAAAUUCGAAAGAAUCAAAAGUGUGCUGCAUGAAGACCUCAUCGCUACAGCCUUCAACCAACUAUCCAGGUUCAAAAUCCCCAAUCCGGAUAUUCUGAUUUUUCCAGGUUGAACCUGAACCAGACCGGACUUGGGAUUUGAAAAUUUGAAUUUUUAUCCAGGUCUAGUAAGAUAAAUUGUCAUUUGGAUCCGGAACCAAGAAGGCCAAAUCUAGACCCAGAUCGGAUUUUGCCAUCCCUAAAUGGAAUAAUAGACAUCUCUUCCACAACUAUGUAAUAAAAAACUUCAAUUAGACAUUGGAAAAAAUGAAGAAAAGAAGAAGAGAGGAUAGGGAAAACGAGAGAAAAAAUUAUCAAUUUUAAUUUUAUUAUUAGAUUUGAUAUAGAAUUUAUCUUUUUUUCACCUUAUUUUUUUCCUCUCUCCUCCUUUUCUCUCCUCUUUUUUAUUUUUUCGUAUAUUCAAACAAAAAAUGCCGACGUCUACAUUACUGUCAGUAACCACACCAACGAUCAAAUUAAAUUUCAAAUUAGGCGAGCAAUGGUAGCUAGUUUUUGCACGCUUUCUCAAAUGUCAUGUGCACUGUAGAGGAAUUAGAAACAUAUGCAUAUUCGCCACCGAUAGCGGCAGGGUCUUUUGACUAGUGAUCAAAUAACUUCUUUUGUGAACAAAAUUAAUAAACCUACCAAGAAAUCAAGCAAGCACGUACUGUGGGGUCAAAACAAAUGAAUUUUCGUUUAAUCUUUAAUUUUUAAGUUAAGUAGUCGUUUAAUUCUUAUAUUUUAAAAAAUAUCUUAAGACACCAAUACUAUUAAAUAUGUGACACUCUUAUUCUUUUUAUAAUAAUUUUAUAAAAAUAUUAUUGGUAACAAUAAUAAAAAAUGUUAAUCUAUCAAAUUUAACACUAAAAUAAAAAUAAAAAUUAAAGUGAUUUUUAAUUAUUAUUUUACUUUUAGGAUUAAUUUGGUAAUAUUAUAAGGGGUAAAAGCUCGUUUAGUCCCUAUAUUUUGAAGUUAGUAUCCGUUUAGUCCCUAUAUUUUUUAAAAUACCUCAAACCAUCCCUACCAUUAAAUUAUUGACACUUUUGCCAUUAUCUUUUGUUCCCUUUAACUUAUUUUUAUAAUAUUGCCCUAUUAUAAUAAUUUUUUAGACAUUAUUAAAAAGAAAAAAAUAAAUUACCAGUUUAACACCAAAAAAUAAAAUAAAAUAAAAUAAUAUAUAUUAAUUUUUGUGGAACACACUCUUGAGUUAAAAUAUUAAUUUUUCUAAAAAAAUUGAUAAUGUAAUUUUUUACGAUAUUAAUUUUUUAGACAUACGUGAGCUUCCACAAAAAUUAAUAUAUACCUUUUUGUUUUUAUUUUAUUUUUGAGUUUAAUUUGAUAAUUUAAUUUUUUAUUAAUAUGCAAAAAAGAAACAUUAUUGUAAAAAUGUAAUAUUGUAAAAGCAAGUUAAAAAUAAUAAAAAAUAAUGGCAAAAGUGUCAAUAUUUAGUAGCAGGGACGUUUUGAGGUGUUUUAAAAAAUACAGGGACUAAAUGGACACUAACCUCAUAAUAUAGGGACUAAACAAGCUUUUACCCUAUUAUAAGUAUGCCCUUGGUUAAUAUUAUAAUGUUAACCUUACUAUUAUUAAUAUGUGUUUACUUUGUCUUGUAAUCGUGGAAAAAUUUUAGAAUACGUCUGAUGUACUACAACUAAUUGAUGCAUGCAUGACAUGUGUAAUUGAAUUUAAUACAACCACCAUUUGCAUGAUGAGUUUUCAAAAUAAAUGCAUACAUGUCAUAGUAUCAUUUGCUUGUUGUAUAGUUGACAUGGUACCUCUGAUGUAUUCUAGAAUUUCUCGUAAUCGUGAUAGGCUUUUUCAAGUUACUAAAAUGCCCUUAGUUAAAAUUAUGUCUUCAUUCCCUAAUAAAAUGAUAAGUAGCAGUAAUUUUAGAAUGAAAUAGAUGCACUUUUAUUAUUAUAUUAACCUUAAUAUAAUUAUUUUUUAUAUGAAUUAGUUGUUAUAAAUAUAAUCAACCAUACAAAUAACAUAUAAAAUAAAGUACAUUAAUAAUACACGAAUGAGAUACAUAUAACAUGUAAAAUUAUAUAAUUGGAUAGUUGCAUGACCACGUCGAUGAUAAAAUCUAAUCAAGACUUGUUCCACUUUCUAACACCAUGUUAAUAAAAGAACCACCGUGUUGCAUACUUCGUGUAAUUAGGUGUCUAUAAAUAUGAACACCGCAACUAUGGUUAGGAAAAAAUUGCAGUAGUAGGGCACAGCCAAAGGAUAGUGACAUACAUCAGGAAAUUAAGUUAGCCUCAGUCUUUUCAAAUAACCCGAAAGACAAGCUGUCAGAUUAAUUUAUUUUGAAGAAAAAUGCUUAUUGUAGAGAAAGGUGAGAGAAAGAUGAGUGAAAUAAAGAAGAAAAUGGAAGAGAAAGAGUGGGUGGGUAGAGAGAGAGAGGGUAAAUAUCUCUUAUCUGUCUCUUAUGUUUCUCUACAAAGAUGAGAGAAAUAAAGAAGAAAAUGGAAGAGAGAGAGUGGGUGGGUAGAGAGAGACAAUCUGAAAUUUUUUGCUUUUUUUUGCCUUCCAAUAUGGUUCAUAGACAUGGUCAUCAUUUUCCUCUAUAAAACGGCCGCUACGAAAUAUUGUUGGUGUAUCACACUUUUGCAUUUUCAUUUUUCUCCACGCUUGGCUAAAUUCUUUAACUCUCCCAAUACCCCUUCAAUGGCUUCCGUGAUCAUCUUACUUCUGGGGAUGCUAAUCGCUACCCUGGACACAACAAGUAUGUAUCUUUCACGAGAAAACGAUCAAAAUCUCCAUGUUCUUCAUCAAAAGUUAAUUAUUUCCUCCAUGCUGUAAAAUUCAUCAGAACCAUCCUUGACCGAAUGAUUUUUUUAAGUUGUUUUUUUUUUACUAACUACUCCAGUUCGAAACCUAAAAGAAAUAUAUUAGUUUGACUUCUGUCCACGCCUUACAUUUAAAAAAGACGAAAGAGAGGCAUCAAAAUCAAUUUUGAGUUUUAGUGUUUUACCACAUCAUGAGUAGUUAGUAAAACAUAGAAAUUUUUAAAAGACAGAUUUUGAACAUGAGGCUAAAUGAUUAAUUUACUCGAAUCAACACCGUCGUUUGAUCAUAUUCGCUAUCUCUCUCUAUGAAUUAAUAGUAUUCAUUACUAUAAGUUUAAAUUUUUUUUUUUUUUUUUUAUAUAAGUUUUUAAUUUGUUGAUUCUAUAUGUACAUUACAUAUAUAUUGCAGGUGCUCAAAUAGGUGUUUGUUAUGGAAUGCUUGGUGACAACUUGCCAUCAAAACCAGAUGUCAUAGCUCUCUAUAACCAAAAUAACAUCAGAAGAAUGAGACUCUAUGAUCCAAACAAAGAAGCUCUCGAAGCUCUCCGUGGCUCCAACAUUGAAGUCAUGCUAGGCCUUCCCGAUGAUAAGCUCCAGAUAAUGGCUUCCAAUCAAGCCGAAGCGAACACUUGGGUCCAAGACAACUUCCAAAAUUUUGCUAACAAUGUCAAGUUCAAAUACAUUGCUGUAGGAAAUGAAGCAAAACCAGGAGACGACUACGCGCAAUAUCUUGUACCCGCCAUGAGAAACAUACAAAACGCCAUUAACGGAGCUAGCCUUGGAAGCCAAAUCAAAGUUUCCACAGCAAUUGAAUUGGGAGCUCUUGAUGCAUCCUCUCCGCCGUCAGCUGGCUCCUUUAAGCAAGAUUACAAACCAAUUCUCGAUCCCCUCAUUGCCUUCCUUAACGAAAACAAUUCCCCGUUGCUUGUUAACUUGUACCCUUACUUUGCCAUCGCUGGUGACAGUAAUAUACCUCUUGAUUUUGCACUAUUUAGUGCACAACAACCGGUUGUUUCUGAUCCUCCGUUGAGUUACCUGAAUCUUUUUGAUGCCCAGUUGGAUGCUACUUACGCUGAGUUGGAGAAAGCUGGUGGGGGCUCGUUGGAUAUUGUGAUAUCGGAGAGUGGGUGGCCGACGACAGGUGGUGACGGAGCGUUGACGAAUGUCGAUAAUGCAAGGACUUGUAAUAAUAACUUGAUACAGCAUGUGAAGCAAGGAUCACCGAAGAAGCCAAGGCCUAUUGAGACUUACAUUUUUGCUACGUUUGAUGAGAAUGGCAAAACGGGGCCCGAGACUGAGAGGCAUUGGGGACUUUUUGCUCCAGAUAAGCAGCCUAAAUACCAAGUUAAUUUUAAUUAAUUAGCCAAAUCAGAGCAGCCGCAUGCAGCAGCAGAUUUGAAGUUAAAUUUGUAAUGGAAUAAAUUAUUGCACAAUAUGUAUUAGUAAUCAAGAGUUUGCAUCAUCACCUGCAUCGGUGCACGAGGCCAAAUUUCAUUAUCAAUAAUGUCAUGGUUACGGUAUUUAAUUAUAUAUCACUGCCUCUUUCAAUUUUUGAAUAGCUUAAUUAACAUGCAAUGUAAUAGUUCCUUGGCCAUUGUGCAAUGUAAAAACACCCCCCACAAUACCAAAUUAAUUUCAACUAGUAAGAGCACAAUAGUGGAUUAAGCAAAAUUCAAGGGCAGUUUCUUUUUAAAUAUUAUAUGUAUAAAUCAAAACCUUACAAAGAUUUGAAUCUCAAACAUCCUGUAGCAGUCCAAGUCUCCAAGAGAUCAAUAUUAAUUAGCUAGGAAGAAAAAAAAAAGAACAGAGCAAUUCCACUUAGUUUAAUAUAUAAAUAAAUAAAGUUCAUUAAAAAAGACGGCAAAAAAUUUUAUCCCGUGUAUUGAAAGCACAGAGACACGUGGCAGUCUCUAGAGCCCUUCAAAAGUCAAAGUCAACGAAGUAAACGGGUCCAUAUGAGCAGUCAAUGUGUAGUCAACGAAAGUUAACAUGGAGCUAUGAUCCGUUUUGAAAAGGCCCCGGAUCCGGGUUUGCCAACUUCCCAUUUCCCGAGCACAAAUGGAGCUACGGGCAACUACAAAGUUUUAAGUGAGCUCGUUUAACCAUCCAAUCACCAUGCGGCAUGCGGUCUAUCUUAGAAGUCAACGAGCUUCAAUCAUACUUUCAAUCAUGACCGUCAGUUUUCAAAUUUAAUCUAUUUUAAAGGCCAUCCAAUCACCAUGCGAUCUCUUCUUUGUUCUAUUUUAAAGGCCACGUCAAAUUUAAACCCGAUCACAGGUCACAUCCAACCCAAAUGGACUUAGUAGGUUGGUUUGGGAUCGGCCUAAUAUCCUAUUGAGUGCAGCUCUUAACACCUCUCUACAGUACUUAUAACACCCCUUUCCAAAUUUUAACCCCAAAAUUAAAAUCAACCAUCAUGCUAUUUAUAAAAAAAAAAAAAUCAACUAUCGUGAUAUAAAACUUCAUCUUAAAAAAAUAAUUAUAUUUCUUUUAACUUUUUUAAAUAAUUGAUAUACAAAAAUCCUAAAAUUUUAAAUAAUUUUCUCUUUGUUACUUAAUUUUUUAUUUUUGUAACUCUAAAUUCUCAUAAGUUUAUUACUAUAAUUAUUUUUUAAUUAAAAUUUAAAAUAUAAAUAUAAAUUCUAAAAUAGAGAUGGGUAUAAAAACUUUUGUUAAGAGAAUAAUUUAUUUAAAUUUUUAAUUAAAUUUCCUUUCAAGACCAAAAUGGGUGUGAAGUGGCCUUCUAAAUCUAGAGUGUGAAAAAUAUUUUCUCGCCAACAAAAUUUUGAAUUAUGAUUUUUUUGACAUGAUAUAAAAUAUAUAUAAGAGUUUGAGGUUCCAUAUGUAUGAUGUAUCACCUUACAUGUAAGGGAUCAUGUUAGAUCAUAGACAUUCAUGUCUACAUGAUCUCUAAUGUUUCUUACACUAUAUAAUAUAAGGGUGGAGUUAUUUUCACUCUAAAAAUUAGUCUGAAUACUCUAUUAUUUGGAACACUCAUUUAUAAUUUUUUUAAAAUAAUUUGUUUAUGUCUGUCAAACCUUUUAAAUUAAUUGUCUUUUAUUUACUAUAUACACUUAUAAAAUUAUUCAAUUCACCAAAAAAAAAAUAAUAAGAAGAAGAAGACAUCUUCAAUUCUUUUUGUCGAAAAUAUUUCAUGUACUUAUUCAAAUUCAUCAAAUUAAAAAAAAAGCUCAUUUUCUUUUUUCUUUUUUUUAAGAAAAGAGAAAUUCAUUAAACAGACAAAUGAGAAAGUAACCAGGGUGGUGGAACAUGUCUCCAUUCACCCGGAUCUAACAAAAAACACCCCACCUUAGCCACAACAUGGGCAGCGGUGUUUGCAAAUCUCCUUACAAAAGAGAAAGUCACCUCUUUUAAGUAAUGAGCCAAGGGUCUACAAUAUGAAAUAAUAAGUACAAAACCAUUCUGAUAGUCCUUGGAAUCAAUCAAAGCAUUGAACACUUGUAAACAAUCAGUCUCAAUAAUAACAUGAAAAAUUGGGCAUUCUUAAGCCAACUCAAGACCUCUCGCACACCCAAAGCCUCUGCUCGCAAAAAGCUCAUUUUCUUGAACAAACAAAGAAGAAAUAAUUUAAAUUCCAAUUUUAUUACUUAAAUAGAAGAAGCAUAGAUGCAUGAGAUGAAACUAAUUUUAGAAAGAAAUCAUUAAAGCUAACGAAUCAUCACCAGAUUUUGCCAACAUAACAGCAGAUUGGUAGAUGUCAUGAUAGCUGAAAAUUGAUUGGAGUAAUUAAUAAAAGUUUAUUUACUCAAUCAAAAGGGUACGUAAUAGCUUCUUUGCAAAUAUUUAUAAAAGUUUUAGGAUUUAAGGUGGAAGAUCGUUUAUAUGUUAAAAGAUUGAGUUUAUUAUAAUUAUUUAUGUAAAGUAAACUAAUAAAUCAAGAGUAUUUUUGUUUAAAUUAUUUUAUUAAAAUAAGAGUGCUCAAAAUCAAUUUUAAAGUGUAAAGUUUUUUAUUAGUGUUAAAAAUUGUAUGUUUAUUAAGGAUUAAAAAUGUUAUUUUGUGCUUAUAAUAUAAUUUACAUUUGUAAUUAUAUAACAUAUUAUGAAUUUCUAAUUAUUUUUCUAAAUAUUUGAUUUUGUGUAUUUUUAUGUGUUUAUUAGGUAAAAAUAAUAAUUUCACGCAAUUUGAGGCUCCAAACAAAUGUAUGGAUGUCAAAUUUGGAUACAGAAAGACUGAGAAAUUAGGUUAUUGUCGAUGAAGAACCGCCACUUUUAUUAUAAAUUUAUAAAUUUUUACCGUGGUAAAUGCGGUAAUUGUGAAAUUAUAAGUUUUUAUCAUGUUAGGUAUGAUAAUUGUUAGUGGAAUGUGUUGGAUGUGCUUGAGUGGAUUAAGUUAGGUUUAUAUUUUGUUAGUGGAACAAAUGUAAGGUUAAGAUGUAAUUAGUUUUAUUUAUUUGUGUGGUGUGGAUUAAUUUUAUAUUAGUAUAAAUGGGGGGGGGGGGGUGGAAACAAACCUCUCCACACAUUUUCUUUGCUUCUUUCCCUUUAAAUUCUUCUUCUCAUCUUUCUUUGUAAUAUAUUUUCAAUAAAUAAAAUUAGGUUUAUUUUUAAUUUUAUAUAUAUAUUUUUAAUUAUGUUUUUUUAAUUUUAAUAAUUUCCUUUAUUUCAAUUAUGUUUAGCCCAACACUAAUAGUUAGGGGAAGGUGAAACUCUUAGUAAAAAAAAUGAUUUAAUCAAAUUUAAUUUUUAAUUAGAUAAAUUAAAUUAUUUUCUAUUUAAUUUUAUCCAUAUUUUAUAUUUUGAAAUUUUGAUUUAUUGUAAAAAAAUAUUGGAUUUUGACACAAUGGAUUCUUAAUAUCUUAGCAUAAAGUAUGGUAAAAUGAUAUUUUAACUUAUUAUAGAUAAGUUAAGUUUUGACACAUUAAUUACUUAAUCCAUAAUAAAAUUAAUGGGAAAAUAAUUGUAAUUUAUACAAUUAAUCUUUUGGACAAUAAAAUAAAAAUAAAAAGAAUUUAUUAAAUUUUAUUUAUUACUAGGAGUGGAUCCAUAGCUCUAACUAAUUCAAUUAUAUAGUUUUUCUCAAAUUAAAUUACAUACAUUUAAAUUUUAUUUUCAUUUUUUAGAUUAAUUUAAAUAAACAAAUUAAAUUCUUUUUCUGUGGAUUGACCUCGAACUCACCGAGAUAUAGUAUAACUAGGCACCUUUAUACUUGUGAGUAAACUAAACUUUUAAGUUAUAUUAAGUUUUUGGCACUGUUGCUGGAGAGAGAUAUUUAUUUUGUUUUAUUUUUAGUUUUUUACUUUUUGUGUAAAGUGUCAUUUACCCCCUUUUUAUUUUCUUGAAUUCUGUUCUAUCAUCCAAAUCUUUCAAAAAUUUCACUUUCACCCCAAAAAUUUUGUUUCAGCCCCAUUCUUUUCAUACUUGCAGUUUGACCACAAAAUUACAAAACAUUUUCAAAUAGGUCCCCAUCCAAUAUUUCCCAUAAUUCUCAAAUUUGGACCUACAAUUUAAACUUCUUUGGACCAUAUUUGGACUCAAUAAAAAGAAUAUUAACUUUAAAAAUUACUACGAAGGCCCAUUAAUUUGAAUUAAUCAACUUAAUUGUUUGGUAAUUUUUAAAAUUUGAAAAAAAAGUCUACACUUUGAGUUAAUUAUUUCUUUCUUUCUUUUUUUAAUUUCUGUAAUUUAAUUUUCACAUUUAUUUUAUUUUUCUUUUUGGCAUUUUCUUUGUUUAUAUGUUUGGGUUAUUUCUUAUUUACUUAUUUUAAUUUCAGUUAAUUAAUUUUUAGUUUAUUUAUUUAUUUUUAUUUUGCAUUUAUUCUUGUACAUUUAUCUUGUUUAAUUUUCAUUUUUUUUUAAUUUUUGUAAUUUUUUUUAUGUUUUCAUUCAUUUCUAUAUCAUCUUUACAACAUAAUUUCAAACACACAUCAUCAUCAUCAUCAUUGCAUGAGACGUUGGUCUCAAACUUCAAGUGGCAGGGUUAAUUUGUAAAUCUCGAUCAUCACCGCUAAUCAUGAACGAGAUUCAAAACGAAAAUAUUUUGGGUCAACUUAAUCUUCCAAUUGAUCAGGGAGACAACAAUCUCAACAUGAUCAGAAUCAACCAAGGACUUUUAGAGACUACAUGAAUUCAACGAGAACCAGAGCAUCAUUGUGUAUAGUAUUUCCUCCAGAAGCAUCUCGAUUCAACUUCAAACCAGGUAUUAACCAUCUUUUACCAAUAUUUCAUGAUUUAGAAUCUGAAAAUUCAUAUUAAAAUAUGAGAAUCUAUACUUGCAUCUAAGAGAUUUUGAGGAAGUUUGCAAUACAUACACAGACCAAAAUUGUAGCAUGAACAUAAUUAGAUUAAAGUUUUUUCUUUUUUCGUUAAAAGAUAAAGCUAAAACAUGACUAUCAAACCUUAGAUCUGGAUCAAUAAGAACUUAGAAUAACAUGCAAGAAUAGUUUUAGAAAAAAUUCUUUCCACCUCAUAAAACAAAUUCUUUUAAAAGACAAAUCACUUCUUUCACUGAAAAAAACAUAGAAACAUUAUACCAAUGUUGGGAUAGGUUUAAAGAAUUGCUUAACAUAUGCCCACACCAUGGUUUUGAAACUUGGCGAUUGAUCACUUAUUUCUACGAGGGCUUAAUACCCCAAGGUAAAUAAAUUGUUGAAAUGAUGUGUAAUGGUAAAUUUAGGGAUAAAAAUUCCAAUGAUGCACUUGAUUACCUUGACCAAUUAGCUGAAAAUGCACAACAUUGGGAUACUGUUGGAACUUUUGAAUUAAUAAAUAAGUAACAACCAUCCCCAUCUAGUGGAGGAAUCUAUAACCUUAGGGAAGAUCAUGAUUUACAAGCAAAAUUUACAUUCCUAGUUAGGAAAGUUGAAGCUUUAGAGCAUAAAAAGAGUGAUCAAGUAAAAUCUAUUCAAAAAAUUGCAUGUAAAUUAUGAAUUUUUUUAUGGUAUCAUUGUUUGACAUGAUUAAUUUCGUAUGUUUACUCUUGUAUGCAUUUUUGUUUUAUGCAUUAAAUGACUUAUUAAAAGUUUUGAAUCACAAAAUGAUUUAAAAUCGAUCAAGUUAUAAGCCAAAAAUAAAUUAGUGUGUACAAUACAAAUUUACUAGUUAACUAAAAUUCAAUAAGUGGUAAAAUGAUUUCUUAGGCAGAACCGACAGAUCGCUUGUAACCAACCAGUAAGCCAUUUUCUCAAUGAAUGCUUACUGGACAAAAUUGGUCAGCUGUUAGAGAAAUCGAAAAGCCAUUUGCUUAAAGGUUACUCACUGGACAAAAAUUGAAUAGCCGGAUAUAGAAAACCGGCUAGCCGAUUGAUUAAUGUUUACUCACUGGAAAUAACCAGUUAGUCGAUUAAGAAAAUCGGUAAACUGUUUUUCAAUUUUCACUCUCUAGACAACAACCGGUUAGCUGAUUAGUGCCAAGGGUUAGCAUGAUUCAUGCUUUUAAGCUUAUUCAUCUUCUUCCUCUUUAUGCAGCAAUCUGGUUCUCUCUCUCUCUCUCUAAAAACUAUUUCCCCUCUCUCAUUUUCUCAGUAAAAUCCACCAUCUUCAUAUGUUUUUUACACACAAAAUUCAUUCCUUGUGCUCAAAAUCAUCUUUCAAACUCAUUUUCAUGAGUAAAAUCACAAGAUCCCAAAUCUAACCUAAGUUUUCACCCGAAUUUUCUCUCUCUCUAUCUCUUAUGUUUGUAUUGGACACACCAACAUUUAUUACUUUAUGUUCUUUUAUUUUUUAUUUUGGAUUAUAUGGGUGUUUAUGGAUUAUGUGGAUUUGAUAUGGUUGUUGUUAUGUUUUUAACUUUUGUUUUGGAUAAUAUGGAACUAAUGAACUUGUCUAGGGGGAGAUAUUAUGCUUGAUAGGGGGAGCAUUCUACUCUUUUUGAUGAUGAAGGGGGAGCUAUUAUUUGUAACUUUUGUUAUGAAAAAUAUGCAUCCAUGUUGGGGGAGCUUUUUAAAAUCUUUUUCAAAUAAGUUUUUAAUCUUGCAUUUAUUAUGGGGAAGUUUUUUAUAACUAAAUCAAACUUUUAUAAUAUGUUUUGCCAUCAUAAAAAAGAGAGAGAUUGUUAGUCUAUAUGGCUAUAAAAUGUUGAUUUUGAUAAUAACAAAUCACAUGUCUUGGACAAACAAGAAAUUAUACGUUAUGCUUUUGAAACAAGAAAAUGAUUUUAUAAAAUUGGUUGUCUUCAAGUUUAUGGUUUAAAUUGAAAAAGUUUUAAGAAUUUUAAAAUCAACAAGUAUUGUUUUAAAUUCUGAAAAUGGACUUAUUUGCAAAGUUUUAUCAAUAUUUAGGACAUAAUAUAAUUUUAUGAAGUGUUGGGAAAACUAUAUUUUUGAAAAAUAGUUGUUUCACUAUAGCAAGCGGCAAACUGGAUUUACCUAAGCGGCAAACUAGUUAUCAAGCAGAAGCUCUCUAGAGUAAAACGGCUAACCGAAAAAUGAAAAGCGGUAAACUGGAUGUGCAAAAAUUCAAAAUCUUUGAAUAUAAUGGUAACAUAAGGCAGAAAAUCAGUUAACACAAAGCGGCAAGUCGGUUAUCACUAGAAAGUCUAUAAUGGUUAGUUUUUGGGCUGAAACUAUAUAAAUUCAAAUUCAAUUCAUUUUAAGAGAUUUUCGCUAGAAGAAACAAAAAACAUACAACAUAUAUUGAGCUUCCAUUUCACAAAUCAUCAUCUAAUGAAUCAUCAUUGUGCUAUAAUUUGUAUAUCCACUCUAAAAGAGAGUUUUUGUUGAAAUCUUUAUUUUCUCAUCAAAUUUGUGAGUAUAUAAGUAUGAGAAACACUUUGAUGAAGCGAUUGGAAGAUAAUAUCUUGAUUGUAAAUGUUUAUUAACACUUUGGAAGUCAAUUGUAAAGAACUUGAAGCCUUCGGAGGCUUGGAUAGUGAAAUCCUCAAGCUUGGUUGGCUUGGAGGCGUGGACGUAGGUGAGGAUUGUCAAACCAUGUAAAAAUCAUUGUGUUUGCCCUCUCUUCUCUUACUCUUUUAUUAUUAUGCUUUAUUAAAUUUGUUAUUUUUAUUUCAUUGAUGCAAUAGAUUGAAUUGUUGUGUGGUUUGUUUAACUUAAGUUUUAAAAUUCCAAUUCACCCCCCCCCCUUUUGAGUUGCAUAACUAGUAUUUUAAAGAUAACAUUCAGGAUGAGCAAGGACACUCUUCAAAUCAUAAGUCUUGAUCCUAGGAGAGUUAAAGAUGAUCAAAAGACGAGCCUUGUUGAUGACUUGAAAGAUUUUCUACUUGGUAAAGAUCAAAGUAAAGUUAACAAGAUUGGAAGUUAAUUGCCUGAUCUACUAAAGUAGCGACUUGUUAACUUUCUUAAAUAAUAUCUUGAUGUGUUUGCUUGGACAUAUGAGGAUAUGCCAAGCAUUGAUCCUAAGGUGAUAGUACAUUCAUUAAGUACUAACCCAACGAUAAAAUUAGUUCGACAGAAAAGAAGAAGUUUGAACAUCGAAAGAUCUUUUGGUGUAAAGGAAAAAGUAGAUAAUUCUUAAGGUUGGUUUUAUCGAGGAGGCAAGGUAUCCUCAGUGACUAGUCAAUGUUGUGAUGGUAAAGAAAGCUGAUAGGAAGAAGAGGAUGUAUGUUGAUGUUAGGUAUAAAUACUAAUGCUAUUAGUGUCAAUGUGCAAGUGUACAUAAUAAGUAAUAUAACAAUAAGUAUUCAAGAUCGUCUCUAUAGGGAUUGAUGUUAUCAGACUUGCUACAGUAAUUUUAACAGUGCAGAUUUUGUUCUAAAUUAAAAUAAAAUAAUUAAUGAAACUAAUAUACUAACUAAAAUAAAAAUGCAAUAAAUAAAAUGCAACAAAGUAAAUUAUCACAUCAAACUCAAGGAUAAAACCAAUGGGAAUAUAAAAUAAAGUGAAUAAACUCUCCUAAUGGUCUUGACUAUUUUCUAAUGGUUGGCUCGGUUGCUACAGUAUCUGCUAUAAUAUUGGACAGAAUCCUUAGGCAUCCUCAGCUAUUGCAUGUUGGAUAUCUUAUAUUUAUAUGCAACCUAACAGUAAUCAAUUGUUAUGCUAACAUAAAAUAUAACAUUAUACGCUUAGGUUCUAUUUACCCUACAAGGUGAAUCCCUAUGUCUAGUGAAAUACUAACUAGGCAACCCAAGAGGGGGGGGGGGUGAAUUGAGAUUUUAAAAAUUAAGCUAAGCAAUCCACACACCAAAUCAAUCUAAUGCCUUAAUAAAUUUGAAAACAAUAAAUUCAAUGAAAGCAUAAUAAUAAAUGAGCAAGGGAAGAGAAAGCAAACUCAAGGAUUUUUACGUGGUUCGGCAAUCCCCGCCUACGUUCACGCCUCCAAGCACACCGGGCUUGAGGAUUUCACUAUCCGAGCCUUUCCAAGGCUUCAAACGUUUACAAUUGACUUCAAGGUGUUAAUGAACCUUUACAACAAGAGAUUAUCUCUCCAAUCUCUUUACCCCAAGUGUUUUUCACACUUGUACACUCACAAUUUGAUGAGAAAUAAAAAAUACAAUAAUAAAUCUCUCUUUAAGAGUGGAUAUACAAAUUGAAGAACAAAGAUGAUUUAAUAAAUGAUGAUUUAUGAAAUUGAAGCUCAAUAUAUGUUGUGUGCACUUGUUUUUGCUUGCUUGGAUUACCAAAAAUGAAUUGGUUUUGAGUUUAUAUAGUUUGAGCUCAAAAACUAGCCGUUAUGCACACUUUGGUCAUAACCGGCUUGCCGUUUAUGGACAUCCGGUUAGCCGCUUAAUGUUACUGUUACAGUCACAAUUUUGAAUUUCUGAACAUUCGGCUUGCCGCUUGCGCAAUCCGGUAAGCCGUUUAUGCUCCAGAGGCUUACUGCCCAAAAUCCGGUUUGCCGUUUAACCAUAUCCGGUAAGCCGUUUUCAAUUCGGAUAGAUUCUGUCCAACAUUCGGCUUGGCGGUUUUUCACAUCCGGUAAGCUGCGUGCUACAGUAACCUGUACGGUGCACUAUUUUCUAAAAUUAUAGUUUGACCCUAAAAUUUUAUAAAACUGUAUUAUGACCCAAAACAUUAUGAAAGCUUUCAAAUAGGUCCAAUUUCAGAAUUUUUAAAUAAUGCUUUGUCAAUCCCAAAACUUUCUGAAAUUAUGAUUUCACCCAAACUAUGUGAAAUUAUAGAAUGACCCAAAAUAUUUAAAUAGUUUCAAAUAGGUUCAAAUCCGAAAUUUUAAAAACAAUAUCAAAGGUUUGAAAUACUUUCAUUUUAGUCCAAAACACUUUAAUUCCAUAACAUCAUUUUUCCAUUAAAUAUGAAACCUUUAUAAUUUGAAAAUAAUGAUUUAUUUAAAAAGAAAAUAAUUUGAGCUUAAAAGAUUAAUCAUUCUUAAUCUUGUUUGUUAUCAUCAAAAUCAACAUUAUGGAAAUAUAUAUGUUAACAAUCUCUCCCUUUUUUAUGAUGACAAACAUUUCAUGUAUUUAAAGAAUGAUUCCACAAAUUACUCCCCCUAAAUAUAAUCUUCUCUUACAAUUUACCAAUUAGCUAAAUUAACAUAUUUAAUACAUGGAUUUUUCUCCCCCUUCAUCAUCAAAAAGAAAACUUAAUUGGCAAAAAUAAAAAAAUAGCAAAUUUUUAUAAAUUUAAAAACAUGUAUUCUUCUCCCCCUUCAUCAUAAAAAAAAAGGUAAAGGAAAAUAAUAAAAGUAGUAAAUUUGUUACCCAUGUUGUCCGAAUAGAAAUUUCGACAGAAUCUCCCCCUAACAACAAGCAUCACCUCAAAUACAAUUUUAGUAAUAUCACAUCCAAAUUAUUAUAGAUCAUGAUAAAAGCCAACUCCAUACACAAAUCAUCACACCAAAAUAUCAUGAACCAUUAUUCCAUCAAUUACCAAAUCAGCAACUCAUAACACAAACGUAUCAUAUAAAACAACUAUGUAAUCAAAUCAUUAUUAUAUUACAAAAUCAUCAAAAUCAUCACCAUAAUCAAAUAUCAAUCAUCAAAAGAAUACUCAAAGUGCAUAUUAUUCUCCUCUUUUUAACAACAUCAAAAUGAUUUAUUACUUUGUCUCUUCCUUUGGACAAUAAAAAAGUUCAAAAUGCAUAUUAUCCAAAAUCAUAUUAUAUGCUCCCCCUAAAUAUAUGGCCAAUUUAAAAUUUUAACUGAAAUAAUUUUAUCCAAAAACAUAUCAUAUUUAUCUCCCAUUUCAUCGUAAAAAAAGAAAAGAUAGAUAGAUGCAAUCGAAACAAGAUCAUCAAAAAAUAAUUCGAUGAAGAUAUUACCCAUUUUGUGCGAGCAAAAAUUUCGGCAAAGUCUCCCCUUAAAAAUAAACAAAUUCUCAAAUACACAACAUGGUUAAAAAGAUAUAAGCUUAAACAAUUAUAACAAACCAACAACUUUACCAAUUCAUCAAGCAACACACAUAUAAUCAUCAAUCAUCAAAAUCAUCAAGAAAUUAAUUUUAAUAGUAUUAAUAACAUGAUUAGAGAUAUUAAUAAAUUUCAUCAUUCCAAGUUCAUGCCUAAUUUUUUUGAAAAUUAUUCUUCGCAAAGAGGUUUUGAUUUAUUUACCAAAUUGGCAUGCAAAAGUUAUAAGAACAUAUUAUCAUCUAUCCAAGCUUCAUAAUUAUUAAUCACAUUUUAGAAAUCAAGACAGCUAAACUUAUCAAAGAUCUAAUGUGACAUUUCAAUAUAACUUAAAAAAAAUCUCAUACGCUUAAAAUUCUGGAAGUAUAUGUAUUUUUUUUAUAUCAUUUACAACAAGUAAUGCAUAUUCAACAAUACAUCGAUAAAGUACAAAAAAAUGCAUCCAUUCACCAAUCAUAGAUUGCAUAAGAUCAAACUUCAUCAAAUACAAUGUAAUCAUCAAAGCACAUUCUUUAUCAUCAAAAUUUAAGUAAAGCAUAAGUACAUAAUGGCAAUAUAUAGAUCAUCAAAAUCAACAUAUGCCAAUAUAUAGAUCAUAAAAAUCAACAUAUGGCAAUAUAGAUCCUCAAAAUCAACAUAACUAUUAAGAAAAGCCAUAAUUAUGAGUUAAAUAACAAGUGAUCAAAUCCAUUAUUACAAAUACUUACAUAUAUUUCUAAAUGAUGAUCUAGUGAUGACAUAUUGCGAUGGAUCUCCUAAAAUUAAGUCUUUAGGGUGAGAAGAAACAUACCUCCACUCUUUGGGGAGUGUUUGGGAAUUACUUUCAUUUUGCUCUGCAUUCGUUUCUUCAUGAUGUUCCUCUUGAUUUCCAUGUGGUGCAUCUUUUUUGUUGUCAUUUGAUGCUUCUUCUUGUUGUUCUUCUUCUGCAUUAUCAUCAACAACGACUUUCUCCGUAGAGGAAGAAUUAGACUCAUCAAAUGUAACAUGUAUAAAUUGUUCCACAAUCAAAGUUCUUUUGUUAUACACUCUAUAAGUUUUGCUUGUGUUUGAAUAGCCAAGAAAAAUACCAACAUCAGAUUUUGGAUCAAAUUUGCCAAUGUUAUCUUUUGUGUUCAAAAUAAAAUAUUUGCAUCCAAAAACUUUGAAAUAACCAAUGUUGGGUUUUCUAUCUUUCCAAAGCUUAUAGGAAGUAUUAUUGAGAUGAUGUCUAAUCCACGUGGUCUUAGCCAUUUUUUUUUAAUAGACCUAUUCUUUCUCUCUAUAACUCCAUUUUGUUGUGGAGUCCUAGGAGAUGAAAAUUGAUGCUUAAUGGCAAAAUCAUUACAAAAAAUCUCAAAUGCAUGAUUUUCAAAUUCUCCACUAUGAUCACUUCUAAUACAAGAAAUAACAUAUAACUCAUCUAUCAUGCAUAUACAUCACACAAUCAUGAAAUAUGUAAGCAUUCAAAGAUUGAGAAUUAAAGCAUAUCGCUUAUUUAUCAUGCUUAGGCAUUACAUAAUCAUUAAAAUCAAACAAAUCCAUCAUAAUGAGUUGACAAGCUAUCAUCAUAUAUAUAUAUAAUCAUGCAUCAUGAUAAAGCACUCAAUGUUAUACACAAUGAUAUUUCAAUCAUGUAAAUAUACAAGUAUACUUUCACAAAUUCAAGCUACUAUCCAUUUAUCAAGAUCCACUCAACAUAGUAAAUAGGCAAGAUAAACUUAUCCACUUCAUGUUAAUGCACUUAAUGUUGUGAUACCAAAUGAAAUGUUAAAUAUUUACUAAGAUUAAAGACUAUCACUUAUAAUCAAUAAGGAAAUAAUAGUUACCAAAACAAUUAAAUCAUCUUGCCUCAUCUUUUUCUCCUAGAUCAUAUUCAAGUGAUUAUCCUCACAAGUUUUCAUCAAGGAACUUCUCCACCAUUCUUUGAUUGUGGUACCUACAAAGAAAACAUUCAUGUUGUGCCCUUUGGUACCCAAAUACUCUUGGGUCCUUGAGUGUUAGCAAUGAUUCCUUUUGGAACCUAAAUACAUUUUGCUCCAUAAUACACAUUUUUUUUAAUUGGACAUUUAUUCUUCAUGUGACCAUCUUGAUUGCAAUGGUGGUAUACAACUUGAUUGUUAAUGGAGGUACUCUUCACAAAGUAAUUCUUAUAAUACUUUUGUUUUAAAUUUGGCUUAUAGCCAAUACCUCAUUUGUUAAACACACAUUUUUGUGAAUUAAGCAAGUUAUCCAACUUCUUUUGCCCAUUUGUAAAUUUUAAGACAAUCUCAUUUAAUUCAUUGCUCUUCUUCUUAAGCACUUCAUUUUCUUUCAUUAAUUCAUCAACAUGUGAUUUUUCAUGCUCAUAUGAAGUACUUUGUUUACUUUUAAAUGAUGCAAUUCUAUCAUGCAACAUUUUAUUAUCUAACUCUAGUCCUUUAAUAUUUUCAUUUAAUGAAUCGUUGCAUUUUUGUAAAGCAUCAUUUUCAUUUUUCAAGUCAUCUACAUAUGAUUCUAGAUGCUCAUGUGAAGUGCUAGGUUUCUCAUUUGAUAAUGCAACUCUAUCAUGCAAUGUUUUAUUCUCUAAUUCUAGGCAUAUAAUCUUUGCACUUAGAGUUUCAUUUUCAUUUGUGAGCUCUACCAUUUUCUUUUUAAAACAUGCAUUCUUUUUACCAAUUUUCAUCCACUCAUCAUACAAUUCUUUAAACGCAUCAUGUAAUUCAUCAUAAGUAGGAAGAUCAUUUACCUCACAAGUUCAUCAUCCGAUUCAUCUCCAAUUGCCAUAAGUGCCAAAUUCGACACUUCAUGAAAUUCCUCCUCGUUUGUAGUCUCCUCAUACACAAUUUCAAGUUUUCUCCAAAUUUCAUAAGCAUUAGAACAAUUUGAAACUCUAUGAAAUUCCUUUUUAUCUAAGGCACAAAAUAAAGCAUUCAUAGCCUUGGAAUUUAAAGACAUCUUUUUCUUAUCCAACUCACUUAAAGCAUUCUUUCUAGGAAUGAAUAAAUCAUCACAAACAACUUCCCAAAUUUCAUAAUUUAAAGCUUGUAAAUAAAUUCUCAUCCUAGUUUUCCAAUAAGGAUAAUAAUUUCCAUCGAAAAAUGGAGGUCUAGUGGUAGAUUGACCUUCCAUGAUGGUUGAGCUAAUUUGGGUUGUUAUGUAUCUUUAACUCUAGACGGUUAAGUCUACACAAGAGUACCAUGCUCUGAUACCAAAUGAAAUACUAACUAGGCAACCCAAGAGGGGGGGGGGGUGAAUUGAGAUUUUAAAAAUUAAGCUAAGCAAUCCACACACCAAAUCAAUCUAAUGCCUUAAUAAAUUUGAAAACAAUAAAUUCAAUGAAAGCAUAAUAAUAAAUGAGCAAGGGAAGAGAAAGCAAACUCAAGGAUUUUUACGUGGUUCGGCAAUCCCCGCCUACGUCCACGCCUCCAAGCACACCGGGCUUGAGGAUUUCACUAUCCGAGCCUUUCCAAGGCUUCAAACGUUUACAAUUGACUUCAAGGUGUUAAUGAACCUUUAUAACAAGAGAUUAUCUCUCCAAUCUCUUUACCCCAAGUGUUUUUCACACUUGUACACUCACAAUUUGAUGAGAAAUAAAAAAUACAAUAAUGAAUCUCUCUUUAAGAGUGGAUAUACAAAUUGAAGAACAAAGAUGAUUUAAUAAAUGAUGAUUUAUGAAAUUGAAGCUCAAUAUAUGUUGUGUGCACUUGUUUUUGCUUGCUUGGAUUACCAAAAAUGAAUUGGUUUUGAGUUUAUAUAAUUUGAGCUCAAAAACUAGCCGUUAAUGCACAUUUUGGUCAUAACCGGCUUGCCGUUUAUGGACAUCCGGUUAGCCUCUUAAUGUUACCGUUAUAGUCACAAUUUUAAAUUUCUGAACAUCCAGCUUGCUGCUUGCGAAAUUCGGUAAGCCGUUUAUGCUCCAGAUGCUUACUGCCCAAAAUCCGAUUUGCCGUUUAACCAUAUCCAGUAAGCCGCUUUCAAUUCAGAUAGAUUCUGCCCAACAUCUAGCUUGUUGGUUUUUCACAUCCGGUAAGCCGCGUGCUACAGUAACCUGUACAGUGCAUGAUUUUCUAAAAUUAUAGUUUGAUCCCAAAACUUUAUAAAAUUAUAUUAUGGCACAAAACGUUUUGAAAGCUUUCAAAUAGGUCCAAUUUCAGAAUUUUUAAAUAAUGCUUUGUCAAUCCCAAAACUUUCUGAAAUUAUGAUUUCACCUAAACUAUAUGAAAUUAUAGAAUGACCGAAAAUAUUUAAAUAGUUUCAAAUAGGUCCAAAUCUGAAAUUUUAAAAACAAUAUCAAAGGUUUAAAAUACUUUCAUUUUAGUCCAAAACACUUUAAUUCCAUAACAUCAUUUUUCCAAUAAAUAUGAAACCUUUAUAAUUUGAAAAUAAUGAUUUAUUUAAAAAGAAAAAAUUUGAGCUCAAAAUAUUAAUCAUUCUUAAUCUUGUUUGUUAUCAUCAAAAUCAACAUUAUGGAAACAUAUAUGUUAACAUCUAGUUCAUUACUAAUCUUAAAUCAAGCAUGGCCCUUUUGGGACUCAAGUAAAAAUCAAUCCAGGAAACCCAAUUUAAGAUCAAGUAUUGCUUUGAUAUGUUGCACUAAGAUAGACCCUUUUGUGGCUCUUCCUUAGUUAGUAUCAUUAAAUGAGUGAUUAGCCGAAAUAAUGAAUAAAAAUAAAUUCUACCAAAACAAAAUGCUACAACAAAUAUGCAACAACACAUAUAUUCAGUCAAUAAACUAUCAAAAUUGUUUAUCACUCAACUAGAAAUAAAUUUAGUUCAUGAUUUGCAAAAGAAAAAAGAAAGAACAAGGUUUCGGCCAUGAAACACAUCUCUAUGAAUAAAUAGAAAACAAGAAAACAAGAGAAAAAUAAGAAGGACUGAGCUCCCAAUUGAUCUCUGCAAUUUCUCUUCUUGUGCAGCCCUUAAUCUCUCUCUUGAAUCUUGUUUUUCUAUUGUUUCUUUGUAUUUUUUUUCUUGGGUGACGACCCCUUUAUUCCUUAUUAUGUGUGCUUUUUUUAUAGCCGUAAAUUAGGGUAAACAGAAGCCUAGGGUGCGCAUAAGUCAGAUUAAGAAACUAUAGAUCGCAAUUCUGCAAGUAUCCUGCGUGGAAUUUUCUCUGUCGUUGUUCCAAGAUUGCUGCAACAAUGGCUGCUACAGCAAUGGCUACAACAACUGCACUGUUCCAGAUUUAUUUAAAUUCUUUUGUAGCUAAGUUAUUUGCCAUCUUUUGCAAGCCUAUUGCAUCAGCAUUUCUUCCUUAAAAUUUGGGCUUCCGGACACCUACAAUUAUGCAUAUGAUUUAGCAUACAAAUUAUUCUAAAUCAAACAAAAUUUAUUACGAAUAAACUAAGAUGAAUGUUUAUGCAAAAUAUAAUAACAAUUUAAUGAAAACACAUUAUUUACUCUCUAAGUAUUAUUGAUUUAAGUCUAAAAAUGCCAUGAUAAUUCUUAUUUCAUAGAGUUAUCAGUUGACUUCACUACUCUUAAUAAAGCUUGCCUUAUGGAUAGUUUUCCUUUACCAAUGAUUAAUCAACUAGCAGAUGCUACAAAUGGGCAUGGAUUGUGAAGCUUAAUGGAUGCUUACUCCAGAUAUAAUCAAAUAAGAAUGCAUGAAACUGACUAAGAGAAGACCGCCUUUAUCACUGAUCGAGGUCUUUUUGCUACAAGGUUAUGCCCUUUGGACUCAAGAACAACAUGGCCACCUAUCAAAUAUUGGUAAAUAAUAUGUUUGUUUAACAAAUUGGUUAUACCAUGGAGGUUUAUAUAAAUGAUAUUCUCAGCAAGAGCCUUAAGCUUGAAGAUCAUGUAAAAGAUAUACAAGAAACCUUUAAUGUCCUUAAGAAGUUAAAAAAAUGAGGCUAAAUCCAGCUAAUUGUGUAUUUGGUGUAUCAUAAGGAAAAUUCCAUGAAUUUAUAGUAAAUCAAAGAGGUAUUGAGAUUAAUCCUGAGAAGAUCCAAGCAUUGGUUAGCAUGAAGUCUCCAAAGAAUGUUAAGGAAAUUUAAAGGUGAUGGGUCGAAUAUCAGCCCUCAAUUGUUUUAUUUCUCGAACCACAAAAAAAUGCCUUCAUUUCUUUAAAGUCUUAGGAAAGGAAAAGAGAUGAAGUGGACUAAAGAAUGUAAAAAAGCAUUUCAAAAGCUUAAGGAAUUUUAGAAAGUGUUGUUUUACUUGUUAAGCCAAUCCAAGGCACAUCUCUCUUCCUCUGUCUUACGGUGUCUGAACAUCCCACUAGCUUUUUCCUUGUUUGAGAAGAUGAUGUAGUGCAAAGGCCUAUAUAUCAUACAAAUAGAGAAUUGGCUGAUAAAGAAACAAGGUAUCUAAGUCUUAAAAAGGUUAUCCUAGCUUUAAUUGUUUCACCAAGAAGCCUAAGGCCUUACUUCCAUGCUCAGACCAUAAUUGUCCUCAUCGAUCAACCAAUUUGACAAGUUUUAGCUAAGUCUAACAUUUCAGAAUGGAUGACAAAGUGGGCUAUUAAGCUUGAAGAGUUUUACAUCUUAUAUCAUCCUAAGACAUCAUUGAAAGGGCAAGCAGUGGCAAAUAUCAUUAUUGAGUUUACUGAAGGAGAGAUAAUAUUGUUUGAUCUUGAACAGGAACAUCAUGAUAAACAGUCUCUGUACGUUGAUGGAUCCUCUAGUAAAUGAGGAUGUCGUGGAGGGUUUAUAGCAAUUACCCUCGACAGCUCUAUGAAAUGAGAGUUAUCAUGACACUUUUAGACUUAAAUCAAGAUUAUUUAGAGAGUAUAUGACAUGUUUUUAUUGCAUUUUAGUAAUGUUUUGCAUCAACAUCCAUUUUAGUUAACUUUUAAUAAGUUUUGUUUGAUUUAGAAUAAAUUGUGUGCUUAGAUCAUAUGCAUAAUUGUAGGUGACCGGAAGCUCAAAUUUCAAGGAAGAAAUGCGGUUACAAUGGGCUUGUAAAGAUAAAGAAAAAACUUGGUUAGAAAAGAAUUGAAACAAAUCUGGAACAGUGUAGUUAUUGAAGCCAAUAUUGUAGCAUUGUUGCUAUAUCAUCGUGCUGUAGCAAUCUUAAAGCAACAACAGAGAAGAUUUCGUGCGAGGUACUUAGAAGAUAGCGAUUUGAAGUUUCCAAAACUGGAAAAUGCGCGCCCUAGUCUUCUGAUUGCCCUAAUUCUAAGCUAUAAAAGGAGCAUACACACAAAGAAAAAGGGAGAGUCGUCAUUAGAGAAAAAAAAUAGAGAAACAAGACAAGAAAAAGACAAAGAUCAAUAGAGAGAAUUAGCAAUCACAAUAAAGGAUUCAAAUUAUGAUGAAUUGUUUGAUGGUUGAAACUAUUUUACAUCUUCUUUUAUCGUAAAUUACGAACUAAAUUUACUUGUGGUUUAGUGAUGAACAAACUUGAUGGUUAAUUGACUGAUAUUCUAUGUUGCUGCAUGUUUGUUAUAGUACGUUGUUUUGAUAAUACUUAUUUCAAUUCAUUAUUUUGACUGACCACCCAUUUAGUGAUACUAGUUAAGAAAGAGCCUAAAACAAGCUUGCCUUAGUGAAAUAUAUUAGAACAAUACUUGGUUUUAGAUUGGGUUUUCUGAGUUGGGUUUAACUUGAUUAAAAAAGGGGCCAUACUUAAUCUAAAAUUAGUGAUAAACCAGAUGUAAGAAUUUACCUUAUAUGGUAAUUAGAAUCUAAAAUGUGUAAUAUUAUAUCUGAUGUUAGCAUAACAAUUGGUCAUUGUUAAGUUGCAUUUAGAUAUAAGAUAUCCAAUAUGCGACAUUUGAGGAUACAUAAAGAUUCUGCCCAGUGCUGUAGCAACCGAACAAACAUUAGAAAAAUAAUCAAAGCCAUUAAGUGCAUUUAAUCACUCAACUACUCCAUUCUCCUAGGUUAUAUCCUUAUAUUUACUGUGAUAAUUUAUUUUAUUGGAUUUUUUAUUGUGUUUUUUUAAUCUUAAUUAGUUCAUUAGUUUAAUAAUUUAUUUUAAUUCUAAUUUAGAAUAAAAAUUGCACUGAUAAAAUUAAUGUAGCAAUUCCUGUAACAACUAUUCCUGUGGAGAUGAUUUUGAAUACUUAUUGAUUAAUAUUAAAAAUUGUUUAAUUAUCAAGCAAUAAUAAUGUUAUUUUGUGCUUAUGUUAUAAUUUAUAUUUGUGUUUAUGUAAUAUAUUAGGAAUUAAUAAUUAUGUUUUAAAUAUAUUUAAUUUUGUGUAUUUUUGUGUGUUUAUUAGGUAAAAUAUUAAUUUCACUAAUUCAAGGCUCCAAACAGAUAAACAGAGGUCAAAUUUAAAUUUUGGAGGUCCGAAAACCUUAAGAUAAGUCAAGAUCGGCUUAAAAUUAAGCUUGCGUAAAAAAAAUUGACUUUUUUUGUUGACCAAGCACUGAUUGGAUGAUAAAAUGAGUUUACAAUAGGUAUGAAUACAUGGGAUAGCUAGUAAUUUUGACUAAAUCUCAACCGUUCAUGAUUCAAUGGCAUGAUUGUGCCACGUGGCAAUGGUUUGUGAAGCAAGUUGUAUGAUCUGAAUCCCUGUAUUCGGGUCGACCCGAUCCACCCAUUAACCUGCCAAAUCUCAACCGUUAUUUGGCCAAAUCAGACGAGUCAAAUGAUGCCACGUGUGAUGUUGACUUUUUAAGUUUGACCAGCCGUUGGAUCUUAAUCUAAUGGUUACGAGGAGCGCAUGCAUGAAGCUUAUGAUGGACCGCAAAACACUGGAUUAUGAAUUUAUUUUUCUAUAAAUAGAGCCUCAUUUUUAUGUUUUUAAUCAUCUCUCUACAUCUCUCUUCUUCUCAAAUUUUCUCCAUCUCCCUGUAAUCUUAAUUUUUAGGUGUGUUUUUAAUAUUUUGGAUAAUUAUUUUUAUAAAUAAAUUUAGUUUUAUUUUCAAUUUUAGUUGUUUUUAUUACUUUUAAUAAUAAGUAAUUUAAUUUUAAUAAUUCUUUUUAUUUCAAUUAUUCUUAACUAAAUAAUAAUAGUUAGGGUAAGGUGAAAUUCUUAGAAAAUAAAUAUGAUUUAAUCAAAAUCUAUUUUCAAUUUUAUAAAUUAAAUUAUUUUCUAUUUAAUUUUAUACAUUUUUUAUAUUUUGAAAUUUGAUUUAUUGUAGACAAACGAGGGAGUUCGGCACAAUAAAUUCUUAAUAUCUUAAUAUAAAGUAUGAUAAAAUGGUAUUUUAACUUAUUGUAGACAAAUUAAAUUUUGGCACAAUAAAUACUUAAUCCAUCAUAAAAUUAAAGGGAAAUAAUAAUAAUUUAUAUAAUUAAUCUUUUGGGCAAUAAAUCUAUUAAAAUAGCGAAAAGAAUUUAUUAAGUUUUAUUUACUACUAAGAGUGGAACCACAACCUUAACUAAUUCAAUUUCAUAGUUUUAUUUAAAUUAAGUUGUUUAUAUUUAAGUUUUAUUUUCAAUUUUUAGAUAAAAUAAAAUAAAUAAAUUAAAUCUUUUCUAUGUAGAACGACCUCGAACUCACCGAGCUAUAAUAUAAUAAGACAUUCUUAUACUUGGGAGUUAAAAAUUACUUUUAAAUUAUGUCAAGUUUUUGAUGUCGUUGCCUGGGAAAAGUUUUUAUUUUACUUUAUUUUUUCGUUUUUGAUUUUUCUCUUUGUGUAAAGUUUCCUUUAUACCCCUUUUCCUUUCUCAAAUUCUCUUUUGACCGCAACAUCUUUCAGAAAUUUUACUUUCAUCCCACAUGGCUUACUAUAGACUUCUAAACACUGCGGUGUGGCCAUAAAAUUAUAAAUAAUUUGCAACAAGAUCCCCAGACGAGAUUUCUCACAAUAAUCAUAACUUGAACUUAUUUUGACUUAAUUUGGACCAAGCAAACUAACUACUAAAUCUUAACUUUUAUUAAUUUUUUAUUUCAGUUAUUUAAUUUUCAGUAUUUAUUUUAUUUUAUGGCAGGUUUUUACCGCCUAUUGUUAUUAAAUAUUAAAUAUUUAUUUUAUUUAGUAUUUAUUUAUUUAUUUUUUAUAUUGUUAAUUUAUUUGGUGGGUUCAACCACCAAAAUUGUUAUUUAAUUUUCAGUUUUUUUAUUUUGCAUUUAUUUUAUUCUUUAUUUUAUAUUGGUGGGUUUAAUCACCAAAAUUUUCAUUUUAUUUUUAUUUUUAUUUUUAUUUUUGUACACUUCUAUUAUUUGCAUAUUUAAUUUUUUUGUUUUUUUUUAUUUAGUUUUUGUGUUGAUAAUUUGUUUGAAUAUUAUUUUUGUGAAAUAACCAUUACAUGAGACGUUGGUGUUGAACUUCAAGUGGCAGGUUAAUUCAUAGAUCUCAAUCUCCACCACUAAUCAUCGACGAGAACCAAGAUGACCACUUUUUAGGCAAACCUAAUCUUCAGAUUGAUUAGGGAGACAACCAUUCUCAACAUGCACGUUAUCAGAAUCUACCAAGAACUCUGAGAAAUUACAUGAAUCCAACCAGAGCUGAAGCACUGUCGUGUAUAGUAUUUCCUCUAGAAGCAUCUCGAGUCAACUUCAAACCAGGUAUUAUUUAACUUUUACCAACAUUUCAUGGUUUAGAAUAUGAGAAUCCAUACUUGCAUCUAAGAGAUUUUGAGGAAGUUUUAAUACAUACACAGACAAAAAUUGUAGCAUGAACAUAAUUAGAUUAAAGCUUUUUUCCUUUUUCAUUAAAAAAUAAAACUAAAACUUGGCUACAAAACCUUGGAUAUAAAUCAAUAAGACCUUGGAAUAACAUGCAAGAACAAUUUUUGAAAAUUUUUUUCCACCUCAUAGAACAAUUCUUUUAAAAGACAAAUCACUUCUUUUAUUAAAAAAAAAAACAGAGAAACAUUAUACCAAUGUUGGGAUAGGUUUAAAGAAUUGCUUAACAUAUGCCCACACCAUGGUUUUGAAACUUGGCGAUUGGUCACUUAUUUCUAUGAGGGCUUAAUACCCCAAAGUAGACAGGUUGUUGAAAUGAUGUGUAAUGGUGAAUUUAGGGAUAAAAAUCAUGAAGAUGCACUAGAUUACCUUGACCAAUUAGCUGAAAAUGCACAACAUUGAGAUAUUGUUGGAACUUUUGAAUUGAUAAAUAAGCAACAGCCAUCUCCAUCUAGUGGAGGAAUCCAUAACCUUAGGGAAGAUCAUGAUUUACAAGCAAAAUUUGCAUAUCUAGUUAGGAAAGUUGAAGAUUGUAUGUAAUCUUUGUAGUUCGAAUGAUAAUUUCACUCAAGAUUGUCCCACUUUAUCUGCACUUAAAGAAUGUUUAAAUGAUCAAGCUCACAGACUUAUAAUCUUGGUUGGAGAAAUCAUCCGAAUUUUAGUUGAAGCAAUAAUAAUAAUGCACAAUCUUCACAAGCACUACCUCCACAAAAAUUUCAAAAUGCUCAGCCUUAUGCUCUAUAUGUUCCACUACCUUGGAAAAAUAUGGAAGAUACAAUGCAUUCAUUCAUCAGAAAGCAAGAUGUUAUUAACAAUCAAAAUGCACAACUUUUUCUAAUUUGAAAGAUACUCUUGCUAAAAUUGCUUCUGCACUCACAAUUCAAGAAAAAGGAAAUUCCAGCCCAACCACCGCCAAAUCCUAAGUUUCAACAAAAUCCACCUACGGACCAAGUCAAGUGAGUUAUAACUCUUCGUAGUAGUAAGAUUGUUGAUAUACCUAUGCCUGAACCUUGCGAAAAUGAUGAAAAUUCGAAAGGUAAGGAAGGGCUAAAUGAACUUACACCUAAUGAAGAAUUAACUAGUGUUCCACAUGAACAACCAUUUUCGCAUGCAUUGAAUAAACCAAGAAACUCAAACCACUCUUCUGAAAUUUAUGAAAUCUUUAAGCAAGUGAAAGUUAAUAUUCCGUUAUUAGAUGCAAUCAAGCAGGUACCUUCAUAUGCCUAAUUUUUAAAGGACUUGUGCACUGUUAAGAGGAAUUGAAGGUAAGAAAGAGUGCUUUCGUGGCCGAACAGGUAAGUACAAUUAUGUCUACUAAUAAUAAGUUGAAAUAUAAAGAUCUUGGUUGUCCUACCAUUUCUUAUAUUAUUGGUGAUCGCAGAGUUGAACAUGCUUUACUAGAUCUCGGUACUAGUGUUAAUUUGCUUUCAUAUUCGGUUUAUCUUCAACUUAAUCUUGGUGAGCUAAAAUUAACUUCAACUACACUUUUGCUUGCCGAUAGAUCAAUUAAAGUACCAAAAGGAAUAGUAGAAGAUGUUUUAGUAUAAGUUGAUAAAUUCAUAUACCCUGUGGAUUUUAUUGUCUUGGAAAUUGAACCUGUUGUGAAUAAUUAUAAACCAAUUCCUAUAAUUUUAGGUCGACCAUUUUUAGCAACUGCUAAUACUUUUAUUAAUUGUAAGAAUGAUUUAAUGAAUUUAUCCUUUGCAAAUAUGACUUUGUAACUGAAUGUUUUCAAUAUGCUCAGGCAACUUAAUGAAGAAAAUAAGAAUGAAGAUGAUACUGAUGAACAAAAUAAAUUACUUAAAUCUUGUAUUGAGGAAAAUAUUCAAAAAGGGGAUUUUUCUGAACUCUCUAAUGUUUGUUUAGUUAAUUCAAUUGAGUCAAAUAAGUAACUUGAAUUUGAUAUUUCUAAUAUAAAUUUGUUGCUUGAUUCUGUACAGAAUUAUGAUGAAGAGCCAAAAUUUGAGGAGCUUGGAGUUAUUGAAAAGACAGAACAACAAGAAACACCUAACUUGGAAUUGAAACCUUUGCCUGAAGGAUUGAAGUAUGUUUUUCUUGGAGAAGAACAAGCUUAUCAUGUUGUAAUUUCUUCUACUUUAACAAGCGACCAAGAAGGUAAGUUACUAACUGUUCUUAAAAGGAAUAAAAAUGCAAUUGGAUGGACUUUAAUUGAUAUUAAAGGCAUUAAUCCCUUAAAUUGCAAACACAUAAUUAAUUUGGAAGAAAAUGCUAGAACAUGUCAAUAACCUCAAAGAAGAUUAAACCCACACAUGAAAGAGGUAGUCAAAACAGAAGUCCUUAAAAUGCUUGAUAUGUGAAUUAUCCACUCUAUUUUUUAUAGCAAGUGGAUAAGUUCUACAUAAGUAGUGCCUAAAAAAUCUAGAAUCACGAUUGUUAAAAAUGAAAAAGGUGAAUUAAUUCCAACACGAAUUACAUCUAGUUGGCAUAUGUGCAUUGAUUAUAGAAAGUUAAAUGAAGCCACUAGAAAAGAUCAUUUUCCAUUACUAUUCCUUGACUAAAUCUUAGAAAGAGUAGCUAGAUAUCCCUACUACUGCUUUUUAGAUGGAUAUUCUGGUUAUUAUCAAAUUCCUAUAGCACUUGAGAACCAAGAAAAGACCACAUUUAUCAAAUUCCUAUACCAAUCUCCUGAUUGGUCUUUGCCCUUUGAAUUAAUGUGUGAUGCAAGUGAUUUUGCUGUUGGUGCUGUUUUAGGACAAAGAAGCGAUGGUAAGCCCUUUGUGAUUUAUUACGCGAGUAAGACUUUGGAUAGUGCUCAAAUAUAUUAUUUUACAACUGAAAAAGAAUUAUUUGUUAUGGUAUUUGCAUUAAACAAAUUUCGUUCAUUUUUGCUUGGCUCUAAAUCUAUUGUGUUUACUGACCAUGUUGCUGUGAGAUAUUUGAUAAGUAAAUAGGAUGCCAAACUGAGACUACUUUGUUUGAUUUUGUUACUUCAAGAAUUUGACCUUACCAUCAAAGAUAAAAAGGGUGCUGAAAAUAUCGUUGAUGAUCAUCUAUCAAGACUCACAUUCGAAUUCUGCACUAAUAUAACACCCAUCAAUGAUUCUUUCCCUGAUGAAUUUUUAUUUGUUAUUACUUCAAUGCCAUGGUAUGCUAACAUUGUUAAUUUCCUUAUUACAGGUAAAAUGCCUUUGCAAUGGAAUGCUCAAGAGAAGAAAUUUUUUUUUGUUGAAGUAAAGAAAUUUUAUUGGGAUGACCCUUACUUGUUUAAAUAUUGCCGAGAUCAAAUUUUUCAGCGAUGUAUUCCUAUUAAUGAGAUAAGUAGUGUCAUUAAUUUUUGUCAUUCUGAAGCAUGUGUUGGACACUUUUCUUUAAGAAAAACUACUACUAAAAUGUUUUAGGGUGGAUUUUGUUGGCCUACCAUAUUCAAAGGCACAUAUGAAUUUUGUAAAACUUGUGGAAAAUGUCAAAAAUUGGGAUCAAUUACUAAAAGAAACAUGUGCCUUCAAAUCACAUACUUGAGAUUGAAAUAUUUGACUGUUGGAGAAUUGAUUUCUUAGGUCUAUUUCCAUCAUCUUUUGGAUUUGUGUAUAUAUUAGUUGCAGUUGAUUAUGUCUCAAAAUGGAUUGAAGCAAUUUCUUGUCGAAAUAAUGAUAGCAAAAUUGUGGCUAAAUGUUUAAGAGAAAACAUUUUAAGUCGAUUUGGAAUUCCUCAAGCCAUUAUUAGUGAUGGAGGUAAGUAUUUUUGUAAUAUGUGAUUUGCGUCUUUAAUAAAGAAAUACAGAAUUACACAUAAAGUUGUUACCCCUUAUCAUCCUUGAACAAAUGGUCAAGUUGAAUUAGCAAAUAGGUAGAUAAAACAAAUUUUGAAAAAAACGGUUAACCCAAACUGAAAAGAUUGGUCUCUUAGACUUAAUGAUGCACUUUGGGCCUACCGUACUGUAUUUAAAAUGUCAUUACGAAUGUCACUCUAUCAGUUAGUUUAUGGUAAAUCUUGUCAUUUACCUGUUGAACUUGUACGUAAAUCACUUUGCGCUAUUAAAGUUUUUGAUUCAAAUUUAAAUGAUGCCGGUAAUGUGCGAAAAUUACAAUUGAAUGAACUUGAGGAAUCAAGGAAUGAUGUAUACAAAAAUUUAAGAAUUAUUAAGGCAAGAACAAAAGUUUUUCAUGAUAAAAGAAUUUUUCGGAAAACGUUUGAGAUUAGUUAAAAAGUAUUGCUUUAUAAUUCUCAUCUUCAUUUAUUUCCAGGGAAGUUAAAGUCAAAAUGGAGUGGCCCAUUUAUUGUAAAAAAUAUAUAUUCAUAUGGGGCCAUAGAAAUUGAGAAUCUAAAGAACUGUGUCACGUUUAAAGUUAAUGAUCAAAGAUUAAAACCAUAUUUAGAACAUCACCCACGUGAAGAAGACAUCGAAAUCAAUUUGGGUGACCCUGUUAGCCUAUAUGGCUAUAAAUAUUGAUUUUGAUGAUAACAAACCACAUGUAUUUAUUAAGUAAAGAUUUAUGAAUUGUGCUUUUAUAAUAAGAAAAUGAUGUUAUGAAAUUAAAGUAUUUUGGACUAAAAUGAAAGUAUUUUUAAAAUCUUUGUUUUUAAAUUUCAGAUUUGGACCUAUUUGAAACUAUUUAAAUGUUUUUAGGCCAUUCUAUAAUUUCACAAAGUUUGGGCGAAGUCAUAAUUUCAAAAAGUUGUGGGAUUGACAAAGCAUUAUUCUAAAAUUCUGAAAUUGGACCUUUUUGCAAACUUUCAUAACGUUUUGGGCCACACUACAGUUUUAUAAAGUUUUGGGGUCAAACUAUAAAUUUGGGAAAAUAUUCAUUGUAGCAGUUACUGUAGCAAGCGGAAAUCCGGAUCCUGACAAACGGAAAUUCGGUUGUUGGGCAGUAAGCUACUGAGCAUAAGCGGAAAUCUGAAUGUGACAAAGCGACAAUCCGGAUGUUCAGAAAUUCAAAAUUAUGGCUGUAACGGUAUCAUUAAGCGGAAUUCUGGAUGUCCAUAACCGGUAAUCCGGUUACGACCAAAAUAUGCAUAACGGCUAGUUUUUGAGCUCAAACUAUAAGAACUCAAAUCCAACUCAUUUUCAAUUCUCUCCAACAAGCAAAAACAAAAAGCACACGUGAUAUCUUGAGCCUUCAACUUGCUAAACACAAAUUAUUGAAUCAUUCAUUGUUCUUCAUCUUUGAAUAUCUACUCAUUGAGUGAGUUUCAUUGUAACUUUCAUUUCUUCAAUUCAUUUGUAAGAGUUUGAGUGUGUGAGACACUUGAGUGAAGAGAUUGGGAGAUAAUCUUUUUGUUGUAAAGGUUUAUUGACACCUCGAAGUCAAUUGUAAUCGUUGAAGCCUUGAAAAGGCUUGGAUAGUGAAAUCCUCGAGCUUGGAGGCGUGGACGUAGGCGAGGAUUGCCGAACCACGUAAAAAUUCGUGUGUUUGUUUCUCUUCUCCCUUACUCUUUAAUUAUUGUGCUAUUAUUGAACUUAUUGUUUUCAAUUAUUGUUAAGACAUUAGAUUGCUUGUUGUGUGGAUUUCUUAGGAUAAAUUUUAAAAUUCCAAUUCACCCCCCUCCUGGGUUGCACACUUAUAUUUCAGACCCAACAAUACUUGAUUAAGUCAUUAAUGACUGAUUUAUUUUUUUGUUUUACUAUUAUUUUGCCGUUUCAUUGUUGGUUUUUUUCCUUCUCUUUUAAUUGAUGGACUGUACAUUUUUUUUAGCAUUAUAUUUCUUGUUUAAGCGUGUUUGUUUGACAUCUGUACUUUCUCUCAUCAAUUUCAUUAUACAUCAUGAGUACCUCAAUAAGAAAGUUUCUAUUCACACAUCUUAAAAGAUUUAUGCAUGUGAAAUUUCACUUAAAAGGCCUAUGUUAAGGAUCUAGAAAGACAACUCAGAGCAGUAGAGAGAAGUAUAUAUGAAUAUCAAUUAGAGCUUAAGGUUAACUCAAUAAAAGGACGAAUGUAAGUUCAUUUUUCUUUCUCAUUUUUUCUUUUCUUUGUGUGAUUUCUUUUUAUUGUUUUUGUUCAAUUUCACAUUUGAUUUGAUUUUGCAGUUUUAAUUCUCUUUAUUUUGGUGUAUUUUGAUUUAUUUUCCCAUACAAAUGGUGGAUAAUGGUACUUCGUGCCUUCUUAAGUCAGUAUCUUUAGUUUCCCACAAUAACUGAAACCCCAAAAUCAAACAUGGAAAAAAACAACAUAAACUGCAUAAGCAUUUUCCCUCUCUCCUUCAGAAUGCCCUCAGGAAAAUUUACAAAGCUCUUUGUGAACGACUGCGUUUGUUAAUGAUCAAUGGCAUUCCUUCUGACAUUUGUUGGUCAAUUGAAGCAAAUGUUUGAUUAGCAGGUGAGUUUUCUGAUCCAUUUGUUUCUUACGUACCUGGUUUUGGUAAAAGUAUGUUUGCUAAGAAAAGGAGAGCUAAACGACUUGGCUUAAAAUGUUAUAAUUGUAUAAGACUUGGUUGCAAAUGGGAGGUUUAUAAAACUUUAGGAAUGGUGAAGAUAAAAUUAAAUUCGUUAAAGAUGGCCUGAGUAAAGAAUUGUUGAAUGAUAUCUUACGAUCUCUUGAGAAGCAACGAAGCGGAUAUGUGCAACUUGAGAUUCAUAAUUUGUGGAUACUAUUCCAAAAAGAAAGUGCACAAUUUAGUCUUAGGAAUCCGACUCAAAAAGACCCUGUUUACUAGUUUAUAAGAAAACUGGAUGGGAAGCCUAUCCUCGACCUAUAGAGGGUGUUCAAGCCGUUACUGGACAUAAAAUCAUAGGAAGAUGUGAGCCACAAUCACAACUACUAGUAAAUAUCCUUUUUAUUUUCCUGUUAUUUUAUCAUUUGCAUUACUGUAUUUAGCGGUGUGAUUUUGUAUUUAAUAAACAUUUGUUUUCUUUUACUGUUUGCUUUUUCUAAUUACUAUUUUUUCUUUUUAUCGUUUGCUUUUGAAUUAUUGAGCCACGAGCUUUACUCAUCAUUUGACAAAUAUGCCAAACCAUUUACAACCGUUUCUCAUUAUUACUGUCACCAAGAUCUUUAAAUAUAUGGAAAAGGUGAACGAGGGUUAUCAAGACUUGUCUCGAAAGUUAUUUUUACUAGAGGAAGCUAAGUACUAGGCAUCAUCCCAAAAGCAAUUAGACCUCUAGUAUGCCUGUCUGACCCACUAAUUGGAGAAGAAUUAGUAGUAUCAGGUAUAUAAGAAAGAAUAUUUGAAAUGUUAAAUCAUGCUGAUGCUUUUAUUUUCUUGCCAGGAGAUCUUACAAAUUUUGAGGCACUGAUUACAUUUGCAUUUUGGGCCCACUUAAACAUUCAUAAAAAUACUCAUCGGUUUGUUAAAUGUUAAUAAUUUUCAUAAUGGCUUGCUAACUUUUAUUAACCAUGCAAUAAAGAAUCAUUUUGUUUCACACUCUGUAAAAAAACUCUUUAUCUCUGCUUCUACUGCUAAUGAGUUACUUGAACUUUUACAAGCUUAUACACUAGGGCCAGAUCCUAAGACUUUUGCACUGGAUUGGUCGACUGAUGAUAGUAGCAGUAGCAGUAAUAAUAAGUGCAAAUUAGAUUUAACUCUCUGUAUGUAAAUAUUUUCUGGUGUAGUGUUCAUGUGCUGUCUUCUAAACGCUUCCUCUUUCCUUUUAAAACAUUGAGGACAAUGUCUCUUUCAGGCUGUGGGGAGGGAAUAAUUGAUAAUUGUGAAAUAUCUUAGUCCUAGUGAUGUUUUUAUAAAAAUUUUUCUGUAAAGACUGACUUUGGACUAAAUUUGAGUCGAAGAUGGCUAGAUAUUGAGAGUGCAGUACUUCUAGAAACGCAUUUUCUUAGCUUAGAGUUGACUAACUUAGGACAAAUUUAAUUCAAAGAUAGCUGGAUAUGAAGAAUGCAGUACCUCUAGAAAUGCAUCUUCUUAAUCUUAGAGUGUUAUUUAAAAAAAAAUUGACUUUUUCUUGUUUUUGUUAUACGCUUUUAAGCUUCUGCAUCGAGUUCAUGUGAGAUCUUCUCCUCCUCUUCUUUUAUUAUUAUUUUUUUAUCUUUUUUUUAAGCAUAUCUGUAAAAUUAUAAAUUGUUAAGAUAAUUUUUAGAUUAGGUUGGGGGGUGGGGACAGUUGACGUAUGUUUUUAAAUAUGUGUGUUUGUUUUUCUCUUUUCUCUUUUCUUUCUUUUUUUUUAUAAAAAAAAACCAAAAAAAACAUUUUUGUUUUUGUCUAGGAUGACUAUGUAAAGAGUCAAAACUUUUGAGACGCAUCCUAAUAGUCUUGUUGUAUUAUAUUUUGAUUUUGAAAUUCAUAGUAAAUUAUUUUUGUUCUCCUUUCUUGGAAUUACUCAAAUUUGUGAACUCUCCACUUGAUUAUUAAGUCAUUUAAUUGUUUACUCAUUUAACAAGUAUUAUUGAAUCAUUCUUCACACACACACAAUGACACAUACUAGUGAGUUGUAAGUUAAAAUUUUACAACAUUUAGUUCUUUUGAUUUAUUAUGGAUAAUAUCUAAGGUAGUAGAAAGUGUAUAUUGUAAAAAUAAAAUAUAAAAAAAUAGAAAAACCAAAAAAGAAACCAAAAAAAGAAAAAAAUGAAUGCUUUUAAUUUUGCUAUAUCUAGAACCCGACUAAUUAAGUCCUUAAGGGUGUUUCAACACCCAGUGCCCUAAAGCCAAUUAGUCCGAGAAUCACUGACCUAAAGCUCGCUACAUGGGUUAAAAAUGUAAUAUUUUAAAAUAUGUGUGAAUAAUCUACUACCUAAAGAUAGAAUUUCUAAUGAAUUUUGGAACGAAAAUGUUGUUCAAAAGAAGGUUUGAUGAUAUUCUGGAUAAUUAGUGAACAUCAAAGAUGUAAAUAAAUUUGGGAGAGUUCAUUUAUUUGGUACUUCAGAGGAUAGAUGAAUAAUUAUUAACUUGCAUGUAAGUUUUGUAAAUCUUAAUUUAAUAUAACGCUUUAAUUGCUAGAGACUAGCAAUAAGCUGGUUGGGGACUGUGAUUAAUAUUAAAAAUUGUUUAAUUAUCAAGCAAUAAUAAUUUUAUUUUAUGCUUAUGUUAUAAUUUAUAUUUGUGUUUAUGCAAUAUGUUAGGAAUUAUUAAUUAUGUUUUAAAUAUAUAUAAUUUUGUGUGUUUAUUAGGUAAAAUAUUAAUUUCAUGUAAUUCGAGGCUCCAAACAUAUAAAUGGAGGUCAAAUUUGGAUUCCAGAGGUCCAAAAACUUUAAGAUGAGUUAAGAUCGGCUUAAAAUUGGGCUUGUGUAAAAAAAAAAAAUUGACUUUUUGUGUUGACCAAGCACUGAUUGGAUGAUAAAAUGAGCUUACAAUAGGUAUGAGUGCAUGGGAUAACUGGCAAUUUUGACUAAAUCUCAACCGUUCAUGAUUUAAUGGCUAUGAUUGUGCCACGUGGUAAUGAUUGGUAAAGCAAGUUGUAGGACACAAAUUUUUAUAUUCGGAUUGGAUCCGAAUCUUUGUAUUCGGGUAAUACAAAUUUGUCAUGGGAUGGUGUUGUGGAUUGAGGAACGCAUCAUUGAAACGGAUAUCCAUUGUUAAAUAUAAUUAUGAUUUCAGAUUUUCAGUAGCCAGCGAGCGAUUGUAAUAGUCCCUAUUGUGGGUAAUGUUUUCUGACUCAUAAAUGCUUGGCAUUUUUUUUUCUUUUUGGGGGACAAGAUAAAUGCUAUUGGCAUGGAAUUGCCAGAAGUUAUCCAAUUUUUUGAUUAGAAACUAUACUCUUAUAGUCGUAUUAGUCUUGAAACAUUAGCUGUGACGACACAUGCAUGUGAAUUUAUAAAAUAUUUGGCACUUAAUAUUUUCUUUUUCUCACUUACAGUUAUCUCUUAUUAUAUCUAUUUCAGCGAAUCUGUUGUGACUGCAGUUGUAUUUUCUGCUCUUCAUUAAUUGUUAGUUUGUUCUUGCAAAAGCGGGACAAUCAUUGAAUAUAAUUUUCUUUCUUGAGCACGAAGUUACUUAGCUGUAUGCUAUUUUUUUGUUUUAGCCUGGGAUCAGUAAUGAUCCGACUUUUAGAAGUGACUUCAUUUUGUACUGUCAGUUGAAGUUUCAGAAUUCGAUGAUGAACUCCAUGGUGAUGCCAAAAUAAUGGAGAAAGAUAAUGCUCUUCGCUGGGCACUCUUACAGCUUGCCAAUGAUUUUGGUAAAGAGUUUAUGGGUCCGUUUGUGAUUGAAGUUAGGCAAUUGUAGCUUAAAAAGUACAGUACUAAGGUGUUUGGUAAACAUUAGUUGUUGUAACUUAGAAGCUAUAUUGAUAUAAUUUUUUACUUGCGUGGUGAAAAAUCUAUUAUAUUAUUAAUAAUUUUGUCAAAAUUAUUAUUUAAAAAUUAUAUUUGUUAUAUAUUUUUAACUUCUAUUUUAUAAUUACAGCUUUUCUCCACAGGAGCUCAAUGUUACAGCGCCUCAAUCCCAAACGAGACUUAUGAUAUCUUUCAAGCGGGUUUUUAGCCACUACUACAAAAAUGACCUUUACUGACACUUCGUUUCUGACACUUUGUAAAAAGUGUCAGUAAUGUUAUACAUUUGGAUCAUUUUUUCCAUUUAACAAAUAUAUAUCAUAAAUCACUGGUACUAAGGUGUCAGUAGCAUAAAACUCAGUAAUUACUGAUACUUUAGUAUCAGUUAUAAAAACAAAUAUAAUUCUAAUUAUGUUUUUACUUGGACUCGAACUCAAUAUCUCCGAAGUUAAAAUUUUAAUUUCAAACUACAAACCACUUGUGUGCAUAUAUUUCUUUGUUUGGUUAAACCGUAUAUAAUUAACUACAACCCUUUGCUAUAAUUUAACACAAAAUUUUCGAUCUCCCUCCACCAAAAUUUGUUCCCUCUCAAACAAACUAAAAUCCAAAUCCCUAAAAUUCCAAGUGCCUAAAUCCCUAACUCUCCCUAAGCGCUAACCAGCGGCAGCCCCUCUCUAAGGCCUUAGUAGCACGCACGAUGACAACGGCACACGCAGCCCAUGCGGCGGCGGCGGCGGCGGCAGCCCAGCAGGUCGUACCACACACUGCAGUAGCUCGCUCGCUUUCACUCUCUCUCUGAAGGCACACACAGCAGCAACAACCCCUCUCUUUCACGCUCGUUUAGUCUCUCUCACUUUCUCCGUCUCUGGUCACCAUCUCACCCUCCAGUCUAAAUUAUUGCUUUUGCAGCCGCGUUCAGCCGUCGCCAUCGCGCCGGCCGCCUGAGACAAUGAGUUGAGAUUCCACUUUUUAAUUUUUUCAUUAAUUUUUUGUCUAAAUUAGAUUAGUCAAAUACUCAAAUUAAUUGAGUUGUGAGUAAUACUGUAAUAAUUUAAUUUGCCCCGCAUCCCCUGAAGAAGGUAAGCAACUCCAUUUUUAGGGUUCGUGUAGUAGUUGUCUUGCCUGAAUCACCUUAGUAAUCAUAAGGUCGGUUUUCUCAAGAAGGGCAACUUCGAUCUUUUGGCAUUUUCAGUGCUUCUUCCGAAUCUCUCUUCAUUGUAGCUUGCUUCUGCAUGUGAUUUGAGGGCCAAGAAUUUAUCUUAAGGGCGAAUCAUAUUAUGUUUCAAUUCUCUGUUUGACCCUUUUAACUUUUGAAUUUCAACAUUAUGUGUUUAGUGUUCUGUCAGUUGUUUUAUCAAAUACAUAGGCCUCUGGGCUUUAGACACUAGUGUUCAAAAUUGUCAUCUAGUUUUUAUGGUAUCUUUGAGUAGGGGUUUCACUUCAUUUGCUUGAAUAUAUAAAAGAUCAGUUUUCAUUGUCAUGGAUCAAAAAAAAAAAAAAAGGCUUUGGCCAAUGGUACCUCAGGAGGUCAAAGCCAAGGCUUCCAAAGACAUUGUUCCCAGGAUCGAUGUGACUCAGUUUGGCUACUUUAAGGUUUUGGGUAAGGGCCUUUUGCUUGAGAACCAACUCGUUGUGGUGAAGCGUUUCCAAAACAGCCAAGAAGAAAAUUAAAAAAGCUGGUGGGUCUGUUGUGUUUACUGCUUAGGUUUAUGUUAUUGCUUUUAUAAAUUUUUUUCUGAUAUUUUGGUUUCACCUUUUGAGUAUUUGACUAUAUAGUUUUGGAUAUUUAUAUUAUCAUCGGAAACUUUUCGCUUUAUAUUAAGACAUGUUAUUCAUUAAUAAUAAUAUUUUACAGAAAAUGUUUUAAUUUCUUUCUUCCAUUCGGCACUCGUAGUAUUUAUUUGAUUCGAUUUCUGUCAUGGUGUGUUGAUUAUGAAAUACAAGUAAGCAACCCAAGAGGGGGGGUGAAUUGGGAUUCUAAAAAUUAUUUAGAACUAAAACUAAAACUCAAUGCAAAUCCAACACAAAUUCAAAGCAAUAACAAUUAAGAUGAUCACAAUACAAAAAGAUAAGGGAAGAGAGAUUCAAACACGAGAUUUUUACGUGGUUCGGCCAACCUCGCCUACGUCCACGCCUCCAAGCUUUCCGGGCUUGAGGAUUCCACUAAGCAAGCCUCCAAGGCUUCAAAUGCUUACACUUGACUUCCAAGGUGUCAAUGGACCUUUACAACAAGAGAUUAUCCCCAAUCUCUUAACCCAAGUGUAUCCCAACACUUACAAUCACUCAAAGUAAAAGAUUACAAAUUGUUUCUCUCACUCAAUAUUUAAGAUUACAAAUCAAUGCCCAAUGUGUGAAUAAAUGAAGAGAGAAUGUGUUUAAAGCUUUAUGAAGAUUGUAUUCUUGGAUAUAUGCUCAAUGAUAGUGUUUUGUUCAACCUUCUUUGAAUUUGAAUGAGCUUAUUUAUAUUUGGAGCCGAAAAUCUAGCCGUUACAAACUGUCGGACAGAAAAUGGUUUGCCGUUAGCCAUUAACGGUUAACCGUUCAGGCUGGUCAAAGUUACCGUUGGGCCAGAUUUCAAAUAAACGGUUUGCCGUUUAGGAUUGCCCUUUCGCCGUUAACUUCCAGAGACCUGCAAGAUGAACAUUGGUUAUCCGUUUACGCUAAACGGUUAAGGACUUGCAUGAAGUAACGUUUCUGGAUAUUAUCGGUUAACCGUUUGAAAUAAACGGUUAGCCGUUUGUCUCCAGUAACCUGCACAAUGAACAUCAGUUAAUCUGUUUUCAUUUAGCGGUUAAGGAUUUGCAUAAAGUGGCUUCUCUGGGUGUUAUCGGUUGACCGUUUAAAAAUAAACGGUUUGCCGUUUGGCUCCAGUAACCUGCACAACAAUUUAGCCUUAUCAGUUUUCGUUAAUCAAUGCCAGAGAAGGACAACCUUCAAUUCUGGACGUUGUCGGUUAACCGUUUAAAAAUAAACGAUUCACCGUUAAUUUCCAAUAGCCUUCCCAUCUUGGGUGUUUUCCGUUAAGCAUAAACGGCUAGAGCUUAGGCAAAUAUGUUGCUCUCUGGUGAUAAUCGGUUAACCGUUUAAAAGCAAACGGUUUACCGUUAAUUUCCAGUAACCUUCCUAUCUAUUGUGUUUUCGGUUUUCCAUAAACGGUUAGAGGUUUAGGAAAUGUGUUACUCUCUGCCUAUAAUCGGUUAACCGUUUAAAAUAAACGGUUCACCGUUUAUAACUAGAAUUGCAAUUUUAAACAAGUUUUUGCCGAGAAUUUCUUUCUAAUUUGAAAAACCAUCUUUUAUGAAGAAAUAAGGCAAUGAUUAAAAGAGUUUUCGUUUAUUAAGAAAUAGCUCCAAUAUUUUUGUCAAAAUACAUUUAAAAUUUGUUAUCAUCAAAAUCAAUAUUAUUAACAUAUUUAUGUUAACAGAUUAUGCGGAUGAUAAGAUACUACCUUGCUCCUUUACUUAUGCUUGAUUCCUUAUACUAGAAACAUACCUCUAGUAGAGUUGCAAUUUAUCUACUUUAUUGUUGUAAAAUCUGUUAUAAAAUGUAUAAGCAAUCAUUCAUUUGAACUCUCUUUAUACGCUUAAAAUCUGAAUUUAUGUAUGAGGUGUUAGUGUCAAUGUUGUUGAUCAUUUCAGUAAGUAGUGCCAAUUUAUAAUGACCUUGGUGCAUUUCUAUUUAGUUAGUAAACUUUUGUCAUUUAAGUUGUUUAUUUGUUUAACAAAUGUAUAACUAGUUUCUACAAAUUUACUUUGUGUAUAAUAGAUAAUUCAAAAUCUUGGCAUAGAGGAAAGUGAAGUUUCUGAGGUAAAUAGGGUACUUUACAAAAACUAUACCACAUUAAUGGCUAGUCUAAGAUGCAUUAUAUAUGUAAGUUUAAAUGCACUAUUAUUUAUAUACAUAUCCUUGUAAAAAAAAAACCAAUAAAAGCAGUUUCAUAAACUGAUGUAAAUGCUGUUAUUAUUGUUAAUUUGCAGGCUAUCUGCUAUGACUUCAACAAUGAUGCCUAUCAUAGGUAACAUUAUUUUCUUUUCUAAUUCAUUUGAAAGUGUUAAUUUGCAGGGGCUGUUUCUACUAUAGAACAGCAACAAGACAGCCCUUGUAAAUUUCUAGUGGCUGUUUUCACUGCACAACAGCCCCUACAGAUUUUCCGGGGCUGUUUUGUUGCUAUUCUAAAGUCAAAACAACUCCUAUAAUUUUUUUGGGCUAUUUUGCAAUGGAAAUACUUUUGAGGAUUGUUGAGGAAGGAGGGGAAUGAGAGCGGUAGUUUUUUAGAAGGCUUGAUGAGAGUUUCAUAAAUUUGACAAGUUUUAUGAGAUUAAAGUGAAAGAAGUUUAUGCUAAGGCUGAAAGUUUGAGUGGGCAAAUGGAUGUUUUGAUUGCAGAUUUCUGUUGUUUGAUUAUAAAAAAUAGGAAGUUUUUAAUUAGAUUGACUUAGAUGUUUUGUUUUCUCUGACUUGUAGCAGGUUAUCCAACAUGGUUUCUUCAGACAACUUAAGCUAAGGUUCUUUAUUUCUAUAACUUUCAGUAUUAUUGUAAUCUUAUUUCUUAUUGUUUUAUUAGUUGUUGAAACGUCCUUCAAUUGCUCUGUUUAACUACUCACAAUCAAUUUGUUUUCGAUAAUCUAUUUCCAUACUAAUUUAUUUUAUGUUGUUGUAGGUGGGAAAAAAAUGAAGCUGCAGAUGGAUGUUGAGUGAUGUUCUUGUGCUUCUUUUUGGUGGAAACUAAAUUCGUACUUUGUGGUUGUUGAAAAAUUAAUUUAGUACUUAUAUUUUUCUUUUCCAGAUAGUGGUGUAGUUGAAUCAUGUGAAUUUGAGUGAUGUAUUUGGGAUGUUUAUUAUGUGAAUUAUAUUGUGACAUUUUAUAUAUUUAAUAUAUUUUGAGCUUUCUUUUGGUUGUAAAACAUUCAGGAAAAAUAUAAUUAGAAUAAAAAAAAUUUAUUAACCAAUCCUGCAUAACAUUGUUAAAUACUGACACUAAAUAUUUAAAUUGACAUUAAUAAUUUUUUAUAUUAUCGAGCUAGCUUAUUAUUGAUACUAUAGUCACAUAAAUCACUGACGUGUAAAUAGUAUCAUUAAAUACCAACAUCAUCGUGUCAUUAUUUUAGUGAUACUAUAGUGAAACAAAUUACUGACACAAAAAUUACUGACACCAAAAAUUAGUGUCAAUGUGUUCUGGCUUGAGCAACACUGACACAAUUAACAAGUGUCAAUAAAAGUAAUUACUGACGCUAAAUUAGUGUCAGUAAAACUCAUUUUUCUAGUAGUGAGCUCAAGGCGUGGGCUUGUAAUACCUACAGGCUCUUUAAAGCUUGAUCUAGCGCUUGGGAUUGGAGGAUUACUAAAGGUGAUUAGAUGAAAAAUCAUUUUUUCAUUGCGCCUUUUCCUCAAUAAGCAUAUGUUGCACACAUAGAUAUGGAAUAGAUUAUUGGUGAAUGACAAUUCAAGGAUUUAUGAUACCUGUUUGUUGCUUCUCAUGACAGAUAACAAGUUAAAGAGAGUUCAGCUGUUUCGUACUGCCAUAUAUGAUGACAUUCCUGAGCUAGUUUGUUGCUGACAGCCUCACACUCUCUUAUGUUUUUUUUUUAAAUUAUUACUUUUUAACUCAUUGGGGACUUUGGUAAGUUUGUACAUUUCAUGUGGCUGCAGGAAGUGUCCCCUGAAAUUUUUGAAAUCUCAUGAGCCAAACCAAUAGAAUCAUUACCAAAAGAUUUCUUUUGCCAUAAUUACAUGAAAGUAAAGUUUGCAAUACUUGUGCAUCUUGUUGACACACUAUUAUUUCAGUCAAAAACCGAUGCCAAAACCAUAUACUGGAACUUUUUACAUAUAACAAGUCAGAGUUUAAUUAUUUGAUCUGUUGGUUGGAAAAUAUGCCUUUUUAGGUCAGAAAUUUAAUCACCUAAUUUCAAAAUUNNNNNNNNNNNNNNNNNNNNNNNNNNNNNNNNNNNNNNNNNNNNNNNNNNNNNNNNNNNNNNNNNNNNNNNNNNNNNNNNNNNNNNNNNNNNNNNNNNNNNNNNNNNNNNNNNNNNNNNNNNNNNNNNNNNNNNNNNNNNNNNNNNNNNNNNNNNNNNNNNNNNNNNNNNNNNNNNNNNNNNNNNNNNNNNNNNNNNNNNNNNNNNNNNNNNNNNNNNNNNNNNNNNNNNNNNNNNNNNNNNNNNNNNNNNNNNNNNNNNNNNNNNNNNNNNNNNNNNNNNNNNNNNNNNNNNNNNNNNNNNNNNNNNNNNNNNNNNNNNNNNNNNNNNNNNNNNNNNNNNNNNNNNNNNNNNNNNNNNUGUUUUAGGUAGAAUGGAAAUUUUUAAUGAAUUAGUUCCCUUUUCCUUUUAAUGAUUUAUCUGUUAUUUCUAAUUACAGUUUAAAUCUUCAAUGAUAUCUAGUUUGAUGCUGAAUGUACAGGAUUUGAAUGAUGGCAGGUGUAUCAAUGCCUAACUCUUAAUUUUAUUUAUUAUUAUAUUUUUGCACGGGAAUUUGAUAGAGAAUCAGUUCAUAAACAUGUUUUGUUAUUUUCUAUUUAUGCAGUACUAGCUUUUAUAUGGAAGAUUUUUCUGUGAGAGCUGCUGCAUUCAUCUUCAUUUUACUUCAACUGCAAUUAGAAAUGAAAGACCCGAACUUUAAUGUGAGAUCCCCUCCAGGGAAGAAUUGUAGAAAUAUAUGGGCGUAAAGCAUCUGGCGAAACAACGUUAGCACUUCAUGUUAUCAAGGAAGCUCAAAAGCUUGGAGAUUUUGGCUUCUUAUACUUUGGUUUAACCAAAUUAGUAUUAGCAGUGUGCGUGUGUUUUCUUUUUUCCCCAAACGAUUGGCAAUAGUUUCUAACUUCUCCAUAUUGAUAUAUUAUCUCUUUAACUUGGGAUAACUCAUAUACAUCUCAUGUCAGCUUGUACCCCAGUAAAAUUGUAGCCAGGCUUCAAAGAGCCAAAGUGCAGCACAGGUCAUUCUUCCAUAAGUUGAUUAUUGUACAUGUGACUAAGGCCAUUAUUCUGUAAGUAGAUAUUAUGUACCCUUGAAGCAAAUUUUCUAGAGAACACAAAUCCACCAAAAUGAUUGAUGGCCUGAAAUGAAUAAUAACUUGUUGAUACACCUUACCGUAGUUUUUGCAAGAAGUUAAGCUAAAAUCAAAAUUGCAUCUCUUAUUAAUUUUUUUGCAUGUAUUUUUCUCUUUACUUGCUGCUUGCUGCUAAAUAGCUGGUGUUACUAGAAGUUUUCAACUUAAUGAUACUUUUGCACUUAAAAGUUUCAACUUAAUGAUACUCGCGAAACUCAUUUGAAUGAAUCUUGACCAUUUACACACUUUCUCUGUUUUUAAUGCCUGAUUCAAUUCAUUUUGUGAAUCAUAUAACUGUUGAUAUCAAGAAGUCAUCUUAGAGUUUAUUUGUUUUAUAUCUGAAUUCUAAAUAUGGGUUAAUGUCUGUCAUUAAGAAUUUUUUUGGUCUAUUUUCUUGACUUAACCUACAUUUACUUUGAAGACAUUUAUCAGAAUUUAAAAAAGUCAAUUCUGGUGUCUUUUAUUGAAAAAAAAUGAUUGGAUAUGAGUAGGCCUGGAAUUUAAAAAUCUUGGUUACAGGAAGAUAAAAUACGGUUUUUGUUGGUGGUAAAUUUGUGGGGAAUGAAAAUAUAGAGAAAUACAACAAUAAUGGUGGAACUUUAUUAUGUAAAGUAAUGUGUUUACAACUAACUCUGUAUGUAGGAAGAAACCGCAGAAAUUUUGUGUGCUUCAAGGUACGUUACAAAUGUUGCUUUCCUUAAGACGUUAUUUGCCCUCACCAAUUGAGUGAUGCACAUGGGUUAAGCAAAUACGCCUCCAGGAUACAAUGAAGCACUUGUUUGUUUGCUUGAGUUGUGCAUCGACGAAAGCAAACCAAAAUACUCUUGAAUGUUGCAAGUCUGCCAAGAAACAAUAUAUUAUUCCUGCAGAAAACAAUAUAUUGGAAUGUGAAUGCACAAAAGAAAUGAGUGUUUUGUGUUGAAAUUCGUACUAGAAAGGAAUGCUAAGAAAAGAGUAGUGUAGGAUCAUUCAUUUCAUGUCUAAAUGGCUUAAACAUGACCCUUAUUUAUAGAUAUACUUGUGCCCCCUCAUUUGGGUUAUCCUCUUUCAUGAUACCCCUUCAUUCAUGGCCAUUGGAUCUAGAUUUGAUUUUAAUCAAUGGUCCAAAUUGAACCAUCACCAUUUCAAAUGAAAUUUCACCAUGAAAUGAUGCAUCUCUAAGUGAAAUGUUGCCAUGAAAAGUUAUAUCAUUUAGUAAAAAGAUACCUUUUCUACAAGACACAAUUAAAUGGACAUGUCCUUACAACAAGACAUCAUUUAAUUAGACAUGUCUUUAGUGAAAGGUACCUUUUCUAUAAGGCACAAUUAAUAGGACAUGUCUUUACCAUAAGACACAUUUAUUUUGAAAAUUUUCUAACAGUUUUAUCCUCGAUGGUAAAUGAUAAUGGCAGAUCAUAGCCAUUUAAAGAGCAUCACAUUGCCUCAUUAAAGAUACAAAAGAAAUAUGUCUAUUGCAAAUAUUUUUGCAAUGGAUCAUUCAAGCUAUCUGUUUACUUGUUGAUAUGUGUGUCUUCUCUGACUUGUCAGUCAUGUGAAAGGGAUGUUAUUUCUGCAUAUAAAUUAUUCCCAUUUAGUAUUCUGUAUGUGUUUUGCAUGAAGUUUUACUUUUUCUUUACUUUUCUGAAUUAUAUCAUUUUUGGCGGGAUACUGUGCUUAUCUUGAUGUAGAGAAUGCAUUAGACCAUUGCCUCGCCGAAGCAAUGGGUAUAGACAUAGAAAAUCUUCUGAUUGUACAACCUGAUUCUACUGAAAAUUUGCUGAGUGUGGUUGAUACACUGACCAAAAGUGGAUCCAUUGAUGUAAUUGUGGUUGAUAGUGUAAGUGAUUCGUUCUGUAGUUAACAUUUUUAUUUAUGUAAUUUUGAGAGAAUUCUGAAAUUUCAUUAGUAAAGAUAAAAUAUACAAAAGCUAGACAGGAAAUCCACAACAAUAAAUAUAACAACUAAAGCUUAACCAUCUAUAUAUGAAGCUGAAGUGAACCUUUUACUUGAUGUAGUUUUUACUAUAUGUGAACCUUUUAGAGUGUAACUGCCACAAUGUAGUUUUUACUUGAUGCAAUCCUAGUUCCCAAAAUUGUUUAUUGUCUCAUAUUCUUACGUCUAUUGCUCUAGUAUUUGUACCUAUCAUCUCUUCUACUAAAUUGAUCAUCUUUUCUACAUAUCAUAAAAAAUGUUACUCUUUCUUGUCAGUAUAUUUUCUUCAAGGAAAUCUAAUUUUAUAUAGAAAAGUAGUUGUCGAAGUCAAAUACAACAAUAUAAAAUAGUGCUGGAACAGAGCUUAUUAAAGAAGCUUAUGGGAUGAAAGUCAACAGUUAAAUCUCUUUUUGUUUUAUGAGUCUGUGUCCCUUUCUGUCUGUGUAUGUAUUGUUAGUGGUUUUGGGUCAAAUUGAUCAAUUUCGCGGCGCCAGAUAUACAACUUGUUUGCCAUCUAAAUUUGAGAUAAUGCCAUUGCUGAUGUGUAUGUUUCAUCUUUCCUUGAGGGAAAAAUAUUAUGUUUUCUUUUGUAAGAUCAAUCAUUGUCAAUAAUUGAAAGUGCCUUCUCAUCUUUAGUUGAUUAAGGGUAUCAUUGUUGUACACUCUGCUAACCUGCAUUUAUGAUAUAGGACGUAUCCCUUAUCAAUGGUUAUCUUUAGUUGGCUGAUGGAUAACAGUUGUAAUCAUGAAUAACUUGUAUAGGGAAGUAAAAGGAAAAUGAAAGGAAGAAAGAGGAAAAAUGUUUCAUUUUGCUAUUAUUUUGUGCUGCUGUUUUUCAUCUUUGGCACUGCACUUUGCACUUGCCUAUGCUCACCUUCUGUAAAUGGCAUUGACAUUGUGAUCAACUUUACUUCUGUGGAUUUCUUCAAACUUAAUAAUGUUCUACAUGUGUGGUUUUUACAGGUUGCUCCCCUCAUCCCUAAAUGUGAAAUUGGUGUUCCCAUAAAUGGCAUGUACAGUGAUGCACAAUCAAGAAUAAUGACACAAACACCUCGAAAAAUUCAUAUAUUCGUUGUCCCAGUCCCAUGCCCUUAUCAUUUUCCUCAAUCAGGUUAAGGUGCAGUUACUAAAACAUUUUUGAAUUUUUUUAAAUGUACACUAUCGUUGAAUAUAUAGCAUAACAGUUCCAUUAUGUUCAAUAUCUAGGUUAGGUUUAGUGCAAAAUCAAGUCAUGGUUUAGGAUGUAUGGAUGAGGUCUUUUCUGGUGGAAUUGCUGUGAAAUUUUAUGCAGCUCUUCGUUUAAGAAUGGUGAGGACGAAAUUGUUCAAGAUUGGAGAUAAAGUAAACGUUCUAGUAGUAGUGAAUACAGGGAGCAUGAUUAGAUUAUAGGGCUCUUGGAGAUAUGUUUUUCUUGAGCAGAAUUAAUAAUAUCAAUUUCCCUAGUGCUUCAUUCAUUAUUUGUUUGUCAGAUUAUAUGGAAAUAGCUAUGUGGUUUUUUGUGGAAAUAUUCCAACUCCAUUCCCUUCAUCCUUGUAAAAUUGUCUUAUCAUAAUUUUGUUGCUACUUUUAACUUUUUUUCGUACUACUUAAAGUUGAAUAUCCUUACUGCUUUUAACUUUUUUUGUCUUAUCAUAAAAAUACUUAAAUAGUGAGGGAGAUUUAUGGUUGUCUCAACAUAAAAUUACUGUAGCCAUACUGGCAGUCUGAUCGCUGGCUUACUGAUUCAAGGAAAAACAUACUACUUUUUUAAGGGCUGUUUCGAUGUUAUGAUACAUAAUUCUUGACUAGCCCUUUGGAAGUUAUUGUACCACGGUUGAAGAAGUAAAUGAAUCGAGAAAGAAAUUGAUGAUAACAUAAGCCGUGCCAGUAGCAAUGUUGAAAUGAGCUGGAAAUGAGCUAGAAAUAUGUUUGGUUACUGAGAAAAAGAACGAGAAAAUGAAAGAAAGUUGUUUCCACUUUUAUUCACCAGCAACUUGUACAUGAAUGAAUCUAAGCUACAAUAGUUAUAGUUGGAUGAUUACAAACGAGAAUCUACUUGCUAGAUAUUUCUAGAAGCUUCAUACACAUGCACACUAAGCUAGUAGCUACUAAAACCGUUAUAACAAUCUUUGCUGGCUCAGCAUACUAACUAUGACCGAUAUGAUCAGCUGAAAGUGAGACCAUCAAGCUUAUUCUACAUACUCUGCCAUCAAGCAUGCUCUGCAGACUGUCUAUCAACAUCAACAGCAUCACCACACUCUCUAAUCAGGAAUAAGAAGGGAAAGGAGGGAUGGUAUUGAAGUUUCCUUAUCUAUAGCAUUAGCAGUGUCUUAUUCAGCUCAUUAGAUUUGACAUAUUUGUAAAAUGUGACGGUUUAACUCCUUGACACAUCGUAGUCUUAGAUUAAGACUUAAUUACAUACUCAUUUAAAUUUGGGAUUAAAUAUGAAUAUGUAUUUGCAUAUACUAUUUUAUGUGCAUGUAUUGAUCAUUGAUAUGGAUGAUCCCCCCCCCCCCUAAAAAAAAUUAUGUUAUGCUAUCUUCAUUUUUUUUCUCACCCUUCUAUUUAUUUAUUAAUCACAAUUAUUUUAAAUCUAUCUAUUUAUUUUAAAUGUCAUUAUUAUUAUUAUUAAAUUUUAUUACCUUUAUUGUUUUAGUUAUUAUUAAUUAUUGUUAUUAUUAUUUUAUUAAUAUUAUCAUUAUUAUCAUUUUUAUUAUUAUUAAUCUUAUUUUUUAAUUAGUAUCAUUUUUAUAAUAAUAUUUAUACAUACAUAUAGUUAAUGAAAAUUACAUUAUUUAAUACUAUGGGUAUUUUGGUAAAUUGAUUUUUAUUCCUAUUCCUCAUUCCCAUUUAUUUUGCCAAGUAAACACAUCAAUGACAUUACAAUAUAUUCUCAUUCCCAUUUAUUUUUUCCUAGUAAAUAUUAGAAUCUCAUUCCCAAUCUAGCCCAUUCCCAUUUCCAUUCCACCCCAUUCUCAUUUUAUGAAGUAAACGCACCAUAAGUUCUCAUUGGGUUAUGUAAUCGUCUCCAGAGUCAUUGAAGUUUAUAUAUAUGUAUAUUUGUCUUGUUCUCACUACAAGAAAAAGUAUCUACUAUGACAGUCCUCUGUGUGACAGUUUUUGGUCUGGAGGCCUACAACAAUAGAAUCGUGAUAGAUUUAGUUUCUGUCAUACACUUAUGACAUAGCUGUGAUAGAAAUAUCAUUUAUCAAGAAAUUAUGAUAUAUUGGUGAUAUGAAUAUCAUAUAUCAAGAAAUUAUGAUAGACUAGUGAUAAAUUAUUUGACUAUCAAGAAUGAAAGACUGAUUUUUCAUGUUGACUUUAAUUGCGCGGGUUUAACUUAAUUUUUAAAAAUAUUAUAUUACUAAAACAGAAGUGAAACGAUGUCGUCUCAGUUGUAUGUUUCACAAGUUUGAGGAAAACAAAAAUGUAAAUAAUAGAAAACAAUUAAUAAAAUGUUGUGUUUUGUUAAAAGGAGAAACAUUUUUGUGAGAAAAGAGGGAAUUUUUUUUCUAAGUGUUCAGAAAAUNNNNNNNNNNNNNNNNNNNNNNNNNNNNNNNNNNNNNNNNNNNNNNNNNNNNNNNNNNNNNNNNNNNNNNNNNNNNNNNNNNNNNNNNAACACCCAUAGUUUCAAAAUCGUUCUGGUUGUUUCACUGAAUCAUCUAUCUUUGCUGGGACGAAGUCAGUGCUAAUCGAAACCCAAAUUGGAAUGAGAACAACAUCCAGGGUACUUUUAUUGACUGAAAGAAACCCAAUCGCUUACCGUGAAAGAAGACCCAAAUCAUUGUUGCCGAAGUUGAAACCCUAGGCUUGACAAUGAAUUGAAGCUUCACACCCACUGGUGAGUCAUUGCUGCAUUUGCAUGUAUUUAAUUUUGACUAUUUAUUCAACUUUUAUGUAAAGUAGUAAAUAAUUUGUAAAAAAUUGAAAUGUAUUUGCAUGUAUUGCAUAUAUUUCGGUAAUCAAUUUACUAAAUAAUUUCAUAGGAAGAUAUAAUGUUGUUAAUUUUGAGUUUUGUUUUAAGUUGUAAUCGUGCAUUGCAUAAUGUUGUUAAUUUUUUUUUAUUCUAGGUAAUUCUGAAUUAUAUUCAUGUGUUUGUGUGUGAAUUUUUUUUUCUAGCUAUUUCUGAUAUUGAAGCUUCGUUAAGUUAAAUGAGUGUUUGUGUAUGAAGAUGGUGAUAUUGGCCUGAAAUGUCUAUAACAAAGCCUGAGGAGGGAUUCUUAGUAACUGAUUCUGUUAUGUAAAAUUGAGGGAUUCUCACAUCUCAUUGACAUCUACCUAUGCAUGUGGUGUUGUAGCUAUUUUGCAUCUGGUGGUAUUAUUGUUACUGUUGUUGUCUUGAGUCGUAACAUUUGCGUGUCAAAUAUAAAUAGUUGUGAUUACUGCAUAAACGUGACAGUUCGAUGUUCUUGAUUUGUUGAAGGCAUUGUAUUAAGGUACUUGAAGCUUUUCUUUGUGUUUGCUUUCAUUUUUGUUCUACUGAUGUAUAUUAUUUGAAGUUGUAGUUUAUUAUUUCUUCUUAGGCUUACUCAUAUGAUUAAUGUAAUUUAUUGGUACCUUUUUAGCCCUCUUGAAUCCAAGUUUUGGAAUUCUAUCAACUGAUCAUUCAAAAUAUAUUUCAGUAAUCAAUAUUGUUGCUGGAUUUGUACCUGGAAUUGGAUAUAGCAGCAGAUUGUUGUGUUUAAUUUGGUAAGUUCCAUUUCUUAUGCUCUACUAUUUGACGUAGAUCGAAGUUGUUAUACACUUGCUUAAAAUUGACAUAUCUUUAAAUUUACAAUUAUGAUACUAUGUAAUGUGUUUGUUGUGGGGUCUGUCUUAUUUAUUAUAUUUAUAGUAUAGUAGGAGAGUGAACUUUUGAAAAGUAUGAAAUUCAAUUUAUCAGCUUUCUUGGUUGCUAUAUUUGUAAUUUUGAAAUUUGUUUAAUUCACAUGGUGUUGUAACAUUAGACAAAUAUUCUAAGUAUGUACAUUCUUUCUUUGUUUUAUGUAUAUGUCAGGAACAUUAAUUAUUAAGCCAGAAAUGGAUAAAUCUUGGAUUCAAUGUAAUCGACUGUCGACAGAAUAUGAAGAGGGUGUCCAGAAAUUUAUAAAUUUUGCUAUAAAAAAUGCUGGAGACAGUAGCGUCAUUAGGUGUCCAUGCGUUGAUUGUGGGAAUUUAUCAUUUGAAACACCUACAACUGUAAAAGAUCAUUUAUAUAUGCAUGGUUUUGAUGUGAAAUACAACAAUUGGUUUUGGCACGAGAAAGAGAUUCGUAAGAGUUCUUCUCCUCAAAGAGAAAACCAUUUUCAGCAACAAAAUAUAGAGUUUGACAAUGAUAAUGAGUUAGAAAUGGUUAAUGAUGCUUAUAAGGGUUGUUAUGGGGACCCUAAGGCAUUUAAAGAGUUGCUAGAACAGGCUGAGAAACCCUUGUACCUAGGAUGCACAAAAUUACUAAGUUUCCUUUUUAGUGAAAUUGUUCAAUGUGAAUGGUAGAUUUGGGUGGUCUGACAGUAGCGUUUUUGCAUUGUUGAGUGUUUUAGCAGAUGCUUUCCCUAAAAAUAAUGAAAUUCCAACCUCUAUGUAUGAGGCCAAAAAGACAAUGUCAGCUUUGGGCUUAGAAUAUGUUAAAAUUCAUGCUUGCACAAGCGAUUGCAUACUCUACAGAAAAGAGUAUGAAGGUCUUUUGGAAUGUCCUACUUGUGGGUUAUGUAGAUGGAAGAAAAAGGAUGGUACUGUAGACCAAUAUAGGAAAGGGGUUCCUGCAAAAAAUUUAUAGUAUUUUCCUCAUAUACCUAGGUUGAAGCGCAUGUUUCAGUCAUCCGAAAUUGCUAGGAACUUGACUUGGCAUGCAAAUGAGAGGAUGGUUGAUGGUAAACUCCGACAUCCGGCUGACUCACCAUCUUGGAAGUUAGUAGAUGAGAAAUGGCCGAUCUUUGCAUCCGAUCCUAGAAACCUUCGCCUAGCUCUAUCAGCUGAUGGAAUCAAUCCACAUAGCUCUCUUAGUAGUGCAUAUAGCUGUUGGCCAAUAAUUCUUAUUACUUAUAAUCUUCCACCAUGGUUGUGCAUGAAACGAAAAUUCAUGAUGUUGUCCUUCUUGAUUUCUGGUCCUCAACAACCGGGUUUAGACAUUAAUGUGUAUUUGCAACCUCUUAUUGAGGAUUUGCAAACUUUAUGGGAUGUUGGGGUGGAGGCAUAUGAUGCCUACAAAAAUGAGUACUUUAAUUUGCGGGCUGUAUUACUAUGGACAAUAAAUGACUUCCCAGAAUAUGAAAAUUUAGCAGGAUGUACUGUUAAAGGAUAUUAUGCCUGCCUAUAUUGUGGUGUAGAAACACCAAAAUGUAGACUUAAACACAGUGGAAAAAAUGUAUACAUUGGGCAUCGGCUUUGGCUUCCUCAUGGUCAUAAAUUUCAGUUCCAAGCAAAAGCCUUUGACAAUAGUGUAUGUGAUGAAACCCCUCCAAAACUAUUAAACGGGGAGGAAAUUUUCCAGUUGGUCGACUCUAUUGAUAAUAGAUGGGGGAAAAACAACAGUAAAAAGCGUAAAAGUGCGAACAAUGAUGAUCUUGUGUGGUGGAAGAAGAAAUCUAUAUUUUAUAAUUUAGAGUAUUGGAAGCACUUGCUUGUGCGGCAUCAAUUAGAUGUUAUGCACAUUGAAAAGAAUGUGUGUGAGAACAUCUAUGGUACACUGCUACAUAUUCCUGGAAAGUCCAAAGAUGGAAUGAAGUCGAGGAUGGAUCUCUUGGAAAUGAAAAUUAGGCCCACCUUAGCACCAUAAGUUAAAGGAAACAACAAUCGUACAUGGCUUUCUCCUGCUUGCCAUACCUUAACUAAGGAGGAAAAAACAAGAUUCUGUGCAGCUUUGAAAAGUAUCAAGGUUCCUACUGGAUACUCUUCAAAUAUUAGGAAUCUUGUAUCAAAAAAGGACUUUAAACUCCAGGAUCUUAAGUCUCAUGAUUGUCAUGUUCUUAUGCAACAACUUUUUCCAAUUGUCGUAAGGUGUGUGCUGCCCAAACAUGUCAAAGAAGCUAUCAUUAGGCUUUGUUUCUUCUUUAAUUCAUUGUGUGCGACUGUGAUUGACGUGAGAAUGCUAGAUGAAUUAGAGAAAAAACAUCGUAGAGACUUUAUGCUUGCUUGAAAAAUGUUUUCCCCCUUCUUUUAUUGACAUAAUGGUUCAUCUUACUAUUCACUUAGUGAGUGAAGUUAGACAAUGUGGUCUCGUAUAUUUUUGGUGGAUGCAUCCUUUUGAGCGAUACAUGAAAACUCUAAAAGGCUAUGUUCGAAACAGUAACUGUCCUGAGGGUUGCAUAGCAGAGAGUUAUAUUGCCGAGGAAGCAUUAGAAUUUUGUGCAGAAUACUUGGAAAACAUGCCCACAAUUGGGGUUCCACCUGGACAUGUGCAGAAUUUAGAAAUUGACAAGCCCAUGAGUGGUGGACAAAUAGUGGAAGUUGAUCGAACUUCAUUAGAUCAAGCACACUUGUAUGUUUUGCAUAACAUUGAGGAAGUUCAGCCUUAUAUAAGGUGAUGUUAUCUAACUUGUGUUGUUUUAGCUUUAUAUUUGUCAGGUUUUGGUAGUUUAGGAACCUGAAAAUUUUGUCUUUUUAACUAAUUUUUAGAGAGCAUGAGGAUUAGUUACAACUUUGCCAUCCACGAAAAAAUGAGAAGUGGUUGGAAGAUGAACACAACCGAACAUUUGCAGAUUGGCUAACAGAUAAAGUUUUGAUAACAUUAGUUUAAUUAAUUCCUUUUUUCCUUUCUGUUUCGGUUUGUGCUUGUUUAACAUUAUAUUCAUGUCGGUUAAUAAUAGGUAAAUAUGUUGACAGAGAACAGUGACGUUGUUACUCAAACAAUCCGUUGGUUAUCCCAAGGGCCUUGUCCUUAUGUUUUCCAACAUCCUGGAUAUAACAUAAAUGGUUUUCACUUUGUUACAAGAGAUCGAGACUUAAAUAGAGUUACUCAAAAUAGUGGAGUGUCAUUGGUUGCACAAAUAAUUUCAGUCGCAAGUUCAAAAGAUAAAAAUCCGGUCACUGCUAACAUCACAUACUAUGGAGUGAUUAGAGAGAUUUGGGAUCUAGAUUAUGUUAUUUUUAGAAUUCCAAUAAUGAAGUGUGACUGGGUACAUACCAGAGGUGGUGUUAUGAAUGAUAGACUCGGAUUUACUUUAGUAGACUUGCAACGAAUGGGCCAUAAAUCUGAUCUAUUUAUUUUAGUUUCUCAAGCCAACCAAGUUUUUUAUGUACCUGAUCAGCUUGAUAAGAAGUGGUCAGUUGUAUGCCAAAUGCUUAGAAGAGGUAAACCCACACAAAGAAGCGAAGAUGCAGUGGAAUACCCUUCGUUGACUACUGAAUUUCCAAGUGCUGAUAACAUAAACUCUAUUGACGAUGAUGCUGCAAUGUACGCACGAGACAGCAAAUAGGGAAUUUGGGUUGGACCUUGAAUAUCGUUUCUGUGUUUUUUUGCAUGAGCUGUUUGUUGAGUUCUUCUCAAAAUGAUAUAUGUUAAGGUUAAUACAAGAAGUAUUUUAUGGUAUCUAUUAUUAUUUUAUUUUAUAUUUUUUGGCAGUUGUUAUAUGGUAAUGUAUUCUCAUCAUUUGAUUUUGUUCUGCAGUUGUGAUAUUCAUCAUGAAUAAGGGAAAAAAUGUCCCUGAGAGUUCUUCACCUGAGCAAUCUGAUGCCCAUUUUGAUGAGUUUUUAGAUGAACAAAAUGAUGGAUUUGUUGGUGAGGAAUCAGAGUACCAUGAGACACUUAUCCGUGAAGGAUAUGAUCCUGAAACGCCCUUGGCCGAUCAUGUCCCUGAUCUUGAUGAGUUUGGAGAUAGGAACGAGGAUGAACCUGAGAGCAGCAGUAAACGAAGCAGAGGUGGCACUGUUGGGUCAGAACAAAAUAAAAAGAGGAAAAGAAGUGGAAGGUUUGUGGUUAAAUACAACAGCCUUGGUGUUCCAGUUGGUGAAGAAGCCAUUGAGCUGGCUACGUAUAUUGGUGUUUUGGCUCGUACAUCAAUUCAAAUCCUCUACAACGAUUGGCGUAGAGUUCCAGAUGAUACGAAGGAGCGUCUAUGGGAGUCUGUUAAGGCAUAAAAUAAUUUCCUUAAGACGAUUACUCUAGUUUUAUUGUUGCUGGAAAAAUCUGAAAAAUCUUACAUUUUGAGAAUGAAACUUGAAGGUGUACUUCGUGGUUCAUCCUUGAAGUAGGAAGCAAGUACUACAAGCCAUCGGAGCUGCAUUUCGGAACUUUAAGUACACUCUAAUGAGGAACUAUGUUUUACCAUUUGUUAAUGACCGUAAAAGACUUUUCAAGCCACCAGCGCAGUACAGCACGAUUGAUAAGGAAAGUUGGAUUAAGUUUGUAAAGGAAAGACUAUCUGAAAAAUUUCAAGUGAGUGUCUAAUUCAAGUGCUAAUAAUAUAUCAAUGCUUAUGACAUUUUUCCUUAUGUGUUUAUCCAUUGUUUGUUUGGUUUUCUUAAGCAGAAAGUUAGUGGUGUGAAUAAACUUAGGCGGGCACAAAAAAAGUUUAAUCAUCGCCUAAGUAGAAAAGGUUACGUUGGGUUAAUGCAGGAAGUGGUAUGUACUGUGAGUUAGUUGCUAACAUUUUACCGUUGUUUGGUUAAUGCAAAUAAUGAUUGUUACUAACAUUUUAACUUUUUAUUAACUUUUUUACAAUGCUCAGAAACAGGCCUUACUGAAGAAGAAGUGGACAGGAGUGUUCUUUGGAAGAGAGCUCGGUAAAUGAAAAACGGAGGAUACCACCCCGAUGUUGAACCAAUUAUUAAAAAAAUCGUAAGAAAUUUUUUGCUUACUACUAUAAUUCUAUUUGUGAUUACUUAUACUUUGAUAACAUUGGCUUACUGAAUUCUUUUGUGUGGUAGGAUAAACUGGAAAUGGAAGUUAAGAAAGGAAAGAUGCGGUCAUCCGGAAAAAAUGAUAAUCUCGCACAAUCUUUGGGAAAAGCUCCAAAAUGUGGUCAUAUGCAAGGAGUGGGCAAGUUUGUGACCCCGUCUCUGUAUUUUCAAACUUGCUAGAGGCCUGCUGAUAGAGACAGGCAAAGAGAGGACCGUCUAUGGAGGGAAUCAAUUAACCGGCAGUUGGAAGAAAUGAGAAAUGAACUGAGAAAAACACCUCGUCAUUCAGAUAUAGCAAGUUCCAGCGACCCUUGCGUGCCUGGUGAAAACAAUAAUGUUGUUGGAGAUGAUGGCAUAGAGUCUGUUCAAGCUGAAGCAGUUGCUGAAACAACAAAGGUCAGUUUGUUUACUAUUUUUUCUUAUUAUUUCUAGAUUUAGUUUUUUGCUUGAUAAGGGUUGUUGUAGUUACUGUUCUUACCUGUUAUUUGUGGAUUUAGUUUGCUGUAUGUUUACUAUUUAUACAUAUGUUCUUUCUGGGGUGUCAUUUGAUACUGUUAACUACUUUGUAAGAGAAAUUUAGAGUAUUUAGAAACUAUUUAUGCCAAUCACACUGAACAAUUAUGUUUGUAGCAGCCUGAUCAUUUGAAAAAAAAAAGAAGUAAGGGACACCUAAGAAAGAGACAGACAUAGCAGCAAACAAAAAUAAGGAUACACCUGCCAAAAAACUCUCUGUCAUUGCAAGAAAGAGUCCAAGAUUGAACCCAACUGAAAUCCCAAUGGCGAUGCCUGAUGAUUUGUUACGCGGAAAAAAAAUAGCAACCCUAAACAUCAAGGCACAAAAAAAUAUUUGAACUUUGAAUCAGCAGAACAACAUAAUGAUAUAAUAGAGAUAGGACAUACAGAUGCUGUAAAACAGACCAAGGACGAGGGCAAAAAAGUUGCAGUGAAGCCUUUGCCAACAAGGAGGAACACAAGGCAUGCAGGAGGAGUACAACGAAACAAGAUUCCGUUGCUGCAGUUGUUUGGCAUAAUGUGUGAAGCUAAGAUGUCAAACCAAGAAUGGAUUCCAUAUCUACUGGAUGAUGGUGUUUUCCCUUUGGAAGGGAUUAGAGCUCGUAUUGGAAGGCGUGACUGCAGUGCAGUUCUGUCAAUGGAUGCUAUAGGAGUAAACGUAAUCGAAGUCUAUAUUGCGUAAGUGAUUCAUAAUCAUUCUAGUUUUAUGUGUACUUUUUAUGGGAGUCCCAAUUAAUGGACUUUAACAUUGUUUGUCUAUUGUUUAUCAUGAUGUUGUAUGCUUCCAUUCUCCCUAAGAAACGAGGAGUGAAACCAUUUGGAUUCGUUCGUCCAGGUCUGGUGUCACUAGGCGAAGAACGUAAUCCUACUGCAUCAUUUGACCUUAGGGCACGUGGAGUUUGUGAUCGAUUGAAAAAAGUGAAGAAGGGACAAUUCAUCUUUAUGCCUUAUAAUCCCUAGUAUGCUCCUUUAAUACUUUUCAACUCAUAUUAAUUUCUUUUCUUACCUUAAUUUACUGAAAUUGCUACCUUAAUGUUCUUUCUUUUAUUAUAGUUAUCAUUGGGUGCUGGUCAUUUUUGAUGUGUUGAAAAAAAAAGUUUAUUAUCUCGAUUCUUAUGGGGGAGAUCCUGAUGAUGAUUUAAAAGAGCUCAUUAAAGUGUAUGUUCAAAUUUUUUUAUUACCAUUGUCAGUAUAAAAUUACUUUUACAUACUUUACAGAUACUUUGUUACAAAAUUUUUUUUGUAUACAGCUCUAUGACAAUGUUUAUAGCACAAGAGGGUAGGGAGAAAUGGAAUUAUAAUAAGAUGGUCAGAUCCGUAAAGGUUUGAACUAUUACCUUAACUAAAAUUAUAUAUUACCAUGCUUAAUUGUUAUUAAAAUGAACUGUACAAUUACUGAUUGUGAACAGGUCCCACAACAACCAGCAAGUUCAGUCGUGUGUGGAUUUUACGUCAUGAGGUUCAUGAAAGACUUAAUUAAUGACUUCUCUUUACUAAUGAACAAUGUGAGUUCCUUGAUCAUAAUUUGCUUCAUAAAAAAGAACAUGUUAUGUUUCAAAGUUUCACUAAAUAUUUAUUUUUCAUAAAUAGUUCAACGGAAAGACAACAUAUUCUGAUGUUGAAUUAGAUGAAGUCCGUAUUGAGUGGGCAAACCAUUUUUCUGGAGUACUUGCUGUUAUGUGAGGUAACCCUUACCUAUUAUGUUGUUAUUGUGAGUUCAUUGAUGAAAUAAAUUAAUUUACUACCUAUAUUUUACUUGGGCAAUUAUCUAGCUUAUUAUACUUCUAUGUUGGAUUAUGAUGAAGAUGGUGGGUACUGCUGGAGUUGGCUAGUUUUUUUCUUUGUUUGGAAAAUAUCUCCUGGAUAUUGAUGCAAUUUUACACAUUUCGGUUGUUCUUAGGUUGGAUUUUCACGUUUGGGAACUGCUGGCCUUGUCUAAUCAAUAUUUUUGGCUCCUCUUAUGUUGCUGGAAGUGUUGCUGGAAAUGUUGCUGGAAAUGAACUAUGUUGUUGCCUUUGUUCAUGUUGGUAGAAAUGACUCUGUUGUUGGCUUCCUUAUGCUACUGGAAUUGAACUGAUCAUUGUUCAUUUGUGUUGUACAUGCUGCUGGAAUUUAGUUCUUAGGUUGUUACUAACACAACUUAAAAGUAAUUUUUAACUCCCAAGUAUAAGAGUGUCUUGUUGUAUUAUAACUCGGUGAGUCCGAGGUUGAUCCACAGAGAAAAGAUUUAAUUAGUUUAUUUUAUUUUAACUAAAAAUUGAAAUUAAAACUUAAAUAUAAACAACUUAAUUUAAAUGAAACUAUGAAAUUGAACUAGUUAGGGUUAUGGAUCCACUCUUAGAAGUAAAUAAAACUUAAUAAAUUCUUUUUGCUAAUUUUUUUUAGAUUUAUUACCCAAAAUAUUAAUUAUACAAAUUAUUAUUAUUUUCCCUUUAAUUUUAUGAUGGAUUAAGUAUUUAUUGUGCCAAAAUUUAAUUUGUUUACAAUAAGUCAAAAUACCAUUUCACCAUGCCUUAUAUUAAGAUCUUAAGAAUUUAUUGUGCCAAAUUCAUUUGUUUGUCUACAAUAAAUCAAAAUUUCAAAAUAUAAAAACAUGUAUAAAAUUAAAUAGAAAAUAAUUUAAUUUAUAAAAUUAAAAAUAGAAUUUGAUUAAAUCAUAUUUAUUUCCUAAGAGUUUCACCUUCCCCUAACUAAUAUUAUUUAGUUAAGCAUAAUUAAAAUAAAAAGAAGUAGUAAAAUUGAAUUACUUGUAAUUAAAAGUAAUAAAAAAACUAAAAUUGGAAAUAAAACUAAUUUUAUUUAUCAAAAUAAUUAUAAAAAAUAUUAAAAACACACCUGGAAAUCAAGAUUACAAGGAGAUGGAGAGAAUUUGAGAAGAAGAGAGUUGUGGAGAGAUGAUUAAAACAUAAAAAUGAGGCCUUAUUUAUAGAAAAAUAAAUUCAUAAUCCAGUGCUUGCGGUCCAUCAUAGGCUUCAUGCAUGUGCUCCUCACAACCCUUAGAUCAAGAUCCAAUGGCUGGUCAAACUUCAAAAGUCAACAUCACACAUGGCAUCAUUUGACUCGUCCGAUUUACCCAAAGAACGGUUGAGAUUUGGCGGGUUAAUGGGUGGAUCGGGUCGACCCGAGUACAAAGAUUCGGAUCCUCUAACUUGCUUUACCAACCAUUGCCAUGUGGCACAAUCAUGGCCAUUGAAUCAUGAACGGUUGAGAUUUGGUCAAGAUUGCCAGCUAUCCCAUGCACUCAUAUCUAUUGUAAGCUCAUUUCAUCAUCCAAUCAAUGCUCAGUCAACAGGAAAAGUCAACUUUUUUUACACAAGCCCAAUUUUAAGUCGAUCUUGAUUGAUCUUAAGGUUUUAGGACCUCCGGAAUCUAAAUUUGACCUCCGUUUAUCUGUUUGGAGCCUCGAAGUACGUGAAAUUAAUAUUUUUCCUAAUAAACACAUAAAAAUACAAAAAAUUAAAUAUAUUUAAAACAUAAUUCAUAAUUCAUAAUAAAUUACAUAAACACAAAUAUAAAUUAUAACAUAAGUAUAAAAUGACAUAUUAUCGCUUGAUAAUUAAACAAUUUUUAAUACUAAUCACACCCCCCAACCAGCUUAUUGCUAGCCCUCUAGCAAUUAAAGCGUUAUAUUAAAUUAAGAUUUAUAAAAUUCACAUGCAAGUUAAUAGUUGUUCAUCUAUCCUCUAAAUUACCAAAUAAAUGAACUCUCCCAAAUUCCUUUACCACAUUAAUGUUCACUCAUUAUCCAGAAUAUCAUCAAACCUUCUUUUGUGCUCAAGUAAUUAACACAAUACUUAUGGGGCUUCAUUAAAAGAAAAACAACAUUUUCGUUCUAAAAUUCAUUAGAAAUUAUAUCUUUAGACAAUAGAUUAUUCACACUUUUUUUUUUAUAUUACAUUUCUAACCCGUGUAGCGAGCUUUAGGUCAGUGACUCCCAGACCAGUUGGCCUUAGGGCACUAGGUGUUGAAGCACCCCUACGGACUUAAUUACUCGGGUUUCUAAUAAACAAACAAUAUAUCUAUUACCCAUGUAGCGAGCUUUAGGCCAGUGACUCCCAGACCAGUUGACCUUAGGGCACUAGGUGUUGAAACACCCCUACGGACUUAAUUACUCGGAUUUCUAGAUAUAACAAAAUUAAAAUUUUUUUUUCUUUUUUUUAUUUUUUUUUAAAUAUACACUUUCUACUACCUUAGAUACGUUUCCUAAUAAAUCAAAAGAACUAAAUACUGUAAAAUUUUAACUUACAACCCACUAGUAUGUGUCAUAAUGUGUGUGUGAAGAAUGAUUCAAUAAUACCUGUUAAAUGAGUAAACAAUUAAAUAACUUAAUAACCAAGUGGAGAGUUCACAAAUUUGAGUAAUUUAAAGAAAAGGGAACAAAAACAACUUACUAUGAAUCUCAAAAUCAAAAUAUAAUACAACAAGACUAUUAGGAUGCGUUUCAAAAGUCGUGACUCUUUACACGGCCAUCCUAGACAAAAAACAAAUUUUUUUUUUGUUUUUUUUAUUUUUUUUAACAAAGAAAAGAAAAGAGAAAAGAGAAAAACAACACACAUAUUUAAAACAUACAUCAAUUAUCCCCACCCUACAACAUAAUCUAAACAUUAUCUUAACAUUUUAUAAUUUUACAGAUAUGCAAAAAGAAAAGAAAAAAAAUAAAAAUAAAAGAGAAUAAUAAAAGAAGAAGAAGAGGAGAUCUCACCUGAACUUGAUGCAGAAGCUUAAAAGUAAAUAACAAUGAUGAAGAAAAAGUCAAUUUUUUUUUUAACAACACCCUUAAGAUUAAGAAGAUGCGUUUCUAGAGAGACUACAUUCUCUAUAUCCUGCCAUCUUCGACUCAAAUUUGUCCUAAGUUAGUCUUUACAGAAAAAAUUUUUUUUUUUGUUUUUUUUUUGUAAACACAUAACCAGAACUAAGAUAUUCCACAAUUAUCAACUAUUCCCUCCCCCCAACCUGAAAAAGACAUUGUCCUCAAUGUUUUAAAAGGAAAGAGAAAGAGUUUAGAAGACAGCACAUGAACACUACAACAGAAAAUAUUUACAGACGGAGAGUUAAAUCUAAAUCGCACUUCUUAUUACUGCUACUGUUACCACUACCAUCAUCAGUCGACCAAUUCAGUGCAAAAGUCUUUGGAUCUGGCUUUGGUGUAUAAGCUUGCAAAAGAUCAAGUAACUCAUUAGCAGUAGAAGCAGAGAUAAAGAGUUUUUUUACAGAAUGUGGAACAAAAUGAUUCUUUAUUGCAUGAUUAAUAAAAUUUAGCAAGCCGUCAUAAAAAUUAUUAACAUUUAACAAACCGAUGGGUUUUUUAUGAAUGUUCAAGUGGGCCCAAGAUGCAAAUGUAAUUAGUGCCUCAAAAGUUGCAAGAUCUCCUGGCAAAAAAAUAAAAGCAUCAGCAUGAUUCAUCAUUUCAUAUAUUCUCUCUUGCAUACUUGAUACCACUAAUUCUUCUCCAAUUGGUGGGCCAGACAUGCACACNNNNNNNNNNNNNNNNNNNNNNNNNNNNNNNNNNNNNNNNNNNNNNNNNNNNNNNNNNNNNNNNNNNNNNNNNNNNNNNNNNNNNNNNNNNNNNNNNNNNNNNNNNNNNNNNNNNNNNNNNNNNNNNNNNNNNNNNNNNNNNNNNNNNNNNNNNNNNNNNNNNNNNNNNNNNNNNNNNNNNNNNNNNNNNNNNNNNNNNNNNNNNNNNNNNNNNNNNNNNNNNNNNNNNNNNNNNNNNNNNNNNNNNNNNNNNNNNNNNNNNNNNNNNNNNNNNNNNNNNNNNNNNNNNNNNNNNNNNNNNNNNNNNNNNNNNNNNNNNNNNNNNNNNNNNNNNNNNNNNNNNNNNNNNNNNNNNNNNNNNNNNNNNNNNNNNNNNNNNNNNNNNNNNNNNNNNNNNNNNNNNNNNNNNNNNNNNNNNNNNNNNNNNNNNNNNNNNNNNNNNNNNNNNNNNNNNNNNNNNNNNNNNNNNNNNNNNNNNNNNNNNNNNNNNNNNNNNNNNNNNNNNNNNNNNNNNNNNNNNNNNNNNNNNNNNNNNNNNNNNNNNNNNNNNNNNNNNNNNNNNNNNNNNNNNNNNNNNNNNNNNNNNNNNNNNNNNNNNNNNNNNNNNNNNNNNNNNNNNNNNNNNNNNNNNNNNNNNNNNNNNNNNNNNNNNNNNNNNNNNNNNNNNNNNNNNNNNNNNNNNNNNNNNNNNNNNNNNNNNNNNNNNNNNNNNNNNNNNNNNNNNNNNNNNNNNNNNNNNNNNNNNNNNNNNNNNNNNNNNNNNNNNNNNNNNNNNNNNNNNNNNNNNNNNNNNNNNNNNNNNNNNNNNNNNNNNNNNNNNNNNNNNNNNNNNNNNNNNNNNNNNNNNNNNNNNNNNNNNNNNNNNNNNNNNNNNNNNNNNNNNNNNNNNNNNNNNNNNNNNNNNNNNNNNNNNNNNNNNNNNNNNNNNNNNNNNNNNNNNNNNNNNNNNNNNNNNNNNNNNNNNNNNNNNNNNNNNNNNNNNNNNNNNNNNNNNNNNNNNNNNNNNNNNNNNNNNNNNNNNNNNNNNNNNNNNNNNNNNNNNNNNNNNNNNNNNNNNNNNNNNNCACAACGAGCUUUAUAAAUUUUCCUGAGGGCAUUCUGAGGGAGAGAGGGAAAAUGCUUAUGGAGUUUAUGUUGUAUUUCUUCCAUGUUUGAUUUUGGGGUUUCAGUUAUUAUGGGAAACUGAAGAUACCGACUUAAGAAUUCACGGAGUACCGUUAUCCGCUAUUUAUACGGGAAAAUAAAUCAAAACACACCAAAAUCAAAUCUGCAAAAUCAAAUCAAGCGUGAAAGCGAGCAAAAAGAAGCACACAAUAUAAAAGAAAAAUGAACUUACAUUCGUCCUCUCAUUGAGUUAACCUCAAGCUCCAUUUGAAAUUCAUAUAUGCCACUCUCUACUGUUCUGAGUUGUCCCUCUAGAUCCUCAACAUAGGACAGGAAUUCUGGUGAUUGCAGAUCCCAAAGUGGAUGUGAUUUACAGCUUUGUAUCAGGCCUCUUAAGUGAAAUUUUAUACGCGGAAAUCUUUUAAGAUGUGGGAACAGGUAUUUUCUCAUUGAAGUGCUCAUGAUGUAAAAUGAAAAUUGAUGAGGGAAUGUACAACUGUCAAACAAACAGGCUUACACAGGAAAAAAAAUGUUAAAAAAAAACUAUGUACCGUGCAUCAAUCUAAAGNNNNNNNNNNNNNNNNNNNNNNNNNNNNNNNNNNNNNNNNNNNNNNNNNNNNNNNNNNNNNNNNNNNNNNNNNNNNNNNNNNNNNNNNNNNNNNNNNNNNNNNNNNNNNNNNNNNNNNNNNNNNNNNNNNNNNNNNNNNNNNNNNNNNNNNNNNNNNNNNNNNNNNNNNNNNNNNNNNNNNNNNNNNNNNNNNNNNNNNNNNNNNNNNNNNNNNNNNNNNNNNNNNNNNNNNNNNNNNNNNNNNNNNNNNNNNNNNNNNNNNNNNNNNNNNNNNNNNNNNNNNNNNNNNNNNNNNNNNNNNNNNNNNNNNNNNNNNNNNNNNNNNNNNNNNNNNNNNNNNNNNNNNNNNNNNNNNNNNNNNNNNNNNNNNNNNNNNNNNNNNNNNNNNNNNNNNNNNNNNNNNNNNNNNNNNNNNNNNNNNNNNNNNNNNNNNNNNNNNNNNNNNNNNNNNNNNNNNNNNNNNNNNNNNNNNNNNNNNNNNNNNNNNNNNNNNNNNNNNNNNNNNNNNNNNNNNNNNNNNNNNNNNNNNNNNNNNNNNNNNNNNNNNNNNNNNNNNNNNNNNNNNNNNNNNNNNNNNNNNNNNNNNNNNNNNNNNNNNNNNNNNNNNNNNNNNNNNNNNNNNNNNNNNNNNNNNNNNNNNNNNNNNNNNNNNNNNNNNNNNNNNNNNNNNNNNNNNNNNNNNNNNNNNNNNNNNNNNNNNNNNNNNNNNNNNNNNNNNNNNNNNNNNNNNNNNNNNNNNNNNNNNNNNNNNNNNNNNNNNNNNNNNNNNNNNNNNNNNNNNNNNNNNNNNNNNNNNNNNNNNNNNNNNNNNNNNNNNNNNNNNNNNNNNNNNNNNNNNNNNNNUACUAUCAUUAUUUCGACAAGAAUUGCUUCAAUCCAUUUUGAGACAUAAUCCACUGCAACUAAUAUAUACACAAAUCCAAAAGAUGAUGGAAAUGGACCCAUGAAAUCAAUUCCCCAACAGUCAAAUAUUUCAAUUUCAAGUAUGGGAUUUAAGGGCAUCAUGUUUCUUUUUGUAAUUGAUCCCAAUUUUUGACAUUUUUCACAACUUUUGCAGAAUUCAUAUGUGUCUUUAAACAUGAUAGGCCAAUAAAAUCCACACUGUGAAAUUUUAGCAGUAGUUUUUUUGAAGAAAAGUGACCACCACAUGCUUCAGAAUGACAAAAAUUAAUGACACUACUUACCUCAUUAUGAAGAAUACAUCGCCGAAAAAUUUGAUUUGGACAAUAUUUGAACAAAUAAGGGUCAUCCCAAUAAAAUUUCUUUACUUCAACAAAAAAUUUCUUUUUCUCUUGAGCAUUCUAUUGCAAAGGCAUUUUACCUGUAAUAAGAAAAUUAACAAUGUUAGCAUACCAUGGCAUUGAAGUAACAAAAAAUAAAAAUUCAUCAGGGAAAGAAUCAUUUAUGGGUGUUAUAUCAUUGCAGAAUUCGGAUGUGAGUCUUGAUAGAUGAUCAGCAACAACAUUUUCAACACCCUUUUUAUCUUUGAUGGUAAGGUCAAAUUCUUGUAGUAACAAAAUCCAACGAAUUAGUCUUGGUUUGGCAUCAUAUUUACUCAUCAAAUAUCUCACAGCAGCGUGGUCAGUAAACACAACAGAUUUAGAGCCAAGCAAAUAUGAACGGAAUUUGUUUAAUGCAAAUACAACAUCAAGUAAUUCUUUUUCAGUUGUAGAAUAAUUCAUUUGAGUACUAUCCAAAGUCUUACUCGCAUAAUAAAUCACAAAAGGUUUACCAUCCCUUCUUUGUCCUAAAACAGCACCAACAGCAAAAUCACUUGCAUCACACAUUAAUUCAAAGGGCAAAGACCAAUCAGGAGAUUGCAUAAUAGGUGCAGAUGUUAAAAGACAAAUUAUUUUCUCAAAAGAUUUUUGGCAAUCAUCAUUCCAUUCAAACGGUGCAUCUUUUAAUAAGAGGUUACAAAGUGGUUUAGAUAUGGCACUAAAAUUUUUUAUAAACCUCCUAUAAAAUCCUGCAUGUCCUAAAAAGGAUCGCACAUCUCUAAUUGUUUUUGGUUGUGGCAAUUUAGAUAUGACUUCGAUUUUUGCUUUGUCAACUUCAAUUCCUUUAAUAGAAACAACAUGACCCAAAACAAUUCCAGAAGUAACCAUGUAGUGACAUUUUUCCCAAUUCAACAUGAUUUCUUUUUCAACACAUCUUUUUAAAACUUUCUUCAAAUUAUCAAGGCAAUCAUCAAAAGAAUUUCCAAACACAGUCAAAUCAUCCAUAAAGACCUCUAAACAAUGUUCAACCAUAUCACAAAAAAUGCUUAACAUACAUCUUUGAAAUGUUACAGAAGCAUUACAAAGCCCGAAUGGCAUUCUUUUAAAUGCAAAUGUUCCAAAAGGACAUGUGAAUGUGGUCUUUUCUUGGUCCUCAAGUACUAUAGGAAUUUGAUAAUAACCUGAAUAUCCAUCUAAAAAACAGUAGUCGGGAUGUCCUGCUACUCUUUCCAAGAUUUGGUCAAGGAAUAAUAAUGGAAAAUGAUAUUUUCUAGUGGCUUCAUUUAAUUUUCUAUAAUCAAUGCACAUGCGCCAACUAGAUAUAAUUCGUGUUGGAAUUAAUUCACCUUUUUCAUUUUUAACAACAGUGAUUCCAGAUUUUUUAGGCACUACUUGUGUAGGACUUACCCACUUACUAUUAGAAAUAGGGUAGAUAAUUCCCACAUCAAGCAAUUUAAGGACUUCUGUUUUGACUACCUCUUUCAUGUGUGGGUUUUAUCUUCUUUGAGGUUGUUGACAUGUUUUAGCAUUUUCUUCCAAAUUAAUUUUAUGCAUGCAGAUUAAGGGAUUAAUGCCUUUAAUAUCAUUUAAAGUCCAUCAUAUUGCAUUUUUAUGCUUUUUAAGAACAAUAAGUAACUUACCUUCUUGGUCGCUUGUUAAAGUAGAAGAAAUCACAACAGGAUAAGUUUGUUCUUCUCCAAGAAAAGCAUACUUCAAUCCUUCAGGCAAAGGUUUCAAUUCCAUUUUAGGUGCUUCUUGUUGUUCUGUCUUUUCAAUACUUCCAAGCUCCUCAAAUUUUGGCUCGUCAUCAUAAUUUUGCGAAGUCUGCACAGAAUCAAGCAACGAAUUUAUAUUAGAAAUAUCAAGUUUAAGUUGCUUAUUUGACUCAAUUGAAUUAACUAAACAAACAUUAGAAAGUUCAAAAAAAUCCCUUUGUUGAAUAUUUUCCUCGAUACAAGAUUUAAACAAUUCCUUUUGUUCAUCAGUAUCAUCUUCAAUCUCAUUUUCUUCAUUAGAUUGCCUGCACAUGUUGAAAACAUUCAAUUCCAAAGUCAUAUUUCCAAAGAUAAAUUCAUUAAACCAUUCCUACAAUUAAUCAAAGCAUUAGCAGUUGCUAAAAAUGGUCGACCUAAAAUUACAGGAAUUGGUUUGUAAUUAUUCACAAUAGGUUCAGUUUCCAAGACAAUAAAAUCCACAGGAUAAAUAAAUUUAUCAACUUGUACUAAAACAUCCUCCACUAUUCCUUUUGGUACUUUAACUGAUUUAUCGGCAAGCAAAAGUGUAGUUGAAGUUGAUUUUAACUCACCAAGAUUAAGUUGAAGAUAAACUGAAUAUAGAAGCAAAUUAACACUAGCACCAAGAUCUAGUAAAGCAUGCUCAAUUCUGUGGUUACCAAUAAUACAAGAAAUGGUAGGACAACCAGGAUCUUUAUAUUUCAACUUAUUAUUAGUAGACAGAAUUGUAUUUACCUGUUCGGCCAUGAAAGUACUCUUUCUUACCUUCAAUUUCCUUUUAACAGUGCACAAGUCCUUUAAAAAUUUGGCAUAUGAAGGAACCUGCUUGAUUGCAUCUAAUAGAGCAAUGUUAACUUUCACUUGCUUAAAGAUUUCAUAAAUUUCAGAAGAGUGGUUUGAUUUCUUUGGUUUAUUCAAUGCAUGCGGAAAUGGUGGUUCAGGUGGAAUACUAGUUAUUUCUCCACUAGGUGUAAGUUCAUUUAGUCCUUCCUUACCCUUUGAAUUUUCAUCAUUUUCAUAAGGUUCAGGCAUAGGUCUAUCAACAACCUUACCACUACGAAGAGUUAUAACUGACUUGACUUGGUCUGUGGGUGGAUUUUGUUGAAUUUUAGGAUUUGGUUGUGGUUGGGCUGGAAAUUUUCCUUUUUCUUGAAUGGUGAGUGCAGAAGCAAUUUUAGCAAGAGUAUCUUUCAAAUCAGAAAAAGUUUGUGCAUUUUGAUUGUUAAUAACAUCUUGCUUUCUGAUGAAUGAAUGCAUUGUGCCUUCCAGAUUUUCCAGGUGGUGGGAACAUAUGGUUGCAUAACGGCUGAGGGAUUUUGAAAUUUUUGUGGAAGGUGNNNNNNNNNNNNNNNNNNNNNNNNNNNNNNNNNNNNNNNNNNNNNNNNNNNNNNNNNNNNNNNNNNNNNNNNNNNNNNNNNNNNNNNNNNNNNNNNNNNNAAUCUAGUGCAUCUUCAGGAUUUUUAUCCCUAAAUUCACCAUUACACAUCAUUUGAACAACCUGUCUACUUUGGGGUAUUAAGCCCUCGUAGAAGUAAGUGACCAAUCGCCAAGUUUCAAAACCAUGAUGUGGGCAUAUGUUAAGCAACUCUUUAAACCUAUCCCAACAUUGGUAUAAUGUUUCUCCAUUUUUUUGAGUGAAAGAAGUGAUUUGCCUUUUAAAAGAAUUUGUUCUAUGAGGUGGAAAGAAUUUUUUCAAAAACUAUUCUUGCAUGUUAUUCCAAGUUCUUACUGAUCCAAAUCUAAGGUUUUGUAGCCAAGUUUUAGCUUUAUCUUUUAAUGAAAAAGGAAAAAGCUUUAAUCUAAUUAUGUUCAUGCUACAAUUUUGGUCCGUGUAUGUUUUACAAACUUCCUCAAAAUCUCUUAGAUGCAAGUAUGGAUUCUCAUAUUCUAAACCAUGAAAUGUUGGUAAAAGCUGGAUAAUACCUGGUUUAAAGUUGAAUCGAGAUGCUUCUAGAGGAAAUACUAUACACGACGGUGCUCGAGUUUUGGUUGGAUUCAUGUAGUCUCUCAAAGUCCUUGGUUGAUUCUGAUCAUGCCCAUGUUGAGAUUGAUUGUCUCCCUGAUCAAUUUGAGGAUUAAGUUCGCCCAAAACGUUUUCGCCUUCAUUCUCAUCCAUGAUUGGUGGUGGAGAUUGAGAUCUACGAAUUAACCUGCCACUUGAAGAUCGAGACCAACGUCUCAUGCAAUGGUUAUGUUAUAAAGAUAAUAUUUACACAAAUUGAUAACAAAAUUAAAAAAAAACAAAUAAUAUAAGUGUAAAAAAGAAAAUUAAAUAACAAUUUUGGUGGUUGAACCCACCAAUUAACAAUAAAUUAAGUAUAAAAUAAAUGCAAAAUAAAAAAAAUGGUGGUUGAACCCACCAAUUAAAAAAAUACAAAAUUAAAUAACUGAAAAUAAAAAUUAAGAGUUAGUAGUUAGUUUGGUGGUUAAACCCACCAAUAAAGCAAAAAUAAAUAAAUACGAAAUAAAAUAAAUGUAGAAAAUUAAAUAACUGAAAUUAAAUAAAAGUUAGGAGUUAGCAGUUAGUAAGUUAAGAGUUAGUAAUUAGAGUCAGUAGUUAAAGUUAGUUUGGUCCAAAUUAAGUCCAGAAUAUGUCCAAAUAUGUCCAAAGUAUGUCCAAAAUAUGUCCAAAUAUGUCCAAAGUAUGUCCAAAUAUGUCCAAGUCUUGAUUAUUUUGAGGAAUUUUGUCUAGGGAUUUUAUUACAAAUUAUUUUUAAUUUUAUGGUCAAACUGUAAUUUUUAAAAGUUUAGAAUAGCAAUUUGGGAUGAAGAUGAAACGACUGAAAGAUGUUGGGGUCAAAGUGUAAUUACCAAAAGAUUCGGCUAGAAACGGGAAGUGUUGGGGUGAAACGAAAAAUAUGAAAGAUAUGGGGACACAAGAGAUUUAAUAAGGAAAAGGGGGCAAACGAAAUUUUACAUAUAAGAGAAAAAUAAAAACGGAAAAACAAACCAAAUAAAAAAAUUUUUCUCCAGCAACAGUGCCAAAAACUUGACACAACUUAAAAGUAAUUUUUAACUCCCAAGUAUAAGAGUGUCUUGUUAUAUUAUAACUCAAUGAGUCCGAGGUCAAUCCACAGAGAAAAGAUUUAAUUAAUUUAUUUUAUUUUAACUAAAAAUUGAAAUUAAAACUUAAAUAUAAACAACUUAAUUUAAAUGAAACUAUAAAAUUGAACUAGUUAGGGUUAUGGAUCCACUCUUAGAAGUAAAUAAAACUUAAUAAAUUCUUUUUGCUAAUUGUUUUUAGAUUUAUUACCCAAAAUAUUAAUUAUACAAAUUAUUAUUAUUUUCCCUUUAAUUUUAUGAUGGAUUAAGUAUUUAUUGUGCCAAAAUUUAAUUUAUCUACAAUAAGUCAAAAUACCAUUUCACCAUGCCUUAUAUUAAGAUCUUAAGAAUUUAUUGUGCCAAAUUCAUUUGUUUGUCUACAAUAAAUCAAAAUUUCAAAAUAUAAAACAUGUGUAAAAUUAAAUAGAAAAUAAUUUAAUUUAUAAAAUUAAAAAUAGAAUUUAAUUAAAUCAUAUUUAUUUCCUAAGAGUUUCACCUUCCCCUAACUAAUAUUAUUUAGUUAAGCAUAAUUAAAAUAAAAAGAAGUAGUAAAAUUGAAUUACUUGUAAUUAAAAGUAAUAAAAACAACAAAAAUUGGAAAUAAAACUAAUUUUAUUUAUCAAAAUAAUUAUACAAAAUAUUAAAAACACACCUGGAAAUCAAGAUUACAAGGAGAUGGAGAGAAUUUGAGAAGAAGAGAGUUGUAGAGACAUGAUUAAAACAUAAAAAUGAGGCCCUAUUUAUAGAAAAAUAAAUUCAUAAUCCAAUGCUUUGCGGUCCAUCAUAGGCUUCAUGCAUGUGCUCCUCACAACCCGUAGAUCAAGAUCUAAUGGCUGGUCAAACUUCAAAAGUCAACAUCACACAUGGCAUCAUUUGAUUCGUCCGAUUUACCCAAAGAACGGUUGAGAUUUGGCGGGUUAAUGGGUGGAUCGGGUCGACCCGAGUACAAAGAUUCGGAUCCUCUAACUUGCUUCACCAACCAUUGCCACGUGGCACAAUCAUGGCCAUUGAAUCAUAAACGGUUGAGAUUUGGUCAAGAUUGCCAGCCAUCCCAUGCACUCAUAUCUAUUGUAAGCUCAUUUCAUCAUCCAAUCAGUGCUCGGUCAACAGGAAAAGUCAACUUUUUUUACACAAGCUCAAUUUUAAGCCGAUCUUGAUUGAUCUUAAGGUUUUAGGACCACCGGAAUCCAAAUUUGACCUCCGUUUAUCUGUUUGGAGCCUCGAAGUACGUGAAAUUAAUAUUUUUCCUAAUAAACACAUAAAAAUACAAAAAAUUAAAUAUAUUUAAAACAUAAUUAAUAAUUCAUAAUAAAUUACAUAAACACAAAUAUAAAUUAUAACAUAAGUAUAAAAUAACAUAUUAUCGCUUGAUAAUUAAACAAUUUUUAAUACUAAUCAGUUACAAUGCUCUUCUUCUAUUUAUAUUGGACUUGUCACUCUCGAAUUUAAUUAAAUUAUGUUUGCUGACAAUUAUGAAAUCUUAGUCAAUGUUAUCCAUUUCAUUUUCUUUGUCAGUUAAUUUUUAAUUGCAAUAUUAAUUUUAAUAAUCUAAUUAAUUAGCUAAUUUAUGAAAUAUUAAUUUCUACUAAAUCAAUUGCAGGAUUGUUAUUAAAAUGAUAAUUAUUUCAUGGUACAAAAAAAUACCCAUUUUUUAUUAAUUAUAAUUUCAAUUUUUGAUUUAAUUGAAAAAAUUCAUUUAAUUAUAAUUUACAUUUCGCGCCAAAUUUGAUUUUCCCGCCAAAAAUUCAAAAUAUGGUGCACAAAUUUAAAAAAAAGGGGCCAAAUUCAAAUUUAUUAUAUUCCCGUCUAAAUAAAGUUAUGACAAUUAUGUGACUAAAAUUAUCUAUCACAGAUUAUGACUGGUAUUGUUCUGUCAUCAAUUCUUGACGGUGGCUACAAUGACGGUAUGAACAACCGUCAUCCACUCCCUACUAUGACAGAUUUUGUCUGUCAUGGUAGGCACUUUUUCUUGUAGUGUCUUUAGAUAAUCGGGCUGGAGGUUAUCUUCCAAGUGGUGAAAAAUAAAUUGGCACCCACAAUGUAGAAAGCAUACCUCAUGAUAGAGUUUGGCAAAGGCUUCUACUAUACACAAGAAAUUUUUGAAUUGGCAUGUGAAUUCAACAUCAACUAAAACCAUUAGAACAAUCUUUGCCAGCUCAAUAUAUCUAACCUAUGAUUGAUAUGCUCAGUUGCUAGUUAGACCAAUCAAGCUUAUUCUACAUACUCUGCUAUCAAGCAUGCUCUGCAGGCUAUAUAUCAACAUCAACAGUAUGAUCAUACUCUCUAACAUCCCCUCUCAAGCAAAAUGUUCCAGGAAAAACAUUGAGCUUGCAUCAUAGAUAAUGACAAUGACCAUAAGAUAAUGCUUUUGUGAAGAUGUCUGUUGUCUGAUCAGCACUAGGAAUAUAGCAUAUAUCAAUUUGUGUAGCUAAUACUUUCUCUUUAAUGAAAUGAAAAUCCAAUUCAACAUGUUCAUCUCGGCAUGAUAGACUGGAUUACUUGCUAAAGCAAUGGCCCCUUGAUUGUCACACCAAAAAAGAGGAAUAACAUUUGAUUUCAGCUGCAAUUCAGAAAGUAAAGCUUGAAUCCAUAAAACUUUUCUGAGGUUGCUGAAGUUAAGUGUCUAUACUCAAAACUUUGUACUAGACCUAGAAACAACAUGUUUUUUUNNNNNNNNNNNNNNNNNNNNNNNNNNNNNNNNNNNNNNNNNNNNNNNNNNNNNNNNNNNNNNNNNNNNNNNNNNAAAAAAAAGAAUAUAUGAAACAUCUGAUUUGCAUACUACCAUAGUCAUAGAAUUCUAAGCUAAAGUAACUGGUGCCUUUGAGAUAGCUUAACAAUCUCUUGCAAGCUUGCUAAUGAUCAGUAGAAGGAUUGGAAAGAAACUGGCUUAAUUUGUUAAUAGGAAAUGUAAUCACUGGUCUAUUGAGAGUAACAUACAGAAGAGCUCCAAUUAGAUUUCAAUAUUAAGAAGCAUUAUCAAUAACAGUGCCUGAAUUUUGUAUAAGAUGAUGAGAAGUAUCCAUAGGUGUUGUACAAGGGUUGUAUUUGUCCAUAUUAUGCUUAACUAACAAGCCUGCAAUAUACUUGGCCUGAGAUAGAUGAAUACCUUUAUUUGUUUUGGUUACUUGUAUGCCUAGAAAAUCCCAAAUCCUUAAGUGCAUGUGUAUGUCCUUAAGUGCAUGUGUAUGUUGCAUAUCAGAUAUAACUUUAAGAACUAGAGAUGAAUUAGAGCCAGUAAUUGUUGAAGAAGUGAACUGCAAAUCUGAAGUUGUAUUUAGAUAUGACAUGUCAGUUUAGAUAUUCUGAACUAGAUGAUAUGUCGGUUUUGUGACACUGGUGAGGCGUAUGACGAGCCUGGUGGAUCAGCCGUAUAAGUAAGUUGAGCACGUGAUAUUGCACAUGCUUUACUUAUCCUAAACGACUGAAGAAAGCUGUGUUUUGAAUGAAGCUUUUACACGUGUGUUGAAAUCAGUUUGAAAGGCUGUUAAUGCUGUUAAGAUCAGCGGGAAAAUUCUGGGUUUUGUUAAGCAACAAACCCAGUUCUGGAGAGCUGGUUUCUGGGGGUUGUUUCUAAGGCAAUUCAGGCGUGUAUAUAAGCUGUCUUCGCUUCAUUAUUGCAUUGAAUCAAGGUGGUGAUAGCUUCUUAAACAUCUUGUAUCUUGUAAACACUGAAUCAGUAAAGAUUUCUUCUUCUCUUUCACAGUGGAUGUAGGUCACUUAGUGGCUGAACCACUUAACUGAUUUGUGUUGAUUGUUCCUCUGUUUUUUACUUUCUUUAAUAUUUGUGGUUCUUGCUAAGAUUGUUCUACAUAGCAUUUGUUGAUCUUCAUUGGUUCUUUGAUUAAAGCUAAAGUCGAGUGGAUCUUGGGGGAUUGAGAUUGGUUUAUUUGCUGGUCUUGAUCCAACAAAUUGGUAUCAGAACAGUCACUGCUUUCUUUAAUCUUGGAGAUGGGAUCAGCUAGGCUUGAGGUGAAAAAGUUCACAGGUGAAAAUGACUUUCACCUUUGGAGGCUCAAGAUGAGAGCCCUGCUGGUGCAUCAAGGUUUGGAUGAAGCUCUUGCUGAAGAAUCAUCUUCAAAGAAGCCAAGAAAGGUUUCUGUUGAAGAUCUACCUGAUGUGCUGGACAGAGCUCAUAGUGCUAUAAUCUUGAGCCUGGGUGAUGGAGUACUUAGAGAGGUUGGUGCUGAGAAGACAGCUGCAGGGUUAUGGAAGAAGCUUGAAGAUUUAUAUACCAAGAAAUCAAUGGCUAAGAGAUUAGCCACCAAGAAAAAGUUGUACAAAUUACAAAUGGAAGAAGGGUCAUCAAUAACAGAUCACAUUGAUGCCUUCAAUAAGAUCAUUCUUGAUCUUGAGGACAUAAAUGUAAAGAUUAAUGAUGAAGAUAAAGCAAUGAUCUUGCUGUGCUCAUUACCAAGCUCCUUUGAACAUCUGGUUGACACACUAAUGUAUGAGAGGCAGCCCCUUACAAUGGUAGAUGUGAAGGAAACCUUGAGCUCCAAGGCUGCCACAAAAAAUGAAUCAAGAGAAGCUGGAAGUUUAAUGGCAAGAGGGAGAUCUGAAAAGAAAGAGGGCAACAAGGGCAAGAAGAAAAGAUCCAAAUCCAGGUCCAAGAACAUGAAAUGCUUCCACUGCCACAAGGAAUGUCAUUUCAAGAAGGAUUGCCAAGAAAAGAAAAAUAAGCCAAAAGAUAUAAGGGAGAAAACUGGAGAUGCUGCUGUUGCUUCAGAAAGUCAAGAAUAUGAUGGAUAUGACUCAGCUGGAGUUCUACUUGUGACUGAUGACCAAACCAAAGGUAAUUGGGUCCUAGAUUCUGGUUGCUCCUUUCAUAUGUGUCCAAACAAAAAUCUAUUUCUCAACUAUGAAGCCUAUGAUGGAGGAGUAGUAGUAAUGGGGAAUGAUGCAAUCUUUAAGGUAGUUGGGAAGGGCAUAAUAAGACUGAAAAUGUUAGAUGGCAUGACCAGGGAGUUAGCUAAUGUAAGACAUGUGCCUGACCUGAAGAAGAAUCUAAUUUCCUUAGGCAUGCUAGAUAAAAUGGGUUGUCUUGUUAAACUAGAAUCAGGUACCUUAAAGGUGAUGAGAGGGUCAAUGGUAUUAAUGAAAGGAAGCUUAAGCAAUGGCCUGUAUGUGCUUCAAGGUACAGCAAUUACAGGGGCUGUUGGGGUCUCAAACCAGAGUCUAGAUAAAACAAUGAUGUGGCAUUUAAGGUUAGGUCAUAUGAGUGAAAGAGGGCUGAGGGAACUGUCAAAGCAGGGAGUCUUAGGGAGGGACAAAAUAGAGACUUUGAGGUUUUGUGAAGAAUGUUUAUUAGGCAAGUCUUCAAGAGUAAAAUUCAGUACUGGAGUCCAUAACUCAAAGGGAACCCUAGACUAUAUCCAUGCUGAUCUGUGGGGACCUGAACAGACAGCAUCCUUAGGUGGAGCUAGAUACUUCAUGUCUCUAAUAGAUGAUUUUUCAAGGAUGGUGUGGGUUUAUAUGUUAAAAACCAAGGAUGAUGCCUUUGAGAAAUUCAAAAUCUGGAAGACCUUGGUAGAAACACAAACCAACAGAAAGGUUAGAAGGUUGAGAAUUGACAAUGGGUUAGAGUUUUGCAACAAAAGGUUUGAUGAUUUUUGUGCUGAAAAUGGGGUUGUAAGGCAUAAAACAGUGAGACAUACACCUUAGCAAAAUGGAUUAGCUGAGAGGAUGAAUAGAACCUUGAUGGGUAAGGUAAGGUGCAUGCUUAUUCAAUCAAGAUUACCUAUGUCUUUAUGGGCAGAGACCCUAUCCACUGCCUGUUACAUUGUUAACAGGAGUCCAUCUUCUGGAAUCAACUUCAGAACUCCAAUCGAGCUUUGGACAGGUAAGCCAGCUGACUAUUCAAACUUAAGGGUAUUUGGAUGCCCUGCAUAUGCUCACACAAAGCAAGGGAAGCUGGAACCUAGAGCUCUUAAGGGUGUGUUUAUUGGCUAUCCAGAAGGGGUAAAGGGAUACAAACUCUAGUGCACUGAUUUUAAGCCACCAAAAGCCAUAAUCAGCAGAGAUGUGGUCUUCAAUGAAGCUGAAGUGUGCAAACACUUAGAAGCUUCAAAGACUGGACCCAAUCACCCCAUGAGUGAGAACCACAAGUCUCAGUUUGAGGUGGAGUCAUCAACUACAGCUACAAAAAAGAAGGACCAUUGUUGAGUCAGAAAACAUGAGUUAUCAACUUGUAAGAGACAGGGAAAGAAGGGUUAUAAGACCACCUAUGAGAUAUGCACAUGCAGACCUGAUUGCAUUUGCAUUAACAGCAGCACAUGAGCUUGACACAGAUGAACCAAAAACAUACUCAGAAGCUGUAAAAGGAAAUGAAUCAGAAAAAUGGAAGGCUGCUAUGGAUGAGGAGAUGCAGUCACUGUUCAAGAAUCACAUUUUGACCUUAAUUGAAAAACCACCAAACAAGAAGGUAGUUGGCUGUAAGUGGGUUUACAAGGUUAAAGAUGGUAUACCAGAAGUCGAGCCAAAGAGAUACAAAGCCAGGCUUGUAGCCAAAGGCUUCACACAAAAGGAAGGGGUAGAUUAUACAGAAAUCUUCUCUCUUGUGGUAAGGCAUACCUCUUUAAGGAUCUUGCUAGCACUUGUAGCAGUAAAUAACAUGCAUCUUGAGCAGAUGGAUGUUAAGACUGCUUUUCUUCAUGGUGAGUUAAAUGAAAUGAUUGUGAUGAAACAACCAGAAGGAUAUGUAGAUCCAAAAAGACCUGAUCAUGUGUGUCAUCUCAGAAAAUCCUUAUAUGGGCUUAAGCAAUCCCCAAGACAAUGGUACUUGAGGUUUGACAGGUUUAUGCUUGAGAACAGUUUUCAGAGGUGUCCCUUUGAUUGCUGUGUAUCACAAGGGUGUAGGAGAUGACAAUGAGAUUUAUCUGUUGCUAUAUGUUGAUGACAUGCUGAUAGCAUGUAAACAUAUGGAUUAGAUAAAUAAACUAAAAUAGCAGCUGAGGGGUUCAUUUGAUAUGAAGGAUCUUGGUGAGGCUAAGAAGAUCCUUGGUGUUGAGUUGAUUAGAGAUAGAAGAAAUGGCACCCUGAUUCUAUCACAGCAGAAUUACAUCAGAAAAGUGCUUGAGAGGUUUGAAAUGGGAAAAGCCAAGCCAGUUCAGACUCCACUACCAGCUCACUUCAGACUGUCAUCACAACAGUGUCCAAAAACUGAUGUUGAAAGAUCUGAAGCUAGCUCAAUUCCAUAUUCAAGUGCAGUAGGGUGUCUAAUGUAUGCAAUAGUUUUGACUAGACCUGAUUUGUCCUAUGCAGUGAGUGUAAUAAGUAGAUAUAUGACAAAUCCAGGGAAUGAACAUUGGAGGGCUGUGAUGUGGAUUUUGAGGUAUCUUAACGGCACCAUAAGCUAUGGUUUGAUAUAUGGAACUGAUGGAAGGAAGGAGGUCAACGUAGAAGGUUUUGUGGAUUCUGACUAUGCUGGAGACCUUGAUAAGAGGAGGUCAUUGACUAGAUAUCUGUUCAGACUGAGUGGGUGCACUAUAAGUUGGAAAGCUUCUUUGCAGAAUGUUGUUGCUUUGUCAACAACUGAAGCCGAGUACACUACUGCAGCAGAUGCCAUAAAGAAAGCUAUUUGGCUUAAGGGAAUGGUGACUGACCUGGGGUAUAAACAGAGGCAAAUAAUAGUUCAUUGUGAUAGUCAGAGUGCUAUCUGUUUAAGCAAAAAUCAGAUACACCAUGAAAAGACUAAACACAUUGACAUCAAGCUUCAUUUUGUCAGGCUGGAAGUGUCAAAAGGAGUGGUAAAACUGGUGAAAAUACACACUGAUGACAAUGUGGCAGACAUGUUAACCAAAGCUCUACCUGGUGCCAAGUUUGAGUUCUGUGUGAACUCAGCUGGUGUCUGCAGGAUCUAAGCUGCAGAGGAUAUGGUGAUGGAGAAGGAAGAGGAGUAACAGAUUUGGUUCAAGGUGGAGAAUGUUGAAGAAGUGAACUGCAAAUCUGAAGUUGUAUUUAGAUAUGACAUGUCAGUUUAGAUAUUCUGAACUAGAUGAUAUGUCGGUUUUGUGACACUGGUGAGGCGUAUGACGAGCCUGGUGGAUCAGCCGUAUAAGUAAGUUGAGCACGUGAUAUUGCACAUGCUUUACUUAUCCUAAACGACUGAAGAAAGUUGUGUUUUGAAUGAAGCUUUUACACGUGUGUUGAAAUCAGUUUGAAAGGCUGUUAAUGCUGUUAAGAUCAGCGGGAAAAUUCUGGGUUUUGUUAAGCAACAAACCCAGGUCUGGAGAGCUGGUUUCUGGGGGUUGUUUCUAGCGCAAUUCAGGCGUGUAUAUAAGUUGUCUUCGCUUCAUUAUUGCGUUGAAUCAAGGUGGUUGUAGCUUCUUAAACAUCUUGUAUCUUGUAAACACUAAAUCAGUAAAGAUUUCUUCCUCUCUUUCACAGUGGAUGUAGGUCACUUAGUGGCUGAACCACUUAACUGAUUUGUGUUGAUUGUUCCUCUGUUUUUUACUUUCUUUGAUAUUUGUGGUUCUUGCUAAGAUUGUUCUACAUAGCAUUUGUUGAUCUUCAUUGGUUCUUUGAUUAAAGCUAAAGUCGAGUGGAUCUUGGGGGAUUGAGAUUGGUUUAUUUGCUGGUCUUGAUCCAACAGUAAUAAUAGUGUCAUCAACAUAAACUAGCACUAAAAGAAUAUGGCCAUUAUGCCAUUUAAAAACAAAGAUAUGUCUGAUCUACUAUUGACAAAAUAUUGUUGAUACAUCAUAACUGUUUUAAAUCUAUUAAACCAGGCUCUGAGUGCUUGUUUCAAGGCAUAAAGAGCUUUUGUAAGCUUGCACACAUGAUGAGGUUUUGAUGUAUCAAUAAAACCCUCAGGUUAGGACAUAUAUACAUCAUCUUCAAGAAACCCAUUGAGGAAAGCACUAUUCACGCCAACCUAUCUAAUAAUCCACCUUUGUUUUACAACCAAACUAAGAAUAAUUCUAACAGUGGAAGCUUUAACAAGUGUACGGAAAGUCUUAUUAUAAUCCAUGCCUUAAGCUUGAGCAAAACCCUUGGCUACAAGUCUGGCCUUCUAUCUAAAAAUAGAGUCAUCUGAGUUAUAUUUAAUUCUAAAUACCCAUUUAUUGCCUAUAACCUUCAUAAGUGAAGAAGGUUGAACUAGAGUCCAUUUUUUGUUGGCUUGUAAGUAGUCAAACUUCUAUUUCAUGGCCUGAAACCACUUUGGAUCUUAUAAAGCUUAUUUUAUAGAUAUUAGUUCUAUGGGGGUAGAAAGUAAUGCAGCUAAAUAUGUUUUUGGUUUAAAUGUACUAGCCUUGGACCUAAUAACCAUUGGGUAACUAGAUGGCUGAGGUAGUGGAAGAGGAGAACUUAAUGAAGAAUUAGUAUAAGGAGAGAAAGAAUUAGUUGCCUGUAAAGGCAAAGAAAUUGAAGGAUUGCUUACUAUAGAAGGUGCUGACAAAGUUGUAUCAUUGAAUGUGAACAUCUUUAGAUUGAAAAGAAGUGGUUGACUUAGAUGCAAACAUAAGAGAAAUUAACACCUAACUCGUACGGGAAAGACUGAUCAUAAAAUACAACAUGGCUAGACGCAUACACUCUACCUUAUUAAUGUAAAUAUUGAUACCCUUUAUGAUAUGGACUGUAACCAAUAAAAAUGCAUAAUUCUAUUUUAAACUCAAAUUUUUGUUUAUUAUAGGGUCUUAGAUAGAGAAAAAAAGAACAACCAAACACCCUCAACACACUAUAAUCUGGUUGUUUUUUAAAAAGUUUAAAAUAAAGUGAUUGAUUAUUAAGAACAAGUGUAGGUAAUCUACUGAUGAGAUAAACAACUAUGGGAAAUGCAUUCCACCAGAAAGUCAAGGGGAGUUUGGCUUGAGCUAACAAGCUAAAACCAAUAUCAAUAUAAUGUCUAUGUUUUCUUUCAAUCCUGCCAUUUGGUGAUGAAUAUGUGGACAAGGGUGUCUAAAAUAGAUCCCAGAAGAUAAGAGUAGUGAAGAAAAUAGACCUAAACUCUCCUCUCCAAUCUGUUUGCACUGACUUAAUUUUCCUGUUCAAAGUUUUCUAUAAAGGUUUGAAUAUGGUAAAAAUAGUAAGACCAUCAGACUUAGCAGUUAAUGGAAAGAUCCAGGUAAACCUGAUGUGAUCCUUUAAAAUAGACAAAUAAUAAGUAUAACCUUGUGUAGAUAUAAUAGAAGAAGUUCCCCAAAGAUCUACAUAGAUAAGUUGUAAUGAUUCAGUGGUUUUACUACAAACAGAAUUGAAAUGUUGAAGAUGAAUUUUGCUAUACUGACAAGCAUUACAAAAACUGAGUUUAUGUUGACAUCAGUAGAAGGAUUACAAGACUUUAAAUACAUUUAAGUAUAUGAUUAGCUGGAUAACCAAAUCUUUUAUGAAGCAAAUCAAUAUUGAUUAACAAUAAAGAAACUUGUAUUACAACUAGAGUGCAAACAUCUUUAUUCAAAUGUAACAUAUGAUUGAAAGAAACAGAAUUAGAACUAUUUGACAUAUAAUUACUAGACAUAGUAGCAAAGAGAAAGAUAGGUGGAUUAAAAGUUUUAAAAGAGAGAUAGACUAAGGUAGCAUGAUGAGAAGUUGAAGAUACUGCUUAAAUUUGAUACAAGCCUUUCAGAGUAAUCCCAUUAAGUAAGAUAACCCUUGUGUUCCUAACUUUAAUGUAACAAGUAUUGCUAAUAAAUUCAAUAACAAUAUUAUUAUUAGAGAGUAAUUUUAAAACACUCAAAAGAUUUUUAGUAAUAUGAGUAAUAUGAAGAGCAUGAUGUAGCAAAAUAGGUUCAUUAGCGAUAGUGUAUCAAGUUUAGCAGAUCCAAUAUGUGUAAUUUAUAAACCAUUACCAUCACCAACAAGUAAUUUUUCCGAUCUUUUAUAAGAUGGCGAGUUAAGCAGAAUAUCUGAAUUAGUUAUGACAUGAGCAGAGGCUCCACUGUCAAUUUACUAAAAAGAACCUCUACAGCCUUAGGUAAAGGAAGAACAAUAGCAGAAGAGUUGGCUAGCUUAGCUGAAUUAUCUGGUGUAUUAUUGUAGUAAUUGAAUGCUACUGCUGAAGUUAAACCUGAAGAAUUUGCACCAAGAGAAAAGAAAUAUAGAGUUGAGACAAAAUUAGAAUUUACAUAUGUCACAUUGCCUUGAAACCAUACUCUCUGAUGUUAUUUUGACCAUUAAAACCUCUGUUAAAACCAGUGAAUGGCCUAGGCACAAAACCUAUGCCUGCACCAUAAAGUACAAAACCUCUGCUUGUACUAUAGAUACACUUUGGACCAUGAUAACUUUAUGAAAUGAGAGUUAUCAUGACGCUUUUAGACUUAAAUCAAGAUUACUUAGAUUAUUGCAUUUUAACUAUAUUUUUCAUAAACAUCAAUUUUAGUUUAUUUUUAAUAAAUUUUGUUUGAUUUAAAAUAAUUUGUGUGCUUAGAUCAUAUGCAUAAUUAUAGGUGACUGGAAGCUCAAAUUUCAAGGAAGGAAUGUUGCUGCAAUAAGCUUACAAAUAUAAGGAAAGAAAUUAGUUACAAAAGAAUUAAAAAAAGUCUGGAACGGUGCUAUUGUUGUAGCACUAUUACUAUAGCACCAUUACUGUAGCAAUCCUAGAGCAUCGAUAGAGAAGAUUGUGAGUGAGAUACUUCGAAGAUUGUAAUAUGGAGUUUCCAAAUUUGGAAGAUGUGUGCCCUAGACUUCCGAUUGCCCUAAUUCUAAGCUAUAAAAAGAGCACACACGCAAAGAAAAAAGGAGGAUCCAUUAACCGGAGAGAAACACAAUAAAAAUAGAAUUCGAAAGAGAGAUUAAAGGCUGGCAGAGGAGAAAUUGUAGAAACAAAAUAGAAAUCAGUCAUUCUUCUUAUUUUCUUGUUUUCUAUUUCAUCAUGGGAAUGCAUUUGAUGGCUGAAACUCUUUUGUUUAUUUUUCUAUCACAAAUCAUGAACUAAAUUUGAUUGUGGUUGAGUGAUAAACAAUCUUGAUGGAUGUUUGACUAAUAUAUGAGUGUUGUUCUGUGUUUGCUAUAGCGUUUUAUCUUAAUUGUAUUUAUUUUAUUCUCUAUUUUGACUGACCACCCAUUUAGGAAUACUAGUUAAGAAAGAACCUAAAAAAGGUCUGAUUUAGUGGAUCUCAUUAAGACAAUACUUGGUUUUAGAUUGAGUUUCCUAAGUUGAGUUAAUCUCAAUUUGAGUAAGGUCAUACUUGAUCUAAAAUUAGUGAUGAACUAGACAUAGGGAUUCACCUUAUCGGGUAAAGGGAACCAAGAUCGAUUAAUGCUAUAUUUAAUGUUGGUGUAACAAUUGGUCACUGUUAGGUUGCAUUAGAUAUAAGAUGUCCAAUAGGUAAGAGUUGAGGAUGCAUAAGGGAUUUUGCCCAGUGUUAUAGUAGAUGUUGUAGCAACAGUACUGUAAUAGAAAUAACAGUCAAUGCCAUUAAGUGAGUUUAUUCACUCAACUACUCUAUUUCUAUUGGUUUUAUCCUUGUGUUUGACACAAGAGUUUUAUUUAUUGCAUUUUUAUUUGUUCCAUUUUAUUUUAAUUAGCUUAUUGAUUUUAUUAGUUGCUUUAUUUUUAAUUAAAACAAAACUGCAUUGUUAAGAUUGCUGUAGCAAAUCUGAUAACAUCAAUCCCUGUGGAGAUAAUUUGAAUAUUCAUCAGUAUAUUACUUGUUGUAUAUACUUGCACAUUAACACCCAUGGCAUUAAAGAUUGCACACACUAGACCACAUCUACCACUUAUACUAUAGUAUUUUUGAGGAACAAAUGCAGUAUUAAACCUAUUCUUGCACUUGUAAGUUCCAUGUUCGGGUAUAGAGCAAAAUUGACAGACAAUUGAAUCAUUAUUUCCAUUGCUAUUUCUAUUAGAACCUGAAUUGGACAUAUCUCCAGUAAAAUGAUCAAGGUUCUAUCACCUUUUUGAGUUCUAAAACCAGUUUUAAGGAAUCCUCAAUUUUUCUGAGCAAAAUUUACAUAUAAGUUGUGUAUAAUAUUAGAAUUGAUUUUGCCUCUCUUCUGCCUAAUUCUCAUCUCAUGACUUAAUAAUAAGGCUUACAAAUCAUCUAAACUCAUAUUUUCUCCUUUGGCUGAUAAACUUGUAACUAGUGAUCCAUACUCUUAAGACUCUAGUCCGGUUACAAUGUAAGUAAUAAGAUCAGCAUGCUCAAUAGGUUUACAAGCAAUAGCAAGUGUGUUUGCUAACCUUUUCAUCUUAGCUAAAUAGGCACUCAUGGUCAUUGAUCCCUUUUUAGAGGUCUAUAAUUGCAUUUUAAUAGGCAUUAUACGAGCUUGAGUUUGAGAAAUAAACAUAGUUGUCAAGGAAUCGCAUGACUCUUGUGGUGAGACACAAUGUAUCACCAAGGAUAACAAAAUUUCUUGAAUAGAAGACAUCAUCCAACUAAGAAGGAGCUGAUAUGUUCUUAUCUAAUAAGCUGAAAAAGCAAGAUUAUCAAUUCUUGAACCAUAUCCAGCAUUCGAGGAGCUAGCACCAUUUGGAUCUUGAGUAAUGUAUUGAUGUAGACACUUAUNNNNNNNNNNNNNNNNNNNNNNNNNNNNNNNNNNNNNNNNNNNNNNNNNNNNNNNNNNNNNNNNNNNNNNNNNNNNNNNNNNNNNNNNNNNNNNNNNNNNNNNNNNNNNNNNNNNNNNNNNNNNNNNNNNNNNNNNNNNNNNNNNNNNNNNNNNNNNNNNNNNNNNNNNNNNNNNNNNNNNNNNNNNNNNNNNNNNNNNNNNNNNNNNNNNNNNNNNNNNNNNNNNNNNNNNNNNNNNNNNNNNNNNNNNNNNNNNNNNNNNNNNNNNNNNNNNNNNNNNNNNNNNNNNNNNNNNNNNNNNNNNNNNNNNNNNNNNNNNNNNNNNNNNNNNNNNNNNNNNNNNNNNNNNNNNNNNNNNNNNNNNNNNNNNNNNNNNNNNNNNNNNNNNNNNNNNNNNNNNNNNNNNNNNNNNNNNNNNNNNNNNNNNNNNNNNNNNNNNNNNNNNNNNNNNNNNNNNNNNNNNNNNNNNNNNNNNNNNNNNNNNNNNNNNNNNNNNNNNNNNNNNNNNNNNNNNNNNNNNNNNNNNNNNNNNNNNNNNNNNNNNNNNNNNNNNNNNNNNNNNNNNNNNNNNNNNNNNNNNNNNNNNNNNNNNNNNNNNNNNNNNNNNNNNNNNNNNNNNNNNNNNNNNNNNNNNNNNNNNNNNNNNNNNNNNNNNNNNNNNNNNNNNNNNNNNNNNNNNNNNNNNNNNNNNNNNNNNNNNNNNNNNNNNNNNNNNNNNNNNNNNNNNNNNNNNNNNNNNNNNNNNNNNNNNNNNNNNNNNNNNNNNNNNNNNNNNNNNNNNNNNNNNNNNNNNNNNNNNNNNNNNNNNNNNNNNNNNNNNNNNNNNNNNNNNNNNNNNNNNNNNNNNNNNNNNNNNNNNNNNNNNNNNNNNNNNNNNNNNNNNNNNNNNNNNNNNNNNNNNNNNNNNNNNNNNNNNNNNNNNNNNNNNNNNNNNNNNNNNNNNNNNNNNNNNNNNNNNNNNNNNNNNNNNNNNNNNNNNNNNNNNNNNNNNNNNNNNNNNNNNNNNNNNNNNNNNNNNNNNNNNNNNNNNNNNNNNNNNNNNNNNNNNNNNNNNNNNNNNNNNNNNNNNNNNNNNNNNNNNNNNNNNNNNNNNNNNNNNNNNNNNNNNNNNNNNNNNNNNNNNNNNNNNNNNNNNNNNNNNNNNNNNNNNNNNNNNNNNNNNNNNNNNNNNNNNNNNNNNNNNNNNNNNNNNNNNNNNNNNNNNNNNNNNNNNNNNNNNNNNNNNNNNNNNNNNNNNNNNNNNNNNNNNNNNNNNNNNNNNNNNNNNNNNNNNNNNNNNNNNNNNNNNNNNNNNNNNNNNNNNNNNNNNNNNNNNNUAAAUUCAAAUGCUAUAGGUGUCAAUGUGCAAGUGUACAAAACAAGUAAUAUAAUGAUGAGUAUUCAAGAUCAUCUCCACAAGAAUUGAUAUUAUUAGAUUUGCUACAGAAUACUCAAUAGUGCAGUUUUGCUUUAAUUAAAAAUAAAACAGGUAAUAAAACUAAUAAAUUAAUUGAAAUAAUAUGCAAUAAAUAGAAAUUCAAAUAAAUAAAUUCUCAUGUCACACACAAGGAUAAAACCAAUGGAAAUAGAGUAGUUGAGUGAUUAAACUCACUUAAUGGUUAACUAUUUUUCUAAUGUUUGGCUCGGUUGUUACAACAUCUGCUACAGUACUAGGCAGAAUGGGCAGAAUCCUUAUGUAUCAUCAGCUGUCACAUGUUGGAUAUCUUAUAUCUAUAUGCAACCUAACAGUGAUUAGUUGUCAUGCCAACAUAAGAUAUAGCAUUACACGCCUAGGUUCUAAUUACCCUAUUAGGUGAAUCCCUAUGUCUAGUUUAUCAUAUAUAAAACCAAGUAUUACUUUGAUAUGUUCCACUAAAAUAAGCUCUUUUGUGGCUCUUUCUUAGCUAGAAUCAUUACAUGGGUAAUUAGCCGAAAUAAUGAAUAGAAAUAAGUAUUAUUAAAACAAAGCGCUAUAGCAAACAUGCAGCAACACAUAUAAUCAGUCAAUGAAUCAUUAAGAUUAUUUAUCACUCAACCACAACUAAAUUUAGUUCAUGGUUUGUGAAAGAAAAAUAAAGAAAAGAGUUUUAACCAUCAAAUACAUCUCAAUGAAUAAAUAGAAAACAAGAAAAGAGCAAGAAGGUUUGAUUUUCAAUGGAUCUCUACGUUUUCUCCUUUGGUGCAGUGCUAAAUUUCUCUCUUGAAUUAUGUUUUUCUUUUGUUUCUUUACGGUUUUUCUCCUUGGGUGAUAGCUCUCCUUUUCCUUUACGUGUGUGCUUCUUUUAUAGAUGAAAAUUAGGGUAAACAGAAGUUUAGGGCGCGUAUCUUUCAGAUUAAAAAACCCUAGAUCACAAUCUUCUAAGUAUCUUGUGCGAAAUCUUCUCUGUCGUUGUUCCAAGAUUGCUACAGCAACGGAUGCUACAAUAACGGCUACAGUAACUGCACUGUUCUAGAUUUGUUUCAAUUCUUCUAUAGUCAACUUCUUUUCCAUCUUUUGCAAGCCUAUUGUAGCAACAUUCAUUCCUUGGAAUUUAAGCUUUCAAUCAUCUAUCAUUAUGCACACAAUCUAAGUACACAAAAUUAUUCUAAAACAACGCAAUUUAUUAAAAAUAAACUAAAAUGGAUAUUCAUGCAAAAUAAAAGUAAAAUACAAUAAACAUAUUUCAUUUACUCUCUAAGUAAUCUUGAUUUAAGUCUAAAAGUGCCAUGAUAACUCUCAUUUUAAAGAGUUAUCAGUUAACACUUGUGUUCUCUAUCGAGUUUUACUAGAGUUACAAAAUUAUAGGUGGUAUUGAUUUGAUUUGGAGUAGCAGAUGACUCUAAUACCAAGUUGAAAUGAGCUAGAAAUAUGUUUGGUUACUGAGAAAAAGAACAAGAAAAUAAUGAAAGUUGUUUCAACUUUUAUUCGUCAGAUUACAAACGGGAAUCUCUUGCUAGAUAUUUCUAGAAACUUCGUACACGUACACACUAAGCUAGUAGCUACUAAAACCAUUAUAACAAUUUUUGCCAGCUCAGCAUAACUAGCUUAUGACUGAUAUGCGCAGCUGCAAGUGAGACCAUCAAGCUUAUUCUGCAUACUCUGUUAUCACGCAUGCUCUGCAGACUGUAUAUCAACAUCAACAGUAUCACCAUACUCUUUAACAAGGAAUAAGAAGGAAAGGAGGGAUGGUAUUGAAGUUUCCUUAUCUAUAGCAUUAGCAGUGUCUUAUUCAGCUCAUUAGAUUUGAGAUAUUUGUAGAAUGUGACGGUUUAACUCCUUGAUACAUCGUAGUCUUAGAUUAAGACUUAAUUACAUGCUCAUUUAAAUUUGAGAUUAAAUAUGAAUAUAUAUGUAUUUGCAUAUAUUGAUCAUUGAUAUGGAUGAUCCCCACCCCCCAAAAAAAAAAUUCUAUUCUGCUAUCCUCAUUCUUUUUCUCACCCUUCUAUUUAUUUAUUGAUUUUUAUUAUGAUCUUUCUUUAGCUUUAAGUUCUCAUUGGGUUAUGUAAUCUUCUCCAGACUCAUCGAAGUUUAUAUAUAUAUAUUUGCCUUGUUCUUUAGAUAGCCGGGGUGGAGGUUAGCUUCGAAGUGGUGAAAAAUAAAUUGGCACCCACAACGAAGAAAUCUGACCUGGUGAUAAGAGUUUGGCAAAGGCUUCUACUGUGCACAGGAAAUUUUCGAAUUGGCAUGUGAACAUGGAAUCUUUCAGAAGGAAGAAAAUAACUAUUCAUAAAACGGGAGGUUUUCAAUGAUAGACAUCAAGCUGAACAGUAUUUGAUUGAAAAUACAGAGGUUCUCAACAAGAUAAUCAUGAUCUUGAGGAAACAUUUGUUCGAAAGGCAUGGAAUAUAUGAAGUAUUCUGAGAUGAUCGAGCGAGUCAGGUCAAUGUAAAUAGGAGAGGACUCGGAAGUGAUGUUAUGCCAACAUUCAGAGAAUUUGACUGCACACAAAUGUUUAUGGGGAUUUGGCCAUAUCAACCAUAUCCCUUAGAACCAAACGAAAGUCGGUGUUGUUGAUGCUCUUCAUUGGGACUCAAAAUUAUUCUGCUAGUGCUGAGAGUGAGAGAUUUGUACUAGUUAUUCAUGCUCUUCUGAUGGGCUUUUCCAUUGCCUUGACAGCUUGACUGUCUUUAAAUGUUAGGCUGCUUAGGGUCCAUAUUUAUCGCUCCCAAAAAAUUGUAAUCAUUUAGGCAUUGUACAUAAGUGGUGUAAUUCAAAAAUAUUUAUUCAAGUUCUUGUAGUCCAUAACCUUUGGGGCCGGCAUGUCAAGUGGUCAGUUCCUUCUUUCUUUUGUGUUUUAGGCUCUCCCUCUGGUACUGCUGUUGGUAGGGGUGGGCAUGUCGGGUCCGGUUUGGGAAAAUUAAACUAAAUGGGUGGAGCUAUUAGCACCAUUCCGAAAAUCUCAUAAGCCAUUAUUUGAACACUUCAUUUUGACUUGAAUUUCAAUUAUAUUAUGAAACAAAUAUCUUUAUUGAACCCACGUUAAUACUCUAAGGGCAAGUUUUAUCCUUUGAUCAUAAACAUUUAAUAUUUAUAAUUUUUAUUUAAGAGUCAUAUUUAUCGAACACCAAUAACUUCAUAUAAUCUCUUAUAUUAUUAUUACUCCCCGUAACAAACAGAGUCUCGACAAUAUACAAUUGCUAAAUUUGUUAAAUGCAGACCACGGAGACAUUUAUCUAAUUGUAACUCAACCCAGGUUUUACUUAAGUCUUGUUGACUAUUAUUUAAUAGCAUGAUUAGGGUUGUCAUCACCUAGUCUAAACUCUAUAAACCAUAGUCAAGCAGCCUGCUGACUGAGUGAAAUUUAGUUCUCUCUUGACUUUGACAUUAACAAAUCCACAGAAUGAGAUGAUGAACUGAUGAUACCAACAAAUUUGAGCGUUCUAUUUUCCACAUAACAAGAUAGCAAGGUAGCACUCAAUUGGCAAUUUGGGAUUCAGCUGCCCCGUUGAGCACGUUUCUGGAAAAAUACAGAAAUACAAUGACAGCGGCAAUUUGGCAUUAUUAUUUGUUACAGCUGACAAUAAAGACUUAAAUGACUUCUAUCUUCGAUGACUCUAAUUGGUUUUUGUCUAUUUUAUAUAUGCCGGAUAUUCCUCAAUGAGAAGUAUGAUAAUAUCUAAAAACUGAAUUCUGAAAAAUAAAUGUUGAUGCUCUGGUAAUCUAGUUCCAAAAAUUGCAAAAACCCCAUCGAAAGAGCAAUUAACAUGUCAUUGGUCAUAGAGAGGUGCAAUUCUUUUCCUAGCUGUAAAAGUUGAGAAAUUUUCAAAUUUUUUUUAUUAUUACAUUUUGAUACACAAAUUAAUCACGUGAACACCAAUAAAUGUGCCAUAUCAAUCAUCUAUUGAAGUAAGUACUAUGAGGUUUGAAUCCAUGUUCGCAUGAGUGAAAGAGAAUUGAAUUGCUGUUAGAUUUUAAAAAAAAAAAAAAUUCAAACUUUAGAAGCCAUGACAACCAAUGUGUUGAUUAACGUCCUUAUCGGGUAAAGGGAACCAAGAUGGGCUAGCUUAGCGUGGUUAUAGAAGGUUCCAGCUCUAGCAAAUUCUAGCACUUUCUUACACUUGUACAUACAUGGGAAUUCUCUAAAGAGUGGUAGAAUGCAGUCUCUCUCGCAUGAUGUACAUAGAAAUUUCUAAAUCUUACAAGCAAUGAGGAACUCUUCAAGCUAUGAGAACUCUUUGGACUUAUAAUAUUCUAGAACUAGACAUGUUUCCUUAUAAACAAGGCACGACACUUAGCAUUUGUAUACCAAGCAAGAGCAACAAGCAACUCAAGUAACUUGUAAGUCAUCUCUCUAAGCUCUUUUGUACACGCACACACUCUUGUGAACACAAACUUUCUUUGACUCAAUUGCUCACUCUUCUCUCUAGUCUUCUGCAUACAACUUAGCUUAGCUAGUCGAGAAUCUCAAAACUUGUUUAGUAAUUUUUGGACAAUGGUUGUCUAAAUACCACAUGGAUGUGCUGCGCAAAAUACUCAUCUCAUGACAUUAAGCUCAUGAGUAGACAACAAAUAAAUAUUAAAGCCACCAAGACUGCAUGAAUGGCAACUUAAGUAGACAACAAAUAAAUAUAAAACCCACCAAGACAUUUCCAAAAUGAGAACUUCUGCAUAUUUUGUAAUUCAUUAUAUCAAUCUUUAAGUUACAAGUUUUUACAUGUGUCUGUGUAAUUUUUAAAUUAUCAACCACACAAACACAACAUAAAUUUAAACAAAGUAAAUGAAUGAGAUUUAUAACAAUUAUAGAAUUAUACAAUUGGAUACAUGCAUGAUCACGUUUCGAUAUUAAUACAAUUGAAAAUGUAGACUUAUUCCAUUUUCUAACACCAUUUUAAAAAAGAACCAUGUUGUUGAGUAAUUGAGUGUCUACAAAUAUGAACACCACAAAUAUGGAGCAAGUUGCAGCAGGGCACAGCCAACGAGCCAAAAGAAAGUGGCAUGCAUGCUCAAGAAAAUAGUUAACCUCAAGACGUUUCAAAGAACCCAGAGAGUUGUAAAAUUAAUUUUUUUUGAACAUUCAAGUUGUCAUUUAUUAUCAGCGUGACAGAUUGUUUUUCUCUUCCACUACGGGUCAUGGUGAUUUUCCUCUAUAAAUGGCUGGCAAGAAUAGGUGUUUGUAACCCCCAAAAAUUACCCAUGAAAACACAAGAGUAAAAUUGGAAUGAAACCUCACAUUGUUUAUUUUAUAUAAAAAAACAAAAAAAAAAUCUAAAGAGAGACAAUCAUUAUUCGUACUCCGACUGAAUCUUUACAUAAAACAUCUUAGAUAAAGUCUCCAAAGAAAAGUCUCUAAUCCAAAAUAAAAAGUCUAGCGAAAUUUAAUCUUUAAAGCAACUCCAAAGGUCAAGUUAAAAAAUCUCCAUCUAAGUACUCAAGCCACAUCUCUAAUCAAUCUGCAAAAUAUUGGAGACGACGGGUGAGCUGUCAACUCGAUAAGCAAAUCUAUGCACAAUAUUUGAAAACCUUUGUCAUUAAACCUUUAAACAUUUUAUAACAUCUUAUAAUAACAUCUUCAUUUAGCAUAAGGGAUGGAUUCAUGUAAAAGCAUUAAAAACAUUAAAACAUUCACAAAAACAUUAAAAGCAUAAACAUUGGUAGCUCAUGCCUCGUAGUUAUCAUCAUUCAUCAUUCACGACACUAUAUCCUGCAUUAUUCGUCAUUUAGGGUACUAUACCCCACAUUGUUCAUAACAUCCUUGUGCACAAGAUCAUCAUCAUACCAGCAAGCUGGCCAUAACAUUACAUAACAUCAUAGCAUUUGCAUCUUAUACAAUACUAUGGAUAUGAGCCAAAACAUUUUUGAAUCCACAUUACAUCCUUUCAUAAAUAGCAUUUAAAGUCUUUUAGAACAUUUAAUAACCUUUAUUUGAUCAUUUAAUUCUUUUAGAAAAUUCUUUAAGAAAACAUUUUGUUUAAGAAAACUAAUUUCUUAAGAAAAAUUAAUUUUAAAAUACAUUUAUAUAAAUUCAUUUAAAAGUUUUUUUUUUAUUUUCCAAAAUUCAUUUAAAAUAUUUUAAAAAUCAGUUUUUUAAAAAUUUACAUUUAAACAUAAUUCUUAUAAUAUAAAUUGCAUUUACUAUAAAAACACAUCAUGCAUGAAUCUACUUACUUCGAUCCACAGCAAUCAACUCAAUAACUCAAGAACAAACCAACUAGCUCACCCAUGUCCUAUAAUCAUCAUAAAAAUAUCCUUAUCAAUAUUAUCUCUAACCUUAAAUAUAAUCCCAAUCAUCCUUAAAUCAUAGGCACUUAUACUAGCUCAAUAUUUAUACAUAUUCUAGACAUAAGUAUGAGUAUCCUUCACAUGCUGAUUUUUAAUAACCUGUACACAUGUCGGAAAACCAUGAAAAUUUACAGAGGUACUGUGAACAUGCAUAGCAUUGCAUACAAAAUUUCACAAAAAUCAGCACAAGUGAAAAUCGAGUCAGAAUAUUGACCUUUCACCAAAGUAACAAAACUGUCCAGCUUUGACCAAAACAGAUGUUUACCAUUUAGGAAAUUCAUUAAAUAUUCUUUAGUACUCGAAAUAAUAUGUUUCUUUUUUUCUAAUUACAGAAGACACAUUCAGAAAGCAUAUAAUUAAAAUUCAUAAUUUUUUGGGCGUCUGAACUAUUUUAAACACAUUUUAUUUUCGAGAACAUCUAACGUGUCCAAAAAAUUCCAAAUUUGAAAACAGAAUUUCAAAAUUUCAUAUCUUUUAUUUUACAUGCCCACAAAUUAUGAUUCCAGUUUUUAAAGACAGAGGAAAGAUUGAAAUUUCAUUAUAAAAUCCUAACACAUGUAAUAUUCAUAAAUUAUCCCAACUGUUACACGUUUCAGCUUCUGCAAUUCUGGAAAACUGUUUCCAGAUCUGCAGCAGCCACGUAUUACGAUUUUUAAUAAUUUUAACCAUAAAGAAUAAAACCUCGAAAUUAAACAUGCAAGCAUAGGAGACAUAGAUCUGUUGAUACAAAAAUCGUAUAAGUUUUAAGGGUGUGCAACCUUACAGAAAAAGUUCCAGAAGUGAGAACCGCUGCUGAAAAUCAAAAUUUUCCAGCACCAGUAACCCAACUUCGAAAAAUCAUAACAAUUUGCAUACUCAGAGGAUUUCAACACGAAACCUAUCAAUGAAAAGCUAAGGAUGUCUAGUUCCAUGGUAUGUAAACGUAUUCACGUGAUUCUAAAUAAAGGAAAUGAUUUCAAGCAAGGAAUACAGACUGUUUAUAUCAUCACAACAUUAUAAACAUACAUAUAUUACCUAAAUCAUACUACAAGUAAUUAAAGGCAAACAACUAAUAAAACUAAAUCACAUAAGUCAAAAAAAUACUUAAUACCUUAAGGCAAACACCAAGCAAAGAAGUUAUAAAACUUUUUUUUUUCUUCUCCAAAGGCUUAUGUUUCUUUCUUUUUUUUUCUAGGAUUUGUAACGGCGUAGAAAAUAAAAGACGACUUCCUCUUAAAUACUUGGUAACUAAUAAAUACUUUUAAAAAAAAUAAAAAACAAGAAAACGUGAGUUUUAAGGAAAUUCUUUUUUUUUUUAUAAAAACUAAAAACUUACCUAACUUAUUUAAAACAAUUUAAUAAAUUUUACUCACACGCAAACAUUCAAUAAUAACUAUUCUACCCAAUUUAAUAAGGGUAAAAGAGGAAACAAAAAUAAAAGUGGGCGUUAUAGUGUUAGUAUAACACAUUUUGCAAUUUUGUUUAUCUCCAUGGCUAAAUUCUUCUCCUCUCUCAAUACCUCUUCAAUGGCUCCCAUUGUCUUGUUCUUUCUUGGGCUGCUAAAGGCUACCUUACACACAACAAGUAUAUACCUUAAUUUCUCGAGAAAAAUUAUCAAAACCUCUUUGUUGUUCGUAAAAAAUUAAUUUUUUUUUUCAUUUUCCAAAAUCUAUCAAAAUUGCUUUUAGGAAUUGGACCAAGUGGUUUUUAAGCAAUUUUUUAGCUGACCCUAUGUGAUCAAAUAUAAUUGUGUAGAAGAGAUAGUAACUAAAAAAUUGAUUUUGGAAUUCAUCCACUUCCUACCUUUUGUUUUUUUUUAAUCCAUCAAAACAAACCCAUACAUUAUCUUUCAAUUCUCUGUGUUUUAAUAAUACUUUACUUAUUACAUAAUUGUUUUUAAAAAUUUAGUUUUAAUUAGUGUUUUUACCACAACUAAGAAAAAAUAAUAAGGUGCGAAAUGAUUACUUGUGUUGUUUUUAAACUUAUGUUGUUUUUAAGACAAUACAAGUUAGAAUUUAGGGUAAUUAUCCACUGACCACUUAUUUUUUUCUAGCUUUUUCAAAAAUGCACAAAUCUUUUUUUUUUACAGCGCUCCACCUAAAGUUAAUAUUUUUUUCAUUGGUCCACUCCCGUUAUAAUACUAUUAGAAUUUUGCUGAUAUCAUAAGGGUAAAAUUAUCAUUUGACAACGAUUUUGUUUGAAGAUAGAAGUGGAUAGGUGCAAAAUAAUAUCACUUCAAGUGGAGUUCAGCAAAAAAAUAAAAAUUAAGAAUUAUGUAUUUUUCAAAAAAUGUGAAAAACAUAGGCAGUCGAUGGAUAAUUGCUCUUUUACAUUUGAGGGAAAAAGUCAUUUAUACAAUAUUUCGUUAGUUCUCUUAACAGGUUGAAGACAGAAGUGGACAUGUGCAAAAUAAUAUAACUUCAAGUAGAGUUCAACAAAAAAUAAAAUUAAAUUAAAAAUUGUGUAUUUUUGAAAAAGUGCGAAAAAAUAGGUGAUCGGUAGAUAAUUGCCCUAGAAUUUAACAUAAUGUUUUUUUAAACAAAUUUUUUAAAAGGGAUAUUAUUAUUCGUAUACCCUAUAGAUACUUUGUUAUAAAAAAUACUACAACACUUUGAGGGUGUAUCGAUCAUCCACCCUAAAUUGACAAAAGCUAUCUGCCGACCACCAAACUGUUAGUUGCCGUUUGAAAGUUAACGGAAUUAUAGUGAAUGGAUGAUUUUACUCUUGAAAAGUAUCACUUGUAUACCCUUAAAUUCUUUUAUUAUCACUUGUAUACCCUUAAAUUAUCACUUGUAUCAUAUGAAAAGACCAAAUUAUCCCUCUGGCGUUAUCCUAUUUAAACGGCAAGUAACAGUUUGGUGGACGGCAGAUACAUUUUGUCAACUUAGGGUGGACGAUUGAUACACCUUCAAAGUGUUGUCGUAUUUUUGAUAAUAGAGCAUCUAUAGGGUAUACGAAUGAUAAUUUUCCUUUUUGAAAUGUAAGAUGCCAAAUGAUUACUUUAUUGAAAUCGAACGUACCUGUUUAAUCAUUUUCCCUAUCCAUCUCUCUAUCCAUGGAUUAAUAUUAUUCAUUAACUAAUAUUAUAAGUUUUUAAUUUGUUCAUUAUCUAUAUAUUGCAUUUUACAUGUGCUCAAAUAGGUGUUUGCUAUGUAAUGCUUGGUAACAACUUACCACUAAAAUGAGAUGUCAUAGCUCUCUACAACCAAAACAACAUCAAAAGAAUGAGACUUUAUGAUCUAAACAAAGAAGCACCCAAAGCUCUCGAAGGCUCCAACAUUGAAGUCAUGCUGGGCCUUCCCAACAAUGACCUCCGAAGAAUAUCUUCCAAUCAAGCUGAAGCAAACACUUGGGUCCAAAACAACAUCUAAAAUUUUGCUAACAAUGUCAAGUUCAAGUGCGUUGCUGUAGGAAAUGAAGCAAAACCUAGACAUAACUUUGCUCAAUACCUUGUUCCCACCAUGAGAAACAUACAAAACACCAUCAAUGAAGCCGGCCUUGGAAAGUAAAUCAAAGUUUCCACUACCAUCUGCCUUGGAAAUCAAAUCAGCCUUUUAAAUGCUAUUUUAUUUAAUAAGUUUCUUCAUUUUGAUAUAAUCUUUUAAAAGCAAGUAAAGAAUUGAUUUUUACAAGCAGCUUAUGAAAUAAAGCACUCACCUUUUUAAAGUUCGUAUUAUAACUUUAAUUAAGAUGCCGUGGCCACCAAUAAUGCCACUCUUUGCCGCACAUUUGACUCUAAUAGGCCCACUCAUAUGUAAUCUCAAUGUAAAUUACAUACCCAACAUGCAAACCAACUUCGCCACUCAAACCCAACCACUAUUACAACUAGCCUAAACCCUUUUGUUUAACUCAGUUGUGUCUUUUGCCACAGGUACAUAACCUAACCUUACUUGAAGUACCCCCUUCGGCCUUAACCCCUUACUAAUCAUAACUCUCUGGAAUUUCAUAGCUAGUUUACAAAUUAGGAUGGCCAUUCUCCUGAUAAAGUGGCUAAUGUUGUUACAGAGACAUUAGAGGAUGAAGAUGAUGACGAUGACAAUGAUUAUAUGGAAGAAAGUGACACUGAACUGGUCUCGUCGGAGGGCGAUGUGUCCCUGAAUAAUGAGAAUGUCAUGGUAGUGAUUCAAGAGGCUACUGAGCCAUUUGGUUGAGGUCCAUCUCUUUCUUUUUUCCUAAUUUAAACGGUUUAUUCAAUUACGUUUUGGAACAUUCAAGGAGUUGCUUCUGUAAACUUUUGUUGGACUUUUCGGAUUCUUGUGAAAACUUAUAAAGUGUUGAUGGUUGCUAUCUUCGAACCUUGAAUUAAUGGCCUAAAGGCAAAUGAAUUUAUCAGAAAGAGUGGUUUUGACAAGUCUCAUAGAGUUGAAGCCAUUGGUUUUUUUUGUGGUAUUUAGUUGUUGUGGAAAGAUAGCUAUGAUGUGGAAAUUAUUUUAAAUCAUAAACAAUUUAUUCAUUUUAAUAUCUCAAAAAAUAAUGUGUUCCUUUCGUGGGUUACUUCUAUUUAUGCUAGUCCUAAUCCAGACAAAAGGAGGCAUAUUUGGAGCCAUUUAAAGAGGCUUGCUACUAUAGUUCAAGGGCCAUGGCUCAUUGGGGAGAGGGGAUUUUAAUUCUAUUAUAUAUGCUUCGAAAAAAAGAGGAGGUUCUUCAUAUAGAAGUGGUGUAUGUGGGCUAUUCAAAACUUGGCUGCACUCUAAUAAGUUACACGAUCUCCAAUUUAAAGGGCCUAAUGUUGCAGACCGCCCUAGUUACUAGCCCAAUUGCCUACAAUUUCGGGCUAGAGAACCCAAGACAAAGCCAAGAGUGCUAGCUUGGCCCGAUUCCGCAAACUUUUAGGCAACUCUAGCACAUUUGAGCUUGUAAAUAUCUAGAAUACUCCACACAUUUCCAGCACAUGUAAAUAACUAGAUAGUGGUAGAAUUCUCUAGAAUCUCUAGAGCUUGGCAAGCCUCUCUUAUAAAUAAGGCAUGACAUUUAGCAUUUGAGCAACAAGUUUAGAGCAAGCAACUCAAACACUCUUGUAAGAUCUCUUGUAAUCUCUCUUGUAAGCAAUAUAAUUUCUCUUAUUCGGCUUCAUUGCUCUCUUCUCUCUAGCUCUUCGAAAACCUUUAGGCUUAGUUAGUCGAGAAGCUCAAGGCUUACUUAGCAACAUUCGGCAAAGUUGUCUAAGUGCCGCACGGGUUGCUGCACAAAACACUCAUCCCGUGACACUAAGUUCACUUGGUGAAGGGGCACUCUAGCUAAAUGUUUAGAUAGGGUAGUCUGCAACAAAGAUUGGAUGACCAGGUUCGCUGAAAAUAUGGUCUUUGAUCUCCCAAAAAUUGAGUCUAAUCACAAACCUUUCUUUGUGCAUUUUGAGAAGGCUGAGGAAAGGAGUAGAGGGAACAAACCUCUUCGAUAUCUGGCCACAUGGCUUACUGAUAAAGACUUUGAGGAUUUGGUGAAUUCUUGCUGGGGACUGAUGACUUUUAUCUUAAGGCAGUUUAAUCAUCUACUACCAAUGUUUCUCUUUGGAAUAAGAACUCAUUUGGAAAUAUUUUUUAAAAAAAUGAAACCUUCUAGCUUGCAUUGGAGGUAUCCAAAGAGUUCUUGAGACUUGUACCAAACAGAGUCUUGUUCGCUUGAAGUUAAAAUUAAAAGCUGAGCUGGAGCAUGUCCUUACUGAAGAAGAAUUGUUGUGGCAUCAGAAGUCGAAAAAGGAAUGAAUUAUGCAUAGGGAUUGAAAUACUACUUUCUUUCAUCAGAAAACUCUUACUCGAAGACGUCAGAAUAAGAUUGAUGCGAUACUAGAUAGUGGAUGCAUGAUGUAGCAGAUAUUAAAGUUCAUGCUAUUAAAUUUUUCUUGGAUCUCUAUACAAACGAUUAAGAAACCUUCAUACAGUACCCUUUUACAGGUUAUUAUCUAGCAUUAACAUAACAUGUCUACCCUCGCUUAAUGCCUUAGUGGAUGAUGAUGAUAUUAAACAUACGAUUUUCAACACGGAGCCCUCCAAAGCUCCUGGCAUCAACGAUCUCCAUGCCAUUUUCUACCAAUCCUAAUGAAACACAGUAGGCCCCUCUUUCUACCAUUUUAUUAAGGAUAUUUUUAGGAGUGGUAAUAUUCCAUCUGAGAUCAAUAGGACUUUAGUAGUUGUUAUCGCAAAGACAGACCAUCCCAGCUCUUUAAGAAUGUACCACCCUAUUAGCUUAUUCACAGUUGCUUAUAAAAUAGUUACAAAGAUUAUUGCAAACAAGUUGAAAGUUAUUUUAUCACAACUCAUUGGUCCCUGCCAAACGAGUUUUUUGCCUGGUUGACAUAUUAUUGAAAAUAUUAUUGUGGCAUAGGAGAUUAUACAUUCUAUGGGAAGGAAACUGGUAGCAGGGACAAAUGGCUAUUAAAGUAUAUUUGGCGAAGGCUUAUAAUAGACUUAGUUGGAAUUUUAUUCAAGAAACUCUCAUUUGAAGUAGGGCUUCCCACUGAUUUUGUGCAUAUUACAAUGAAUUGCAUCACUACCGCUCAGAUGAAUGUCCUUUAGGAGAAAGAGUUCACGGAUGAUUUCUUUCCAUCGAGGGGAAUAAGACAAGGGGAUUCUAUAUCUCCUUAUAUUUUUGUUCUUUGCAUUGAGAGGCUCAGCCAUGGAAUCUGUCAUGUAGUAAAUACUGGAGAAUGGAAACCAAUUCAUCUAUCUUGACGUGGAACCCCUCUUACUCAUCAUUUCUUUGAUGAUGACCUCAUGUUGCUUACGGAGGCAUCUUGUGAAGCUAAAGUCCUAAAUAUAGUACUGGAUGUCUUUUGUACCAGCUCUAGAGAAAAGGUCAAUAAGGCUAAAGCUCAUAUAUUUUUUUUCUAAAAAUGUUUCCAUAGGUACAGUUAGAAAAAUUGGUUAGAUGUUGGGUUUUUCUGUCGUUGCUGAUCUUGGCAAGUAUCUUGGAAUGUUGCACAUUUGUCUUUAGCUGGCAGAAUAAGUGCCUGUUUGGGUUAGCUUAAUUAAGCUCUUUUUUGGCUUUCAGAAUUAAAAAAAUGUCUUUUGGGAUUAUUUGAGUGUCAAACCAAGUCUUUUUUUAAUCCAAAAGGUCUUUUGGGAGAAGCCAAGAUUUCUAGCUUUUUCCAAAAGACCUUUUGAGAAGUUAUUUUCUCAUUUAUUACACUUUUCAUAAUUCCUAAACUAACCUUAAAUUAACAAAUGAACAAAAAAUAUUACAUCUAAUCCAACCUCUUAAACCCUAUCUCUUACGUAUUUUUCUUGUUUUGCCUCUUCAUUGUUCAACUAAAAAAAAAAAAAAACAACAGAAGGAGCACAAUCACCACACCAAUCUUCUUUCAAGUAAGCAUUUUUUUUGUAAUCUCAUACUUUGAUUUGCAUCUUAUUUUUAAUUUAUAUAUACACACACACACACACUGAAAUCUCAUUUUUUAUUUCUUUGUCCAUUCGUUUAUGCUUUAUUUAAUUAUUUUUUGAAGUAAAUUUAUAAAGUUGACUUAGAAUGAAGAAUAAUUUUUUGCAAACUAGUGGAAUGUAGAGUAGAAGUUAUGUUUCCAAAUUAAAUUUAAUUAAUUUUGUAUUGUUAAUUUAUAAAGUUUUUUUUAUUUCGCAUGAGUUUUUAUUCAUGUGGGCAUAUAGAAGUGUUAUUGUUUAGAAUAUAAAGUGAGGAAUUACAUUUAGUUCGAAUUGUUUAGAAUGAAAAAUAUUGUUUGAUUUGCAUAUUAUAUGACAAGCAUGUGCAGUAACAAAUAACUGAAAUUAAAGUUACAACAAUUGAUAUUUAAUAUUUUGAAGAUAUUAGUAGUUGUGGCAUCAGUUACUGCCGAAUUGUUUUAUAUUCUUUUGUGUUUAUUGAUUUUCUAUUAUUCUUGCCCUGAUUUGGUGUUGUUGAUAUGUUUAUUGAUAAAUAUCUAUUACCCUUAACUAGAAUUAGAUGGCAACUGAUGGUGUCUCCCAAGGUAAAUCCAAAGCUAUUUGGGAUCCAAAAUCACAUGAAAUUAUAAUCGAGUAAGAGCUGGUAAUAGAAGUGGAACACAUUUAAGUAAGCAAGGUUGGAAAAAUCUUGUAGAAAAUUUCACAAGGGCAACCAAUAAAAAUUAUAAUCGAAAGCAACAUAGGAACUGUUGGGAUAUUGUGAAGAAAGAGUGGCAGAUAUGGGAUGAAUUGGUGAGGGGAGAAAUAGGGCUAGGUUGGAAUAUGGAGAGACAAACAAUAGAAGUUACAAAUGAAUAGUGGGAGGUAAAGUUACAAGUAGGUUAUUUAAAUUCAAGUUAUUUUAAGUUUAAUUCAUGUAUUAAAUUUUAUGUUGCUAAUUCUAAAACUAUAAUAACAGAAACACCUAGAAGCUGCAAAAUUUUGGAUUAAGGGCCUAAACCAUGCUUUUAUGUUAGAUGAAUUAUUUCAUGAUAUUACAACAACAGGAGCAAGAGCUUGGGCACCAACUUCUGGUGUAACACCCCCUUUAUACAAUCAUUCUAGUUUUGAAAAUAUUCUUGAGGAUGACAUUGUUCCAGUGGAUAGUUCAAAUUUUGAACAAGUCAACUAUGAUGAAAUAGGAUAUAGUGACUGUUUGGAAAAGAUUCCACAAAGAAGAAAGGAAUUAAAAAAAGCUAACAUGAAAAGAUCUAUUGCAUCUAAGUUGACCAAACAACUUGAUGAACUUUGUGAGGCAAUUAAGAACAAGGAUUCAUAUAUACGUACUGAUCCUCCUGAUUGUAGUGUUCAGGAGGUUGACAAGUUAGCUACACUUCUAGGAUGCCAACCAAUGUCUCCUAUAUUUAAGUUGGACAUUCGUUUGUUCACAAAAAAGGCAAAUAAAGAGACUUUUGUUACUUAAUCUAGUUAUUUUAUUCUUUUUUUUAUAAAAAAAAAAGGUAUUUUAAUUUGUAAAAGUUUAACUAAAUUGAUCAAAUAAUUAUUUUGUUUGUCAUUGAUUUUUAAAUUUCAUAAGUAUUUAUUAGACUCAAAUAUUUAAGGGUAUUAAUGACUUUAAAAUAAUUAAAAGAUCUUUUUUAGAUGGUCAUCCAAACACUUCAAAAAGAGCUUCUCAUUAAAAAAAAAAAAUUUAUUAUGGUCAUCCAAACGGCAAAAAUAAGCUAGAAUUUCUACUUAUAUUUUACUUUUAAGUAGAAGCAAAAGCAAAAGCCAACACAAAAAGGCCCUAACUCUUGCUCAAUCGGUCAUCAAAGAGGUACCCAUCUAUGCUAUGUAAAUUACAAGCCUUCUCGUGUGUGUCAAAGCCAAAAAUUGAUCAAGCUUGUAAAAAUUUGAUUUGGAGUGGAGCUAAUUCUCAAUGGAAGAUGAAUCUUGUGAGUUAGGAUAAAGUUUGUCAACCUAAAAGCUAUGGUGGUUUAGGCUUAAAAAUUCUUGAAGUAAAAUGAAGCUUUAUUGAUGAAAGCGGGGUGGAAUCUUAUUUCAUCCCCUACUAGCCUUUGGACCAAAGUAUUACUUACAAAGUAUGGGCUGAAUCAUGAGAACUUGCUAUCAGUCUUGCCAACAAGAAAUGGUUCAUACUUAUGGAAGUCCAUUGGAAAAGUAUGGAAUGAUACAAUAAUGAAGAUUCGGUGGAAAAUUGGAGAUGGCAAGAAGGUUCGUUUUUUGUGGGACUGCUGGGUCACAAAAGCUCAGCCGUUGAUUGUCCAUGCUAUGGCCCUGAUUCCUACUGAUAUUAUUAAUAAGACUGCUACUAAGUUUGUUAAUGCACAGGGUAAUUAAGAGUUUCAGUCAUCUCCUCCCAACAUAUCCUUCUUCGAAUUGCUUCAUUUCGGCCACCAAUGAAAGGCUAUGGAGAAGAUCAGAUUUUUUGGUCUAAAUCUAAGAAAGGUAACUUCACGGUAAAAUCAGCUUAUGAUGCUCUUUCCAAGGAGAUUAAGAGAGAGAAUGAUCAGAUAUGGAGUUGUGUAUGGCGUUGGAAUGGUCCUCAAAGUAUUCGUGUUUUCAUUUGGCCAGUUUUGCAUAAUAGAUUGAAAACAAAAGCUGAGAUUUCAAGGAGACAUGUUCAAUUAGAUUGCAAUUUUGAUCGUUGCGGUGGUGGUGCUGAGAUUACUUUGCAUGUGUUACGGGACUGCAUGAUAGCUAGAAGAUUUUGGAAUGCCAUCAUCCUGGUACAUCAAUGUCAAUAUUUUUUCUCUCUGAACUUGCGAGAUUGGAAGAGCUAUAAUUUGACGAACACGGAGCAGGUUGGAUCAAAUUUUAGUUGGAAUAUUUUCUUUGGGGUAGCUAUAUGGCAUCUUUGGUUUUGGGGUAAUUAGUUUUUAUUUCAUGGUGUGACUUGGGAUUGUGCUAGCAUGAUAUUUGAUGUCAAGAUAAAAGCUACAAAAAUUCAACGUAUUAGUACCACGCCAAUGGGUAUGAAUAAUCGACAGGUUGAGAAGUGGAUAUGUUGGUCUCCUCCAAUCUGGCCUUGGUGCAAGUUAAAUACUGACGGUGCUAUAAAAAAAGACUGGGGAAGUAAGUGCAGGCGGUCUUAUUAGAGAUCAUAAUGGGGCUUGGGUGGCCAGCUUUGGAAUGAAUAUUGGAUCGUGCUCGAUUACAGUAACUGAGCUUUGGGAUCAAGGUUUAAAUGUUGCUUGGCAAAAUGGGAUUCAAUGGUUACUAGUUAAAGUUGACAACCUCUGUAUUUUUCAACUAAUCACCACUCAUAUGAUCACAGCUAAUGAGUUUUUCCUCCGAUUAAGUCCAUUAAAGAUCUCAUUAGUCGCAACUGGCGCAUUACCAUUAAUCAUGUUUAUAAGGAGGCUAAUUUUGCAGCAGACUUCUUAGCAAACCAUGCACUAUCAACUCCUUUGGGUCUUCAUUUGUUACCAAAUCCUCCUAGCAUCAUUGAUUAUCUUAAACAUGACAUGUAUGGGGAGGUUACCUACGUUUUGUUUUUCCUUAGCUCUUUUUAGAGCCCCUUUGUAUCAAAAAAAAAAAAACAAUAAUACUAUGCUUACAUAAUUUUGAUACAUAGUUUAGAUACCAACUGCUGUGAUAUUAUUUAAUUGGCUCUAGCUGGUAGCUGGUGAUAGUUAUAAAGCCUUUUCAUUUCUCAUCCAAAUGAUUAAGUUCGAUUGGUGACAAAUCAGCUAAGAUACAAACUAAGUUUCCCAGUAACUGAGUAAGGGCAAGGUUAGUGAUGUUGUAGCUUUUAAAAACAUUAGUUGUAAAGAGAAUCAGUUGAGCAUUUAGCAAAAUUUAUUUUUAUAAGUGUUGUGAGUUCUAAAAGCAGUUGUAUGUAUUUGGUGAAUCAUACAGUUAAACACUUAAACUGUUGUAAGAAUGUAAAUGACUAAAUGGAACAUAGUGUUAAUAAAAUUUAUAAAAAUGUACAUAAAAUAAUUUUUGUUGUGGAUAUAUAAUAAUUGAUAAUUAAAAUAAAUAUUAUUUAUGUUACUAGUUUUAUUUUUUAUUUUACUGUCUCAAUAUAAUUGGUGAUAAUAAUAAUAAUCCAUUUAAAGUUAAUGUUUUUAUUUCCUAAUUAAUAUGGAAAAUUUAGACUUUUAUACUACAUGGAGAUAUAUAUGGAAUUGUAUUAUGUAUAGAAUUGAUUUUCAAAAUUAGCUAUUGAAAAAUUACUCAUUUCCUGCAUUUGAAAAUCUACUAUAGGAUGGAGUGAUUUUAUUGGAAGUGAUUUCUAAAAUAAAUUACCAAGCACUAAAGUUAACUUCUAGCUUUUCAAAAUGACUUUUAAGCCAUUUGAAAGCAAAUCCCAAACGAGCCUAACUAUAGCAUUACUCAAAAUUUAAAAAGAAAUUAUAUCUUUUUUUAAAAGCUUAAUUUUAUAAUGAUAUUAAACACCCUAGUUUUAAACAUUUCUUGGAUUUUCCUACACUUUAAAAUCCCAAAUCAAAUAUAAAACUUUGUCUAUAUUGGUCAUUAUAUAAUAAAAUAACACUUUUGUAACAAAAUUUACUAAAUACACAAAUUCUACUUUUCAAGCUCAUAAUAAUUAAGUAACACAGUUUACUAAACGUUAAACUACUUUUUUAAUCAAUAGACUAUGUUAUGGGAAUUAGAAUUUCUAGAGAUAGAGGUUCUAGGAUGCUAUAUGUAGAUCAAGAAAAUUAUUUAGAUGAAAUACUCAAGCGAUUCAAUAUGACAAACUGUAAACCAGUUAGCACACUUGUGUGUAAAGCCACAACUCUCCAUAAGAAAUGGUGGCCAACAAAUAAAACUGAAAUAAAAGAAAUGGAAAAUGUACUUUAAACACAGGCUGUUGGAAGUCUUAUGUACACAAUGACGAGUAUUAGAUCACAUAUAUCACAUGUAGUAGGAGUUGUUCGUAGGUAUAUAUAUCAAAUCCAAGAAAAGCACAUUGACAAGCAGUUAAAAAAAUUAUGAGGUACUUAAAAGGAACAAAAGAUAUGAAAUUAUGUUUUGGAUUAAACGAUCUAGAGAUUGUUGGAUAUUGUGAUGCAGACUUUGCAGGUAAUAUAGAUGAUAAAAAGUCAACAUGUGGUAAUGUAUUCUUAUUUGGUGGAACAACUGUUUCUUGGCUAAGUAAGAAACAAGCUUGUAUUGCAAAGUCAACAAUGGAAGCAAAAUACAUAUCUUGUAGCACAACAGUAAGCACUGCUGUAUACGCUAAAAGGUUUAUUAAUAAUCUACAACUAAAUUUAUCUAAAGAACUUAUUAAUUUGUUCUGCAAUAGUAAGUUUGCCAUUUUUUUUAGUUAAAAGUGGAGUAAAGAGCUCAAAAGGAAAACAUAUCAAUAUAAAUUAUCACUAUGUACAUGAUAUAGUAGAGAGCGGAAAAAAAAAGUCGACUAUUUCCCUUCUAACAAGAUGGCAACUAAUCCCAUGACCAAGGGAUUAUCUUUGGAAAAGUUCAGAGAGCAAGUGACUACUACGGGUUUAAGAAUCAUCUAAAUGUGCAGUCAUAACAUGCGGUAUAAGGGUAUCAUUGAAAAUUCUCAAGGACGCUUGAAAAAAUAAUCGAUACAACUCUGUUUGAUUCAUUAAUUGGUCAAAUGAAAGAUAAAGAACACUAAGCGAGGAAACAAGGGUUAUAAUAGAUCAUUUUUUCUGUAAAGUUUGUUUAAAGGCAUCAAUGAUGAAUCUAUGUAACACUAGGUGUUUAGUGUAAAGUUACCAAAUAAAACUAGGUAUGAACAACGCUCCUAGUUUAAGAUAUUAGUGAAUUUUAUUUUAUAAAAUGUAGUUACCUUUACUUUUGUAGUUUGGUCUUGGUGUUAUGAUGUAUGAUAAUAAACGAGAAUGUGCAUAUUAAAAUUAUAAUCAUCUAAGAAUACAAACUACAUCAUUUGAUCAAGUGGGAGAUGCUAAUAUUCAUGUGCUCAAAUGGUCCCAUACAGAACAUAUUAAGCUUGCAUAAUGUAUCACAAAGUUGAUACACAUGAGAUACCUACAUGUUUAAAUUUGAACAUGUAACUUGUAGAUGGAUAAUGGAAGUUGCUUGUUCAAAUUUCAAACAUGAAACUACCACAUUAUUGCCUAUAUAAAGUCAUAAACACAUUACAAGUAAAUUCAUUCCAAGACAUACAUAAAAGUUGUUAUCUUAUGAUCUUGGAGUUCUGCAUGUAACCACCAACCUAACAGUGGUGUAAAACGAUCAUUAAAUCCAGCAGACAGCUAAGAUACAAACUAAGUAUCCCAAGAAGCAAGGGAAACUUAUUUGCAUUAAAAAAACAAGCCAAUACAAGCUGAUAGCGGUCCCAGUCAAAGCGUAAGUGAUUGAAUAUAUUUCUACUUAGGGUGAGAAAUAAGACCACAAGAUAUUUGAUUUUUUGGAUAAUAGUCAAUGCCUUUAUUCAAGUCUGUUGGAGCUUAUUUAUACUUGAAACAACUUAGCCAAACAAUCUAACUAUCACUCGAGAUUGUAGGCAGGUACUAAGCUAACAACUUGACUUAUUCUUUUAGCUUAACAAAACAACCGAAUAUGAAUUAAACCAAAUAAUAAAUCUCCAUUAAAUCAGCAAGUGAUCCCAUGUUGACCGAAUCAAUCCAUGAUCCCUGUAGACUGCUCCAACAACCAUUCUUCCAACGUGUUGCAUGUUGCAUGUAACGUAUGCAUGAGUCUUGAGCCAUGUGUGUUAACAUGAAUAUGUUAAUAAUAUUGAUUUUGAUGAUAACAAACUUUAAAUGGUUCUUUGAUAAAAAUGUUAGAGCUAUUCCUUAAUAAACAAAACCCUUAAUAAUCAUUCCAUUCAUUUUUUCAUAAAAGAUGGACUUUCAAAUUAGAAAAGAUUCUCUGCAGAAUUUGGUUUAAAAUGUAAUUCUGGACAUAAACGGUAAACCGUUUUCCUUUAAAUGGUUAACUGAUUAAUACCAGAGAGCAACAUAUUGCCUAAAGCUCUAACUGUUUAUGAAAAACGGAAAACACAAAAGAUGGGAAGGCUACUGGAACUUAACGGUGAACCGUUUAUAUUUAAACGGUUAACCGAUAACAUCCAGAAUCACUGAUUAACAAAACCGGUUAAGGCUGAAUUGUUUUGCAUGUUACUGGAGACAAAUGGCGAACCGUUUAUUACAAACGGUUAAUCGAUAACAUCCAGAGAAGUCACUUCAUGCAAAUCCUUAACCGUUUAAUAUAAAUGGAUAUUAAGACUGAAUUAUUUUGCAGGUUACUGGAAACAAACGGCGAACCAUUUAUUAGAAACGGUUAACCGAUAACAUUCAGAGAAGUCACUUCAUGCAAAUCCUUAACCUUUUAGUGUAAACGGAUAACUGAUGUUCAUCUUGCAGGUCCCUGGAAAUUAACGGCAAAAGGUUAAUCCUAAACGGUAAACCAUUUAUUUGAAAUUUGGCCUAACGGUUACUUUUGACCAGCCUAAACGAUUAACCAUUAAUAGUUAACGGCGAACCGUUUUCGGGCCGACAAUUUGUAACGGCUAGUUUUUCAGCUCCAAAUAUAAAUAAGCUCAUUCAAAUUCAAAGAAGAUUGAUCACAACACGACCAUUAAGCUAAUAUUCGAGAAUACAAUCUUCAUAGAGCUUAGAACACAUUCUUGCUUCAUCUAUUCACAUAUUAGGCAUCAUUGUGUAAUCCUAUAUAUUGUGAGAGGCAAAUCAAUUUGUAAUCUUUUACUUUGAGUGAUUGUAAGUGUUGGGAUACACUUGGGUUAAGAGAUUGGGGAUAAUCUCUUGUUGUAAAGGUUUAUUGACACCUUGAAAGUCAAGUGUAAGCAUUUGAAGCCUUGGAGGCUUGCUUAGUGGAAUCCUCAAGCCCGGAAAGCUUGGAGGCGUGGACGUAGGCGAGGUUGGCCGAACUACAUAAAAAUCUCUGUGUUUGAAUCCCUUUCCCCUUAUCUUUUUAUAUUGUGAUCAACUUAAUUGUUAUUGCUUUGAAUUUGGAUUAUAUUUGCAUUAAAUUUUUCUUUAUAAAUUGAAUAAUUUUUAGAAUCCCAAUUCACCCCCCUCUUGGGUUGCAUACUUGUAUUUCAAUUGCUAUCAGAGCCUUGUUCUCUUGUUAAGACUUAAUCGUCUAGAGUAAAAGAUCCAUGGCAACCCUAAAUGACUCAACCUUUAGAGAAGGGCAAUCUACAACUAGACCGCCAUUCUUUGAUGGAAAUGACUACCACCAUUCUUUGAUAGUGAAUCUAGAAUACUACCACUAUUCUUUGAUGGAAAACUAGAAUUAGAAUUUACUUGCAAGCCUUAGAUUAUGAAAUUUGGGAAGUUGUUUGUGACGGUCCAUUCAUGCCUAUGUUUAAAGAUGAAGUAGGAGAUGAUAUUCUUAAACCAUCAAGUCAAUGGAGUGAGUUAGAAAAGAGAAAAAUGUCUCUAAACUCCAAGGCUAUGAAUGCUUUGUUUUGUGCCCUUGAUAAGAAAGAAUUCCAUAGAGUAUCUAGUUGUGAAAGUGCACAAGAGAUAUGGAACAAACUUGAAGUUGUCUAUGAAGGGACAAAUCAAGUAAAAAAGUCUAAAAUCAGUAGAUACACUCGUCAAUAUGAGUUGUUCCAAAUGGAACAAAAUGAAAAUGUGUAUUCUAUGUAUACUAGAUUUACGGACAUAGUGAGCACCCUAGGUGCCUUAGGGAAAACCUUCUCAAAUAGUGAGAAAGUUAAGAAAAUCAUUAGGUCACUUCCAAAAGAAUGGAGACCUAAAAGAACCACCAUUGAAGAGGCCAAAGAUUUAAAUACUUUACCUCUUGAUGAUUUAAUUGGUUCUCUCAUUUCAUAUGAAAAUGAUUUAGCUGCAGAAAAAGGACAUGGAGAGAAGAAGAAAAGCAUUGCUCUCAAAGCUUCAAAAUAUGAGAGUGAUGGGGAGAGUGAACCGGAUGAUAAAGAGCUAGCCAUGCUAGCAAUGAGGUUCAGAAAAUUCUUCAAGAAAACCGGAGAGCGAAGAAAUUUCAGAAACUUCAAGAACCAUAGGGAGAAGAAGGAGGCAAUCACAUGCUAUGAAUGCAAAAAGCCUGGACAUAUAAGAUCGGAGUGCCUACUUAUCAACAAACUCAAGAAGAAAGCAAUGGUUGCAACUUGGGAUGAUAGUGAGGAAGAAUCAAGUGAUGAAGAAGGAUCGCAAGAAGUAUCAAACCUAGCACUCAUGGCAAUAGGAGGGGAUGAUGAUCUCAAUGAUUAAAGAUUUGCAUAAUGAGUUGAUGAAGAUUGGUAAAAAGAAUGUAUGUCUUAAAAAGGAAAUGACAAAGCUUAAAAAUGAAAAUAAAUCUCUAAAUGCAAGAAUUGUAUGCCUAGAAGUAGGGAACAAAACACUGCAUGAUGAAAUUGCAUUAUCAAAUGAGAAACCUAGCAUCUUACAUGAGCAUUUAGAAUCACACAUAGAUGAGUUGAAAAAUGAGAACGAAAUGCUCAAGAAAAAGAGUAAUGAAUUGAAUGAAAUUGUUUUGAAAUUUACAAAUGGGCAAAAGAUGUUGGAUAAUAUGCUUAACUCACAAAAAUGUGUUUUUGAUAAAGGAGGACUUGGAUAUAAGCCUAACUUGAAGCAAAAGUAUUAUAAGAAUUAUUUUGUUAAAGCUACCUCCACAAAUAAUCAUAAGAUUGUAUGUCAUUAUUGUAAUCAAAAUGGUCACAUGAAAUAUAGAUAUCCCGUGAAAAAGAAUGCAUAUUAUGGUGUCAAAUGCAUUUGGGUUCCAAAAGAAACCGUUGCUAACUCUCAAGGACCUAAAAAGUUUUGGGUACCUAAAACUUGAGAUUUUCUUUCUUGUAGGGCUUGAAGAAGAAGAAAAAUAAAUGAUACUUGGACAGCGGUUGUUCAAGGCACAUGACCGGAAACUAUGCAUGGUUCUUAAGCUUCACCAAAAUUGAAAAUGGUGGAGACGUAUCUUUUGGAGACAACUCAAAAGGAAAAAUUCUUGGAAUUGGAAAUGUUGGUAAAGUCUCUUCAACUCUAAUUGAGAAUGUGUGUUUGGUUGAGAACUUGAAACACAACUUAAUUAGCAUUAGUCAAUUAUGUGACAAAGGUUAUAAAGUUAUCUUUGAUAAAUUUAGUUGUGUUAUUGAGAACUCAUGUGAUGGAAAAACCUUGUUUGUUGGUAAUAGAUGUGGUAAUGUUUAUAUCAUUGACAUAGAAUGUGCAUCUACUCUUGAUAAAUUUUUUUCCGCAUUACAUGAUGAUAAUUGGCUAUGGCAUAGAAGAUUAGGACAUGCAAGUAUGGAUUUGAUUUCGAAAAUUUCAAAAAAUGAUUUAGUUAAAGGUCUUCCGAAAAUUGGUUUUCAAAAGGAUAAGAUUUAUGAAGCUUGUCAAUUUGGAAAACAAAUUAAAACUUCUUUCAAGAAUAAAAACCAUAUUUCUACUUCAAAACCUCUUGAACUUCUUCACAUAUAUCUUUUUGGACCAUCUAGAUAUGCGAGUCUAAAUGGUAAAUAUUAUGCAUUUGUGAUAGUGGAUGAUUAUUCUAGAUAUACAUGGGUAUUAUUCUUAGCCAAUAAGGAUGAUGCUCUUGAUGCUUUUAAAGUGCUUUAUAAGAAAUUACAAAAUGAAAAAGGGAAUAAUAUUAUAUGCAUUAGGAGUGAUCAUGGAGGAGAAUUUGAAAAUCAUGCAUUUGAGAACUUUUGCAAUAAUCUUAGCAUUGAGCAUCAAUUUUCAUCACCUAGGACUCCACAACAAAAUGGAGUUAUUAAGAGAAAGAAUAGGUCUAUUCAAGAAAUGGCUAGGACCAUGUUAAAUGAAAAUGCAUUACCUAUAUAUUUUUGGGCCGAAACCGUCAACACCGCUUGCUAUGUUUUAAAUCGGGUGUUGAUUAUACCUCAUCUCAAUAAAACUCCCUAUGAGCUUUGGAAAGAUAGAAAACCCAACAUUGGCUAUUUCAAAGUUUUUGGAUGCAAAUGUUUUAUUUUAAACACAAAAGAUAAUCUUGGUAAAUUUGAUCCAAAAUCUGAUGUUGGCAUCUUUCUUGGGUAUUCAAACUCAAGUAAAGCUUAUAGAGUUUAUAAUAAAAGAUCUUUAAUUGUGGAGGAGUCCAUGCAUGUUAUGUUUGAUGAAUCUAACCCCUCCUCUGCGGAGAAAGGAGUUGAUAAUGAUGAAGCAGACGGAGAUUUACAAGAAGAAUCAUCAAAAGAGAUUCAAGAAAAUGCAUCACAAGAAAAUCAAGAGGAUAGACAAGAAGAGCAAACAAAUACUGAGAUGGAGCAACAAGAAGGUAUUUCCCAAACACUCCCCAAGGAGUGGAGGUAUGUCUCUUCUCAUCCUAUAGAUGUAAUUUUAGGAGAUCCCUCACGAGGUGUUACAACUAGAUCAUCACUUAGAACUACUUGUGAGCAUAAUGCAUUUAUCUCUCAAAUUGAACCCAAAUCCUUUACGGAUGCGGAAAAUGAUGAAUCUUGGAUUAUGGUAAUACAAGAGGAGUUAAAUCAAUUUGAAAGAAACAAUGUGUGGGAAUUAGUUCUUAAACCGGAACACCAAUCUGUCAUAGGCACUAAAUGGGUAUUUAGAAAUAAGAUGGAUAAAUCCGGGGUGGUUGUAAGAAAUAAAGCUAGAUUAGUGGCUCAAGGUUACAACCAAGAAGAAGGAAUUGAUUUUGAUGAAACUUUUGCACCUGUAGUAAGGUUAGAAUCAAUUAAUGUUGUUAGCAUAUGCAUGUCAUAAGGAUUUUAUUUUAUAUCAAAUGGAUGUCAAGAGUGCUUUCUUAAAUGGAUAUAUUAUGACUGAAGUUUAUGUGAAACAACCUCCUGGUUUUGAAAAUGAAAAAUUUCCAAAUCAUGUUUAUAAGUUGCUUAAAGUCUUGUAUGGAUUAAAACAAGCACCUAGAGCAUGGUAUGAUAGACUUAAAAAUUUCUUGCUAGAAAAUGAUUUUUCUAUGGGUAAAGCGGAUACUACUCUAUUUGUUAAGCAUAAGAACCAAGACAUACUUAUUGUUCAAAUUUAUGUUGAUGAUAUAAUUUUUUGUUCUACUAAUGAGUUGUUGUGUAAAGAAUUUUCAUCGUGUAUGAGCAAAAAAUUUGAGAUGAGUAUGAUGAGAGAGUUGAAGUACUUCCUUAGACUUCAAAUCAAACAAAACGAGGAAGGAAUUUUCAUAAAUCAAGCCAAGUCCAUAAAAGAUCUACUCAAACGAUUCGGCAUUGAUGACUCAAAGACCAAGAAUACACCAAUGAGCACAACAACCAAGCUGGACAAAGAUAAAAAAGGCAAAGAAGUGGAUAUCAAAAUGUAUCGAGGUAUGAUCGGAUCCCUACUUUAUUUGACUGCAAGUAGACCCGAUAUCAUGUUUAGUGUAUGUUUGUGUGCAAGAUUUCAGUCAUGUCCCAAGGAAUCUCAUUUGCUUGCUGUUAAAAGAAUUUUUCGUUAUUUGAGUGGAACCAUAGAUAUUGGCCUUUGGUAUCCUAGGGGAACUCAUAUAGAUUUAAUAUGUUAUUCGGAUGCGGACUUUGCCGGUUAUAAAGUGGAUAGGAAGAGCACUAGUGGUACUUGCAUAUUCUAGGACACUCUUUUGUUUCAUGGUUUAGCAAGAAAUAAAAUUCUGUCGCACUUUCAACUACCGAGGCUGAAUAUAUAGCUGCCGGAAGUUGUUGUGCACAAGCACUUUGGAUGAAACAAACACUUAGAGAUUAUGGCAUUAAUCUUGAACAAAUUCCUAUUAAGUGUGAUAAUACUAGUGCUAUAAAUCUUUCAAAGAAUCCCAUUCAACACUCUAGAACCAAGCAUAUAGAAAUUAGACAUCAUUUCUUGAGAGAUCAUGUUCAAAAGGGAGAUAUUGCAUUAGAGUUUAUUUCUACGGGAAAACAACUUGCCGAUAUUUUCACAAAACCGCUUUGCGAAGAACAAUUUUAAAAAAUUCGGUAUGAACUUGGGAUGAUGAAAUUUUCGCAUUAACGUAUCUAUUCAUGCUAUUGAGUGUACUGAAUUGAUUGACUUACUUGUGAUCAAAUAUUUAUGAAAUGCUUGAGCUUGAUAGUCAAAUGAUGAAUUUGCCUUGAUAAUUCUUGAUUAUAUGAAUUAAUUGGUUGAAAAACAUGUUCAUGAAUCAUGCAUUAAAAUGGCUCAUAAAAUAUUUUCAGAUCAAUUAAAUGAUCUUGGAAUAUAAUAUUUGCUGGCCAAAUAUUAAAUCAAAUGUACGAAAUUACGGAUAAAAUAAACGGAUAACGGUUUCUAAUAAACGGUGAACCGUUUUAUUCCAGAAACGAGAUUAUGUGUCUGUCCGUUUACUCCUUCACCGUUUGCUACAAUCGGUAAACCGUUUUAUAACAGAGAGUCCUCUAACAGUUACUCCUUAGCCGUUAAGCGUUUAAGCUUUCACCGUUACUUAUUCUUUAGCCUCUGGAAGUUACGCCUUAACCGUUUAAAUAAACGGUUAACCGUUUUUGCGAUUAUAAAAACUGUUCAAAGGUCUUUUCUUCUCCUUCUCCAGUUACCCUUUCACCGUUUUCGUCAUUGUUGCGCAGCCGAAGGUUUUUUCUGCCCUCAAACACUCAUUUUUUUUCUUGCUUUUCUUGUCAAAUCAAACCCUCAACAUCAUUUCUUAUCAAUUUUAGAACAAUUUCACCGAUUCAAAACUUCAAAUCAAGCCCAAAAUUUAAAAAUCCCAAAUUAAAACCCUAACUGCCGCGGGUCGGGUUUCUUCAUUUUUAAUCUGAUUUUUACCCUUCUUCAACCAAAUUGAACAUCCUACUCACAUCCUCUAUUCAUUCUUAAGCCAUUUAUCGAUUCAUUUUCUUCUCAUCACAUCUCUCUUGCAUUUUCCACACUUCAUUGCGUUUCUCCAUGGCUGAACCCUCUCGGAGAAAUCCCAGGCAUAAAAUAUGUGCCUCCAAGGAAUCCUAUACCACCACGGGAAGUCUCUGAAUUUUCACGCAUUCACUUCCCCACACCUUUCUUGGCCAAGCGGUUCGAAGAUCGCUUUAACGGUCGAAAGGUACUUGACUCCUUCUUUGUUGAUAUUGAUGAUUUCCGCAACUUAGUUGUAUGUGGUAGAAGCAUUAGGGAUAUGCUUCAGCCAUGGGAGGCUGCCAUUGACCUUGAUGACCUUGUUUAUCCAAAUUUAGUGUGAGUCUUUUAUUCGAAUAUGGAAAUUUUCGAUACUCGCCCAAAUAGGAUAGUUACUCAAGUUGGUCGUGUGCCAAUAGAGUUUGAUGAUGCGGAUCUAGCUGACUUUCUUGGUAUCCCUUGUGAGGGGCUUGAUAUUUACACCUCUAGGAAAACCCUUUCCUUUGACAGUUUUUCUCAUACUGAUGGCGUUCGUAAUAUAUGUCGUCGUCGAGACUUAUCGGAUGAGAUUUGUUUGCUUCCUUUUCAUUCUCAACUUUUACCUCUCCAAGUUCGUAUUCUUCACACUAUUUUACAGCACAUAGUGACACCUAGGAAGGUCACUCAGAUGAGGUUACGAGGUUGGACGUUGGCCUACUAGAUAGCCUACUUACAGACCGUCCCAUUAACCUCGGGUAUAUUAUUGUGCGGCACAUGUUGAGUACUCCCGCGGUCAAUCACCGCUUGCUUCCUUAUGGCAGUAUCAUCACUAAGAUACUGCAACGCUUUGAGGUGCCUCUUCUUGAUACUGGACAUAUGGAGACUAGACAGAUUGGUCCCGAGGCCAUGACUAGUAUCGGUUUCUCUAGGAAGAAUGAACAGUGGAUAAAGAUAAGCAACUCCAAAAACCGGGAUACCUUGAUUGCUCUAGAGGACGAUCGGAUGCUCAAUGAUAUCUAUCCUCCCGAUCAGCUUCCUGACUUUAGAUUAGGAGCUCUUCCUCAUCCUCCGUGUCGCCGUUUUGUCCCUCGGCCUCCAGCUGACUCAGACUCUGAUGAGCAUGCGAUGGAUGCUGACAUUCCCUCCUCUUCCGAGCCGCCUCCUGUUCCUGAGCCAUUUGCUGUUCCCGAGCAGCCAUCUGCCUCUAUGCCGCCUCCAGCUCCAGUUCAACCCCCUGCUUCAGACGUUGUGCAGCAGUUGAUUACUGAUGUUCAGCGGAUUUCGGAGCGCCAGCAGCUAAUUCUUGAUCAGUUGGACUCUGUUUCCUGUGACCACCAGCAGCUACAUUCUGACUUUUAGACCUUCCAGCAGCAGAGCAUUGACCAGCAGCUUGAGCUUAUCGCCGGACAGCGCACUCUUCUCCGCUAUUUUAGCUAUGAUCCGGGGAGCACAUCUUCUCCGCCUCUAUAGUUUCUGAGUUCUGUUUUCGCACAUACAUCUCAUAUUUUGGUUGUUUGCAUGUUGUCACUUCUAUUUUUUUAUACGUUGUUUCCUCUAUAUGCUCUUUCUGGAUUUUGAUGACAUAUAUUUGUGAUGCUCUUGAUGAUUGGAUGACUUGGUUAUUAGUUGAUGACAUUUGUGGUUUAUUGGCUAUUGAAGUAUUGGUUUGUUUGCUCAUGAAGUUGUUGGGUUAUUGAAAGAUGAAGUUGGUAUUAAUCUAUUUUGGAAGUGUUUUAAUCUCAUUUUGUACUAGUGGUUUUGCUCAUUUUUAAGGGGAAACUCUGCCAAAAUUUUCGCUCGCCAAAACCGGAUAACUUUUUUAAAGGAUGUGCGUCUUUUCUCUCUCUCUUUUCUUUUUGAUGAUGAAGGGGGAAAUAAUUGAGGAGAUUUAGAAUGAAUUUAAAAAUGUUUUCUUAUUUAGAAUGAAUUUUAAAAUGUUUUCUUGAGAAAAAAUUUUUUUUUGGACAUUUCUAAAUUUGGCCAUACAUUUAGGGGGAGCACAUACUAAGGGGGAGCUUAUUAUUGAUUGAAUGAAGUUUGUCAUCAUCAAAAAGGGGGAGAUUGUUAACAUGAAUAUGUUAAUAAUAUUGAUUUUGAUGAUAACAAACUUUAAAUGGUUCUUUGAUAAAAAUGUUGGAGCUAUUCCUUAAUAAACAAAACCCUUAAUAAUCAUUCCAUUCAUUUUUUCAUAAAAGAUGGACUUUCAAAUUAGAAAAAGAUUCUCUGCAGAAUUUGGUUUAAAAUGUAAUUCUGGACAUAAAUGGUAAACCGUUUUCCUUUAAACGGUUAAUCGAUUAAUACCAGAGAGCAACAUAUUGCCUAAAGCUCUAACCGUUUAUGAAAAAUGAAAAACACAAAAGAUGGGAAGGCUACUGGAACUUAACGGUGAACCGUUUAUAUUUAAACGGUUAACCGAUAACAUCCAGAAUCAUUGAUUAACAAAACCGGUUAAGGCUGAAUUGUUUUGCAGGUUACUGGAGACAAACGGCGAACCGUUUAUUACAAACGGCGAACCGUUUAUUACAAACGGCGAACCGUUUAUUACAAACGGUUAACCUAUAACAUCCAGAGAAGUCACUUCAUGCAAAUCCUUAACCGUUUAAUAUAAACGGAUAUUAAGACUGAAUUGUUUUGCAGGUUACCAGAAACAAACGGCGAACCGUUUAUUACAAACGGUUAACCAAUAACAUCCAGAGAAGUCACUUCAUGCAAAUCCUUAACCUUUUAUUGUAAACGGAUAACUGAUGUUCAUCUUGCAGGUCCCUGGAAAUUAACGGCGAAAGGUUAAUCCUAAAUGGCAAACCGUUUAUUUGAAAUUUGGCCUAACAGUUACUUUUGACCAGCCUAAACGGUUAACCGUUAAUAGUUAACGGCGAACCGUUUUUGGGCCGACAGUUUGUAACGGCUAGUUUUUUAGCUCCAAAUAUAAAUAAGCUCAUUCAAAUUCAAAGAAGAUUGAUCACAACACGACCAUUAAGCUAAUAUUCAAGAAUACAAUCUUCAUAGAGCUUAGAACACAUUCUUGCUUCAUCUAUUCACAUAUUAAGCAUCAUUGUGUAAUCCUAUAUAUUGUGAGAGGCAAAUCAAUUUGUAAUCUUUUACUUUGAGUGAUUGUAAGUGUUGGGAUACACUUGGGUUAAGAGAUUGGGGAUAAUCUCUUGUUGUAAAGGUUUAUUGACACCUUGGAAGUCAAGUGUAAGCAUUUGAAGCCUUGGAGGCUUGCUUAGUAGAAUCCUCAAGCCCGGGAAGCUUGGAGGCGUGGACGUAGGCGAGGUUGGCCGAACCACGUGAAAAUCUCUGUGUUUGAAUCCCUCUUCCCUUAUCUUUUUAUAUUGUGAUCAACUUAAUUGUUAUUGCUUUGAAUUUGGAUUAUAUUUGCAUUAAGUUUUUCUUUAUAAAUUGAAUAAUUUUUAGAAUCCCAAUUCACCCCCCCCUCUUGGGUUGCAUACUUGUAUUUCAAUGUGACCGUUCGACUUCCAAGCAUCCAUGAAUCCUUGUUGCUAGGCUUUGGAAUCCUUGACGACCUCCGCGGCGUGCCAGGGACGUAAUAAGGUUACUUACCCAUCUGCAUUCUAAAAGAAGCAAUAAAAAGAUAGAUGAAAGCCAAUAGUAAAAAUGAAUAAAAUCAGUGAGAUAUUUAGAAAUAAGGUUUCAAAUCUCCAUCGGUGGUGAGUUCUACCAGCUAAAUCAUGACAACCAACACCGAAAUCAGCCAAAACGUCUGCUACAUAGACAAUAUACAAAUGUAAAUGCUCAAAUUAAAGAGAAUUUAUGCAAGAAGGCUUUGGGGAUUUUUUUUCCUCCAUAUUUUGCAGCACUAUGAUGGCCAUGAUAUUUACCAUAUUUUCAUGAAAUAAUGGCAAAGCUCUUGGCUCAUAAUUGACUUAAUUGAGAAGCUUCAAAAUCAUAUCUCAAGGAUCCUUAUGUGACCCUCAUAUUUUUUUUAAAUGCACCUGAAGCAUCUACAGGGCAGUAGUGGCCACCCAUUCACAAUUAUUAUUAUGUAUAUAACCACAGUUAUUGGUUAAUCAGUGAGCCAUCGGACCCAUGCAAGCUCUCCCGUUAUUCACGUAAUUGAACUAUAGACCUUAAUCCGUCUUCUACCACUCAACAAUUAAACAUCAGCCGUUGAUGCCUCAUCCACUAACCCCGUUGUCACCGAUGGCUACUUGAAUUUAUAUGUAUUUUCAUAAUAUAAACAAUUGCUAAUCAUAUAUAUUGUGUUAUACCUUACUGGAAGCAACCACAAUCAAAAGACUAGCAAAAGCUCCUUAAUUACUUGCGCAGAAGCUAGCAGAGAUAUUUUCUGAUUUGAAGAACAUGGAGACUGUUUAUGCAAGUAAUUCAUCAGGCCAUAUUAAGUUGAAUUGCAUUUAUAAUUCGUACAUUAAUAUAUGCCUUUACGAACAGGUUUUCUGAUUUGAAAUUUUCAGGCAAUAAGGAAUGGUUGGAGGCUAGCAUCGCUCCAUUUCAUGGCUGUAUGAUUGAUGAUGGGAUUGGAAAUAACAAUCUUGAUCUCCUUGUAGCCCCUCAAUAUGGAAGAAACCCUGAUGAAUCUGGUUAAGGGCAGUGUUAAAGUAAAAGGAUGUCAUGGGCACCAUAGCCAGUAAAUUGUGUGAGUGCAGUUCGGUUUGCUUCAUUCCGAAUAAUAAGAUCUCUUAGAAUAUACAAGAGAUUUUCUUGUUCACAUCUAUGAACUUUGUUUUCUUUGAACUAAAUAAAUAAAACUGCUGUGUGUCAGUUUGCUAUUCAAAUUAAUCAUGAUUAUGCUCUCUCUUCUUAAAUACCUUUUGCUACAAACUGCAUUUACUAAUUUAAAUAGUGUUAGUGAUUCCUCCAAUGAUGCAGUUUCUUCACUCUCAAUCAAUAAAAAAAAUGAGAUUGGUACUAACCUUUUUCUUUUUAAAAAAAUAAACCUUGCAAAUCAAGGAAAACUUUUUUUUUAAAAAUAAAAAUAAAAAGCAUAAAAAACCAAUACAGGUCGGGCGGACGAAAUAAGCCUGACCCUUAAAAAGCUGCAUAGUGCUAAAAUAAAUGAAGAACCAAGGCUCUGUAAAAGAAGCAACCAAAAAAGAGAGAUGAGAGCCAAAAUCAAAAAAGAAGAAAGCCAUUGAAAUCUAUAGUUGGGGAAACCAUUAGCAUCUUUAUAAAUAACGCUUCCAGUUUCAACUGGCGGUGAGCUCCAUCAGCUAAAUUGUGACAAUUGACACUAAAAUCAGCCAAAGUGACUACAACAUUAUUGUUCUCUCGGUAUGUGAGGGAAAAGAAAUUAAAAACUCAUUAAAAAGUCAUACCCUACUAUCGUGCAAAACAAUUAUGACAAUUGUAUCACUGACUGCAAGGAGUCCAUCAUUUCAAUAAUUUCUUUUUCUGAAAAAUGCCAUUUCAAUAAUUUAAUGCUACAGCCAAAUAAUUUAUGUUUAUCCUUGAUUGGUACAUGAAUUAUUUUAUUGGUGAGAUUAUUUGUAUUUGAAAAAUUAUUCUGAAAAUUUAAUUUUUUUAAAAAAGUUAAAUUCUUUGAAUACCUAAUAUAUAAAUUAUUGUAAAGGACAAUUCUGUGUAACAUAAAAGAGUUUUCAUCUAUUUUUCAUUUAAGUUAGAUUUAAUGGAUUCCAAGAAAUCCUACCACUUUUAUCUGUAGCAAGAAAGGCAUUAACUCCUUUUUCUCUUACUUAAGGUGUUAUACUGGCAAGUUAAGAACAAACCAUUCAUUUGAUAUCUGAAUUCUUUUCCAACUUCAUUGAUAUUUAUAAGAACUGUUAAGAAAAGGAUGAAAAUGGCGCUCGAUUAAUAACCAAGAUUUGGCCAAACAAAAACAAGAAUAGAGAUAAACCAAACACCAAAAAGAAAACAAUGAAGAAGAUUUACGUGGUUCGGUACCAAGGUACCUACAUCCACGGCUGAAGAACCCAAAUGCGUGUAAAGCUUUAUUGCUUAAGAUUGAUUACAGCUAGACUACAAGUGACAGAGAACAAAUCUCUUUUUACCAAGAAUCCUAACUCUCAGUAGUAGCCAAUAAACUCAAUUGAAAAGAAUGCCCCGUGAUUAGCCUCUCCUCUGUGUUUUAUAUAGGUCCUGGUCAUAACGAAUUUACCACAUGCUGGCACACAAUAAGCUGACUCACCGUGCCACCUCAUCAGUAACUAAACAGAAUGUAACUAACUUUCGGCUUCACAAAUCUCCACCUUAGUUCAUUCUGAAACAACUUCACCUACCUCUUCAACAACUACUAACUCGGUUUACAAGCUAUCAACACCAAUCAAGUUCAGAGAGUUUCUAAACUUGACUGCAGGGACUGCUUUAGUUAAAAUAUUUGCUGGAUUAGUCUGAGUAGGAACCUUGACAACAUUAACUACACCAUUUGCAAUUUCAUCCCUGACAAAAUGCAACUUAACAUCAAUGUGUUUUGUUCUUUCAUGAUAUUUAGGAUUCUUACUAAGCUGAAUUGCACUGGAGCUGUCACAGCAAUGCAAACCGAAUCCUGUUUCAACCCAAACUCAGAAACUAAUCCACUUAGCCACUUUGCCUCUUUUACUACUUCUGUCAAUGCAAUGUACUCAGCCUUAGUUGUGGAUAAAGCAACCACCGACUGAAGAGAUGCUUUCCAACUCACUGCCCCUCCAUUUAAAAUGAAAACCUAUCCUAUAAUAGACCUUCUCUUGUCCAGAUACCUUAACAACCACUUAACAUCAUUCUAAUGUUCCCUUCCUGAAUUCCUCAUAAACCUGCUAACAACCAUUACACCAUGAGCUAUGUCAGGUCUUGUACAAACUAUAGAAUACAUAAUGCUGCCAACUGCACUUGAAUAGGGCACUGUCUUCAUAUACUCAAGGUCUUGAUCCUCUUCUGGUUCCUGAAGCUUUGACAAUCUGAAAUGUGCUGACAGAGGUACUGACACAGACUUUGCACCACUCAUCUCAAAUCUACUAAGGACCCUUUUAACAUACACAGCUUGAGUAAGAAACAAGGUUCUCAAAUUUCUGUCCCUCACAAUUUGCAUUCCCAGAAUUCUUGUAGCAGUCCCCAAAUCUUUUAUUUCAAAUGCAAAAUUCAACUCCAUUUUUAGCCUUUCAAUCUCCUCUCUCAUUUUGUAUGUAAUAAGCAUGUCAUUAACAUAAAGAAUGAGGUAAAUACCAUCUCCAGAAGAUAAAGUUUUAAAAUACAAGCAACUAUCAUAUUGGCUUCUGCAAUAUCCAUGGCUGAUCAUGAACUCAUCGAACCUCAAAUACCACUGCCUUGGAGACUAUUUCAGCCCAUAAAAGCUCUUCUUCAACAAGCAUACCAUAUCUUCAGUCCCUUCUUCAAUGAACCCCUCAGGCUGAUCCAUAAGAAUUUCUUCUUCAAGACUCCCAUGUAAGAAGGCAGUCUUUACAUCCAUUUGAUCUAAUUCCAGGUCUUUAAAUGUUGUUAUUACUCAUACAACUCUUAUGGAAUUAUAUUUGACAACAGGGGAGAAUACCUCAUUAAAGUCCACUCCAUGCUUUUGUGUGAACCCCUUUGCUACAAGUCUUGUCUUAUACUUGGGAGGCUCACCAUCAGCAGUCCCUUCUUUAAUUUUAUAGAUCCAUUUUUAUCUUAAGGUUUUGUCUUGAGGCUCACCAUCAACCUCAAGAUAAAAAGGCUCACUAUCAGCCUUUUAUCUUGAGAUUUCUUGACCAAAAUCCAUGUGUUAUUCUUCUUUAGUGAGAUGAUUUCUUCAUUCAUGGCAUCCAGCCAUUUUGCUCUAUUUUACUGCUCGUAGCUUGUUUGUAGUUUAUAGGCUCUUCACCAAUAACUUCCUUAGCUAUUGCCACAACAUAAGAGAUCAUAUCAGCUAUGCCAUACCUUUUGGAUAACUUAAUGAAUCUCAUUUCCCUAUCUCUUGUAAGCUUAUAAUCAUGUGUUUGAGAAGUGAUGUGUGUUUUCUGAUAAGACUUGGAAUCCCUUUCUGCAGCUCUUUUAUCUUCACUUGACUCCACCUCAAAGUUGUGUUCCUUAUCCUCAUUUGAAUCAUAUGUAAUGAGCUCUAUUUCUACUCUCUUAUGUAGCAUAAACUCUUCAUCAAACACAACAUCUCGGCUAAUAAGAGUUCUUGUAGGUUUGCCAUCUAUGCACCAAAGCUUAUAUCCUUUGACACCCUCUAGAUAUCCUAUGAAGUAACCCUUAACAGCUUUUGGCUUUAACUUUCCCUAGUUUAUGUGAGCAUAAGUAAGGCAGCCAAAAACCCUGAGGUUGCUAAGAUCUGGAGGCUUUCCUGACCAAACUCCCUGAGGAGUCUUGAAAUACAGGGCUGCUGAAGGGCUCCUAUUGACUAAGUAAGUUGCAGUGGUAACAGCUUCUACCCAGAAGUGUUUUGAAAGGUUUGCAUUAAACAACAUGCACCUUACCUUUUCAACUAAUGUCCUAUUCAUCCUUUCAGCUAACCCAUUUUGCUGCGGUGUGUGCCUUUAGUUUUGUGCCUGACUAUCCCUUUCUUGAUGUAGAGUUGAUCAAAAUCAUUGCAGCAAUACUUAAGCCCAUUAUCUGUCCUUAGCCUCUCCACCCUCCUCUCUAUUUGAUUUUCUAUUAAAGUCAGCCAUUCUUUAAACUUUUCAAAAACCUCAUUCUUCUGCUUCAGUAAUAUACCCAGACUUUCCUUGAAAAGUCAUCAAUAAAAGUAAUAAAGUAUUUGGCUUCUCUAUAAGAAGGAACCUGAGAGGGCCCCCACAGGUCUGAAUGGAUAUAAUCCAUUGUAUUUUUAGUCUCUUGUUUUCCUAGAUUAAACUUCUGCCUAGUUGCUUUACCAAACACACACUUUUCACAGAAUUCAAGUGCUGAAAUUUGGUCAGUUCCUAGUAAUCCUUAUUUACUCAACUCUUUUAAUCCUUUCUCACUCAUGUGUGCUAGUCUCAUGUGCCAAAGCCUGGUUUUAUCACUACUUACAUUGGUAAUAAAAUCAGGUAACACAACUGAGCCAUUAAGCACAUACAAUCCAUUUCUCCUACUACUUUUCAUUAUGACUGUACCACCUUUAAGGAUCUGAAGUUACCAUUUUCUGCCCUUAUAUAGCAGCCCAAUUGGUCUAUCAUUCCUAAAGAUAUGAGGUUUCUUUUAAGCUUUGGAACAUAUCUUACUUGUUCCAAACUUCUGACUGUACCAUCAUACAUUUUAAUAAUAACAUACCCUAUUCCAGCAACUUUACAGGCUAGAUUAUUCCCAAGCAAAACUUUACCACCAUCAACAUUUUCAAAAGUCACAAAGAAAUCUUUAUAUGGGCACAUAUGGAAAGAACACCCUGAGUCAAGUAUCCACUCACCAAAAGAUUUCUUAUCUACUACAAUAAGAAUAUACUUAUCUUCUGAUUCUCCUUCAUCUACAAAUAUAAUAUCAGCUUUCCCACUUGAUUCUUUCUGUAACUUUUCAAGCUUCUUUUUUUCAAAACAGUCUUUUAUAUAAUGCCCUUCCUUUUGACAGAAGUAACAUUUCCUUUUCUUUUUCUUCUUGUCAGUCUUUUCUUUCUGAUUUUUAUUCUUCUUGUCUUUGUUCACCUUUUUUCUCUGUCUUUGCUUUGGCAACUAAUACAUCCCCAACAAUAUGAUCCUUGCCAUCUGCUCUCCUUUUCAAGUCUUUUGAUUCAAGAGCAUUCUUGACAUCUUUCAAGGUGAGAGUCUGUCUUCCAUGGAGCAAAGUGUCCAUGAAAUGUUCAUAGGUGUCCGGUAAUGAGCUUAACAGGAUAAGAACCAUAUCUUCAUCAUCAAGUAUGAUGCUGACAUUUUCAAAAUCGAGUAUCAGUUUAUUUAACUCAUCAAGAUGAUCCUUCAUGAUUGUGCCCUCCUUUAUUGAAAAUGUGUAGAGCUUCAUUUUUAUGUAUAAUCUUUUAGCUAGAGAUUUCUUUAAGAAAAUUUCUUCCAACUUCGCCCACAACCCAGAGGCAGUCUUCUCUUUGGCUACUUCUCUCAACACCUCAUCAGAUAGGUGGAGUAUAAUUGUGCUGUGAGCUUUGUUGUUUUUGGUCCUCAAGUUUCCAUCUGAACCUGACGAACCUUCCUCCUUUUCUUUCUUGGACUUUGAUUCAUCAUCAUCAUCGAGGGCACUAUCUAAGCCUUGUUGAAUCAAGAUGGCUCUCAUUUCAGACUCCAUAAGUAGAAAUCGUUUGCACCAUUAAACUUUUCAAGAUCAAACCUAGUGGCUGCCAUUCUUGAAGAUCAAGAACAGAGAGUUUAUUAGCUCUGAUACCAGUUUGUUAAGAAAAAGAUGAACAAAGAUAAACCAAGAUUUGGCCAAACAAAAACAAGAACAGAGAUAAACCAAACACCAAAAAGAAAAGCUUUAUUGCUUAAGAUUGAUUACAACGAGACAACAAGUGACAGAGAACAAAUCUCUUUUAACCAAGAAUCCGAACUCUCAGUAUUAGCCACUAAACUCAAUCGCAAAGAAUGCCCCGUGAUCAGCCUCUCCUCUGUGUUUUAAACAGCUCCUAGUCAUAAUGAAUUUACCACAUGCUGGCCCACAAUAAGCUGACUCACCGUGCCACCUCAUCAGUAGCUAAACAUAAUGUAACUAACUUUCAGCUUCACAAGAACAAAAAAAAAAAAUUGUCUGAUUAGCUUCUGGUUCAUGAUGAUAGAGUAUUGAUGAAAAAUUUGUUGAAGUGAGUGUCCUCUAAUAGCCACGCUGAUUAAUUAAGAUGCAAGAAAAAUUACUCAUUGUCUAUUAUUGAAUAAAUUUUAAUUCUUAUUUGAUAAUUUUUUUAAAAAAUUUUGAUCAAUUGUUAGUUGGUUGUCGAGAGAGAAUAUAAAGGUAAAGUGAAAAGAGAUUUAAUUUAGGAUAAUUUUGUUAUUUCUAAGAAAGUAUGUUGAGUAAAAACUUAUUUUUAGAAUUUGCAAUAGGUCUCUUUUGAGUAAAAACUUAAUUUUAGAAUUUUCAAUAGGUCUCUUGAGUGAAACAGUAUUCUAAGUGUGAAAACUAUAGGCAAACGAUAUCGAAAAUGUAAAUCCACUCUCGUAUUAUUCAAGUGGCGAGCUCAAAGACCAAGUUAUACAAGAAAGUAGAUGACGUAAAAGGAACGUAUCAAUCACCAUGAUUUGAGGUUUUUUCCUCAUAUUUGCAAUAUAAUGUCAAUGGCCGUGAUAUUUACCAUAUUUACAUGAAAUAAUGGCAAAGGUCUUGGCUCAUAAUUGAUUUAAUUGAGAAGCUUUAAGAUCAUAUCUCAAGAAUCCUAAUGUGAUCCUCCUUAUUUUAUUAAUGCACCUGAAGCAUCUGCAUGGCAAUAGUGGGCACCCAUUCACAAUUAUUAUUCGGAACUUAACUGCAUUAUUGGUUAAUCAGUGAUCCAUUGGACCUCUGCAUAAUUGAACGAUAGCUGUUAAUCCGUCUUUUACCAAUCUACAAUUACAUAUCGGUGGGCGGAACCAAUAUUUUAGUUUGUAAUUGCCGUGAUAUUUUACAAGUUACGAGUUUUCUUGAAAAUUUAAUUUAAGGCCACCGAAAUGUAUCACAAAUGACAAGUUUCCUUAAUUUUUUUUCCUUAUAUUUCAUAAAUUUUCAAAAAGUUCGCAACCAUCAACUUGUACAUCGUUCCGACUAUGAUCAUCAACUUACCCCGUUGUCCCCCAGAGCUACUUGAAGUUAUAUGUAUUUUUAUAUCAUAAAUUAUUUCCAGUGACAUGUUAUGUGUUUCAUGUCGGCUUCUAGUGUCUAUAUAUUAUGUUGUGUAUCACAGGUAUUUCAUUGGGACAAGUUAAGUUUUUAAUUCCUUUUAUAAUUCAUAUAUAAAUACAUGCAUUUAUGAAUAAGGAUUUGAAAUUUUUAAUGUUCGGAGAUUAGCAUUACUCCUUUAUUUCAUGGUUGUGUAAUUGAUGAUGGGGAGGCAAAUGAGAAUCUUGAGAGAAAUCGUGACGAGUCUGGUUAAGUGGAGUGCUAUUCUUUUGUGUUAUAUUUUAUUAUAUAAAAGGAUACAAUGAGUCGUAUUACAUGUCCAUUGUGUGAGUGCAUGUCGGUUUACUUCAAUUAUAUAUAUAAGAUAUUUUCUUGUUCACAUCUAUGUAUGUUAUUUUCCUUAAACUAAAUAAUUAAUACCCAGAUGGGUAAAUGAUCUAAUUACCACCCUUCUUUUUUUUUAGGAGUUCAAAAAUACUAUGAUGGCUCCGUUGUUUUAUAUAUUUAUUUCUUUUGUGAUUCAGCAAUCCCAAAGUUUGUUUUCUUUUUUCAAAUCAAAUAAAAAAAGAAAUAAAUCAAAAAUAAUCUUCUUUUUUUUUCGUACUCUUUCAUACCAUAAAUCUUGUUAAUUGUUAAGAACAUUCUGGCGUGAAAAAGGUGUGUGGCAUUGCAAUAGGCCUCCGAUAGGUAAGAUAAACUCGGAAUAUCCCUUCUUUAUCUAAUACUAUUGCUUCGAUACAUAAUCAAAUAUUUUGAAAAAAAAAAAACACUAACAAUUUUCAUAUCGAAUUCGAAGUGCCAUGCUAUUAUUACUUAAUAUUAAGAAUUCAUAUGGCGAAGGCAUAGUCUUCUUUUUUCUCUCUCAAUUUAUUGUGAGUCACUAAAUAUCAGUUUGUUGUUUAAGUUACUCAUGAUUAUGCUCAAUCUUCUUGAAUACUUUUUUCAAACAAACCUCAUAUGUUGGUUUAUUAAUUAAAUACUGUUAGUUAAUCCUCUUCAGUUAUUUGUGGUUUCUUCACACUCAAUCUUUAAGGAUAAAAAAAAAGAGAUUAAGCCUCCUCUUGAGAUUAAGGUUGAAAUGCUAUAAGCAAUUUAUUUCAUAAGUUUUUGACAAAAAUAGUGUUUGGUAAUUUUUUUUAAAACUAUUUAUUUCAUAAGUUUUUGCAAUUUGACUGAAACUUUUAAAAAUAGAUAAAAUGUUUUUUUUUAUAAACAACUUAUUAAAUAAGACAUCACACAUUUUUAAAAUUCCUAUUAUAACCUUAAUAAUUUAAUUAAAAGAGGCAAUAAUGCUAUGAUUACUCAGUUUUGAUACUUAGGACUUGUGUGUCUAAAGUCUUAGUUUGACUUAAGUUAAGAUGUUUUGGUAUUUUUGCUUGUUUGUUUUUAUAUCUGAAGUUUGUUUUAAAAAAAUUUCAUUCGAAUGAAAUAGGGCAACCGAAAGCAUGUGGUGCACAUCCUCCAUUUUUGGUAACUUUAGAUCGCAAUCUGUUAGUUAUUUCGCACAAAAUUUAGUCUGUCAUUGCUCCAGGAUUGCUACAGCAACGGCUAUAACAUCUUCACAUUUUCAAACUUGUUUUACUUCUUCUGCAGCCAAGUUAUUCUGCCAUCUUUGCAGGUGUGUUGCAGCCGCUUUCCAUCCCCGAAAAUUGAGCUUUGUAGUUACAUACAAUCAUGCAUAUAAUCUAAGCACAAGAUGAUCUAAAACAAAUUCAAUUUAUUAAAAAUAAAAUAAAAUGGAUGCUCAUGCAAAAUGUAAGUAAAAUGCGAUAAAAACACAUCAUUUACUCUCACAGUAUUAUUGAUUUAAGUUUAAAAGUACCAUGAUAACUCUCAUUCCAUAGAGCUGUCAUCUGACUCUCACUCAAAGUCUGCUCUGUAUUAGAGACCUCACUAGAAUCAAUGUUGUUCAACUCAUUUUCUCUAGAUGAGGUUGAAGCCUCAGGAGACAUUCUCCUAAUGUUGUCUCUAACACUGAUAUCACCUAUAGCUUCUAGGGGAAUUUUCGGGACGAAAACAUGUUUCCUAAAUAAACUAGGCAAAAACUCUAGUUCAUCAUCAUCAAUCUCAUUCACUUUCUCUCUACCGUUUGACAUUUUUCAAAUAAGCCUAAAGCUAGUACCAAAAGACCCACAAAGCCAAGGAAAAAUAUUAAAAUUCCCAGUGAUGAAGUGCCAAAAAAAAAAAAAAGAACCUGAGGCGAGGAAAGAUUAGAACUAAGGCAACAUUUACGGCUUGUUCCCCAGUGAGAUAAAACGGCUUGGUAAUUGGAAAAAGCCAAAGAGAAAAAUAAGAAAGAUGAAGUGAUUUGGGAAAUUAGGAAUUUUAAGAAAAUGGAAGGUUUUAAUCAGCGUGUCAUUUAAGAACGUGUGCCUCGAGGGUGCUAUAACUGCUCGUUCGAAAUUUAAAUGCCUACCCCAACGUGUGCCACAUCACAUGUAUUUAAAUCAAUGCGACCACUUGAGUGAAUAUAUGCCCACCGGUCAGGAAAGUGAAAAAUACUUUUAGCAGCCUCCUAUUAUAAGAGUCGAGUAGCCAGACUGGUCAAUGAAGUUUAUUAAGUUUUUAGUUUUGAUUCGUUUCACUCUCAGCACUAGAAACUGGAGGACUGGUCUUUGGCUGAUAAAGAGGCCAUUGUUGAAUAUUCACUCGAGCAUAAUGUGCUCUCCACGGUAACAAUUCCUUGAGAAGGGGAACAUCUAGUCGAGUAUGUGUGGUUAGCUAAGGUACUUUCGAGAAGAGGACGAGUCAGGUCAAUUCAAAGACCUAAUCAAAGGGGCGACCAGCAUGUCCCCACGAAGAAUCCAGGUACGAAGCCCAUUUACUAGUAAUUACACUGCCCACUCAUCAACGGUUACACACUUUCUAUUUACCCAUGAUUGCACUUUUGAGCCAACAAUGAUCGUGGGGGAGAGGAAGCUGAUAACACCAGUUUGGUAUAUAAGGUACAGAGGACUGAGGUAAAAGGAUUAUACAUUUUGUCACUUGAAUCUCUAGAACUUACUCUCCCUCUAUUUUUCAAUUUCUCUCAAUUAUCUUACUUUCUUCCUCAGAAUUAAUUCUUUUUAUUUAAAACAAUUGUAAUUAGGUCACGUGAUUGGUGGCACAAGUUUUUCUAAGUAAACCUAGAUUACUGAUUUGAGCGUUGGAGAGUUUAUGUUGGAAAGACCUCUGGUGUUCCCUAACUGGUUAUUGUGAACAAAGGCGUCUUAGGAGGAAGAGUUCGAGGUUGCAAGAGACCGUUCGAUAAGAAAGAAAAAAGAGCACGACCGUCUUCCCAACAACUACAAAUUUAAGUGUUGGCGUGAUUGUCUGGUUGCUACGCAACCUGACCAAAAUUCAACAUCAACAAUAUCAGUUUACCUAAUACUUCAUUCUUCAUUUGUUUGCCAGAUCAUAUGGAAGUAGCUUUGUGGUUUUUUGCUAAAAUCUUCCAGCUCUAUUCCUUCCAUUUUAUCAUAUUUUUGUUGCUGCUCUAAUUUUUUUCCUUACUACUUAAAAUUAAAUAUCCUUAAUUGCAUGCUUGUCUCAGCAUAAUGUCACCAUUGCCAUACUGAUAGUCUAGUCACUGGCUUACUGAUUCAAGGAAAAACAUACUGCUUUUUUAAGUGUUGUUUCGAGGUUAUGAUAUAUAAUUCUUGACUAGCCCUUUGGAAGUUGUGGUACCAUGGUUGAAGAAGUAAAUGAAUCGAGAAAGAAAUUAAUAUUAACGUAAGCCUUGCCGGUAGGACUAAGAAGGAAAGAAAGUGAUAAGAUUCCUUCGUUAAUGCCAAAAGAUCAGCCAACAAAUUAUAAAUCAUAUCUUCAAUCAGCAAAAGCAUCUCAUCAAAGCUACUUAUAUUAAAGACUCCUUGACAAGCUCUCAAACAGUCAUAAUAUCUCAUAAUUUAAUCAUUUUAAUAGAAGGUUCAUAAACUGACGUAAUUAUGUCAUUUCCUAGUUGCUACCUUCUCUUUGUAUAUAAAUUAGAAUUGUAAUCAUCACUAAGGUGUGUGCAAUAACAUAUUUCUUUUGCAAUUAUCUUGCAUAUUAUUUCUUUAUGGUAUCAGAGCUAGCUAUGGCUAACACCUUUUAAAUUGAGCCCAAACUCACCAUCCAAUCCUUCCACCAAUGCUCUAGCCUAUUAUCUAUCAAGCUUUCGAUGAAUAAUUUUCUUCUCUAGAGGUCACAAGUGCUUCCUCUUAUAAGAAGCCUUGGCCUAGAACAUCAUAUUCAUGAUGAGGCAACUCCAACGAAGAUGAUAAAUAUAGAUGGAAAAGAGGCUAGUAAUCUUGAAUUUUUGUCUUGGAAAAAUAAUGAUGGAUUACUUAUGACUUGGUUGAGAGGGAUGAUGUGUGAAGAUGUUUUAAGUUUAAUUGUUGGAGGAGAAACUUCUCGUGAAGUUUGGUUAUCUAUUGAAGAUCAAAUUUUGCCAGCUACCAAAGAGCAAGAAUCAUGGCUAAAGAUAAUAUGUACUCAAUCAAGAAGGGCAACAUACCCAUUGAUGAAUUUCUAAGAAAAUUCAAGAACCUUUAUGAUAACCUUGCUGCCAUAGGAAAACCGAUCCCAGACGAUGACAAGGUCUUCCAAAUUGCUAGAGCUCUUGGUCCAAAAUAUGCCGAUUUCAAAACGGCAAUGCUUGCUAAAACACCACUGCCCACCUUUAAGCAAUUCAUCCUUGCUCUUCAGAAUCACGAGCAAACUGUUGUUGUUCACAAGGAGGAAGAAAUAUCCAUUCUGGAUCAUAAUCAAGCCUUCUUUAGACAAAGAGGGAGAGGCCGAAAUCAAAGGGGAGGCAGACAUGGAGGUUGCAGUAGAGGUUCACAACAAAAUAAUGGAUCGAAAAAUGCUCAAAGCAACCAGCAGCAUCAACCACGACAGAAAAAUAAUAUUGAAACUAACAAAACAAAUCAGCAGAAUGUGAUUUAUUGUAAAAUCUGUGGUAAGAAAGGUUACUCAGCCGCUGUUUGUUGGGACAUGUAUAAAUAUUAUGAGGAUGAGGUUCCACAAGCCCUUGCGACUGUCAACUUGAACCAAAUUGACGAUCAAAUUUACGCUGACUCAGGGGCAACCUCUCACAUAAUCAACAAUCCAGGUAAAUUAAAGACAAUCGUUCCUUACAAAGGCCAUGAUAAAAUCUUUGUAGAGAAUGGACAAGGUCUUCAAAUAUCUCAUAUUGGUAAUACCUCUUUAAAAACUGAUUAUGGAGAUUUACAUUUGAAAAACGUUCUUGUGGUUCCAAAAAUUAAAAAAAAUCUCCUGUCAGUUGGACAACUUGCUAAUGAUUCUCAAUGUUCUUUUGUGUUUAAUUCUGAUAGUUUUUUUUUGUCAAGAAACAAAACCAAGUGGUAGCAAGGGGGCAUAAGAAAGGCAAACUAUAUGCACUGGAUGAAGUAAAUGAAACAGCUCUAAGCGCAAUAAGAGGAAAUACCACAGAAUCAAAUUUGUGGCAUAUGAGACUUGGGCAUCCAAGUAUUAAAGUCCUACAAAUUCUCCAUAAUAAUAGGAAAACCAAUAUUUUCAAAUGGACAAAAAUACCAAAAAUUUGUGUAUCUUGUCAAUUAGGAAAGAGUUGUAAAAUUCCUUUUUCUACUUCUAAUAAAAUCUCGAUUGUUCAUUUGCAUAAGAUACACUGUGAUUUAUGGGGUCCAGCUCCAAUUAACUCUAAUCAAAAUUUUAGAUUUUAUGCAUUAUUUAUAGAUGACCAUACAAGAUUUUCUUGGCUAUUUCCACUACAACGAAAAGCUAACUUCUUUGAUUGUUUCAUACGAUUUCAGAAACAGGUGGAAACACAAUUUGAAAGAAAGAUUAAAGUGUUUCAAUGUGACAAAUGGGGAGAAUUUUCUUCUAAUGCUUUUAUAAAGCAUCUUGAUGAUUGUGGCAUCAUAGGCAUAUUGCAGAAACAGCCUUAACUCUCAUGUUUCAUGCCUCACUUCCUCUCAAACUUUGGGCAGAUAUUUUUGUAGCCGCAACUUAUUUGAUAAAUAGGAUGCCGUUGUCUACACUUGAAAUGAAAUGUCCAUAUGAAAAACUCUUUAAAAGGACUCCUGAUUAUGCUGGAAUUAAAGUUAUUGGGUGCCAAUAUUUUCCUUAUUUAAGGAACUAUAACAAGACAAAAUUUGAUGGAAAAACUUUCCCAUGUGUUUUUAUAGGUUAUAGUUCAUUACAUAAAGGAUAUAGAUGCUUAAAUCCCAUGACUAAAAGAGUCUAUAUUUCUCGGCAUGUCAUUUUUUAUGAAACGACGUUUCCGUUUUCUAAUAAAAAUAAGUUUGUUGAAUGCAUGCAGGAACCAAGUCAACUUACAACGUUUCCAUUUUAUGAUGAAUGGCUAAAUUGUCCUAACUUAGUUAAAACCCAUGAUGUUGUGAAUCCUGCCCUUAGUCAAAAGCCACUUCCAUCUUUUCAAGAAGACCUCAUGACACCCACUCAAAUGCAAACUCCUUUGUCCAACUAUGACAGCCAUGUUAUUCGCACACUAGCUACAUUACAGGAAAAGCCAUAAGAUACUAUUGUUGCAGAAGAACAAAGCGACAACAACUUUACUGCCUCAUUAAAUGAAUCAAUUUCAGAAGAGCAAAACUGCAACAACACUGCCACUUUAUCUACCAAAGUAACCAACUCAGAUAAAAUUCAAACCGAGAACUCCUUAUCAAAUGACUUGACCAGCUUAGAUAGAACCCAGACCGAGGAUCCAUUUUCAACAAAUCAGAAAAAUUAUCCUGAUAUCUCUGGAAAGUUAUUAGUUGAUUUUUCGAGUUACACUAAAAAUCAACCAACCACCUUAUCUGACAUAUCAGGUAAUCCAAUCGUUGAUCUCACGAGACCACAACAAUUACAAACAAAUCCAUCAUCAUCUCAAAAUACUCAUUCCAUCAUAACCCGAUAAAAAACCAAAAACAAUCAUAACCUAGCGUUACAAGCCUCUCAAAACCAACCAAUUGAGCCAAAAACUUUAAAAUCGGCUCUCAAGAAUCCCAUAUGGGUUACGGCAAUGGAAGAAGAAAUUAAGGCUUUGCAUGACAAUAAUACUUGGCAUCUUAUUCUUCGUCUUAUUCACAAUAUUGUAAUAGGAUCAAAAUGGGUUUACCGGAUCAAAUACAAAGAAGAUAGGACGAUUGAUAGGUACAAGGCACGUCUCGUUACCAAGGGAUUCACACAAAUCUCAGGAGUGGACUUUGAUGAGACCUUUAGUCAUGUCGUAAAACCAACCAUUAUUCGACUGGUUAUGGCAAUUGUAGUGAGUUCAAAAUGGCCAAUGAAGCAAUUAGACGUCAAGAAUGCUUUUUUUCAUGGAAAAUUAAAAGAAACAGUGUACAUGGAAUAGCCCCCGAGUUUCAAAAAUCCUAAUCUUCCAUUAUUUGUCUGUAAACUAAACAAGUCCAUUUAUGGGUUCAAGCAAGCUCCACGCACCUGGUUUGAAUAUCUUUCUAAAGCAUUAUUUAAACUAGGCUUUGUUAAUUUUACAGGACAAGGGAGUACUCAUUUUGCUUUUGAUAUAUGUAGAUGAUGUUAUAAUAACAUAAAAUAACUCUUCUAUUAUUCAAUCGAUCAUCUAAACAUUAAGUACAAAUCUUGCACUGAAAGACCUUGGGACACUUCGGUAUUUCCUGGGGAUAGAAAUCAAAUAUUUCCAAAAUGGGGUAUUUUUAUCUCAAACUAAGUAUACACAAGAUUUACUAUCAAAGGCAAAGAUGCUUGAUUGUACUCCUUUGGAAACACCCAUGGCUAUAAAAACAACUACAAAUCUUGAGGACAGUGAACCUGUGAAUGCUACAGAAUAUCAAGGCCUAGUUGGUAGCUUACAAUAUUUGACCUUUACGAGGCCGGAUAUAACAUAUACUGUAAAUAAAGUAUGCCGGCGCUUCAAUGAUCCAACCAAGGCAGAUCUCAAAGCAGUAAAAAGGAUCCUUCAAUAUCUCAAAGGAUCAUUAAACUAUGGCAUUUGUUUUUUGUCUUAAAGUUCAUUAACACUAUACUCCUUUUCUGACUCUAAUUGGGCAGGUUGCCCUCAGACCAGACGAAGCACCACAGGCUAUUGUGUCUAUUUAGGAGCAAACUGCAUUUCUUAGAGCUCAAAGAAGCAAACUACUGUAGCGAGAUCAAGUGCCAAAGCAGAAUAUCGACCAAUGGCCACCACUGCAGCUGAGAUCACAUGGAUUCAAUUUCUUCUUCGCGAAAUUGGUCUCACAAUGAACAAGAAAACACUUCUAUUGUGCGACAGUAUGAGUGCUCUCUACAUGACCAAAAAUCAGGUCUUUCAAGCGAGGAUAAAGCAUAUCGAGCUUGACUUCCACUUUGUUCGAGAAAAGGUCGCGCGAGGAUCCAUCUUCACAAGGCAUGUACCUUCAUCACGACAAAUUGCGGAUGUGUUCACAAAACCAUUAAAAAAAUACCAAUUCCAAAACUGGCGCAACAAGUUAUGAGUCCAUCCCAUGGACAUUCCAAACUUGAGGGGGGUUGAUAAGAUUCUUUCGUUAAUGCCAAAAGAUCAGCCAACAAAUUAUAAAUCAUAUCUUCAAUCAACAAAAUCAUCUCAUCAAAGUUACUUAUAUAAAGGACUCCUUGAAAAGCUCUCAAACGGUCACAAUAUCCCAUAAUUUAAUCAUUUUAAUAGAAGGUUCCUAAAUUGACGUAAUUAUGUCCUUUCUUAGUUGAUACCUUCUCUUUGUAUAUAAAUUAGAAUUGUAAUCAUCACUAAGGUGUGUGCAAUAACAUAUUUCUUUUGCAAUUGUCUUGCAUAUUAUUUCUUUAGAAAGGACGAUACAGAAGCGUCCUUAACUAUAGCAUUAGCUUGUAUUUCAAAAUGCAAUAUGCACCAUCAGCGGUGUCUUUUUUAUUCAUGCUUGGGAAAUAGUGGUUAUUUUCCAAGGAAGAUCUGCAAGAACUCAAUAUUGUUUCUUAUGUUUUUUUGCAUAAUAUUUGCCAUGUCCUGAAAAACAAUGUUGCCUUAUUCAGGUUAUUAGUUUUGACAUAUUUGUAGAAUGUGAUGGUUUAACUCCUUGUUGCAGCUUAGUCUUAAAUUAGGACUUAAUUACAUCUCAUUUACAUUUGGGAUUUAAUAUGAAUAUGUAUUUGCAUAUACUAUUCUAUUUUACAUUUUUAUGUGCAUGUAUUGAUAUGGAUGAUCUCCCCCCCGCCCCCUUUCUAAAUUCUAUUCUGCUGUCGUCAUUCUUUUUCUCACCCUUCUAUUUAUUUAAUAACUUUUAUUACGACCUUUCUUUAGUUUUAAUUCUCAUUGGUUUAUGUAAUCUUCUCCGGAGUCAUUGAGGUUCAUAUAUAUAUAUAGAUAAAACUCUUCUUCAUAAUGAUUUUUAUUCUGACACUAAUAAAGAAAAAAGACUUUGGUUUUUUAAACAUUUCUUAAAAUAAAGAAAAGAAAUUCAAGAAACUUAUUAUGAGUUUGUAAAUUUGCAUAAAGUUCAUAUAUUAUUUUUUGAUUGGUUUGAGAUGUAUGCUUCAGAUAACAACAUUUCAUAUCCUUUUAAAGAAUCAAAUCCCAUUACUGUUAGAAAGAAAACCACUGAGUGGAACCUCUCUGGUAGUGGUAGAGUCAUAAAAUUUGAGCAUUCACCUCUUAGGAGUCUAAUCAUUGAACAUGGUGAGCCUCCUAUUGAGAUUAAAGCCUCACCCUAUAAAAUCCAUAAAGAUCCAGAAUUGGAUUUAGAUAGCAUUAUUCAACAGAAUAAUUUCUGUAAUGCUAAUCUAAACACAAUAGAAAAGCAGUUGACUAGAAUAGAAAACCAAUUCCAGAAGUCAACCAUAGUUGUUUCUCCUAUUACAUCAAAAUUGGAUUCUAAUAAAAAGCUUAAGGAGCUUAUUUUCAAACCUUUUCAGGUUUCGAAAACUAGCCAAAAGCUUGUACAAGAGUCAAAAUCAGAUUUUGCUAAAGCCAUUAAAGAACAACUAGAUAGAAUAGAAGCUUCUUCUUCCUCAUCUAGUAAAAUCCAAAUAGCCCCUGAUAGUGCCCAAUCUAGCAAAAUCGGUGUACUAGAACAAGACAAUGUUUCUAUAGCCUCUUCUGAUAUAGAAGCAUUCAAAGAAGAACCUGUUUCUAAAGCCAACAAAAUUCAUUGGGAAUUAGCCCUACCUACUGUCAAAUCUCUACAUGACCUUACCAUAGAUAACAGGCCUAGUGCAUUAAACCAAUCACGAUUUAAUGCAUCCUCUGUCUAUGAAUGGAAUAUUGGUGGUAUGUCGGAAUAUAACAUCCUAGGAUUGUUGCAACAGAUGACUAUGGCAGCUAAUGCCUAUAAAACUCAGUCGGGAACUUCUGACAAAGCCAUUGCAGAAAUUCUUAUUGCUGGUUUUACGGGUCAACUUAAAGGUUGGUGGGAUCAUCUUCUUACCAAACAACAACAAUUAGAUAUUCUUAAUUCUAUUCAAGUGGAUGAAAAUGGAGCCCCCAUUCUUGAUGAAUUCAAUAGUUCUAUUCAGGAUGCUGUUGCUACCCUGAUUCUGAGUAUAUCCCUCUAUUUCAUAGGUGACCCUUCUUAUCUUAGAGAUAAGAAUGCUGAGUUACUACAUAACUUGAGAUGUAGGAAAGUUAGUGAAUUCCAAAGUUAUAAAACCACUUUCUUCACUAGACUCUUUUUAAGAGAUGAUGCCAAUCACAUCACUUGGAAAGAGAAAUUCCUUGCAGGAUUACCUACCCUAUUAGGAGAAAAGGUUAGGAAUUCCAUCAAAGCCCUUUAUGACAACCGUAUUCCUUAUGACGAACUCACCUAUAGUGAAUUAGUCAGUUUUGUUAACAAGGAAGGUUUAAAGAUUUGUCAAGAUUUGAAACUUCAAAAACGUCUAAAAUGGGAGCUUAGGAAAUCUAAACAAGAAUUAGGCAGUUUCUGUAAGCAAUUCAAUUGUGACCCCUUUAAAACUUCUAUCUCUAAAGAUUGUAAUGGUAAGUGUUCUUCAAAACCUUACAAAAAACAUUACAAAUCCAAAAGUCAUAAAAAACCUUUCCAAGAUUUUAGAGAACCUCCUUAUAAGAAACCUUUGAGGCCUUAUAGGAAACCUAAUUUCUCUAAAAAGAAAGACUUUAGAGCCAAGCAAAAAACCCCUUUCAACUACAAAGAAGCCACAUGCUACAAAUGCGGAAAGAAAGGCCACACUGUAAAAUUUUGUAGAAUGAACAGAAAGCUCCAUGAGCUUGGCCUUGAUGAAGAAAUACUUUCUAAAGUAGCCCCUUUAUUGAUAGAGUCUUCUGACUCUGAGUCUUCCAUGACGGGAGACAGUGAACCUCUGCAGGUUGAUGAGUUAAUUGACUUAGAUACAUCUGUAUCUUAUGAUAGUGAUUCUGACCCAGAAUCCUACUUAAAGAAAAUCAAUGUGUUGACUAAGGAACAAGAAACUUUUCUUAAAUUGGUUAAACAUAUUUCUGAUCCAAAUCUUCAAAAGGAAUACCUCGAUAAGCUUUUAAAGACCUUAGAACUCAAUAAAGCAGAAACUUCUAAAACCCCAAUAAUUAAAAAAAAUACUUAUGGUCUAAUUGAAAUCUUGGACAAAAAGAAAACAAAGAAAACAACAACUCCCAAUAUCCAAGACCUUCAAAAAGAGAUUAAAGAAAUCAAACUUGAAAUAAAAGAGUUAAAAGAAAAACAAAAGAAUGAUUCAGAUACCAUUCAACUCCUUUUACAAAAAUAAUUAGAAGACAAUUCUUAUAAAGAAGUUGAAUCUGAUGGUGAUAAUGAACAAAACCUUGAAAACAUUGAAUCUGUACCCAAUGACAUUUUAUUUGUCUUAAAGCAAAUUACCACUCGAAAGUAUCUGAUUAAAAUCACUUUAAUUCUUUCUAAAGACUUUGAAAUUGACACCAUUGCCCUUUUUGAUACUGGUGCCGAUCUAAAUUGUAUUAAAGAAGACAUUGUCUCUAAAAGAUUUCAUGAAAAAACUAAUGAAAGACUUUCUGCAGCCAACAAUUCAAAAUUGAAAGUUAAAUUUAAAGUUGAAGCCUCAGUUCAUAAUAAUGGUUUUGAAUUCAGGACUUCCUUUCUUUUAACGAAUGAUAUCCAUCAUACUGUUAUAUUAGGAACUCCCUUCAUAAACCUUAUUACCCCUUAUACUGUCAAUUAUGAUAGCAUAUCCUUUAAAGCCAAGACAAAGAAACUUAUUUUUUCUUUUAUUGAAAAACCUAAAACAAGAAAUCUGAAUAUUGUUAAAGCUUGUUCUGUUUACCAUAAUCAAAUAAAUGCUCUCCUUAAAUCAAAACAAAAUGACCUAAUUUGUUUAAAAAAGGAUUUGAGUUUACAAAGAAUUGAAAAUCAAUUACAAAUAAAUUUGUAAAAAAGAAAAUCUCUGAUUUUAAAGAUCUCAUCGAAAAGGAAAUAUGUGUUGAUUUACCAUCUGCUUUUUGAAAUAGAAAACAACAUUUGGUGGAUUUGCCUUAUGAAAAUUCUUUUGAUGAAAAACAAAUUCCUACUAAAGCCUGUCCAAUCCAAAUGAAUAUGGAAUUGGAACAACACUGUAAAGAAGAAAUAAAAGACUUAGAGUCAAAAUGACUCAUUGUAAAAUCUAGAUCUCUAUGGUCUUGUGCCGCUUUCUAUGUCAACAAAAAUUCUGAAAUAGAAAGAGGAACACCUAGACUUGUUAUAAAUUAUAAACCUCUGAAUAAAGCAUUAAAAUGGAUUAGGUAUCCCAUACCUAAUAAAAAAGAUUUACUCCAAAAACUACAUUCUGCUUUCGUAUUUUCAAAAUUUGAUAUGAAAUCGAGAUUUUGGCAAAUUCAAAUUCAUCCUAAAGAUAGUUAUAAAACUGUUUUCACUGUUCCUUUUGGACAGUAUGAAUGGACUGUCAUGCCAUUCGGUUUGAAAAAUGCACCUUCAGAAUUUUAAAGAAUUAUGAAUGAUAUUUAUAAUCCUUUUUCUGAUUUUUGCAUUGUCUAUAUUGACGAUGUGUUAAUCUUUUCCCAAACUAAUGAACAACAUUUCAAACAUAUAAAGACCUUCUACCUUGCCACUAGAAAAGCCGGCUUAGCCAUUUCUAGUUCUAAAGUUUCCUUGUUUCAAACAAAAAUCAGGUUCCUAGGUCAUUACAUUUCCAAAGGAACCAGUACUCCUAUUGAGCGAUCUCUUAUAUUUGCUGAUAAAUUUCCUGACAAAAUUCUUGAUAAAACUCAACUGCAAAGAUUUCUAGAAAGUUUAAAUUAUGUUCUAGAUUUUUGUCCUAACAUCAACAGGAUGUCAAAACCCUUGCAUGACAGAUUAAAAAAGAAUCUUGUUGCGUGGACUGAUGAACACACUAAAGCUGUUAAACUAAUAAAAAAACUCUAUUAAAAAUAUUCCAUGUUUAUUUCUUGCUAAUCCUGCAUUGCCUAAAGUUGUUGAGAUUGAUGCAUUAGAUUUAGGUUAUGGAGGAAUAUUAAAGCAAAAAGAGAAUAAUAAAGAACAAAUAGUACAAUAUGUUUCUGCUCAUUGGAAUGAAUGUCAAAGAAAUUACUCAACUAUUAAAAAAGAGAUUCUUUCCAUUGUGUUAUGCAUUUUUAAAUUUCAAAGCAAUUUGUUAAAUCAAAAAUUUUUACUUAGAAUCGAUUGCAAAGCUGCAAAACAUGUUUUGGAAAAAUAUGUUCAAAAUAUUGCAUCAAAGCAAAUUUUUGCACGAUGGCAAGCCAUUUUAAGAGUUUUUUAUUUUGACAUUGAAUUCAUUAAAGGAGAUACAAAUUCCAUCCCAGAUUUUCUAACCAGAGAAUUUCUCCAAAACAGAUAAUGCCGCCCAAAAGAAAAGACAAGGGCAAAGCUGUUCUUAAAGACUCUGAGUCUCAAGCAACUUCCAAAGAACCCCAAUCAACCCCUUCUAAAGAAAAAUUACUUUCUUCUGCCAUGCCCAUCAAAUCUUGGAUUGAAAUGGUUGAAGAACAAGAAGCCCAAUAUAAAGCCACUACCUCUGAAGACCAGGUAAAAGAAUGGAUGAACUUCAUUACAAAGUCCCCAGAGCUUAUGCUCGCGUUACAAAAUAUUUCUCAAACUAAAGCCCUUUCUCAAGUUCCUGAGAAAGAAAAACAUGUUUCCAAAGGAAUUACAAAACCUUCUUCCUCUAAAGAAAUUGUUUCAUGUGAAAGCUCUUCUUCACAAAUUGUUAUUUCUCAAUCAAAGCUUUCACAAAAAUUAUCGGAUUGGUUUAAUAAAGCUUAUCAACAAAAUGUUUUAUCUAUAGAAGAUGGGUUUUAUCAUCUUGAUCCAUUUCAAGCAAUUUCAAAGAUUUUCCCGAAAGGCUGGUUUUUCAAACCAUGGGAUUUAUCAAAACCCCAGUCUUUCUACCAAAGCAUUCUUGAGUUCACUGAGUCAGUAAAGUUUAAACAUUUCUUCCUUAGUGAAGCUCAUUCUGAGCCAGCCUAUUCCACGGCUACCAUUCUUAAAGUCUUAAGCCCAAAUCAGUGGGGUGACCAACUCCAUAAGCCAAAAACUUUUCCCGCCAAUUUCCAAAGACGUUUAAACCAUUGCCUAACUUUCUCCUACUGGGAUUAUCAACAGGCCUGGUUUAAUUCAAAAAUAAUCGUCCAAAGCCUUCCAAAUUGGUUCCAAAUUUGGUGGAACUACUUUGGGCCCAAGCCCAGAAAUUUUAACCCCAAAUGCCAUCAAAUGUUUAAAUCUUUUUAAAGCCCAUUAUGUUCCUUCUAAGCCUGAGAAGAGGUUUCCUCCUUUUCUCUGUUUUUGUGCAAACUUUUUCCUUCCCUGGGUUUGGAUGUGGAAUUUCCAAUACCACACCAUAGACACCCAACUAGUCCUACAAAGAACCUUCAAAGUCAAAUGGUGGUCUAAAGUUGACGAAUAGUCAAAAUUAUCUGAAGCCACGAUCCAAUCCUGGCUUUCUUCAAGAGGCCUCCUUGCCCCAAGUAAAGACGUAACUAAAGCUCAAAGUACUUUCCUCGCCCAAAGGGCCAAAGCCCAAUCCUUGUUGGCUAGUGCCAAAAUCGAGGAUGAGUAUUUUAAAGUUAUGCAGCAACUUCUUGCUACAAGAUCUGAGCCAUCCGUUGCAAGUUCUUUAUCAAGCUCCUCUGGAGAAGCUGAGCCGUUCAUUUCCCUCAGAGAUGAAAACGAAGAUGACUGCUUCGGAAUAUUUUCUCCUUUAAAGCAUUAAAGCUUUGUAAAAAAAAAAAAAAAGAGUAAAGAUUGUCUUAUUUCCUUGUUGUCUUAUUUCCUUGUAGUUAUUACACUUGUAAUUAUCAAUUGAUUUUCCCUUUUGUAAUUAUCUUUUGUUAUUUUUCCUUUUGUAAUUAUCUUUUAUUUUUGGGGUGGUCCCCUGGACACAAGUGAGAGCGCACAUGUCUCUUCACCCAACUUUUGCUUUUCCCCUUAAAGUCAAAAGCACCUCCUUUAGUAAAAUCGUUUUACCAAAGCUAAAGGUCCCAGCCAUGUGAAGCUUCUCGAAAUUCUCUAAAGCUGUUGUUGCCUUUCGUGAUGUUGUCCUCUAGCUACACAUGAAGACAAAAAUCAUAAAGAAGAUGUUGUCCCUUACAUGAGCAGAAGGACCCGCUCCACCAACCUCGCAUGUGAAGCCACAGCCUCAUAAAGACUCUACAGUUUCGCUACAGACUCGCCACAGUUCAAGCUUCAGUUGUUUAAAUUCAAAGCUAUAUAAUUGUUUGAAAGAUAGAACAUUGCUUACAGAAAUCUUUUCUAAAUCUCUCUCUCUCUGGGAAAUCAGGAUCAAGACAUCAAGGAAAACUAUUCAUGUCUUGAAAUUUUCCCGUUCUACAAAAAUCUGUAAAUAAUUUUCAUUGUAAAGCUCUCGGAUCUAAGCAAUUAAUGUAAGCAUCUCUCAUUUAAUCUAUUUAAAGUUUAACUUCAAUUCAAUGCAUGUUUUAAAUUUCUGUAUUUUAUUUAAAGUUUUUAAAUUUCAUAAAACUGCUACGUUCCUCUAAGGCAAAGAGACUGGAUCUCUGUCCUUAGUUGUAUUUUCUCUUCUCCCUCCAUCUAUUCAGAAUACUAUUUCUGGGAUCCAGAUCUAGUAUUAUCUAUGAGCCUUUAGAUCUAUUACUAAGCUUGCUUAAAGAAAAUUUUUAAUAUUAUUUUGGUAUAUCGGCUGGAAAACAGAACGUGCGUGAUAUUGAUAUGUUCUAAGUCAGAUCUGGUCACAAAGGCAAAUUAAGUUCUGCAUCGAUCUGGUAACAACGCCACGUACUGAAAUAAUUCUAAAUUAUUAAUUGAAUAUUGAAGUCUAAUUUAUAAAUUUUACUAAAUUUACAUCCAUCCUUCGAUCCUAUAUUUUCCUUAUAUAUACACUUAAGGCGCUCACCAAUCCUCCCAAAAGCUUAAGUUGUUAGGAGAGGCGCUACUUUAUACUUAAGAGCACCCAGACCACCAGGUAACGUCUACACGUUUUGUGCCACAUCACCCACAUGCGUGGGGUAGGAGUCACCACAAGGGUGCGGGCCCCUAGCACACGUAGUCUGGGAUAUAUAUUAAGCCCAUUCCUCCCCCGAGGCUCGAACCCUGGAUGGCUCUAAUACCAAAAAGAAAAAGGAUCGAAGGAUGGAUGUGUUUUACAAGAAGAAAUUAUAAAUCAGAUCUCAGAAGCAAAAGAAAAUAACUAGGAUGAACAGAAUGUGCUAUGAUACGCGGUUGAUUGAUUUUAAUUAUAAUUAAAUUGGUAUGUGGCGUUUUUUCCAGAUCGAUGCAGAACUUAAUCUGCCUUUGAGACCAGAUCUGACUUAGAACAGAUCAAUAUCUCGCACGUUCUGUUUUCCAGCCGAUAUACCUAUUUAAUUAAUGCUUUACCAAAUUAUUAAGAAAAUUGAUACAAUUUUUAUGAUCGGGACGGCUUUAUCAAAUUUUAGUAGUCAAAUUUUAGAUAUUUGAAGUACGUGACUCGUUUACCGACAGUGCAGACCAGACUAACGCCUAUUCAGGAUCGCCUCUGAAAUUUACGUCGUCGAAUUCCCGUCGAUAUACUCAAAUAUUUUUACCAGCUUUAAGUAUUAAAGUUCUUUAAACAAGCCUAGCAACAACAUACAUCUAAAGGCUCAUAGAUAGUACUAGAUAUGGAUCCCAAAAAUAGUACUCUGAAUGGAUGGAGGGAGAAGAGAAAAAUACAACUGAGGAUUGAGAUCCGAUCUCGUUGCCUCAGAGGAACGUAGUAGUUGUAUGGCAGAUCUGAUACAGAUCAGUCUGCAAGUGAUGCUUUAAAAUAAAUUGUAAAAAUUUAAACUUACAUUCAAAGCUUUAAAAAAUAAAAUUACAAAUGCUUUAGAUAAAAUUGAAAAAUAAAUUGCUUAGAUUAAUUGCUUUCUUUAAAAUGCUUUAGGAAGGUUGAUCUAUAUAGAGAAGAAAGGGAAAAUUACAAGACCAGGAAAAAUUUCCUUGAGUUGUCUUGAUCCAGAUUUCCCGAGAGAGAGAGAGAGAGAGAAGAAGAAGAAAAUUGGAGAAGGAAAAAAUUCUGAGGAGUCUCAGUCUUCCUCUAGAAUAUAUACAGAAAUUUUUAAACUGUAGACUGUAUCGGAGCUGUAGCAUACAGUAAUCUUUGGAACUUUUUACUGUAGACUGUAGUGGAGCUGUAGCAUACAGUAAUCUUUGGAACUCUUCACUGUAGACUGUAGCGGAGCUGUAGCAUACAGUAAUCUUUGGAACAAGAUUAUACAAGCUUUGAAUUACUAGUAUAAUACGGGUGAAGAGACAUGUGCGCUCUCACUUGUGUCCAGAGGACCACCCAAAGAUACAUACAUAUACUUAAAAGAAAAUACAAUUGGAAAUUUCAAAAAUGAAUAUUUACCUCUUUUUUUUAACGAUAAUUACUUACAAUGCUUUAUUGGAGAGAAAAUUCCGAAACAAUCAUCUUCAUUAUCGUCUCCAAGUGAAAUGAACGGCUUUUCAUCAUCAUCAUCAUCGUCAGAGGGGUCUGCGACUGAAGACUUUGAUCGAGAGGUGAGGAGCUGCUCCAUAACUUUAAAAUAUUCUUCUUCUGUUUUGGCACUGGCCAAAAGAGAUUAGGCUUUGGAUUUUUGGGUGAGAAAGGUCUCUUGAGCUUUGACAGCCUUAGUGGUUGGAAGUAGGAAGCCUUUAGAAUAAAGCCAAUUUCGGAUUAGGGUAUCCGUUAAUUUGGUCUGUUCAUCAAAUUUUGACCACCAUUUGACUUUAAAAGUUCUUUGUAGAAUGAGCUGGGCUUUUUGGGUAUGAUAUUUGAAAUUCCACAUCCAUACCCAUGGAAGGAAGAAGUUUGUACAGAAACAGAGGAAUGGGGGAAAUCUUUUUUCUGAAUCAGAAGGGAUAUAGUGGGAUUUAAAGAGGUUUAAACAAUUUGUGGCAUUUGGAGUUAGUAUUUGAGGUAUUGGUCCAAAGAAGUUCCACCAAUGAUGAAACCAGUUUGGGAGGCUUUGAACGGUUAUUUUUGAAUUAAAGAAAAAUAACCAUUAAUGGGAUUUCUUUGGGUUUUGUAUGAAAAAUGUGUUAUACCACGCUUGUUGAUAAUCCCAAUAGGAAUAGGUCAAACAAUGUGGUAGAUGCAUUUGAAAAUUUAAAGGGAAAGUCUUUUGUUUGUGAAGUUGGUCACCCCACUAGUUUGGGCUCAAGACUUUAAGGAUAGUAGCCGUGGCGUAGGCUGGCUCAGAAUGGGAUUCACUGAGAAAGAAGUGUUUGAAUUUUACUGACUCAGUGGAUUCCAAAAUGCUUUGAUAAUAAGGCUAGCGUUUUAUCAUAUCCCAAGGUUUGAAAAACCAACCUUUGGGGAAAAACUUUGAAAUAGCUUGAAAGGGAUCAGUAUGGUAAAAACCAUCUUCCAUAGAUAAAAUGCUUUGGAAAUGGGUUUUAUCAAACCAAUCGGAAGUUUUCUUUGAAGGUGUUGGCUGGGAAAGAACAAUUUGAGAGGAUGAACUUUCACCAGAAACAACUACAUUUUGAGAAGAGAGUUUUGAAAUUUCUUUAGAAACAGAUUUUUCAACAUCUUCUUUAGGAGAAAUUUGGCUUUGAGAAAAACUUUGUAAAGCAAGCAUAAGUUCAGGGGAUUGAGAAAUGGAUUUCAUCCAUUUAUUUACCUGCUCAUGAGAGGCAAGGGCUUUAGAUUUUGAUUCUUCAUCUUCAAUCAUGUCAAUCCAAGAUUUGAUUGGCAUGGUAGAGGAAAGUAGCUUUUCUUUGCAAUCAAUUCUAAGUAAAAAUUUUUGAUUUAAUAAAUCGCUUUGAAAUUUAGAUAUGCACAAAACAAUAGAAAGAAUUUCUUUUUUUUAUAGUAGAAUAAUUUUUCUGGCAUUCAUUCGAAUGUCCAGAAACAUAUUGUACUAUCUGUUCUUUAUUAUUAUCUACUUGCUUUAAUAUGCCUCCAUAACCUAAAUCAGAUGCAUCAGUCUCAACUAUUUUAGGUAAUGCAGGAUUAGCAAGAAAUAAACAUGGGAUGCUUUUAACAGAACUCUUUAUAAGUUUAACAACUCUAGUAUGCUCAUCAGUCCAUGCAACAGGAUUUUUCUUUAACCUAUCAUGCAAUGGUUUGGCCAUUCUAUUGAUAUUAGGACAGAAAUCGAGCACAUAAUUUAAACUUCCUAGAAAUCUCUGUAAUUGAGUCUUAUCUAGGAUUUUAUCGGGAAACUUGUCUGCAAAGACAAGAGAAUGCUCAAUAGGGGUAAUGGUUCCUUUGGAAAUGUAAUGACCAAGGAACCUGACCUUAGUUUGAAACAAAGAAACUUUAGAACUAGAAACAGCCAGUCCAACUUUUCUAGUGGCAAGGUAAAAAGUCUUUAAAUGUUUGAAAUGUUGAUCAAUUCAAUGGGAAAAAAUCAACGCAUCAUCAAUAUAAAGAAUGCAGAAAUCGGAAUAAGGGUUAUAAAUAUCAUUCAUGAUUCUUUGAAAUUCCGAAGGUGCAUUUUUUAAACCAAAUGGCAUAACCGUCCAUUCGUAUUGUCCAAAUGGAACAGUAAAAGCAGUUUUGUAACGGUCCUUUAGAUAAAUUUGAAUUUGCCAAAACUCGGAUUUCAUGUCAAACUUCGAAAAUAUGAAUGCAGAAUGCAAUUUUUGAAGCAAAUCCUCCUUAUUAGGUAUGGGAUAUCUAAUCCCUUUUAAUGCUUUAUUAAGGGGUUUGUAGUUUAUGACAAGUCUUGGGGUUCCUCUUUCAAUUUCAAAAUUUUUAUUAACAUAAAAGGCGGCACAAGACCAGGGAGACCGAGAUUUAACAAUAAGUCCUUUGGACUCCAAAUCUUUAAUUUCUUCUUUACAAUGUCGUUCCAAAUAUGUAUUCAUUUGGAUCGGACGAGCUUUGGUAGGUAUUUAUUUUUCAUAAAAAUAACUUUCAUAAGGCAAAUCUACCAAGUGUUGUUUUCGGUUCCAAAAAGCAGAUGGUAAAUCAGUACAAAUUUCUUUUUCAAUUAAGGAUUUGAAAUCUAAAAUUUUUCUUUUAAUAAAAUCAUUUUGUAAUUGGUUUUCAAUUCUUUGUAAACUCAAAUCCUUUUUUAAACAAAGUAAAUCAUUUUGUUUUGAUUUGAGAAGGGUAUUGAUAUUGUUUUGAUAAACAGAACAGGCUUUGACAAUAUUUAAAUUUCUUGUUUUCGGUUUUUCAAUAAAAGGGAAAACAAGCUUUUUGGAUUUAGCUUUGAAAGAUAUACUAUCAUAAUUGAUAGUAUACGGGGUUAUAAGAUUUACAAAAGGGGUUCCAAGAAUGACAGAAUGAUGUAUGUCAUUCGUAAGGAGAAAAGAAGUUUUAAAUUCAAAAUCGUUGUUAUGAAUAGAAGCAUCAACUUUAGAACUAACAUUAAGUUUUGAAUUAUUGGCGGCAGAAAGCCUUUCUUUAGUUUUCUCAUGAAACCUUAUAGGGACAAUGUCUUCUUUAAUGCAAUUUAAAUCAGCACCAGUGUCAAAAAGGGCAACGGUGUCAAUUUCAAAAUCUUUGGAAAAAUUCAAAGUAAUCUUUAUCAAAUACUUUCUUGUGGUAAUUUGUUUCAAAAUAAAUAGAAAAUCAUUGGGCACAGAUUCAAUGUUUUCUAAACUUUAUUCCUCAUUAUCACCACCAUCAGAUUCUUUAUCAGAAUUAUCCUGAAGUUGUCUUUGUAAAAGAAGUUGGAUAGUAUCCGAGUCAUGCUUUUGUUUUUCUUUCAAACCUAUUAUCUCAAGUUUGAUUUCUUUUAUCUCUUUCUGAAGAUCUCGGAUGCUGGGUGUUGUUUUCUUGGUUUUCUUUUUGUCCAAAAUCUCAGUUAGAUCAUAAGUAUUCUUUUUAAUGAUUGGGGCUUUAGAAGUUUCAACUUUAUUACCUACUUCUAAGGUUUUUAGAAGCUUGUCAAGGUAAUCUUUUUAAAGAGUCGGGUCGGGUCGGAAAUAUGCUUUACCAAUUCAAGGAAAAUCUCUUGAUCUUUUGUCAAAACAUUUAUUUUCUUUAAAUAAGAAUCUGUAUCAGAAUCACUAUCACUGGAUACAGAUGUAUCUGAGUCAAUUAACUCAUCAGUCUGUAGAGGGUCAUUGUCUCCCGACAUGGAAGACUCAGAGUUAGAAGACUAUAUAAGUAAAGAAGCAACUUUGGAGAGGGUAUCAUCAUCAAGGCCAAGCUCAUUGAGCUUCCUAUUGAAUCUGCAAAAUUUUACAGUAUGGCCUUUCAUUCCACAUUUGUAGCAUGUGGCAUCUUUGCAGUUGAAAGGGGUUUUUGAUUUAGCUCUAAACUCUUUCUUCUUAAAGAAGCGGGGUUUCUUAUAAGGGCUUGGAGGUUUCUUAUAAGGAAGUUCUCUAAAGUCUCGAAAGGGUUUCCUAUGGCUUUUAGAUUUGUAAUGUUUCUUGUAAGGUUUUGUAGAACACUUACCAUUACAAUCUUUGGAAGUGAAAGUUUUAAAGGGGUCAUUGUUGAAUUGCUUACAGAAACUGCCUAAUUCUUGCUUAGAUUUCCUAAGCUCCCAUUUUAGUCGUUUCUGUAAUUUCAAAUCCUGACAGAUCUUUAAACCUUCUUUAUUGACAAAACUGACAAGUUCACCAUAAGUAAGCUCAUCAUAAGGGAUACGAUUGUCAUAUAAGGCUUUAAUGGAAUUCCUAACUUUUUCUCCUAAUAGGGUAGGUAAACCUGCAAGGAACUUCUCCUUCCAAGUUAUAUGAUUUGCAUUAUCCUUAAGGCAAAGUCUGGUGAAGAAUGUAGUUUUGUAGCUCUGGAAUUCACUAAGUUUUCUACACCGUAAAACCCGCAAUAAGAAUUUCUGCAAUGGCUUUGUCAGAAGUUCCCGAUUGGGUUUUGUAGGCAUUGGCUGCCAUGGUCAUUUGUUGCAACAAUCCUAUGACAUUGUAUUCAGACAUACCGUCAAUAUUCCACUCAUAGACAGAAGAUGCAUUAAAUCUAGAUUGGUUUAAUGCACUGGGUCGAUUGUCUAUGGCCAAAUCAGGUGGAGACCUGACAGUGGGAAGGGCUAACUCCCAAUGGAUUUUAUUGGCUUUAGGAAUUGGUUCUUCUGUGAAGGCUUCUACAUCAGAAGAGGCUAUAGAAAGAUUAUCCUGUUCUAGUACACCAAUCUUGCUAGACUGUGCACUAUCAGGGGCUAUCUGGACCUUAGAAGAAGAAGAAGAAGCUUCUAUUCUAUCUAAUUGGUCUCUAAUGGCUUUAGCAAAAUCUGAUUUUGACUCUUGAACAAGCUUUUGACUAGUUUUCGAAACCUGGAAAUGUUUGAAAAUAGGCUCUUUAAGCUUUUUGUCAGAAUCUGAUUUUGAAAGGGCUGGUUUUGUAGAAACAGGAGAAACAAUUAUGGUUGACUACUGGAACUGGUUUUCUAUCCUAGUCAACUGUUUUCCUAUUGUAUUUAGAUUAGCAUUACAGAAAUUAUUCUGUUGGAUAAUGCUAUCUAAAUCUGUUUCUGGGUCUUUAUGGAUUUUGUAAGGUGAGGCUUUGAUCUCUACAGGGGGUUCACCAUGAUCUAUGGUUAAACUCCUGAGAGGUGGAUGGUCAGAUUCUAUGGUUCUACCACUACCAGAAAAAGUCCAUUCAGGAAUCUUCUUUCUAGUAGUAAUGGGGUUUGACUCUUUAAAGGGAUAAGAAAUGUUGUUCUCUGAAGCAUAUAAUUGAAACCAUUCAAAAAAUAGAAUAUGAACUUUAUGUGAGUUUACAACUUGUAAUAAACUUCUUGAAUUUCUUUUCUUUGAUUUAAAAAAUGUUUAAAAAACCAAAGUCUUUUUCUUUAUUCGAAUCAGAAUAAAAAUCAUUAUGCAAAAGAGUUUUAUCUAAUUCAAAUUCUUUUUCCAUGACAUUUAUCACAUUUUCAGUGACGGCUGAAAAUGUGGGAGAGGUUGGAGGAGAAGGUUCCUUCUCUUCCUGUCUUUUGUCAUGCUGACUGCUGGUGUAUAUUGGAUGCGGAACACUAGUGGUGUAGUCAACAGAAUGUAUGGAUGAACUAGGUAUAUCCGAAGUGGAAAACCUAGGUUGGCUUUGGAAAGGGAGAUUUAUUACGGAAGGAAUUUUGGAGAAUUUCUUUUCCAAUAAGGGGAUGCUGGAGACAGAAUCUUUAUCAGAAAAUCUAGACGAAGUAGAUCUCCUAAAGGAUAAUUUGACUCUACCAUCAUAAUACUGAGUCACAUUUUGUAACUCUGUAUUAGGCUCAAGUUGUUUUGGAAUCACUGGGGCAGUGGCUCCUUCAAGGAUCCAUUCAUCUGGAAGGUUGAUAUCUUUCUAUUGGAUCGGUUUUGGAAUGACAGUAUUGGCUUUAGACAGGUCAGUAUACAAGAGAAGAGUAUCUUCUCUUUUUGACUGGAAUUUGUGCUGUGUGCUAAAUGCGGAAAUCAUGGCUUUAUAAGAGAUUUUAAAAAUCAAUGCAACUGGGACAGAACCCUCAAUCAUAUGAUAAAUGUGGGUUUUGAUUUGUAGAAUCAUGCUUUUCAAAAUAUUUUUGUCUUUUAAAGAGACUGUUAUGUUUAGGUAACAGUCGAAUGAGAUAAGGCCUUUACAUAGACUCGAUUCUAUGCUACGUAGCAAAGAAUCAUCAAAAGAGAUGAAUCGCCCAUCUCUAAGGACAGUAAGAAUGGAAGUGUUAAGUCUUUCCUUAGUGAGAGGCUUUAUACCGACUUGGAUCAAACCAAUAUGGAUCCGGUCUCGUUGCCUCAGAGGAACGUAGUAGUUGUAUGGCAGAUCUGAUACAGAUCAGUCUGCAAGUGAUGCUUUAAAAUAAAUUGCAAAAAUUUAAACAUACAUUCAAAGCUUUAAAAAAUAAAAUUACAAAUGCUUUAGAUAAAAUUGAAAAAUAAAUUGCUUACAUUAAUUGCUUUCUUUAAAAUGCUUUAGGAAGGUUGAUCUAUAUAGAGAAGAAAUGGAAAAUUACAAGACCAGGAAAAAUUUCCUUGAGUUGUCUUGAUCCAGAUUUUAUCAUUCUUUAAAAAAUCCAGAUUUUUUGUUUUGUAAAUCAUUUCUUUUGAAAUCUUAGGAAGUUCCCAAUUAUCAAUUGCUUUAUUAAAAUCUUCAAUUACAAAUUCUUCAGAAUUCACAACAUUCUUUGAACCGCUAGUCUUCCCAGAAGAAGAGCUAGAAAAGGAUGAUGCUCUACAGAGUAGAGAGUCCAUGGAUAAAAACCUAUGAUCUAAUUUGGUCUUGAUCGUAUGGCUACAGGUAUGGUUUUACUGCCCUAAGCGGAAAUCCUUAUCCUGAAACGGGACAUACUACCAGUAAGAAAUUCACCACACAAACAAAAUUCAAAAUAAAACACAAGUCUUUACACACAGAAAUCUCUAAACUAUAUUACACUAUCUUCCCCCUGGGAUACAGGGUCCUUGAGAAUCCCUUUCCCUUUGUAUAUAUAUAUAUAUAUAUAUAUAUAUAUAUAUAUAUAUAUAUAUAUUUUCCUUGUUCUUCAGAUAACUGGGCUCGAGGUAAUUAGCGUCCAAGUGGUGAAGAUAAGUUGGCACCCGCAAUGAAGAAAGCCGACCUCGCGAUAGAGUUUGGCAAAGGCUUCUACUGUGUACCCUAAAUUUUCGAAUUGGCAUGCAUCCUGGGAAAAAUCAGUUUUUUUUUUUAUUUAUAAAAAACUUUUAAGAUCGUUCUCAUACAAUAUAUAAGAAUUUGAAAUCUAGAAAUCCUACCUUAAAAAUCCGAUUUAGUUUUUUCCGCUGAAGUGAUUUAGGCUCCCAGAUCACGAUCCAUCACCACCACGCCUGUUAGAUCACGAUCCGUCACCACCACCACUACAAGAAAAGUAUGUAUAGUAGCAUCCGAAAAAUGCUACCAAAAGCAAAUGGUAGCAUUUUAGGCAAUGCUAAGUUAGCCCAUGUAACUAAAAGUCUUGGCAUUUGAUAGCAUUUAUUCAAUGCUACAAACUGUUAUACAUAACAUUUAAAAAAAGCUAUGUAAUCAUUGAUUAUUACAUUUUAGAAAUGCCAUCAUUCUCUUAUGUAUAGCAUCCGGAAAGUGCUACCAUAUUAUAUUUACAGCACACAAAAAAUGCUAUUGUUGGCAAAUUUAUUCCAUAUAUGUAAGAUUCUAUGGCUAUUAGAAAACGCUACUGGAUAAUUUAUAAGUGGCUACCAUAGCAUCUUUGUAAGGUUAUUGAAGAUAGAAAAAUUGAUACUUGUAAUGUAUUUUUUAUUCUCAAUAUUUUUAAAGGCUACUAAUUAUACAUACAAUUCAUCGUUCAUCUAAUUCAAUUAUGUAAUAAUAUGUGAACAUCCAAUUACUUAAAAAAUUAGACACAAUGAUAAGUAUAUUUGUGUCAUACUUGUAUAUUUUCUAAUGAUAAAAAAAUUAGGGAAAACAAAUCUAGUACUAUAUCUUCAAGUUGCCUUCAACACUGCACCAAAAAUUCUUGAUCUUCAUGGCCUACACCAAAAAUUCUUUAUCUUCACAGCCUGCAUAUGAAUUCAGAACAAAAAUAUAAUUGUGUUUUGCUCUUAGAAAAAAUAUUAACCACCAUUAAAUAUAUAUCUAGUACUACGAUUACAAGAAUAAUAUGCUAAAAAAAAGUAAAACAAAAUUAAAAAGAAAAAACUCAAUGAUAUAUUCUGAGAAACUAGUGUAACUAAAAAAUCACAAAACAAAAAGUUUAGAAUUUUAAAAAGAUAGCAAGAGAAAAACAAAUAAGCAAUAAUAAUAAUAAUAAUAAUAAUAAUAAUAAUUUGAAAAGAAAAUGGCAAAACACAAACCUUUGUUUUUGGUGAGGUUACAAAACUGGGUCAAUGUGCGGUUGGCCAAAAGCUAGAGGUGUUGCCGUGUAGGAGUUGGGUCUUCUUCAAUUGGGAGGCAUUAUUUUAUCAUAUCAAAUCCAACCAAAAAAAAGAAAAGGUUAUCUUCCAUUAAUUUUCUAAAAAAUCCAAAUUCACAAUUCAACACAAAAGUUAAAAAUUAAUGAUAUCAAUAAUUUAAGAGAGAAAUUGGAAACAAAAGAACAAUUAUAACAAAAAUUUAAAAACCCAAAAGCAAAAAUUGUGAAUUACCUUCACGAAACCAGUUUUUGGGACCCAUCAAUUUCUUCUGUCAAACUCAAGUCAUUUGGAGAUUCAAUUGCUCAACAAGUUAAAGGAUGAUUAUGUUAUAUGAUUUCUAAGGAAAUUUUGAGGGAUUAGGACUUUAGUUGCUUUGAUGUGUGAAGACUAGAGAGAGACGGAUUGAGGAGAGAAGAAAACAAAAGCUUUGACUUUGGCUGUUAGGUGAAAGCUGAGAGAGAGGCAAAAGGAUUUUAGAAUUAAUUUGAGAAUUUUAUUUUUUUGUUUGGCGGUAGAUCUAGAUUCCGCUUUAUUUUUCUCUCUUUUUUUGUAGCAUUUCUGGUGUGCUACUAAAUUAAUGUUUAUAUUGUAGCUUUUCCAAAAUGCUAUAUUAUUAAAUGUUAAACACAGCUCUUCUAAAAUGCUACCAUAUGAAUUUUAUUAAAUGUAACAUAAAUUUGUAACAUUUACAAAGUGCUACAUUAUUAAAAAUUAAGCAUAGCAUUUAUUAUGUGUUACAAAUUAAAUGUUAUAUCUAUUAAAAAAUAAAAUGUAACCAUUAAGUAGUUAAUAGUAGCAUUUUUUUACAAAAUGUUACAAUAGAAUGACAUUUUGUAGCAUUUUAAAAAAAAGUGCUACAAUUUAAUGCUACUAAAGAUGAUAUUUGUUGUAGUGCACGCUUGUUAGAUCACGAACUAUCACCAAUGAUCUUCCAGGUUAUGACUCAGGUUUGAUCUGCACUUGACGUGUGGGCGCCUUUAUCACUACCAAAGCAACUAGCACGAGAAAAUUUUUCUCUCAACAAUAGAAAGAAAAAUAUUUUUCUAUGAUCUGUAUAAAGUGGCUGCUCUCUUUUUUUUUGGGAGAAAAUAAGCCUUUUUAUAUUGCUAUUUUGUGGAAACCCAAGGCUCCAUAUUUAUUUAUUUAUUUUUAAUUCUAUUAAAUCACAUUUGGUUUAAAUUAAAAAACAAUCAAACAAAAGUCACGUUACUUGUUUUUGUGUUAUAGAGGCCCACCUUGUAAAAUAACACAAAGCCCCUUACACUCAAGCAUAUUAAUGGAGCCUCCGACUAAAUAAUAUAUUUAGGCAUUUAACUUAAAUAGCUAGUUAUCUUACUUAUUAAUCCAGUAGCGGCUCAGUCAAUUAAAUGAGCUAACCUGUGGAUCAUAUGGGUACAUACAAUAAUGGCUACAAUAAUUAGACCUGUAAUUAAACUAGCCCAAUUACUUAAUUCCAAAUCUACUCCACUAAAAGAUUGGAAUUGACCUCCAUAAUUGUAUGUUAUCUAGGAUAGUGUUCUCGAAUAAUAAUUCGACCCAUACCACAUUGAUUUCUUUACUUCAUAAUCAUUUGUACCACAUCGUUAAUUAAAUCGAUAUCUCAACUGUCUAAUCGAUUUAAUUACAUCUUGUUCCUUGAUACUUACUGGUUUUCUCUAAUGAUCAUUUUCAACAUACUAAAUACGUUGACACACUCUGGCCAGAGAAUUCUAUGAUCAAGUGUCGAAAACCCAUCAAGAGAUGUGUUGUACAAAUUCUAUAUUGUUAAUAUAUAACUCCAAUACUCAUAAUUGCUCCCACCGAGAUACCAGGUAAUCUUGACGACAAGCAUGUGUCGUGCCCAUUAGUAACUCAAGUAGAAUAACAAUUACAAUCAUGAAAUCAUAAUUAACUCAAGAUUAAGAUUACAGUAAAAUCAAUGCCUAUGAGAUUUAAUAAGUCUGACAGUCAUUUCAAAGUUAAUUAAAUCUCAUAUGUGAUUCAGCUCAAUGUAGUCAAACUACAUCAGUAAAUUCAUAUAUGAUUAAGACAAAUUAUUCAAUGAAUUUACUACAGUCUAAACAUAAAUAGAGCGUCCAACUCCAUUUAUCAACUGCGAACUAAAUUUAUUUAAUCAUAAGAUAACUUGUAUUUAUGUCUUCUGUGAAUCCAUAUGAUGAUCACAUAAAUACAUAUAAUAUGAUUAAACGGACCUUAUUCAAUAUAUAUUUAUGCAAUUGAAAAUAUCUCAAAUAUUUUAUUAAUCAGAAAAUAAAUUAAUAUGCUUUAAAAGAGCAUAUAAUCCCAACAAUGCAAAUGUGGAAUCAUUCAAAAGGAAGAACACAACUACAUCAUGAAACGGGAGGUUUUCAAUGAGAGACAUCAAGCUGAACAGUAUUUGAUUGAAAAUACUGAGUUUCUCAACAAGAUAAUCAUGAUCUUGAGGAAAAAUUUGCUCGAAAGGCAUUGACUAUAUAAAGUAUUCUGAGAUGAUCGAGCUCAGUCAGGUCAAUGCAAAUAUCGGGUCACUACAAAUAGAAAAGGACUUGAAAGUGGUGUUAUGCCAACAAUCGGAGAAUUUGACUGCACAUAAAUGGUUUCUGGAGAUUUGGCCAUACCAAGCAUAUCCCUUAGAACCAAACGAAACUCGGUGUUGUUGAUGCUCUUCAUUGGGACUCAAAAUUACUCUGCUGAGUGCUUAGGGUGAGAGAUUUGUACUACUUCUUCAUGCUCUUCUAAGCCUGUUUGGUAUGGCUUAUUUAAGAGCCAUAAGUGCUUAUUUAAUCGUAUAAACACUUUUUAAAAUUUUUUAUAGUGUUUGGUUAUUUUUUUAAUGGAGUUUUUUUAGCUUAAAUAAGCUAAUUUACCUCUACUAGUAAAAGCCAAAAAUUUGAGCUUUUGGGAGUAGAAGCUAUAGAGCUUUUCUAAAAAUAUAUAAUAUAAAAAAUAUCACAGUUUAAUGGUUCAAAAAUGCUUUUUUUAUUGACAACCAAACACCCAAUGACUUUUUGUCCAAAAGCUCUAUUGGUAUAAGCUCUACUGCUAUAAGUUCUACUGUUAUAAGCUCUAUUUAAUAAGCUGUACCAAACGGAGCCUAAUGGGCUUUUCCAUUGCCUUGAUUGUCUUUAACUGUUAAGCUGCUUAGGGUCCAUAUUUAUCGUCCCCAAAAAAUUGUAAUCAUUUAGGCAUUGUACAUAGGUGGCGUAAUUCAAAAAUAUUUGUCCAAGUUCUUGUAGUUCACUAGUUCAUAACCUUUGGGGCAGACUUGUCAAGUGGUCAUUUCCUUCUUUCUUUUGUGUUUUAGGCUCCCUCUGGUACUGAUGUUGGUGGGGAUAAGCACGUCGGGUUCGGUUUGGGAAAAUUAAGAUAAACGAUGGAGCUAUUAGUAUCCCUUCCAAAAAUCUUAUAAAACCCAUUACUUAGCCACUUACAAUUUUGACCUUAAUUUCAAUUAUAUUCUAAAAAAAAAUUUAUUAAACCCAUCUUAAUACUCUAAGGGCGUAUUUUAUCCUUUGAUUAUAAACAUGUAAUAUUUAUAAUUUUUAUUUAAAAAUCAUAUUUAUCUUAUAUUAUUAUUACCUCCACCAAACAAACGGAGUCUCGACAGUAUAGAAAUAUUAAAUUUGUUAAUACAGACGACAGAGACAUAUAUCUAAUUGUAACUCAGCCCCGUUAUUACUCAAGUCUUGUUGUGUAUUAUUUAAUAGCAUGAUUUGCGGUUGUGAUCACCUAGUCUAAACUCUAUAAACCGUAGUCAAGCAGCCAGCUGUCUGAGUGAAAUUUAGUUAUCGCUUGACUUUGACAUUAACACAUCCACAGAAUGAGAUAAUGAAUUGAUGAUACCACAAAUUUCUAUUUUCCACACAACAAGAUAGCAGAGUUGCACUCAAUUCGGAAUUUUGGAUUCAGCUGCCCCAAUUGAGCACGUUUCUGGAAAAACAGACAAAUACAAUGAAAGUGGCAGUUUGGCAUCAUUAUUUGUUACAGCUGAUAAUAAAGACUUAAAUGACUUCUAUCUUUUAUGACUCUAAUUGAUUUUGGUCUAUUUUAUAUAUCCCGGAUAUUUCUCAAUGAAAAGUAUGAUAAUAUGUAAAAACUAAAUUAUGAAAAAUAAAUGUUGAUCCUCUGCUAAUCUAUUUCCAAAAUUUGCAACACUCCCGUCGAGAGAGGAAUUAGCAUGUCAUCAUGAUCAUAGAGUAAGUUGAGAAAUUUAAUUUUUUUUAUUAUUACAUUUUGAUACAUUAAUUAAUCAUGUGAACACCAAUAAAUGUACCAUAUCAAUCAUCUGUUGAAGCAAGUAGUAUAAGGUUUGAAUCCAUGUUCAGAUGAGUGGAAAGAGAAUUGAAUUGCUGUUAGGUUUAAAUUAAAAAAAAAAAUUCAAACUGUAGAAGCCAUGACGAUCGAUGUGUUGAUCAACGUCCUUCUCAACAAGGUAUAUUACAAGGCAGCAUCAGCAUGCGUAGGCAAUGAGGCAUGCCUUUUUUUUUUUUUUAAGUAUAUGUACUAGAUAAAUUAUAUCGAAUAGCAAAUUAUUUUUGACAGCACUUUCGAUCGGUAUACAUGAUCUUAAACUAAAAAGGUGGGUUAGGGCUCAAUGUCACGGACCACUCAAAUUCUGGGACAAAGAGAUUAAAUGCACAAGCCAAGAUGUGCUAGCUUGACUUGAUGCUAGAAGGUUCCAGCUCUAGUCAAGAAUGGCAACUUUAGUAGACAACAAAUUAAUAUUAAAGCUACCAAGACAGUUCCAAAAUGAGAACGUCUACAUAUUUUGUAAUUGAGUAUAUCAAUCUUUUAGUGACAAGUUGUUACAUGUGUCUGUGUAUUUUUUAAAUUAUCAACCAUACAAAUACAAUAUAAAUUAAAAUAAAGUAAUUGGAUAUAGAUGCAUGAUCACGUUGAGUCGUCGACAAUACAAUUAAGAAAGGAGACUUGUUCCAUUUUCUAACACCAUAUUAAAAAAGAACCAAGUUGUUGAGUAAUUGAACGUCUACGAAUAUGAACACCACAAAUAUGGAGGAAGUUGCAGUAGGGCACUGCCAACGAGUCAAUAGAUAGUGACGUGCAUGCUCAAGAAAAUUAUUAACCUCAGGACUUUUCAAAGAACCCAGCAAGUUGUUAGAUUAAUUUGUUUCGACCAUUCAGGUUGUCAUUAUUAUCAGUGUAGAAAUUUUUAUUUUAUUUUUCUUCCACUAUGGCUCAUGGUCAUGGUGAUUUUCCUCUAUAAAUGGGCUGCCAAGAAUUGGUGUUAGUAUAACACACUUUGCAAUUUCGUUUAUCUCUAUGGCUAAGUUCUUUUCCCCUCUCAAUACCCCUUCAAUGGCUCCCGUCGUCUUGUUUCUUCUUGGGCUGCUAAUGGCUACCUUAGAUACAACAAGUAUAUAUCUUAAUUUCUCGAGAAAAUGAUCAAAACCUCUUUGUUGUUCAUAAAUAAUUUAAUUUCUUUUAAUGUUUCAAAAUCUAUCAAAUUCGCUUUCAAGAGCUUGACCAAGUAGUUUUUAAGCAAUGUUUUAGCUGAUCCUCGAUGAUCGAAUAUGGAAGUGAUAGUGACUAAAAACUGAUUUUGCACUUUAUCCAUUUCCUACUUUUUUUUCUUUUAAUCCAUCAAAACAAACCCGUACGUUAUCAUUCAAUUUUCUGAGUUUUAAUAAUACUUUACCUAUUGUGUUUUAAUAAUACUUGACUUAUUACAACUUUUUUUUAUAAACAUUGAGUUUUAAUUAGUGGUUACCACAUCAAGGGAAAAAAUAUUAAAAGCAUAAAACAAGUUAGAAUUUAACAUAAUUUUUUUUUAAAGACAGAAUUUUUGAAAUAUACGGUGCGAAAUGAUUACUUUACCGAAACCCAACGUAACCAUUUGAUCGUUUUCCCUAUCCUUCUCUCUAUCCAUGGAUUAAUAUUAUUCAUUAACUACUAUUAUAAGUUCUUAAUUUGUUCAUUAUCUAUAUAUUGCAUUUUACAGGUGCCCAAAUAGGUGUUUGCUAUGGAAUGCUUGGUAACAACUUACCAUCAAAACGAGAUGUCAUAGCUCUCUACAACCAAAACAAAAUCAGAAGAAUGAGACUCUAUGAUCCAAACAGAGAAGCACUCGAAGCUCUCAGAGGCUCCAACAUUGAAGUCAUGUUGGGCCUUCCCAACGACGACCUCCGAAGAAUCGCUUCCAAUCAAGCCGAAGCAAACACUUGGGUCCAAAACAACGUCCGAAAUUUUGCUAACAAUGUUAAGUUCAAAUACAUUGCUGUAGGAAAUGAAGCAAAACCUGGAGAUAACUUCGCUCAGUACCUUGUUCCCGCCAUGAGAAACAUACAAAACGCCAUCAACGGAGCCGGCCUUGGAAACCAAAUCAAGGUUUCCACUGCCAUCGAAACUGGAGCUCUUGGCGAAUCUUUCCCUCCGUCAAGAGGCUCAUUUAAACAAGAUUACAGACCCAUUCUUGAUCCCCUCAUUCGCUUCCUCAACGAAAACAGAUCCCCCUUGCUUGUCAACCUGUACCCUUACUUCGCAAUUGCUGGUAACCGCCAAAUAUCUCUGGAUUAUGCACUUUUUAGGUCACAACAGACGGUCGUUUCCGACGGAUCGUUAAGUUACCGAAGUCUUUUUGACGCCAUCUUGGAUGCUGUUUACGCCGCGCUGGAGAAAACCGGCGGGGGGUCGCUGGACAUCGUGAUAUCAGAGAGUGGGUGGCCGACGGCUGGUGGUGACGGAGCGUUGACGAAUGUUGAUAAUGCAAGGACUUAUAAUAAUAACUUGAUACAACAUGUGAAGCGAGGGUCACCAAAGAAGCCUGGAAGGCCUAUUGAGACUUACAUAUUUGCUAUGUUUGAUGAGAAUGGCAAAACGGGACCUGAGAUUGAGAGGCAUUGGGGACUUUUUGCUCCAACUAGGCAGCCUAGAUACCAGAUUAAUUUUAAUUAAUUAACUAAGCUAAAGCAGCUGCAUGCACCAACAGGAUCCGACGGAAUAUUUAUACUGGAAUAAAUUCUACCAUAUGUACUAGUGAAUAAGAGUUUGUAUCACCACCUUCAAUGGGUGCAUGAGAGCAAAUUUCAUGAACAAUAAUGUCAAUGGUUACGGUUUUGCAAAGCUUAAUUUAUAAUACUAUGUCCGAUCCUCAUUUGUGUACAACGUGUAGGACAAUUUAAAGGGAUGGUUGAUGUUAAAUAACAAUAGGCUUAAAUUAAAACUAAAUGGUUAUCAUAUUUAAAACAAAACUGAAUGGAAUUUGAAAUUUUAGUUUGGUUCAGGGUAAAUUGAACUAUGUGUCCAGUCCUCUCUCUCUCUUUCUCUUUCUAAGAUUUGAAUUUUGAUGGCCAACUAAAGAAAUUAAAUUGCUUGAAAAUCGUUUGGUCAAGUCCCUAGCAAAGAGUUUUAUCCUAUAGUUGUUUUAUUAAAAUUUUAUCCUGUAGUUGUUUUAUUAAAAACAUGUAAUAUAAUUGUUUAAUUAUGGUAUAAAAGUAUAUCAUAAUUAUCGAAUUUUUAGAGCUUACAUUAUCACAAUAUAACGUUGUCUAAUAUGCAAGGAAAUAAUUUGUUGAAUAUAGACGGCAAAGACUAUAUCUAAUUCUAACGCGAUCCGUUUUUUACUUGAGUCUUGUCGACUAGUACAUUAAAAAUAUAAUUUGUGCUUGUCAUCACUUGAUAAGAAUCAUACAAAGAUGACAAUAAUAUACGGCAAGGAUCAAGAUCAUAAUGUGAUGCACAUAUGACAACGAUAAGGACCAUAGUAAUAUACACACAUGGCAAGCAUCAAGUGCAUCAUGUGAUGCAUCGAUGGAAAGAAUUAAGAACAUUAAGACAGGCACAGAUGACGAUAAUCAAGGCCUUUAUAUCACACACAUAUGAAAAGUACCAAGAAUAAAAUUAAAUUUGAAAGAUGAAUUCCUCAUUUUCAAUUUUUGAUUAUUUUCCUUUUAUGUUAUUCAAGAACUUGUAUAAAUAAGCCUUUGAGCCAAUGAGAAUAAUAAGAGUGAAAUCUAUAUUUUCUCUUAAAAGUUUUCAAUCACCUUGUUUUAACUCUAGAAACCUUAUUCAAGCAGCCUGCUGACAGAGAGAAAUUUAGUUAUCGGUUGACGUUGACAUUAACACAUAUGCAGAAGGUCGAUGAUGAUACCAACAAAAUUGAGUGUUCUAUUUUCCACAUAACAAGAUAACAAGUAGCAUUCAAUUGGAAUUCAGCUGCCUCAUUGAGCACGUAUUGAUAAAAAGAUUUAAAAUAUACAAAUACAAUAUUGAAAGUGGCAGUUUUGGCAGUAUUUGUUACAGCAGACAAAGACUUAAUUAACAUCUCCUUUGACUCCAAUUGAUUUUGGUCUAGUUUAUAUGUCCUGGCUAUUCCUCAAUGAAAAAUACAAUGUAUAAAAUUAAAUUAUGAAAAAUAAAUGUUUAUCCUCUGCUAAUCUAUUUCCAAAAAUUUCAGGAAUCCCAUCUGAUGGGCUAAAAGUACCAUAUCUUCUCACAAAUUAACAUGUCAUCAUGACCAUAUAAAUGUGCAAUUCUUUUCCUAGUUUUAAAAGUUGAGAACUCUUAAACAUUUUUAUUAUUAAUCGUGUUUGAGCAAGAGUAAGAGGUUUUAACCCUUUCAGGUGGGUGGGUAGAAAAUUGAAUUGUCCUUAGGCUAACAUUAAAAAAAAAAUCAUAUUUGUAGAAGCCGUAACAAUAAAAUUGUGUUUCUAUGUCCUUCUCGAGCUCUACAAGUUAUUACAAGGCAGCCUCAGCAUGCAUAUGCAAGCAUGUUUUCUUGUGUAGCAUGAGUACCAGAUAAUUAAAUAUCAAUAAUUAACAAAUUAUUUUUUGAUAGUACUUUCGAUUGGUAUGAUCUUUAACCAAAAUGGGUCAACUGAGUAAGGGCUCAUGCUCAUCAGCUCAUGCACAUGCAUGAAUAGCGACUUAAAUUAAGGAACAAAUUAAUAUUAAAGCCACCACAAGACAUUUCUUAAAUGAGAACGUCUACAUAUUUUGUAAUUUGUACAUGGAUCCUUUGAGUUAAAUGUUGUCAUAUAUGUGUCGGCGUAUCUUCAAAAUAAGCAAUCAUACAAUAAGAGAAAGUAAAUUAAUACACGAAUGAUUAUAUAAGUAACAUGUGACAUUAUACAAUAUUGGAUUUUUGCAUGACCACAGCGAUGAUAAAAUCUAAUCACGUCUUGCUCCAUUUUCUAAUACCAUAUUAAAAAUAACCGUGUUGUUGAGUAAUUGAAUGUCAACAAAUAUGAACACCACAAAUAUGGAGGAAAUUGCAGCAGGGCAUAGCCUAUGAGCCAAAAGAUAGUGACAUGCUCAAGAAAAUUAUUAACCUCAGUACAUUUCAAAGAACAGAAAAACAAACUGGUUGGUUAAUUUGUUUUGAAAUACUUAAGAUGUCAACAUAUAUAUAUUUUUUUCUGCCAAUAUGAUUCAUGGUUAUGGUGAUUUUCCUCUAUAAGCAGCGGCGUAGCUAACAUGGGACAGGCCCCAGGUGGCUUUUAAAAUUUCUUUUGAUGGUUAUCUUAAAAAUAUAUAUUUUAUUUAUUAUUUAUAAAAAUGCCCCAGGUGAAUUGUGGAAUUCUGAAAGUGUCACACGUAAUUAUAAAAACAUUUCAUGUUGCCCCUAACUUAAAUGUCUAAUUCUAAAUAAUUUGAGUAGCUAUUAUAAUUUCAUUAAAAUUAAUAAAGACAACAAGAGAACUGCUUUUAUCAAAUGAAAUCCAUUAAAAAGUCAAUUAAAACAAGUUAAAUCUAAACUUUACUCUUUCUUUCAUCUCUUCCAUGGAAUAAAGUGUGGCUUGUGGACUCCACAGCAGAUUACCCGGUUAGCAGUGCUCGUCACCGUGUGCAUGGAUUUCUUCUUAGUUUUCUUCAUUCGUAUGGUCUGAUUUUUGAAAUUGGAAGUUUAUUAAUUCUAAUUUUUUAUUAUUUCGUUGUUUUUUCCAUUUUAAAAUUCCUAAUUUUAUUAUAUAUCCAUGUUUAAUUUUUGUGUUGCCAUAUAUGAAUAUUUUUGCCGUUAUUAAAAGAUUUAAGAACAAAUUAAGUUAUCAAGAUCAGUACACUGUACACUGAAUUUUUAAUGAAGACCCAUAAUAUUUUGUCUAGUUCAGUAACAGUAAUUUUCAUGUAUAUUCUUUUUAUUUAUGAAAAUUUUCUUUGAACGAUAAAUAUCAUAUUUAUUCAAUAAAUAUAUUUCUUUGAACAACCAUGGAUAAAUAUUUAAGAAAGAAUUCAGCAAUUGCAACCUCAUCAGGAAAAAUGAGCGGCGGUUCAAAAGAAAAAGUUAAGAGUUAAUUUGGAUGAUCUUCCAAGGGAUCCCGGUUUAUGAACGGCAAUUUCAAAGUUAGAUCCUAAUAUUCAAGAUGAAGUUCGGAAAGCAUACUUGCAAAUGGCUCAUUUUCAACCUCAGAGCCAUGAUUUUCCUACUAGGUCGUUAGGACAAAUAUCACAAUGAUUUGUCCUGAAUUGAUUUGAUAAUUAUCUUGAUUGGUUAGAAUAUAGCAUAGUAAAGGAUGCAGCUUUUUGUCUUUACUUUUAUGUUUUUAGAGAAGAAAAUGGUAGUCAAGGGGGUGGUCCAUGCUUUACUGGUGAAGGGUUUAGAAAUUGGAAGAAAAAAGAAAUGUUGAGGCAAUAUGUUGGUGGUGCAAAUAAUGCUCAUAACAUAGCGAGGCGUCGUUGUGAAUCAUUGAUGAAUCAGAAGGCACAUGUUGCCACAUUUUUCUUUAACCAUUCUAAAAUAAUUAAAAGGGAGUACCGAGUUUGUUUAACUGUUGUAAUUGAUUGCAUUCGAUUUCUUUUGAAGCAAGGCCUUGCAUUCCGUGGUAAUAAUGAAUCUCAAAGCUCAAACAAUAAAGGAAAAUUUCUUGAGCUUCUACGAUUUCUUGCUGAUCACAAUGAGGAAAUUAAAGGUGUUAUUUUCAACAAUACUCCAGCAAAUCUCCAAAUGACAUCUCUUGAUAUUUAGAAACAAAUUGCAAGUGUUUGUUCAACUGAAACUUCUAGAGCUAUUGUUAAAGAAAUUGGUGACUCUUUCUUUUAUGUUAUGAUAGAUGAGUCCCGUGACAUAUCCACAAAAAAGAAAAUGGAAGUUAUGUUGCGUUAUGUUGAUAAAAUAGGACGUGGUUGAGUGUUUUAUGGUAUUGAACAUCUUCUUGGUAACAAAGCUGUCUCUCUUAAAGCAUCACUUGACACAUUAUUUGCUAGACAUGGAUUAAGCAUGUCUAAGUUGUGUGGGCAAGGAUAUUAUGGUGCUAGUAACAUUCAAGGUGAACUUAAUGGUUUGAAAACACUCAUUCUGAAAGAGAAUGAAUCUGCUUAUUACAUUUAUUGUUUUGUCCGUCAAUUACAAUUGGCCCUUGUUUUGCAGCAAAAAAGCACUAAGAAGUUAAUGAUCUAUUUAGUUUAGUUGCUAAAUUUAUUAACAUUGUUGCAGCCUCAUCUAAACAAUUUGAUAUUCUUAGAGAGAAGCAUUCUAUUGUAGUUAAUGAAGCACUUAAAAUAGGCGAGCUUAAAAGUGGGCAAGGUAUGAAUCAAGAGAUUAAUUUAAAGCGUGUUGGCGAUACACAGUGAAGCUCACAUUACGGGAUAUUAAUAAGCAUUAUUACCAUGUUCUCAUCCAUAAUUGAUGUUCUUGAGAUUAUUGCAAAUGAUGCAUAAAAUUCUAAGCAACGAUUUGAAGCAAAUUCAACCUUGAAGUUCAUGCAAACAUUUGAUUUUGUGUUUACUUUAUACUUGAUGAAAAAUAUUCUUGGUUUUACAAAUGAAUUGUUACAAGCAUUACAAAGGAAAGAUCAAGAUAUUGUGAAUUCCAAUGAAAUUAGUUAGCAUUUGCAAACUAGGUCUACAAAGGAUGAGGAAACAUGGAUGGAAUUCUUUGCUUAGUCAAGUUUCUUCAUUUUGUGAGAAGCAUUUUAUUCGUGUUCCUGUCAUGGAAAAAAUGUUUCUAACUCCUGGAAGAUCAAGGCGUAGAGCGCAAGAGAUCACAAACAUGCAUCAUUAUCGCAUUGACCUAUUUUGUGCUAUUUUGGAUAUGCAACUUCAAGAGUUAAAUAGUCGUUUUAAUGAGGUAAACACUGAAUUACUUCUUUGCUUGGCUUGUUUAUGUCCAAAAGAUUCAUUUGCAACUUUCAAUAAAGAAAAGUUAUUGUGCCUUACUCAACUUUAUCCAAAAGAUUUUUCUCUAGUUAAUCUCAUGACACUAGAUACUGAACUUGAUGUUUACAUAAUGGAUAUGCAGUCUAGUGUUGAGUUUUCAAGAUUAAAUGGGAUUGAUGAUCUUGCACAAAAAAUGUUUGAGACUAACUAGCACAUGGUGUUUUCACUGAUCUAUUUAUUAGUCACAUUAGCAUUGUUUUUACCAGUUGCCACUGGCACUGUUGAAAGAGUUUUUUUCAGCUAUGAAUUAUGUGAAGAAUCAACUACAAAGUCGAAUGGGAGAUGAAUGGUUAAAUGAUAACCUAGUUGUGUACAUUGGAAAAGAUGUAUUUGAUUGUAUUGAUAAUGAAACUAUUUUACAACAUUUUCAACACAUGAAAUCCCAUCAAGGAAUUCUUUAUUAGAAUAAUUGUAAUAAGUAAAUUUAUUACUAAUUUAUAUUAUAGUUGCGAUUUUAUAUAUUGUUAUCUAAAUUUCAAAAUUUAUUAUCAAUUUAUAUUAUAAUUAUGAUUUUAUGUAUUGUAAUAUAAAUUUUCAAAAUUAUAUUACAUUUUAAAUGUGCUCCAAAUCAAUUAAAUUCCUGGCUACAUCCCUGUCUAUAAGAGGCUGCUCAAAAGUGGUGUUGGUAUCACAAGUUUCCAUUUGCAUUUUUCUCCAUGGCUAAAUUCUUAUCCUUUCUCAAUACCCCUUCAAUGGUUUCCAUGAUCUUGCUACAGCUUAGGCUGCUAGUGGCUACUCUGGACACUACAAGUGUGUGUGUGUGUGUAUCUUAAGGAAAUGAUCCAAACCUCCUUGUUGUUUGUAAAUUAAUCGUUUCAUCUAUGCUCAAAAUCAAUCAAAAUUGUCUAUUGUUUACAAGGAUGAUCAAGUGAUUUUCAAGUAGUUUUCUCUCACUAACCACCCAAGUUUAAAAAUUGGGAAAGAUAAUGGGGCUAAAAAGGUAUUUUUUAUUUUGCCCUCACUUGAUCCCUUUUUUAAGACAAAAAAUAAUCACAAAUCCUUGUGGUUAAGAAAUUUCUGUUAACUUUCAAUUUUUGAAUCUUUUACUAUUUUAUUUCUAAGAUUUUUAUUGAUAAAUAAUGAGAUUAAAUUUUUUACUCGUAAAAGACGCACAACAAGUUGGAAGUUAAUAGAAAAUUUUAAAAGACGAGGGUUUAAAACAUAAGGUGCGAAAUGAUUAAUUUACUUAAUCCAACAUGGCGGUUUGUUCAUUUUCCUUAUCUAUCUUUCUCUAUGUAUUGAUAGUAUUCAUAACUAUAAGUUUUAAUUUGUUGAUUCUAUAUAUAUCAUUGCAAGUGCUCAAAUAGGUGUUUGCUAUGGAAUGGUUGGUGACAACUUACUAUCAAAAUCAAAUGUCAUAGCUCUCUACAACCAAAACAACAUCAGAAAAAUGAGAAUCUAUGUUGAGUUGCUAGAAUCUUUAUAUGCCUAGUUGGAUGCUACUUAUGUUGCGUUGUGUUGAGCACAUGCAACCUUUUUCACUUUGGUUAAACAUGCAUGUGGCUAGUAUAGAAAGGUUGAAUAUGCCACCAAGGUUAGCAUCGAACCUUGAAAAUUUGAAAAGUACCAAGACUUUUGCUUUGAAAAUGGCUAGCAUGCAUAGCAAGGUUUAGCUAUAAAUAGAGGAGCAAUCGUUCAUUGAAGGCAUUCUAAAAUUUGAGGGAGUAACAAUUCAAUUGUGGAAUUCUUAAGAGAGUGAGCAAUUGAAGAGUAUGUAAUUGAGAGGUUUUCCUUUCAAGUGUAUAAGAGUACUGAGUAUAUUUGGGUUAUAGGAAGUGAAGUUUUUUUUACUCAAAUAUUGUACUCCAAUAAUUGUUAAUGAUAUAAUUAUUUUCUUUUACUCUCGUAGAUGUAGGCAUAUUGCCGAACCACGUUAAGUUUUGCGCCCUUUAUUUUUCUUGUGAUUAUUUGGUGUGCUUAACUCUACAUUCUGUGCACAAUAAGUGGUAUUAGAGCUAACGGUUCAUACUUUCGGUAGAUGGUACUGUUCACGUAUAUGAUAUUAUUCACGUACGGUACUGGUCAUGAAUACGGUGGAGCCAAUAGUUCAUAUUUAGGAGGAUCAAAAUUUUCGUAAUGGUGUGGAUUUGUGUAUGUCUAGGAAAGUUUUGUCCCAAAGGCGAUAAGAGUCUAGGAAGACUGGAUUUUAAGUGGGACUGGUGUGACCCCUUCAGUCUUUCCUGGAAACUUUCCUGGCGUAUUUUUUCCAUACGUACUAAUCUCUAAAGUGUGAAGAGUUUAUUGAGAAAAUGGUAGAAAGUGAAUCUUCCAGAUGUGGGGAGAGAUCUACCUAAACUAUUCCAAAGGACACGUCAAGUGGAAAGCAAGACUUGUCACAUCGCCAAUCAGCACUUGUUAUAGGAGAUCAGAAGAUCGAUGUUGAAAAAUUUGCUGGGAAAAUCAACUUUAGUAUGUGGAAGCAUGAAGUUAUAGAUGCUCUUAUUCAAAUCGAUCUCGAUGUUGUCCUAAAAACUAAAAGACAGUUAUAUGACCAAGCAACUUGGGAUUAUAUAAACGAGAAAGUCUAUGGUCAGAUUAGAUCUUGUUUAACCAAGGAGGUGAAAUAUUUGGUGAAAGAUGAGGAGUAUAUUAUGACUUUGUGGCGUACAUUAAAAGAAAAGUAUAUGUUGAAAAGACUUAAAAAUCGUCUUCAUGCAAUGAGCCAAAUAUAUGGCUUUUGAAUAAAGCCCGAGGUGUCAAUGCAUGAUCAUGUCUCAAGAUUUGAGAAGUUACUUAUAAAUUUGAAGAAUAUUAAUGAAGAUAUUAAGGAUGAAGUCAAAGCUAUAAUUCUACUGCACUCACUUCCAGAAGAAUAUAAUCAUUUUGUGACUACUUUAUUAUAUGGGAAAAACGUGAUCAUCAUAAGGAUGUCUGCACAGUAUUGACCAAUUUAAAAAUUCAUAAUAAUGAUAAACAUUUUGAAAUAGUAUCGUCUAAAGCUUUGUUAGCCAAAGAAAGGAUGAUGGAGAAAAAAAAGAAGCGAGGUGGAAAGAAUUCUCAGUCCAAAUCAAGAAGCAUAAACAUAACUCAAGAUGAGUGUCCUUUUAUCAUGAGAGAUGCCAUUGGAAGAAAUAUUAUUUGAAGGCUCAUAAAAGAGAUGAGAAGAAACCAGUAGCAGCAAAUAUGGCACGUAAAGAUAAAGACUCUGAUUAUUCACUAAAUAUUACGCCUGUAGUAUAUGUGGCUAAUUCGUGCGAGUGGAUAAUUGAUACAGGAGUAACCUAUCAUUUGUGUCCUAUAAGGGAAUGAUUUAUAGAUUUAUGCGAUCUAAAAUCUAGUACAGUUAUGAUAUGGAAUGAUCAACCUUGUCGCACAAUAAGGAUAAAAAUAAUUUGGCUCAAAAUGUUCGACAGAAUAGUAAGAUAAUUGAAAGAAAUGAGAUAUGUUCCAGCUCUAAAGAAAAAGUUAAUUUCUGUAAGUGCUUUGGAGGCUAAAGGCUACAAGGUUACCAUUGAAUAUGGCACAAUGAAGUUUACACAUGGAGUUAUGGGGAUUUUGCAAGGGGUUCGGCGUCACAAUUUAUACUAUUUGAAAGGAGGUGCAACCGAUGAAGCUAAUGUUUUUUAGGCACACAGUGACACCACUAAGUAUGACAUGUAUGACUAGGACAUGCUAGAGAAAAUUCUCUGCAAACUCUAAUGAAGCGUGAACUUUUGAAAGGUACCAAUACCUAUAAACUGAAAUUAUAUGAGCAUUGUGUUGUUAACAAGAAAACAAGGGUCAAAUUUAGGACGGCUAAUUACGAUAGUCGUGAGAUCCUUGAACAUGUUCACAACGAUGUAUGGGGUCCAACCAAGAUUGCAUCAAUUGGUGGAAGCCAUUAUUUUUUUUUCAUUCGUUGAUGAUUUCUCUAGAGGUGUUUGGGUGUACACCAUGCGAGCAAAAGAUGAGUUUCUAGAGAUUUUCGUGAAAUGGAAGAAACUGGUACAGACUCAAACUAGCAGAAAUAUCAAAGUAUUACAUUCUAAUAAUGGGAGUGAAUAUACUUUUGAUCCAUUCUUACAAGUAUGCUAGAGUGAGGAUAUUAAAAAAUAUUUCACGGUGAGAUACACUCCAUAACAGAACGGCAUAGUUGAGCAUAUGAAUCAUACUUUACUAGAGAAAUUAUGGUGUAUGUUAUCUAAUGCUGGUUUAGAUAAAGAGUUUUGGGCUGAGGUUGUGAGCUACACAAGUCACUUGAUAAACUAGUUUCCUUCUACUGCAAUUGGAGGUAAAACUCCUAUGGAAAUUUGAUCUGGAAAACAUGCACAAGACUAUGACUCCAUUCGUGUGUUUGGAUGUCCGGCUUAUUAUCAUGUAAAGAAUGAUAAGCUCGAUCCUUAUGCAAGAAAAACUAUCUUUGUAGGAUUCAAAGGUGGAGUUAAAGGCUAAAAGUUGUGGGAACUAGAAGAUAAAAAGUUUGUGUAUAGCAGAGAUGUCACUUUUGAUUAAGCCUCUAUGUUGAAUGCUUCAAGUUCGCAGCAGGCGGAGAACAAGACCAAUAAGAUAUUGCAGCGGGUAAAGUUUAAUAUAACUCCAUUUGUACUAGCUAAUUCUAUAUCAGAAAAGAUUUCAACUUUAUAAAAUACCCCAAGAGUAGAAGAAGAAGUUGUUUAUGUUGAUGUCCCACAAGAGGAAAAAAUAACUUAAGAUGUAGAAGAUGAAAAUAACAGUAUAGCAAUAAGGAGACCAAAAAGAGUGAUAAAGAAACCCAGAUGGCUUACUCAAGACAUGAUGGUAGCCUAUACACUUCAAGUUAUUGAUGAUGACAUCCUCAACUCUUUGAGUAAGACAUUACACAGUACUGAAAGCGAUCAAUGGAAGUUAGUCAUGGAAGAAAAAAUGAAGUCUUUUCAUUAAAACCAGACUUGGGAACUGGUAGAGUUACCUAAGAGAAAAAGGGUGAUUGGCAAUAAAUAAGUCUACACUAAGAAGUAAAGUUCUCCAAAUCAAACAACUCCUCGAUACAAGGCAAGGCUCAUAGCAAAAGGCUUUGCGCAAAAGGAAUGUAUUAACUAUAAUGAAGUGUUAUCUCCAAUUGUAAAGUAUACUUCUGUUGUGCAAAUUUUGUUGAAUUCGCAAGUGCACGAAUCUAUUGUAGAAUAGAUCAAUGAUGACGAGUGUCGAUCCCACGAGGAGGUGGAUUUUAAUUAUAUGAAGAAUUAAUUUUGUAUGAAGGUGGUUGGAUUUGUGGUGAAAGUGACUUAGAUUAUCCUAAAAUUGAAUUUGAAAUAGCGAGAAUAAAUUGAAGAGAAAUCUAUUGAAAUGACGUACUUGGGUAUCUGGAUCCGUAUCAACAUGCACUAUGGGCUAAAUAUUCCUUAUUAAUGCCAAUUAAAUCAUGAGGGGGGAAUCCACACCUCAUGAACCACACUCUAAUCAAUAUGGUGUUAAGGGCUUAUCGUGCCAAAUAAUAAUAACCUUGUACUAGGGAGCCGAUGUAACCAUGGCGGUAUCUAGACAAGCUUAUUAUUAUUUGUCAACGUGAAGUCAAAACUUCCACAAAAACUAGAGGGAAAGAGAAAAUAAAUUUACCAAAUAAAGCCCAUGACACAUGUUGAGACUUCACCUUCAACCCAAGCUUAAAAGAAAAUUAGCUACUCAUAAUUGAACUAUGGGCAAAAUGGAAAUUUAUUAAAAUAUGUAAAAAAAUAUAAUAUAGAGAAGGAAUUACUGAAAAUAGAGUCCAAAAAUGGAUUCAGAGAUAUCAAAUUAGGGGGGAGAGGCCCCAUUUUUAUAGAUACAUUGAGUAAAUCGUGGCCAUCGGAUUAAAAACAGUUUGUACACUUAGGAUUGCGCCACGUCAUCAGUCAACAAUACGCGGUUUGACCAGUGGGUAUACAGUAACACGGUUGACCCGGGUUGAAUAGUGAUGCGGUUUGGUUAAAAAUAAUCCUGUGUAAUGCAUGUACCGUACGCGAGAUUUUUGGUCCACUGAUAUGCUGCCACGUCAUCGAUCAACAGUGUAUAAGAAUUUUAGUCCAACAGGAUCGUGACACUUCAUCAGUCAAUGCCACAUCAUCGGUCAAUGCCACGUCAUCGAUCCGUCUAUGUGAAUAGUGUCGUAAACAGUAAUGUAGAUAGUAUCGUACAUGUGAACAAUGCCAUUUUUUCUUUUAUGCUCCUCCUAAGUUUUUUGACCGUCCUGAGUUCAAAAGUGAUGUCUGUUUUGCCGUCUGAUCUCUCGUUCAUUGUGAAAUGACUAUGAUGCCCCUAAAAUACAUAAAAUACUUAAUUAUAAUACAACACACAUAAUUAAAUGACAAGAAGUUUAAAUACAUAAAAGUAAGGGUGUUAGUAAAACUUGAAGGGUGUGUUUGGUGUGUGGUAUUGCAUAGGAUUAAUUGUGGGCCCAGCAUUAAUUUAAACCAAUAACAUGUUUGGGAGCAAUUGAGCCUCAUUGGGAUUGGGCAUCGGGAGGCGCGCUAAUGCGGGAGUUCCCGCAUUAGCUUCUUUUUUUUUUUUAACUUUAACUUUUAAUUUUAGUUUUACUUAAUAAUAAUAAAAAUUGAUAAAUUUAUAAUUUAUAAUUUAUAAUAUAAUUUUUUUUACAUCAUAAUUUAUUAAUAAAUUUAUAAUUUAAUAUGAUUAAUAAUAAAUACUUAAAGUAUAUAAAAUAUAAUAUAAUAUUACACUAUUUAAUUAUUAUAAUAUUAAUAUAUAAAAUUUAAUAUUUUUAAAUAAUAUAAUAUAACAAAUAAUAAAUAUUUAAAUACGAAUGAAUUUCAAUAAUAUUAAUCUAAAAUUAAUAAUAACAUAAAUAAUAAUAUAAAAUAUUAGCACAAUUCAUUUGUAAUUAAAUUUCUAAAAUAUAAGACCUCUAUAUUUAGUUUUUUUAAGUACUAAUAAAUAUUAUUUUAUAAAUAUAUAAUAUAAAUUAAUCACAAAAAAUUAAUACAGUACAGUGCAACACCAAACAUAGUAUAAUUAAAAAUUAAUACAGUACAGUGCAGCACCAAACAUUGUAUAACAUUAUUAUAAUACAGUGCUAAUGCAAUACAGCAUAAUACAAUACACCAGCAUAAAAAUAAUGCAAUACAGCAUAAUACAAUACAGUGUGCCAAACGCACCCGAAGUGUAAAAUGACGAUUUUUUCCUUUAUAAAUAUACAUUUUCUAACACUCAACAACUUCCAUUCGUAUCCUACUUGCCUUCGUAGCUGAAUUUGAGUUAGGGUUAACUUAUUAGAUGUUACGAUGGCAUUCUUACAUGGAGAUUUGGAGAAGGAAAUCUAUAUGAAUUAGCCUUAUGGUUUCAAAGUUGCUGGAAAAGAGAAUCAUGUGUACAGAUUGAUUAAAUCUUCGUACGGAUUAAAACAAUCACCAGGGCAGUGGUACAAGAGAUUUCAUCAAUUUAUACAAAGGUAGAAAUUUACCAAAAGUGAACACGAUCACUGUGUUUAUUUUAGAAGACUACAAGGUGAAUCUUUCAUCUAUCUAUUACUCUAUGUCGAUGAUAUGCUUAUAACUUCAAAUAAUAGAGGUGAGAUUAAAAGGUUAAAGAAACGGUUGGCUUCUGAGUUCGAGAUGAAAGACUUGGGUAAUGCGCAAAGAAUACUUAUGAUGGAGAUUUGUAGAGACAAAAAGAAUAAGAGUGUAUGGUUUACUCAAAAGUCUUAUUUAAAGAGGGUGCUAGAAAGGUUUGGUAUAGAUGACAAAACUAAACUAGUUUCUACUCCUAUUGCUUCUUAUUUCAAAUUAAGUUAUUCUUCAUGUCCUACAUCUCAAGAGGAGUGCGACUACAUGCCUCGUGUUCCAUAUGCUAGUGUUGUGAGUAGUCUUAUGUAUGCUAUGGUGUGCACAAGACCUAACAUAUCUCAAGCCGUGAGUAUAGUUAGUCGAUACAUGCAUAAUUCGGGCAAAAACCAUUGGCUUACGGUGAGUGGAUUCUUCGAUAUUUGUAUGGGAUAUUCGAUGUUGGAUUAUUGUUCAAGAAGGAUUGUGGUCAACAAUGUGUUAGGUAUUGUGAUUUUGAUUUUGCUAGAGACCUUGAAAAGUGAAGAUCAACAACGGGCUACAUAUUCACAUUGGGUAGAGGUCUAAUUAGUUGGAGAUCGAUUUUACAGUUGACAAUUGCUCUUUCCACUACGGAAGCAGAGUACAUGGUAGCAACUGAGGCUGCAAAGGAAGCUAUUUGGUUGAAAGACUUGUUAGGAGAUUUAAGAGUAAUCCAAGAGAACAAUGAGGUCUUUUGUGAUAACUAAAAUGCAAUAUUCCUAGCAGAGAACCAAACAUAUCAUGCUUGAAUAAAGCACAUAGAUGUGAAAUAUCAUUAUGUGAGGGAGGUUAUCGAGAGCUGUGUUGUGUUGUUGAGAAUCAUCGAUACCAAAGAUUAUCCAUCAGAUAUGUUGACAAAGGUGGUUUUUGGAGUUAAAUUUUAACGUUGCUUGAAACUAAUUCAAAUCCUUCAAAUGUGUUGAGUUUGAGAAAUUUUUAAACUACGAUUAGCUUGAUCCCAAAUUUUGGGUACGUAGGUAAUCACAGAGAUGUAGCCACUUUGAGGAUGAUGGUUCAUUGAUAGUCGGCUCAAAUUUGACAAAUUUGAGCCAAGGUGGAGAAUCGUUGAUCACAUGCAACCUUUUUGACUUUGGUUAAACAUUCAUGUGGCUAGCAUAGAAAGGUUGAAUGUGCCACCAAGGUUGGCACCGAACCUUGAAAUUUUGAAAAGUGCCAAGGCUUCUGCUUUGAAAAUGGCUAGCAUGCAUGGUAAGGUUCAGUUAUAAAUAGAGGAGCAAUCAUUUAUUGAAGGCAUCCCAAAAUUUGAGAGAGUAACAAUUCAAUUGUAGAAUUGUUAUCAAUUGAAUUAUUAAGAGAGUGAGCAAUUGGAGAGUGUGUAAUUGAGAGGUUUUUCCUUUCAAAUAUGUGAGAGUACUAGGUGUAUUUAGGUUCUAGGAAGUGAGGUUUCCUUUACUCAAAUAUUGUACUCCAAUUGAUGCAAUUAUUUUCUCUAAUAUAAUUUUGUGUUCUUUAUUUUUCUUGUAAUUAUUUGGCGCGCUUGAUUUUACAUUCCGCAUACAACACGUUGGAGAAAUUCAGUGGGGGCUCGUUGGAUAUUUGUGAUAUCGGAGAGUGAGUGGCUAGCGGCAGGUGGUGAUAGAUUGUUAAUGAAUGUUGAUAAUGCAAGGACUUAUAAUAAUAACUUGAUACAACAUGUGAAGGAAGGGUCACCAAAGAAGCCUGGCAAGCCUAUUGAGACUUUCAUUUUUGCUAUUUUUGAUGAGAAUGAUAAACAGGGAGUUGAGAUUGAGAGGCAUUGGGGACUUUUUGCUCCAGACAAACAACCUAAAUACCAAGUUAAUUUUAAUUAAUUAACCAAAUCAGAGCAGCUACAUGCAGCAGCAGAUUUGAAGUUA